rnacentral:lncRNA from 1 species
AAAAAAAAAAUAAAAAAAUAAAAAAGGUAACAAAUUUUUUUUAUUUCCCAAUUUCAUUACAACUUUAAAAAUAAAAAGAAGGAGAAUCUGCAUGACAAAUGAAGGGAUAUAACUGAAUUUUUUAAAAAGGGUUUUUAAGAUAGACUUUUAAAAGAUCAAAAACUUUCAAAAAUAAAUGGACAUUUAAUAAAUAGGGAUGGUCGAAUAAGGAAAUGGAAGGGAUUUCGUCAUUUUCUUUGAUUGAACGAGUUAAACUCUUCAGUCUUUUUUUUUUUUUUUCUUUUUAUGAAGGAUGCAGUAUGAUUAUGACGAGUGAGAAGCCAGAUCUAUUAAGAAAACCAAUGAUUAUUGUAAUUAAAUACUCUUUGGUUCGAACAUCCCUAUAAGAACACUAACUAUUGAAAGAUGAAACGAAAUAAAUGUAAUAAUCAAGAAACAAAGGGAAAAAGGUUGUAUAAGGUAGGGAAAGGCAUCUCCAAUCCAACAAAUCCAAAAAUCAUUAUUAUUUAAUUCUUUUUUGUGUUAACAUCCCUAAAAGUAAAGACCCAUAUGUUAGGCUUUAAUUGUUUAUAUUUGAAAAGUCAAAAAUGUUUUCUUAAUUGUAGUAUAACACAAAUUAAUUGUAUUAAAAUUUUAAUAUAUGAAAUCUUUUGAGAAAAUUAUGGGUUCAAAUAAAAAUAUAUUAGAUAAUUAGUUAAAAUUAUUUGAACAUCUUUAUUUUUUACUUAAUUUACUAUAUCACAAAUACAAUUUAGAACUUUUAAAUUAGCUCACAUCCAGAUAUAUGUUUUAUAUAUUGAGACAGCUGACUGAAACACUAAAAUAAUAUGAAAAAAGAGGCUGAAAUAAAGCACCGAUUUUAAGCACAUGCUAUAAUUAUCUUUGGCUAAACCAUUUUUGUAUCUCUCCUCAUUUUUAAUUCUUUGAUUACAAAACUUUAAUUAAUUGGUAGUAGUUGUUGGUUAGGAAUAAAUUAAGAAAAUAAUUAGCACGGAUCGUGAAAUUAGUGUUGUUUGUCUGCAUGUCAUGACCUAAUUACAUCAUUUCCUAUACUUCCUUCUGUCAUAUUUCAUUUUUAAAUAUUGCAUGCUGAUAAAGAUAAACGUGGAUACAAGCAAUGACAGUGACUAUUUGCAAUCACCAUCGUUUCCAUGAUAAACGUGUAUGUAAUGUUAAUGUCCGGCAAAAAUGAAGGGAAAUGAACAAAAAAAAGUGUGAAGAGAAUAGAAAAAAAAAUGUUGGUUUUCUUUUUUGUAUUUGAGGAGGGAAAAAUAAACAAAAAAUAAAAAUAAAAUUGUAAAUAAAAUGAUUAUUAUUAUUAUUAUUAUUAUUAUUUUACUUUUUGAAAGAUUGAAUUUAGAAAGACAUAAAAUCUAUAAAUGAAUCCAUUCAUUUUUUUUCCUUUAAUCUAAGAAAAAAAUUAUAAAAAGUUUUUUUCCCCUUUUUUUUUCCAUCCCACCAUACAAAAUGUAAAGUAAUGACAAAUUGAGAGUACACAUAAAUGUUGUUUUUAUAAACUAUGAGUAAUUAAAUUCCCAUCUCCCUAAUUUGAAUGUCCAAUUUUAUAAAGUAUUUAUCACAAUUUGUACUUCAAUUUGAUGGAAAGGCUGAAUACUAGCUCGCCACUUAAAUUUGAUGUGUGCACAAUUUUCAUAGUUGACUUUUGAGCCCCUUGGCUUAUCCAUCUAUCAUAGAAACAAUUCUCGUGACUAGCAAUAAUGGAUCUUAAAAGUAAUAAAGAAAAAAAAAACUUGCUAAUUAAACUUUGAAUCAAUGGCACGAAUAUUUUAAAAUUUUGAGAUUAUAAAUGGAAUAUUAUUUUACGAAUUUGUUUUAAUUUUAUGUUAAAUUUAUUUAAUAAUUUUUUAUAUAUAUGAAUAAAAUAUUUAUUAUGAUUGUUUAUAAUUUUAUAAAAAAAAAUCAAUUACUAGUAAUUAUAAUAGUUAAUUAUUGUUAACUAGAUAUAUCCAAAUUCAAAUGAAAACUUUAGAAAUCCUCCUAUUGCAUUUCUUUUCAAAAAAUUUUUAACUUUUUCGUUUUCACUUAAUAAAAAAUUUUUACGAAAGUGUCCGCACGUUUAUCUAGAAAGGGCAACAUAUUUAUCUAUUGUUAAAAAGGAUUUAAAUUCCUUUUUAAAUAAAAGAAUUCACCAAAAAUAAAUUUCACAUCAAUAAUUAUGUUCUUUCACGUAAAAAAAUUAUAUUCAAUUUUACAUAUCAAAUUAUAUAAUUAUUUUUAAAUAUGAUAAUUAAUAGACUUGAAUUUUAACUCAUAACCUUUGUAAUUUUUUUUAGAUUAUGAUUUUUUUAUUAAAUAAUUAUAUAAAAUUUUGUAUAUCAAAAUUUUUAUGAUUUUUGAUAAAUAAUAUAUUCUAUUCUAAAAAAAUCUAAUAUCUAAGAUUAUAAAUCUUACCAAAAAAGAAAGAAUAAAUUUUUUCAUUAAAAAAAAAAGAAUAAAUUUUGUAGCAAAAGGCAACUGACAAAGUUACCCACCCAAGUCCGACAAGAACCCAUAUCAAGUACUUACGUGUCUCUGACCAGAAGAGCUUUGUUUGGUUCUUGCCUUGGUGGUGCUAAUCCUAGUCAACACGCGGUGUCGACGUGUCAGAGUAAUCCACAUUAUAAGACAGGUGGCUUGCAUGAAGAGGUCCCCAUUGCGUCCUUCCUGCUAUACAUAAACCCCAAUUCUUUUGCAUCUCUCGACGGAGUGCCGUGAUUUUCUCUCUUUCGUUACAUCGGUUCUAGUAGCGCCUUCGUUUUAAUUUCUUUGGUUUUCCUCCUAACAAUAAAUUUCUGGUUCUCAAAUCUAUCUGUUUUUCUAAAUCAUACUCUUUCCAUAAAUCUUUAUCUACGCUUUUCCUGGUGUGUUUGUCUGUCGAAUGAUUUAAACAUUUUUUCUUGGAAAAAUUAAAAAGAUGAAGGGAAGAAUGGAAAACCCUCUUCAACUCAAAUCUUUGAACCACAUCUCCCUUGUGUGUAGAUCAGUUGAGGAAUCCAUAGAUUUCUAUCAGAAUAUUCUUGGGUUUGUUCCAAUCAGGAGGCCUGGAACAUUUGACUUUAAUGGGGCAUGGUAAUGAACUCUUGUCAAUCUUAAUUUUUGUUUCAAGAAAUUUCCUCUGAAAUAUUAUGAUGAAAAGCGCAAGAAAUCUUGGGUUGAUUUUCAUUUUUCAAGUUAUGAUUACAUUUUUCUGGAUUUUUUCUUUUGUGAUGAUGCAGGUUGUUUGGAUAUGGGAUCGGGAUACAUCUUCUGCAAUCAGAGGAUCCAGAGAACUUGCCAAAGAAAAAGAAAAUCAAUCCCAAGGACAACCACAUUUCUUUCCAGGUUAAUUUCUUUCUUCUUUUUUUCAUGUAAAUAUUUGUUUCAAUUCAAAUACUCUGAAUUGGGCAGAUAAUCCUAAUAGUUUUACCUAUUUGUAAUUUAUUAAUGCCAAUGCAGCAGCUAAGGAUUUGAAUUCUGAUACACCAAGUGGAAAAAAUAAAGAUACCAUGUUAUUUUUCUAGAAUUUGAUCCUUUCUUAUUCUUAAAAACCAAUGAUGAUCAGCUACCUCUUUUUUUAUCCUUUUUUCCAGAGUAAUCAUGUUGGAAUGUUAGUUGGUGGGGAGGAAUAACAUAAUUAGAAACAAUUAAAUAGCUUAGUGUAUGCAUGGCCCUCUUGUUUAUUAAUUUGUUUAUGGUGAUGGAAUUGACAGGAAGAUGAAUCAACUAUAAAUUGAUAAGGAACCCUGGUAGCUAUAGAUUUGCAGCUUAGGUAAUUAAUUUACUAAUUGUAUUCCCAUGUUUAGUGUGAGAGCAUGGGGACAGUGGAGAAGAAGCUGAAGGAAAUGGAUUUGGAAUACGUGCGGGCAAUAGUGGAAGAAGGCGGGAUCUAUGUUGAACAACUGUUCUUCCAUGACCCAGAUGGGUUCAUGAUUGAGAUAUGCAACUGUAAUAACCUACCAGUGAUCCCACUGGCAGGUGAGAUGGCUCGAUCAUGCUCCCGAGUGAAUCUGCAACUGCUGCAGUGUCAGCAGAUACAGCAAGUGGUUCAGCAGUAAGAGCAGCUGCAGGAGCAGAACUAAGUCAUUUGAUUUAGCUGCAUGUUAGUAAAAAUCAUAAGAAAAAAAGCACCCUAUCUGCUUUGUUUUUGUCAUGUUCUUGUCUAACUAUUGUAUGCACAAGUCCCUGUUUUUCUUCACUUGGUUUAGUAGUUUGUUGAAUAUUAUUUAUUUCGUAAUUAUUAAAGACAAGGCCUAGAUGUGAUCCCAAUGGAAGUGAUCAUUUUAUGAGCUUAUUUUAAUUAAUUAAAAAUGGACUAUUCUCUAAAGCUCUUUCUAGUACUUAAAAUUAUAUAAGGCCCCUUCUCUUGUUGUGAAUGAUUUGGGGUAUCAAAAUCUACUACUUUAAUGCACAAGUUGGGACUAGUUUUGAUUGAUAUACAGUGUGAAAUGCCAUUCACAUGAAAGAGUUUGUUGGAAAUCAUGUUAUGAGCACAUAGUCUUAUCCUAAUUUAUUUAUCAUAGAACGAAAAAUAAAAACUUCAUAAAAAAUCACAAUUUGAAUAGGAUUUUGCUAUCUAUCCUUUCAUAAAUUUCGAAUAAUACUAGGAUAUAUAGCUAUCAUUCACACCUCAUUUACGUAUUUAGAUUUGUGUCAAUUUCAGAGUUAUGGUCUAUCACUAGGUUACCUUUACAACAGGUCAUGUUAUAAUGUCAAUCUAAUUUCCAAAUUGGACAAAUUCAUCUCGUAUUAAUUAGAUUCAAGUCUUUAUCCAGAAUAAUAAUUUCAUCUACAAUCAAUCAUGUAAAUGUAGUAUUGAAAAAUCAAAUGAAUGACCGAUAAAGAAUCGAAAAUUAUGAUUGCACCUGUCCAAUGGAAGUUCAUUUUGGAGGGAGAGGAGAGUUAAGAAACCAAAAAAAAAAAAAAAGAAGAGGCCCACAAAAUCUAAAUCCCAACCAAUCUUGAGUCCUGGAUUUGGACGGAAGUUAGCAAAAAGGUUCCUUCCAAUGCUGAAACCUGCCAUUUCUUCCUCUUUUAAGGCAUUGCCAUGCUCUUAAAAUUGAUCAUUGUUUUGGCAUUCAUUUUGGCUUUGGAUUUACGUUUCUUCCCUUCUGUAUCUCUCAUUUCAUACUAUUACUAUUUCUUAACAACUAAGAUGCUUUAGUAAACAUAAUCUCUAUUUGUGAUCAUAAUUUCAUCUAUAAUAUAACUCUAUUAAAAGAAUUCUUGAAGGGAUUAGAGAGUGACAGCUGUUCAAUAUUGUAAAACAAUUAUUUUUAUUUUCUUUAAUAUUAUAAAAUAAUUAUUUUACCUUUAAAUAAAUUGGCCAUUCGUCCAUAGGUCUUAGAAUUGGUAAAGGGUUUUUUGUCUUGCCUCUUGCCUGUUUGUGGCUAUUUGGAGGCAACCAGACGAACGGAAGAGAGUUCUUGGUUGAGUUGAUUCUUCGAUUUUUUGUUCAUGAAUAAGCGAUCCAAAGAAAAUUUGAAAUUAAAAUGACAGAAACCGCUUGUCUCAUCCCUAAAUUCUCAACCUACGCAAGGCCAAAUUCAUUCAUCUUGGUUGGAUGCUAGGACUUCUGUCUCCCCCUUACCGUAAUGCGAUCUUGCAUUUUACUUUCUCGAUUGGCGGCUGAUUUCUUUGCUUUUUAUUGGAAUGUUCUUGUCUUCUUGCAACACUGUGGUUCAUCAUCUAUGAAUUUGAAUGAAAUUUCUCUCUUGGUGAUGGAUGGAAAAUAGAUGGAAAAUGGGUCUCAUGUGUUUUCUAUAUUCAGGAAGCAGAUAAUUGCUAAAUUACAAUUAAAAUGUUAAUAAUAAAAAUUAAAAAUAUAUGAAAAGAAUUUUUAAAUAGAUUAUAUUUUAUCAUCUGUCUAAUAUUAUAGAAUGAUCAUUUUACCCUUUAAUGAAAAUAAAAUAACUUAAAUGCAUGUUAAUAAUAAAAAUUUAAAAGUAUAUUAAAAGAAUUUUCAAAGAGGUUAUAUUUUGACACAUGUCCAACAUUAUAAAAUGAUAAUUUUAAGCUUUAAUAAAAACAAAAUAACCUAUAAUGUAAAUAAUAAAAAUAAAACAAUAUGAAAAUAGAAAAAAAAAUCAGAUCUACAUAUUUUAGAAUCUCCAAAAGUACUAUAUUGCAACAUUAGUCUAGCAUUGUGACAUGAUCGUUUUAUCCUUUCUAACGUUAUAAAAUGAUCAUUUUACCCAUUAAUCAAAAUAAAAUAAUUUAAAAUAUAAAUAACAAAAAAAUUAAAAAAUAUAUUAAAAGAUUUCCCAAAAAGUUAUAUUUAGACAUCUUUCCAACAUUAUAAAAUGACUAUUUACCUUUUUCAAAAUUAUAAAAUGAUUAAUUUACUUGUUUUAACAUUAUAGAAUAAUCAUUUCAUUUUUUAAUGAAAAUAAAAUAAUAAUUAAAAAAUAAAAAAAAUACGAAAAUUAGAAAAAAAAUAUAGAUCUAUAAAAUUUGUGUAGAUUAAAAAUUUAUAUUUGAAUUCGACGAUCUAAAAGAGAACCAAACGACGCAUUUUGGAAAAAAAAAAAAAAGUUAUCCUUUUACGAAAUGGUGGGGUUAAUAAGGACCCGUUUGAUUCCAUCAGAUCGAAGCAAUGGAAUUCAAUGGGAUUUUGACCUCCGAUUGCACCGUGGUUCGUAAGAUGCAUUUAGAUAGCGCUGAUGCUGUUGGAAGCUUCUGCACUGCUUUUUAGUUUUUUAUUAAAAAAGAAAGGAUCUAGUGAUUUACUAAACUCUAGGACAGUCAAAUGCUUUAACGUAUACGGUUUAAUGUAAAAUUAAAAAAGAAAAGGAUUUUCAACUAUAUAAUAACUGCUUUUAAAAUAGGGAUAUCCUUCUUUUUAAAAGAUUAUCAUUUGAAAGACAUGGAAAACAGAGAUGGAGAUUACAGAGGGAAAGCAGACAAGAAUUCAUCAUGAAAAUUACUACAAAUUAUACAAAAAAAAAAAGCUUGUAUUAAUUUAAUUAUAUAAUAUAUGACGAUAUUUUCUUUUACAUAUUUUCAACUUUCGAUAUCAUCUGUAUAUAUUCAUCCAUAAUAGAUAAAAUACAAUCCAAAAAACAGAUUAAUGAAACAAAUGGAAGAAGCUAGCACAGAAUACCAGUGCAAGGUCUUAAAGAUAAAAGAAAGGGCAACCGAUCAGAGUCCUCUUACCAACAUUUGCUCAUAAUUCUCAAUGGAUUCCAGCCUCUGGAGCAAAAGUUGGUGCCUGAAUUUCUGGAUGAAUGCCUCAGCACUUUCUUUUAUGUCGACGAAUGGCUUUUUCUCUGUGACAUUGGACCUCAUGGCUCUAUGAUCUUUCAAGUUAUGGACAUUUGGUUCUGGAAAUUUGGAGUUGUGGUAUGAAUGAGGCAUGGAGCUAUUCUUCAUGGUAAUUGCAAGAUAGCUUUCUCUAAUUCUUUCUUCCUUGCACAACUCUCUUUGUUGAUAAGAUGAUGGUUUGGCUUCCCAUAUUUAUAGCUAGGAAGUCAAACAAAAAAUGGGUUAUUUUAAUAGGCUGUGAUACCAUCUUACAUUUUUUAUGUAGAAGCACGCCUUGCUAGAAUUUUCAAGUAAAAGUUAUCAACAAGCUAAAGUUACAGAUGGAAGACCUUUUGGGAGGAUAUGCUAUUUCGAAAAGCAUAUAUAUAUAUAUAUAUAUAUAUAUAUAUAUGUGUGUGUGUGUGUGUGCUUUUUUUUUAUAACUAGUGCAAAGAUCUUCCAAAAAUCUAAUAGUCAUGCUUAGUAAAAUGAUGCAUUUUUAACACCUCAGACUUGAUUUAAUGGUUCACUGAUAUUAUGUCAGAAGACAUAGUAUGGACAUUAUGUUUUAUUCACUGAUAUUAUGUAAAUUAAUACCGUAAAAUCUUAAAUUUCUCAAAAUUUUUAGUAAAAAUGUCGAGAAUCAUAAUUAUAUAUAUUUAUAUAAAAUCUAAUAAUAUAUCUUAUUCUAAAGAGAAAACUACGAGAGACUAAUUCUAGCAAUUAAGGGUUGGGAUAACAAUACUGGGGAGUAUUACUGCCUACUCUGACCAUCUUUUUACUUUGAAGAAAGAACUAACUUGUAAUUUUCUCACACGCAUUCAGGUAGUCAAAGUUAAAUGAAAAUUACGGUUUAAGCGAUGACCCAGCCGAUUGAGGCCCCAACGUACCCUUUCAAGGCACCAUUGUUGGAGAUCUAAGGACAAAAUAUGAACUUGCGUUUCUAUAGAUUUACAUAUAAUUAUUGUUAGAGAUCAUACGUGUUUUACGAAAAGAAAUAUAGUAUAAAUUGGAAAGGCAGCUGCGUAAUUAAAAUAUUAUAAUAUUCUAAUCAUCCUAAUUAAUUUGCCUUAAGUUUCCAACCUAACUCUACCUAGCCUUGAUACUCUGACCGGGUCCCAAGUAUCAUACUUUUGUUUGUGAAAUGGCACCACCAUGUUCCCACCUUGGGCUUACAUCAAUGGAGGAUACACUCACACAGUCAUAUUCAUCUUCAAUUCAGAAUUUUGUUUUCAAGAUAUCCAUAAUAUAAAAAUUAUUGAUAGAUUUAUUAAUUUUAUCAAUUAAAAAUAUGUUCAAAAAAAAUUUUGAAAAAAUUUGAAUUUCCUUAAUUUUUUAAUUUUUAAAAUAUUCUUAGAUCGUUGAAUAUUUUAUUUGUACAUAUGGAUGUAUCAUCAUUAUUCAUCGUAAUGAACGUGAUAUUUUAAAAAAACCAAACUAAUAGAGUUUGCAUAGGAUAUUUGUUUUUGCAAAUUCUAUUCACCUACAACAAUCAUAAACACUAAACAUUACCCCCAACCCACCUUUUUUUUUAUAAUUUUUUUAUGAAACGCAUCAUCCUUUAAAUCAACAAUGACCAUAAUUUACCCUCCCAUUAAAAACACAUAUGAAGUUCAGACAAAUCUCUACCAAAUUGAGUUUCAAAGAAAUGCCAAAUCUUACAUCCUUUUGCUUAAUAUUAAUGCAUCCUUUCAUCCCUUUCACAAGCUACCUCAAAUCCGUAUCCAGGAAAACCUUCCUCAAGUCGAACUCUACCACAAUUUCAAAGAAACAUUUUGGCUUCAAACGAAAUAAAAAAAAAAAAAAAAGAAAAGGACUUCUUUUUGUUCUAACUUUUCUAUACGUAGCAUGCUUCUUACUUUUUUAUAUAAUUUAUUAUAAAAAAUUAUUUUAUACAUAAAAAGUGAAACUAUGUUAUAAUUUAAGAUUAAUUCUAUUAAUAAGGAGAUGAGUUUCAUUUUCUUGUCAAUUACAUAUCAUUCAUUAUGAAAAGUACUUCGAAAAUAAAAUUACAAAUGUAUCAAUUGACAUGAAAGAAUGUACUUUUAAAAUUAUCUGUAAAGAGAAUUAAAUUAAUGUAAAGCCUUAAAAUACGACUGUACUAUCAAAAUCAAAAUAUUUUUUAUUACGAAAAUCAAAUGGAUUUAUAACGUGACUUUGGAAUCCUUACUUUCUACCUAAAAGAAAAAAGAUGGAUGUUUUUAACCAUAUCAGUAACUGCGAGUCCAAGUUCUAAACAGAUUAACUUGGAUAGAGAAAAGUUCAAAUGAAACCCAAGACAAACUGAAGUCAAGCUCGAAUUCAGACUCAAUCUCAGAAUCCAAUAAUGAGUAAACAGUGACCAAUUCGGCUAUUACCCUUAAACCAUUUUGCUUGAAAAAAACUCCACUUAAACCGUAAAAGUACACUGUUCGACUUGGUAACUCUUCCUCAAAUCCUCAAGGCUAAUUUGGCAACUGUCUUUCUGAAGGUUAUUUGAGGUAAGAUGCAGAAAACGAUUUCCAAAAGUCCAUAAUUUUUAGUAAUGCUUUUGUUUCUGUCAACCUGUCUGUCACUAAUGCCUAGUAUCUCAAUAAUCAGUGACAUUUUUACGUUUGUCUUUUUGUAAAUUUUGAUUUCAUCAAUGAAAAUUAUAUGGAUGUUGCUUCAUGGUUCAUACCAAUUUGAUAGGUACAUAAAAGAGUUGGUGACAUUUUUAAAAUUUCUGGUAGAACCUUGACAUUGUGGUUACACAGCUUUAAAUUAUCGGUGGUUGUAAUCUCUUAUCGUUACUGUCAUCUUGCAGUAUCGAUGGAUUCAAAGCAGUUGUGCAACGACAUCUGGUUUGGAUCGUGAUUGCCAGCCUAUCAAAGUAGAUGCUUCAGGCUGGCAGGCACGCAUUUUGCAGCAUGAUCAGUGUGAUCAUUUGGGUGGAACGCUAUAAGAUGGUUCCCAUAACUUUCAAAACUGUUCAAAACUUGGAGAUGCCUCUUGCUGAAGCUUGGUGCCCGCUAUCUCAUAUUUUUACAGACAAAUCCAGUCGAAGGAUGAUGCACAACAAAUGAGGCAAAUAUAAAAACUAGUCUAUGAAGCUUCAAAGUAAUAGAUUUUGUUAUUUGCUAAGACCUCUCGUUCGAGUUGAAAGCAUUGGAGUUCUUUGAAUGGAAUGCAAAGUCUAUUCAUUUCACGGUAUUCUAAACAGUUGGGUUUGAGUUGUUCAUUCACUGUGGCUAGCGGUUGAAUGCUCGAUCCCCUAAAUUCAUGGUUUGUACUUUUGUAUGUAAAGUUUAUUGAAAAUACACUUUCCAUAAUGUAACUUGAUCAUAUUUUCACAUUCUGCGGAACUAAUUAUAUUCUUAAUUAAAAGUACUAGAGCCAUUGCCUUUUAUUCAUGGCCGGCGUGAUAAGCUAAAUAUACAUGGCUGCAAAGACAUUUUAUCGUUGCCACUAUCUGCUUCGGUACAAGGACAAUAUCUUUGGAUUUGUACUCAAUCCUGGUCCCAUGAUUACCACUAGAAUGCAGCCAAGUAACUACUAUUCGGGAUUUUUGUUUUGUUCGUAUGUUUAUUUAAAAAAAAAACCGUAAAUUUAUAAAUAAAAGAUAAAAUUAUCGGGCGUUGAAAUUUAAAUUUUAAAUUUGUUAAAUAUUAUUUUUUAAAAGAAAUUAUAUGAAUUAAUUAAAUUAAUAAGUUAAUUAUGAAUAUUUCAUUCUAAACAACUUAAAAUCUUUAUUAAAAUCCCACUUCACUUCUUUUAUCACUUGAUUUCGCACAAGUGCAUGGUCACUAUUGUAAUCAGCUAUCAUUAUCAUAAAAUGAAAGUUAGCAACUUAAGUGGUGUAGUGGUGACAUAUGUUGACAAAGAAACAGAGAAUUUAUCAAUAUUUAAGAGUAGUAUUGCGAGAAUUAAAUUUUGGGACCAUUUUUGGAUGUUUGAUGAUUUCUUUUGGAACUUUGUGUUUGGGCUUUCAUUAUUAUUUUUCUUCUUAUUUUGAAUAUAAUUUUAUACUCUAUAAUUUUUUUGUUUAUUUAAUGUGUUAAUUUUAAUUUUUUUAUGAUUUAAUUUAUCUUCAUAUUAUGCUUAUUUAAUUGACUCAUUCCAAAAUUGAUGAUUUUUCACCUAAACUAUGUUAUUUCAUGAAGAGAUAUUUUAAAUAUUAUUUGUAGUUUAUAAAUGUUUUUAUUAAUGUUCUGGCUUAGUGAGUUAAUGGCAAAAAUUAGGUUUUAGAAUCUUAGAAAUCUUAAGUUCAAGUUUCAUUAUAUAUAAGUUUCGUUCAAUUUUAUAUUGAAUUUAUUUAAUAAUAUUCUAAUUUAUUAGUUGUUUAUUUAAUGAUUUCUUAUAUAUAAAUGUAAUAUUGAAUUAUAAUUAUAAAUUUUCUUCUAUUAAUUAAUUCCCAUUGAAAAAAUAAAGCAUUAGAAAUAAAAAAAGACUAUAUACAAAUAAAAAAGUUGAUAGUGCUCCUCUAUCCAUUUGUCAUAAAUGCUUGACCUGAGAUGCUAAGAAGUUAAUGCAUGUAAAAGAAUUAAGAGCAAAUUGGGGGCAAGGGUCCACUCUCCCCUGUUUGAUGAUCCCCUGAAUUCCUGAAAUUUUCUGCCGAAGAAUAACAGAACAGAACAGAACAGGGGAGAGAUUCUCUUGUAAACUUACCCUUUUCCCACAAAAUGAGACAUAGAGCUCCCGAACACCCUAGAAAUUUUUGAAACCUACUGGAAAAGAAUCUUAAGGAAUCCAAAGGAAAAAAGAAUAACCAAAAAAAAAAAAAAACUUUUGUUCUUAUUCGGGAAAACACAAAAAUAAAAGUAAAUCAAAUCAAACCCAAGAUGCCAAAGGUGCCUUACAAUGAGAAAGAAAGAGAAAAGAGUGUGGAAUCAAGAUUUUGCCUUUCGUACAUGUGAAAAUUGUCUCAAGAAAACCAAAUAAAACAUUUGCAGAUUAAUUUAAUUACUUCCACCCAAACCACAAAUCUGAAUGAAACAGAAACAAGAAACAUUAUCAGAAUAAAAAAAAUCAAAACUUUAAACUUUAAACACCCCCCCCCCAAAAAAAAAAAAACAAAGACAUCCAUCUGUUUAAAAAAAAAAAGAAACUUUAAACUUUCAAAGAAUAAUCUUUUUUUUUCUAUAAGUCCCACAUCUCAGUUCAUUGAGAUGGACUUAAACUUAAACAUAAACCCCCUAAGUUCACCGGAAUUCCUACCUCCGGUCACAGCAAAAUACGAGGAAAAGAACAGACAAAAACCUAUCUUGAUCUACGCUUACCAGGCCUUUUCAUAUGAAUAUGAUUCUUGGUUUGUUUCCCGAAAGCACUGCAAAACCACAAGUUGAAACCUUUGGAGAAGGUGGCUCAAUAGCAGCGGAUACCUUACCAGUACGGUAACCUCGUCUUUGACCGUUAGAUUGGCUUCUUUCAAUGGUAUUGAUUGGUCCAAUAUUUCUUAUCGGCUUAACAUCUUUAAUAACGUCAAUCUUUUCUUGGUUAUUGUCUUGCAGCUAUCCUUGUUCUUCUUGCUGUAGUUGCUUUGUUUUUUCUUCUUGUUGUUCUUGUUUUACUUGGUUUAUCUCCUCUGACAAAAACCUGUCAUCCCAAAUAAGCCGUGAAGAUUCUUGCCUCCUAAAAGACACUGCAGAUCUUUGCAAACCAGCCAUGGUAGAUGACAGCUGGAUUUUUUUCUCUUUUCUCUCGCUAAUGAAACUAGAAGCUUUCCUUCUAUAAAUUCCAAUUCGCUGUAAAAUGUAAAUAAACCUUUAUAUAUAAAGAGAGAGCAGGAUAAAGAAAUCUUGAAGAUUUAGUUAAGAAAAAGUCAUACUAAGGCAACUCAGUCAAUAUUUCCAAGUUUUUUCAUAAAAAUAAUUUUCUGGUAAAGAUUGUUUUUCUUAUAGCACUAUAAUCUUUUAUAAUUAGAAAUUAAAAUAAUUUAACUAAAUAUUUGUAAAAAGUUGAGAUAUAUAUAUUAAUAAAAAUAAAAUAAUGAUAAAUUAUAAUUAGUUUUAAUUCAAUCAAAAAUUCUAAAAUAACAUAUCUUGAAAAGGUAUACUUCUCUUCUUUUUAUCAUAGAUCGUAAUUCUUUAUCUUCUUAUCAUUUGAAUUAAAUAUAUGAUGCAGUUAUAGUAAAAGAUAACUAUUUGUUUAAAGGUGUUAAGAAAUGUCUAAAAGAAACUUUUUUGUUUACGAAUUUUGUUAACUAAUAACCCGGUGAAAGUAUAUUAUUGUACUGACAAUACUUCAUAACCUUAGCUCUCUAAAAUUGGAACUGAAUUUAGCAACAAGGUUGGUGAAGAAAGCAGAAGGAAAAAUAAAAGGGAGAGAUUCCAUGGAAUAUAGACACACAACUGCAAAUUAGGUAAAGAAAGAAAGAGAGAAGGGAAAAAUCUAAAAUCAAAACCAAAAGAUAUAAAACAAGGAAGAAAUAAAAAAAAAAUUAAAAAAACUAUAAAAUAAAAUUUGAAGAGCAUUUAUUUGUGUGCGAAGUGAAUAAUCAUGGUGCAUGAUUUUAUAUUUUCGAAUCGAUCAUUUAAAAAAUUUUGCCUAAAAGAUAAAGAUUUGAAAAGAGAUGAAUAGUUAUUUUAAAAAAAAAAGAAAUAGAUGAAUACUUCUUUGUUGGCACAAAAAAGAGAGAUUAUUUGGAGGUGGAUUGAAACUCCAAUACUCUCUAGAUCUACUCCAAAAGGUGCUCAAAAUUUUUUGGUGCCCUCAAGAAUCUAGGAACAUUCUAUGCUUGGCCUCAAAACCCGCACCUUUUCAAUUAAUGGUUUUUGGUUUUGAUAAAUAGUAUCAAAUAGCAAGGUAAAUUUAUAUUUGCUGUUAGGGCAUGUUACAGUGUUGCAAUGAUUGUCUUUUAUUUGAUAAAUUUUUUGCAUUUUUUAAGAGAUAAAUAGUUACAAUGAAGAAAGGGAGAGAAGGUUAAAAAAGAAAGUGAUGUGGAAUUUCAUGUUGACAUCAAAUUAAAUUGUAUGAUACUAUCUGUUUUUAAGAAUAAAGUUUAAAAGUAUCCCACUUAAAGAAAUAAGAUAUCUAAGUACCUUGGUUUGGGAAAAAAACUCAGUCAAUAUUUCCAAGUUUUUCAACAAAAUUAUUUUCUGUAAAGGGGAUUGGGUUAAAUUAUGAAUUAAAAUAUUUAACUAAUUGUAAAAGUUUAUGCUAUAAAUUUAAUCAUGCAAAAUUAUAAUAUAAUUAUUUAUAUUUUGUUGACUAUUUUUCUAUCUAGUAUAAUUCAGAUUAAUAGGUGGAUCUAAAUUGUGAUUAAGAUAGUAAUUAGUUUUUGUAACAUUAAUGGUCUGACCUUAAUUCACAAAAAUCCAUUUGCGUGAUAGAUUAAAAGGCUAUCAUCAUAUUAAAAAGUUCACUUUAUAACUGGACAUCCAUCCAUAAAAUGUAGCAAAAAAUCUAAAUUAAAUAAUUAUGGGGAAUAUAUUUAUAAGAGUAGUUAACUCUAAAAAGGAUACUAUUUUAAUUUUAAGUGAAUGUUUGGUUUACGAGAUUAUAAAUUGAAUAGAAUAAAAUUAUAUAUGGUAAGAUUAUAUUAAAUAAUAUUAUCUUAUUUUAUGUUUAUUAUGUGUAAGGAUUAAAAUAUAAUAAUUUUAUUUAUUGAUCAAAAUUAUUUUUUAAAUUUAUACAAUUUAAAUUAUUAAUAUAAUUUUUAAAGAUAUAAUUGGAUGAUUAAUCCUCAUUAUAAUUUUAUAUCAAAAGGAUGAUUAAUCCUCCUUACAAUUUUAUCCUUUUCUUUAAAUACAAACUAAAUAUAACAUAAUAUAAUUAUCAUUAUAUCCUAUCAUCAUCCUAUAUACUAAACAUUACCUUAAUUGACUAUAGUAAAGAUUUGAAGAAGAUACGAGAUAUGUUUAUUUUGUUGUUGGGAAAGAAUAUGAAAUUCUAGAUCAUAUAGAAGAAUUUGGAAAAAUCUCAACCUAAAUGAAACCUAACAUAUUUUACCCUUUACUUCUUUUUAGUUUUAUGAUUGAAGGCUUAAAUUUAAAUUUUAUUGUGUGUGGAUUUGGUUAUUUAAUUAUAUUUUAAUUUGUUAGCUGAUUAUUUUGUAAUUAUAAUUUAAUUAUAAUAUAGUAGUUGAUUAUUUAAUCCAUUAUAUGAAUGUAAUAUUUGUAGCAAUCUAAAAAAAAUGCAUGAUCAAAGGAUAAUAUUUUUAUUGAGGACCAUGCCGUCAUGGUCCUCAAGAGUGCUCAAUUGAUCAUGAUACAUAUAUAUACAAGAGAUCUUUUAUUUUUUAAUAGUUAUAUAUAAGAGAUCUUGUUUACCAACCAUCUUUUUGGGGGAAAAUUAUCUUGAAAAAGAUAUAGUCAAAAGUCUUCUGCUAAUGGGCACUAACUGUCGAACUAAUCUAUACUCAACAAGUCAACUAAUUUAAGCUAAAACAGAAAUUUAAACACUAACCUCUAAGUGGGUUCAGUUGAAACCCACUGAACUGAAGGUGUCCGAGCCACUGCUGGAGGGAGGUGACUUUGUCGAUGCCGCCUAACUCACCGGUGGUUGUUGGCUUCAUGGUGGUCGGUGAUGCAUUGAAGGGGAUUUUUUGGUCGUUAGAGAGACACUUCCUCUCUAUUUCCUUUCUUGAAUUGAAAUUAGUUUUUUUCUUGAUGGGCCAGAGAACUACUAUAUAAGGAGGAAAGCGGGAGUCCAUUGUUAGCAAAUCUUACACUAUCCCAUUAUGAUUUUAAUUAAAGUAGUAAUUACUCAUAAUUUAAUUAAAAUCAUACUACAUGAUUGGAUAUGUCAUAAUAUAGUAUCACUAUAAUUAGUAAUUGAUUUGAUAUUAACCAAAUUUAAUCCGGAUCUAAAUAAUUUUGUUAGUCCAUCAACAUGAGAUUACUACAACACCAACUUGACAUAGCUUGGUUCCUACGUUAAUAAGUUUUGGCACAUUGUUAAUGCUUAAUAUAAUUGCUUGUAGCUCCAGUAAAAUAUCAAGAAAGGAAAAACUUGGAUCAUUCAGUUCGUCGAAUAAGCCAGACUUCUUAUUUAAUUGUUCUAAAAUUUUUAUGUGGUAUGUUGGUUGGAUAUGAUCAAUUCAUUGUACAAAAUGCCACCCAAAAUUUGUCUGUGAAGCACGUUAUGAGUUCAACUUUCAUUUAUAUACAUCUUUGUUUGAAGACAACAAGCAAAUCAGCAUGCUCUAUCAAACCCAGACUUGAAAGUUAGCUAAAGAAUUGGCAACUAGGUUUUGAAACAUGAUAAUAAAUUUAUAAUUAGCUUGAAAAGUAAGUAAAAGAACUGAUAUAUCAGAAUUUAAGUAUCUGAGCCUGGUCCGUUAACUCUGGUAGACAGAGUUUAUGCAUUAAUUUAUUGGUGAUUGCCCUUUAGUCGAUAAAUGAAUUGAGCUUGAGAUGGUAUUAGGUUCACAAUUUGUUAAAUGAAAAGGAGAUUGUGGUUUGAACAAAAAAAAAAAAAGAUUGUGCAGCAUCAGAGAUAGACAAUGUUGUUGGUUUAUAACACAUUGAUUAAGGCUGUUGUCUUUAUUUUUUUGGGUAUCGCAUUAUAAAAGCUUCCUAGUAAGAGUACCUGUUGCAUUUUUGAAACAAGCAUGCAGAUAAUAAUUUGUAUUGUUUCUCCUAACAUGGAAUGUAAAAUUUAUGAUGUGUUCAAGACUUUAAGUCUGUUUUAACAAGUCACACUUUAGUUUCAUGGUGUGGACAAUCAUAACACAGCACAUGUAUGUAUUUUUCACUUUAAUAUUUGUGUGUGUAUGCCUUACACAAAAAAGAUAGAUAUCAGUCCAUGAAAGUUAAAGAUUAGACCUUGACUAUAAGUAUUUUUUUUUUACUACUUUCUAAACUGUCUUAAAGAUUAAAUUUCAAGCCCUGCAUAACCUGAUGAUGAAUAAAGUUGCAUGAGCAUAGAAAAUUUCCAAUCAUGUGGUUUAUUACAGCACAAAUUCAAGCUCUAUGAGUUCAUUAAAGGUAUGAUUCUCUUACCAAAAGAAGAAAAAAGAUAAUCUUGCAACAAACAUGCAGAUUUUUCAUUAUCAAGGAAAAAUAAUCCAUGAUGAAGAGAAGCAAUCAUUUGCAAUUCGAAGCUGUUCUUGAUAUUGUAGUUCUUUGCACUUGUAAGUCACUAUGGGGAGAUGUUCAGGGGCCUAGAUUUGAAACAAGGAGCAAAAGCAUUCCUAGUUGUCUCAUCCUUCCAUUCUAAUUCUUUCCACCAGAAUUCCCAUCCAUGAAUGGUAAUGCCACGUCCUUCAGUAUUCUUUGCAUUGACCGAAAGCUUUUUCGGUUUUGGCCACCCAAAUAUGGAGAUUUUCUUGAGACUUAAAAAUAGAAAGGGUUCCUAAUAGAUGCAUUUUAGUUCUGGUAGGUAAGACAAAUGAAGAACUUCAAGCUUUUCAAAUGGCUUAAUACUUUCCUACUUUAUUUAGAAGUCCUGCACAUUUGGCUGUGCUGAUUAUUUCUUUGAUUUGGGAGCAUCUUGAUAUGCAAAGACUAGCAAGGUUUGGGGCAAGCAUGAGCCAGUCAAAUCCCCCAAUUGCAUACAGUUGUCUACACUUACUCUUUAAAGACCAUUGAACCAUCUGUCCUUUAAGAUCAUAGAGCUGUGGAAAUCAACAGAUGUUAGUUUUUUUCUUUGUUCCUGCAACCAUGUUUCAGCUCUUCUAAACUCUUACAGUCUGAGAUAUCUAGCAUAUUGAGAUGCUUCAUAUCUACUAAACAUGAAAUAUUUAGAAUAUUUGAAGCACUUAAAAACUAGAGGCAUAGGUUUUGACUGCAGCUUUUGUGUGGGAGCUUAAAAGUCCUUCAAGUGCAAAAGCACUCCUUAUUGUGAGACUCAACAUACUCAAUUGUUUCAAACACUGCAAUUCCUUGACAAAGCACUCAUUUAUUUCCCCUUGAUAAAAUAUUACUUUGCAUAAUCAUAUCAGAUGAACCGCAAUUAAGCAUUCUCAACACUUUUAAGAAUGGAAAGAUGGAUAACAGUUGGCAUGGAAUUGUAUUUAAUACAAAUGUAUCAUCCAAGUUCAAAUAUUUUAGCUUUUGGAGGGACUUGAGCUCAUUUGGCAACUGGCUUAUACUUGUCUUGGAUAGAUUGAGAUAUUGUAGGGAAACAAGUUUUGAAAUUCCCUGGGCCAGUUCAGUUAUGCCACUAUUACAGGAUAGGUUUAGCACUCUUAGAUUAGGCAUAGAUUGGAAGAAGUCAUUUGUGAUUGUCUUUAAUGUGUUUUCAUUGAGAAACAAGGUUAGCAGGUUGGGACAUGAAGUUGUUUCGAUUAAACUCCCAAAACAAUUUGCCAUCAGUGAUAUCCUUCUUACUGCUUCUUAUUUUCUGAUCUUUGGUGCUUCAAUGAAUCAAACACCUACUUGCACCAAAACACCUUCCUCAAAAUUAUUGCACUCAUUGGCUAUCCACGGAGCCAUAUCACGAAUCACAUCAUGCAUUUUCACAUAAUGACCUUCUUUUUCCAAUAAACAUGCAUACACAAGUGUCCCAAUUAUGUCAUACCUUUGGUUUUGAGCUCCAUUUCUGUCAUUACAUUCAUCUAAAAGACCCUCACAAAUCCAAUAAUCUAUUAAAUCAAUUUUGUGAAUAACAAAUUCUUUUGGAAAUAAAGUACACUAUAAGAAGCAAGAUCUCACUUUCUCAUUAGGUAAAUGAUCAAAAUUGAACUUUAAAAGAGGAAAAACCUUAUCCCCCAUACUUGAAAAUUUUAAGGCACAUUUUCUUAAAAUCUCAAUUACCUAAAUCCAUUCUUGUGGUGUCUUCUUGCAGGUUACGGCUCGACCAAUGGUGAUAAGUGCUAGUGGCAAACCAACAUACUUUUUGGCCAUAAUUUUCGCUAGCAUAGGAAUAUCUGGAUGCAGGUUGAGAGUAUCAUUUCCAAUCUUCUUCUGAAACAAACGCCAAUCAAAAGAUGGUGGCAAACACUCAACUUUGAAAAUUUUGUGGGCUUCCAUCAGACCACACACCUUUUUGGAACAUGUAGUGAAGAUUACCUUGGAGUUAUUUUGUUGGUGUAGGAUAAGAACUCCAAUUUUUGUUAGAUCAAUUCGGUCCCAUAAAUCAUCCAACAACAAAACAAAAAUUCCUUGUACUUAAGACUUUGUACAUGUCUAUAGCAUUUUGCUCAAAACUUUUAUUUCUCCACCUAUCUUCAGAAUAUCCUAUCUUUUCCCCAAUCUCUUUUUGAAUCUUUUCAGGUUUUAGGUCUUUAGAAGCCAUUGCCCAAAUCACAAAAUCAACAUUGCUAAGAUGGCUGAGGAGCAUGUUGUUGAUUUUGUUAGGCCUAAAGUAACAAACACAACAAUGCGAAAGUAAUAGACAACAAUCACUAAUCUAACAAUGCAAAAAAAAAAAAAUAAAGCACACCAAGAUUUACAUGAAAAGCUCUCUAGUGUAGAGGGAAAAAACUUCAUACUAUUAAAAAAAAUCUCUAUUAUCAAAUAAUAGAUAUACAAAGUUCUCCUCUAACUAAAACUAAAGCUAAUCAAUAACUAAAGAGACAAUUUGAGAAAUCUCACCAAACAGGUGACUCAACAAAUAUACCUUGGUUUUGUUCCUAAAAAGUUUUAAACUUGAUAUUUACUAUUUAGAAUAUAGAACUCUAAAUCAUAAAUUUGCUAAUAAAAUUUUAGCUCAAUCGGACUACGGAUUGAUUUUAAUUUAACUAAGUCUCCUUUCUCCCUUUUCUUUCUAUUUUCCUAAAUUUUUUUCUUUUUAUUUGGCACCACACUCUAUCAUUUUACUCCAAAAACAUAGCCCCCUUUUUUUUUUUAUUGUUAAAGGCUUUAUUUUAGGUUAAAAGUCAAAAGUCCAUGGCCUCUAAUUGGCUAAAACAAUUACAUGGGGUUGGACCCCAUGUAUUCUUAACAAUCUCCCCUUCUAGCCCCAUUAAGAGGAGAUUCAACACCAUAGUAGUUUUCAUUUGGAAUUUACCUUUGGCCAAAAAACUCAUUUUGACCAAGUUACUACAAAGUUAAAGCUUUUCCUUGAGAAGUAUCUUAGUCAAUAUAUCUACUACAUUCUUAUUAGUAUGGACUUUUUUCAAUAGCAUUUGUUAUUCUCUAAUCACUAAAUGUAACCAAUGAUAUCUACCAUCAAUGUGCUUCAUUUUAGCAUAGUAUAUAGCAUUCUUACUCAAAUUUAAAGCACUUUGGCUAUCAUAAAAUAUCAUAUACUCUUUCUGAUUCAACCCCAAUUUAAGAAGAAAAUGUUUCAUCCAAAGCAUUUCUUUACCUACUUUUUUUGUUGUAAUAUAUUUAGCCUCUAUAGUUGACAAGACAACAAACUUUUACAACUUAGACUACCAAGACAUAGCCUCCUACAAAAGUGAACAAAUACCCUAAAGUAGAUUUCCUACUAUUAAAAUCACUUGUUAUGUCAACAUCAAUAAACCCUUCUCGAACUAGUUGUGAAACUCCAUAACUCAAGCACAUUUUUGAAAUGUUUUUCAAAUAUUUAAAAAUCCAUUUCACUACUUCCCAAUACACCUUUCCUUGAUUAGAAAAAAAUUUGUUCAUCACACUAACUGCAUAAGUAAUGUCAAGCCAUGUGCAAACCAUAAGAUAUAUCACAGAACCAAUUACAGAAGAAUAAGAAAUACUAGAUAUAGUUAGUUGCUCUUUCUUAAUCACUGAAAAAGAUUUCUUACUCAAUUAUUAAUGGCAAUGACUGUAAAUAUUUAGCGUAUUGCAUGUUUGAAUCUAUAAACACCUUUUUCAACAUACUUUUCAUGUACAACCACAGCUUGCUAUUUUAUCUUGAUAAAUAUCAUAUCGAGAAAUCUAUUUUGCUAUACUAAUCCUUCAUAUCAAAAACUGAGAUAAUUAUUCUUUCAAUAGGCAUAACAUUACAGCAUUUUCCACAACAAUACAAUUGCAUCAAUAUAAUAAAAGAAUAAUGAAGUUACAAAUAAAAAUUUUUUUAAACAUACACUAAGGAUUUCUACUUUCUUUAUAGCUAUGUGCUAUUAAAAAAGAAUCCAACUUUUAUUCCACUGUCUAGAGUUUAGCGGGCAUACAAGUUUCUAGUUUGCAACUAUGUCUUUCGUUUUACUUCAAAACCCUUAGGCUGAUCCAUAUAAAUGUCCUCUUGUAAGUUACCAUGCAAGAAUGUAAUCUUGACUUCAAGUUGCUUAAGCUCACGAUUCAAGCUAAUUGUUAAUCCUAGUAUCACUUGAAUGGAACUCAUCUUCACAACUAGAAAGAAUAUCUCAUCAAAAUUGAUGCUAGAUUUUUGAUAAAAACCUUUCACCACCAAUCGAGCUUUCUACCUCACUAGUUUUUCACCAUCUUUUUUCAAUUUAAACACACAUUUUUUCUUCAAUGGCUUCCUAUUUUUUUAAAGUUUAACAAGAUCAUGUGUAUUAUUUUUUCACAAUAACUUCAUCUCUUCUUUCAUUAUUUUUAACUAAUGCUCUCUAUCCGAAAGAGUUUGUACAUCUUAAAAGCUAUUUGGUGCCUUCUUCACUAAUAACUAAAAUAAAAUUUGAACUUAGAUACUUGGUAGAUGGCCUAUGCUUUCUGGUAGAUCUUCUAGGCUAAGAUUCUAUACUACAUGAUUUUGAAGGUAGUACCCCUUGCUCAACACUCUCUAGUGGAAAGGACUGUUCACCUUAUUUAACAUUUUUAGGUAGAUAGCAUUAUUUUCCCUACUCAAAACUGAUUGUAUCUAGCUUAUCACUAACUAUGGUUGGCUCAUUCAUACCUUCAAGUUCUAUCUUUUGCUCAUUUUCAUCAUUUUGUGGCUUUUUUCGGUUGAAUCUCUAUCAAUGUUGAAAUAUCACACUUAACAGUAACCCAUGUAGUCUUUUCAUUUUUCUCAAGGUCUAUUAUGGUUUUUUUUUCAUGGAAAACCACAUCUUUGCUUCUAAUUGACUUUUUUUCACUAGAUCCCAUAUCUUGUAGCUUAAUUCUUUAUCACCAUAUCCUACAAACACACACUGUGUGACUUUACUGUUAAGCUUUAACCCACUAUUUCAGUAUAUGCAUGAAUACUUUACUCACGAAAACUUUUAAAUGAGAGUAUGAAGUAUCUUUCCUUAUCCACACUUUCUGGAAUGUAAAAGCUAAAAGGAAUUAAUGGUGAUCUAUUAAACAAAUAGCAUGCUGUGUUGACUACUUUAUCCCAUAAUGGCUUUGGUAAUUUUGCCAUCUUCAACAUAAAUUUGACUUUUUUCAUAAUGAUGCAAUUCAUCCUUUCAGUUACACCAUUAUGCUACUAUGUUCUAGGUUCUAUCAUCUUAUGUCUGAUCUCAUACUUUGAACAGUAUUUUUCAAAAUCUUUGGAUGUGUAUUCUAUACCAUUAUUAGUCCGAAUACACUUCAAAGGUAACCCUAUUAUUCUUUCCAUCAUGGCAUGAAAUUUAUGAAAAUAUUGCAAUACCUAGCUUUUGUUUUUCAAUAUAUACACCCAACUUUAAACUGAAGCAUCAUCAAUAAAAUUAAUAAAAUACCUGUUAUCACCCAAUCACUUAACUUCAAUUAGACCACAUAUAUUAGAAUGAAUCAAUUCCAAUCUAUUUUCUUUUCUUUGAGAACUUUUGCAAAAGGAAAUUCUAUGUUACUUGCCAAACAAACAAUGAUCACAUAAAUCGAGAGACUUACCUUUGGUUAAGGUAAUGAAAGAUUGCCUUGUUAAAACUUAUAAUCCCUUCUCACUUAUGCAUGCUAGCCUUUUAUGCCAUAAGUUUGCUGAAACAUCAUCCUCAACGGUAUUUAUUUGAAUACCGUUCAAUUGUAUCCAUAUCUUGUACAUUGUGCAGCAUGGUUUUUCUUUUACAAUUACCAUGGAUCUUUUGAAAAGCUUCCACUGCCCAUUCUUUUAUCAACUCUCAUAUAUUUCUUUAUAAAGGAUAUUAAUCGCAAGUAAGUUCAUUCUCAUAUCGAGAAUGUGUCUAGUAUCCCUCAAAGUCAACAUGCAACCUUAUUGAUUUGUACAAAAAUAUCAUCAAUUCUAACAAUCUAUGACACACUCUUGUUUUCCAUCUUGGUAUAACCAAAGUCUUCUACUUUGCAAGUUAUAAACAACUCCUUUUUAGGAACACAAUGAUAUGCCGCUUCUGUAUCAGCUAUCCACUUAAUGUUAGGAUCAACAACAUGAUUAGAAUCACCAUGUGUAUAAAUUAAAGUAACUAAAUCACUAUUUGACUCACUGCUACAACAUUGCCAUUAUCUAAACUCUUGCCUUUUUCAUCUUUUCACUCUUGCAUCAAAAUUUUGUAGUAUCACUUUAUAUGGCAUGGUUUACUAUAAUGGAAGCACUUCAUUUUAUCUUUGGACUUGGAUCUAUAUUUAGACUUACUAUGAGCUUUUAAGUUUUGACCUCUAUUGAUGUUUUUACCCCUGUUCUCUAUGACAAGAGCUUGAUUCUCGGGAUCUAAAUCUUUUCACCUUACUUUUUCAUUAAGCAUAUUGUCAUUUACCAUAUUUAAUGUUACCUUGCAAUCAAGAGUUGAAUUAAGAAGAAUCAUAACUAGAGUAUUUUAAUUGUGGCAAUAAACCCAAAAGAAAGAAUGCCUUCAUUUCAUCAUUCAUCUUAAGUUUUAUAAUAGUCAUUUGAUUAAAUUUAUCUUGAAAACACUCAAGUGCUUUGUAAUCAAUCGUCAAUCCCUAUACUAUAAAGUUGUAACCUUUUUAAUAAGCAUAACUUUAUUCAUGCCUAUUUUCCUUUCAUACAAUACUGUUAAUUUUUGUCAAAUAGUGUGGGCAUCUAUCUCCUGCGCUAAAUGAUGGAACAUGCUAAUAUCAACCCAUUUUUUUAUUGUAGCCAACAUCUUUCUACCUAACUUUUUUCAACUUUCAUGUUUCGUAUCUGCUGGUUUAAUCAAAUCAUCCAAUAUUGGCUCAUACAAAUCUUUGUAGUAUAAAUGAUCCUCUAUCAUUGGCUUUCAAAUUGAAUAAUUUGAUGCUGUUAAUUUUAUCAUGAAACAUGCAUCACCCUCUAUGAUCUCAAACAGAAUUUACUUUAGUCUUGGGUUACUUUUGUGUCAAUGUCUCAAAAUAACUUGCACUUAGAUACCACUUGUUAGGCCUAACAAAUACAACAACAUAGAAGCAAUAUAUCGCAAUAAACUCAUAGCAAUAGACGACAAUCAAUAAUCCAACAAUGUAAGAAAAGUAAAGCACAUGAAAAUUUACAUGAAAAACUCUCCAAUGUAGAGAAAAAAAUUAUGAACCCCAAAAAAAUCUCUAUUAUCAAAUAAUGGAUAUAGAAAGUUCUCUUCUUGCUAAAACUAAUGCUAAUAAAUAACUAGAGAGAUAAUUGAAAAAAUCUUACCAAAUAGGUGACUUAACAAAUACACUGUGGACUUGUUCCUAGAGAGUUUUAAAUCUGAUCUUCACCGUUCAGAAUGUAAAACUCUGAAUCAUAAACCUAUUGACAAAAUUUUAACUUAAUUGGAUCACAAAUUGACUUAUGCUUAACCAACUCUCCCCUAUCCCUUUUCUCUCUAUUUUCCUUGUUUCUUUUCUUUCUAUUUGGUGCCACAUUAUGUCAUUCCAUGCCAAAAACACAACCCCCCUUAUUUUACUGUCUAACGCUUUAUUUUGGGUUAAAAUUCAAAAGCCCAUGGCCUUCAAUUGGCUAAAACAAUUACAUGGGGCUGGACCCUACAUAUUCUUAACAAAUUUGAGUCUUGACAGUAGUUUUGCUAAUGCCUCCCAUUCCAUAUAAACUAAUGAUUCUUGUUUGAUGUUCAUUAAGGCAAUUCCAAAUAGUAGUAAACAUGGACUCCAUGUUACGUCCUGAAACCAAUACGUAACACUGCCAUGUUACUUCAAAAUAAACCCUAAAGUAAUAUGAAGUCUUCUUUCUUAAUCAUUAUAAAAUUCUUCAAUAAACUGAUAUAGUCUGUUAAGUAAAAUUCAUAUAUUUAAUCUAACUAAUGAUGUAUCUCUAUAUAUCCAAAUACAAAUCAUAUAAAAAUACAAAACUAUUUCAUAAGAUCUCAUUGGCCAACAUUGUCUCUAACGACUAAGCAAUCUUUCCCAUUUGAUCUUUUAGCAUUCACAAGACUAAGAAAACUUAUCACUUAGUCAUUUGUAAAUAAAAAGUAAAAAAGGAAUGAGCAAACUAUAGCUCAGCAAGUAUCGACUGAUACACCUUAUUGGAUCAAGCAUCGUUUCCAUACAUAUCAUAUAGAGUAUUCAAAAUAAUCAUCAAAUCAUAAUGUCGAAACAUUUUAAAGGUCAUCAUAUUAUCAAAUAUUUUAUAAAUUCAUAAAUCAAUGUCAAAAUAUGUCACUUCAUAAAUCAUUGCAAAAUAUGCUAUCAUUCAAAUAUCGUAAUCAAACCAAAUCAUGGAUCAAUUAUUAAAAAUCAUUGUAAAUCAUCAUCAGCACAAGUCAUCAUUAUCAUUCGUUUAACGUUAGCUACAGUCAUUGUUAUAACCCAUGACAUUGGCCGUAUUGACAAUUUCAUCCUCAUGAUCAUUGCUAACUAUUAUAACCUAUUAGCUUGGGCCUUAUGCUAACUACUAUAACCCAUUAGCUAAGGUCAUAGAAUUAGUUCUGUGUCGAUGAUCCCACUUUUUAUGGAUGUAAAAACAUCGCUAUCAUAAAAUUGUUCUUUAAACAUAAAUCAUUUUCUUAGUUCAUUCAUAAGAAUGAUCCAUCAUUUAUAUAGUGAAAACAUAAAAUAAUCAUAUGCUUGAUCCUAUUUCAUAUAUCAAAAAUAAUAAAAUAAAACAUUUACUCAUUUAGAAACAUAUAUAUAUACAUAGGUUCGAAAACAAGCAAAAUGUGUGAGAUUUUACUUACCUCUUUUCAAUUUCAACACUUAGUUUUUCUCCCCAAAUAAUUAAUGGCCUAUUUAAGAUAGUUUCAACAUAACAAUAAUUAAUCAACCCAUUUGAGACCACUUAUACCGAAACAAUUAAGUUAAACAAGAAUUAACUCAAGAAACUAAUUCUGACAGCCUGCACUACUUUCACUAAAAUGACCACAUCUUAAGAUAUGCAACUUAGAAUUAAAAUCUUUUUAAUGCGUUAGAAAUUAGACUUGAUAAGCUUUCUAACCAUAUAUCUUCCAUCUCGUGAUUCCUUGUGGAUUAAUUCUAACAAUUUUUUCUAUGCACAUCAUAUGUUGUUGCUAGAUAACCUGUAUUCCUUCUCAUAAAAAUUACGUAUUUAUUCAUAAGAAACUCCAAAUUCAAUUCUGUUUGCUUCAUUGGAAAGUAGACUCAAUAAUAUUUCCAAAUAUAUUUGGCUUAAUUUGUAAAUCCUUGCAUAAAAAUUAAGACAACUUUUGCAAUUAAACCCUGAUGCUACUACCUUACUACAUUUAUAUCCUUAAGCUAAAAUUAGGAACUCUUCAUAGAAAACUCAUAUUUGACUUCCAUUUGUUUCAUUAGAAAACAGAUUCAACAUGCUUUCCAACGAUAUAUAAUAAUCAUAGCAAUAAUUUAUCCACUAAUAUAGAAUCCUAUUUUAAUUCAUUAUUGCAGAUUAUAGAAUCUCAUCUAAAAACAGAAUUUCUCCUUCAAUCUUUAAAAGCUCAAAUCCAUACUUUUGGCCUUUAAACUUCAUUCAAUAAUCAUCAAUAAAUCUUAAGAACAUAAAUAAACAAAGCCCAAUAAUUUACCCAAAUAGAUCAUGAAGAUUAAUGAAAGAUUUCAUAAUUUUUCUUGGUUUUGCUCUCAAAACUUCAACUCCAAAUAAUAACAAUCAAUUUGACAUUUCUUCUUAAAUAAAAAGAGGGCAUAUACUCACCUUUAGGAGAUUAACUUGAUUGUAGCCUCUGAUUUUGAAUCAACAACUUGAUUUUUCAUAUUUCUAACCCUAGGAAGAUGAGAAAGAAGAACUCUUAUUUCUUUUCUGUUUCUCGAUAACUAGGUUUUCUUUCAUUUAAUAACUUAGCCCUUUUUCUUUUACUAAUUAAUCUCUUAAUAAAUUGAUGGGCUUUCAUAUUACUCUAGCGUAAUUAUUAUUUGGGCUGGGGUAUCAUAUUCUCCCCUCCUUAUAAAAAGUUUUGUCAUCAAAACUUGAUUUAUAUCUACAUCUUAUUCAUCCAUUUCUAUAAUCACAUUUCUUACUGUAUGAUUGUUUCAUUAAACUUUGACAAAAGUAAUCAUUUUGCCUCAAAACUUGUUCUUGCCAUUUAACUAUUCAAAAAAGAUAUUUUCAAUAUGUUAAAACCCAUAUCAUCUUGAAUUUCCAAAUACUCAUAUCCAACUAUAUAACUUCUACCAAGAUAGUCUCUUAACAUAGAUUCAUUAUGUACACUGGACAUCGAGGUGACUAUAUUCUUUAUUUUGAAUUUCUUUCACUUUACCAAGAACUUCAAAUGUCCUUACAAUGCAAACUUAACCUUCCUUACUUUAUAAUCCUAAUAAUGAGUAAAAUGAUUAACCACUUGAAGCUAUAAAUCAUAUCUCCAAAUUCUAGUAUAAUCCUUUUGCUUACUUUAAACCAUUCUUUAAUCAACCAAAAUUUAUCAACCAUUUAUUCCAUAAAUUCAAAAAAAAUAAAAGUUUUUCUUCUUUGUCCUUAUCCCAUUAAGUUUAAGACUUAGAUCUACUUCCAUACAAAACCUCAAAAUGAAUCAUUGGAUAUUUGUCUUAUAACUAUUGCUACAUUAAAAAAAAAAUUUUUUCUCUUGAAGUCACGAGAUAAGCACUAUUUAAAUGAAUGUCUAUCAAUGAUAAAGCUCCAAAACUAGAAAGAACACAAAAUAUUCUUAUCCAAAAUCCGUUAGUCCUUAUUUAUUAAAGAUUCAUCAUUUUCUCCGCUAACAAUAGCAUAAAAAACUUAUAACUUAAAAAAAAUCAGGAUUCCACUGUGCACUUUGAUAUUUCGUUCCAAUAAAAUUCAGACAAAAUAAAUUUCAAAACAUUGUUUCAUAACAAGAAAAAAAAUGUCCACAAAUUUUCAUGUAAUUUGCUUUAUGCCAGGUAUUCAAUUCAUAACAACCUUGAAUAACAAUAUCAACAAAUCCUUUAGCCACCAAAAAGAUAUCAUAUAGUACUUAUAAUUUUUUUUCUUUUUUUUCUCCACUAACAAUAUAAAAUUUUCUAUCAAUUAACUGUUAUAAAGCAUAUGAAAUUGAUGCAAUAAAUCAUAUCCAUAAAUUUACAUUAUGUAAAUUUAAACAUAAAUCUUUGGUUACCCAAGUUGUCUCCAAUUUCGAAUAUUGUUUGUUCAAUUUAAUAGACUAAUUAUCAUAUAACAAUUGAUUUUUCAUAAUCCCCACAAACAUCAUAAUGUCUCAAAUUUUCUUUUUACCAAAUAUAUUACUAUCAUCUCCAAGUCAAAGUCAAAACCUAUGCAUCAUAAUCCAUAAGUAAAAUUCUCGUAUAGAAUUUAAACAAUAAGAACUCCAAAUGCUUGAAUUCGUCUUGAAAGUAUAGUUAUGAAAAAUAACCAAAUGCAUCACAUUAUUUUAGAAGUUCUUUUUUUUUUUUAAUUUUAAACUUCUCUAAAAUUGAAUACAUGUUUAGUAUCACCAACUACAUAAAAUCAUCACUUGUAAGAUUUCAAUGAAUCUUUUGCCCUUUAAGAUUUCAAACAAUCAUGCUUAGCCGAAACAUAUAUAUAUUUAGUAAAUCGAUUACUCCUUCAAAACCAACUUCCUUACUAAAUCAUCUUAAUAACCACAAUUUCAAUUUUUAUUCACAAAUUUAAUUUCUUGCUAGGUACACAGCCUUGUACCCCAAUAGGCAAUGUUCUCCAUAAAUAUAAAAUUUGAAGAAUCCAAUAGUAUACUUCAAUUAGAAACUAUAACCACAAAUUAAUCACUUUAGUCAUUAAAAAAAAUUAGUACACCCCAAAUAGCAAUUUAAUGAUCAAACUUCAAAUUAACUAUACAAAUGUCCAACUUGCAUAAUCAAACCUUAAAUACUUUCUCAAUAAGAAUGUAUAAUCAAAUCAAAUGAAUAUCCUUCUUUACGUAUAUUAAACUAUUUACCACAAUUAUCACAUUUUAGACUAAAUCCAUCAAGACAAAUUCUCAAACAUUAUAACGCAUAAAUAAUUAUUUCAUUCCAACUCCAAUAUUCUAUACUUUUAAUUCUAACAAUGUACACUAUUAUUCCAAUCUUAAUCCAUGAUUAAUGAUUCACUUAACACUUAUCAAAUAAUUUCAAAACCUCAUUAACUCAAAGAUCUUUUUCUCUAACCCAUAGGAUCUCCAAUGAUCGAAUCAUUCUCUUAAAUAAUUGAUUAGCUCAUAGGAUAUGUCUCAUAAUAAGUCAUAUAAAAAAUCUCUUAACUUAUAAAAUCGCACUAUAUCAAAGUAAUUACACUUUCUCUUGACUACAAGAUCCAAAAGCAAUAUGUAAUAUCAACCAAAAUAAUUACUCCAUGAAUUCAUUGAAUUAUUGAUUCCUUAAUAUUUAUUGAAACUUUAACUACUCAAAACUUCAUCGAAUCAUUUACUUAUACUCACAUUAUAGUCUAUGAAUCCAACUUAUGUCCUUGAAAAAUCAUCACAUUAUCCAUAGGUCAUCAUUUAAAUUCUUAAAAAUCUCCACAUAGUAUAUGGAUCAUAACCACACUCAUAAAAUCUCUUUCAACCCAAAAAUCAUAAGCUAUAUUCUUGGAAAAUCACUAUUAAUCUAAUUAUCAUAAUCUAACUUCUUGGAAAUCUUCAAAGAUCAUAAUCGUAAUUCUAAAAAAAUUUUCAAAAUCAUACUAUAAGCUUUUUAACAUCCCACAUAGUUUAAAAUCAAAACCUAAACUCCAAGAAAAUCUCCAAGAAUCAUAACUUAAGCUUUUAAAGAAAAUCUCAUCAAAAUCUAACUCUUAAAAAUUCUCCAAAGAUCAUAACUUAAGUUCUAAUACCACUUUAUGUCACGCUCGGUGACCAAGAUGCAACACAACCAUAUUACCUUGAAGUAAACCCCAAAGUAAUAUGAAACCUUCUUUCUUAAUCAUUAUAAAAUUCUUCAAUAAAUUGAUAUAGUCUGCCAAGUAAAAUCUAUAUAUUUAAUCUAACUAAUGAUACAUCUCUAUAUAUCUAAAUACAAACCAUAUAAAAAUACAAAAUCAUUUUAUAAGAUCUUAUUGGCUUACAUUGUCUCUGACGACUAAGUAAUCUUUUCCAUUUAGUCUUCUAGCUUUCACAAGACUAAGAAAACUUAUCACUUACUCAUUUGUAAAGAAAAAGUAAAAGGGGAAUGAGCAAACCAUAGCUUAGCAAGUAUAGGCUCACACACCUUACCGAAUCAAGCAUCAUUUUCAUACAUAUCAUAUAGAGUAUUCAAAAUAAUCAUCAAAUCAUAAUGUCAAAACAUUUCAAAGAUCAUCACUUUGUCAAAUAUUUCAUAAAUUCAUAAAUCAAUGUCAAAAUAUAUCACUUCAUAAUCAUUGCAAAAUAUGUUAUUAUUCAAAUAUUGCAAUCAAACCAAAUCAUGGAUCAAUCAUUAAAAAUUAUUGUAAAUCAUCAUCAUAAAUCAUCAUUAUCAUUUUUUUAUCAUUAGCUAUGGUCACUGCUAUAACCCGUAACAUUGACUGUAUCGACAAUUUCAUCACCAUAAUCAUUGCUAACUAUUAUAACCCGUUAGCUAGCGCCUUAUGCUAACUACUAUAACUUGUUAGCAGGGCCAUAUGAUCAUGUCCAUGCUAACUACUAUAACUCGUUAGCCAGAGCCGUAGAACUAGUUUUGUGUCGAUGAUCCCACUUUCCAGAGAUGUAAAAAUGUAGCUAUCAUAAAAUCAUUCUUUAAACAUAAAUCAUUUUUUCAGUUCAUUCAUAAGCAUGAUCCAUCAUUUAUACAGUAAAACACAAAAUAAUUAUAUGCUUGAUCCUAUUUUCAUAUAUCUAAAUAAUAAAAUAAAACAUUUACUCAUUUAAAAACAUACAUAUAUAUAUAUAUACAUAGGUUUGAAAAUAAGUAAAGUGUGUAAGAUUCUACUUACCUCUUUUCGAUUCCAUCACCUAGUUUUCCUCCCCAAAUAAUUAAUGGCCUAUUUAAGAUAAUUUCAACAUAACAGUAAUUAAUCAACCCAUUUGAGACCACUUAUACCAAAACACAAAUAUGUUUCAAACAUGAGAAGGGAAAUGUGUCCCAGUAAAUGCUCUUCAACUCUGGCAAAACAUGCAAAUAAAGAGACUCGAGUUUUCCAAAUAGGCUUAAAGUUUCCACUAGCUGAGCCACUUGACUCAGUUUCCUCUCAUUGAUUAUUUCCUCCAUAGUGUUGCAGUACAUCACAGUAAGAGACCUCAGGUUUGGAGCUAGAAUUAGCCAUGUUAUGUCCUUCAAUUUUGUCAAUUUAUAAUAUCCGUUUAUUCUUACAUAGCGAAGGCUUUUGAGCAAUGUUUGCUAGCAAUCACAGAGGUUUGAAUGUGGCUCUGCUCUUUUAUCAUUCUGCCUUCUCCUCCCCACUCCAUCUCUACCUCUUGCAAACUUUCGCUCCCCAGAAGGCGUAGACUGUCUAGACUCUUCAUAUUCGCUAAAGAUAAAAUAUUCAAUCGCUUUGAGCCCUUGGAUAAGUAAAGUUCAAUUCGUACAGUGCAGCUGCAUAACCUUUCAGUACUCAAAAGUCUAUCGAGAACCAAAGCACUCGUUAUAGUGACAGUCAACAAUUUCAAAUGGUUCAAGUACUUCAAUUCUUCCACCAAGCAUUCACAAUUAUCUUCCCCUUCCUGGCCCAAAGAAUAAUNNNNNNNNNNNNNNNNNNNNNNNNNNNNNNNNNNNNNNNNNNNNNNNNNNNNNNNNNNNNNNNNNNNNNNNNNNNNNNNNNNNNNNNNNNNNNNNNNNNNNNNNNNNNNNNNNNNNNNNNNNNNNNNNNNNNNNNNNNNNNNNNNNNNNNNNNNNNNNNNNNNNNNNNNNNNNNNNNNNNNNNNNNNNNNNNNNNNNNNNNNNNNNNNNNNNNNNNNNNNNNNNNNNNNNNNNNNNNNNNNNNNNNNNNNNNNNNNNNNNNNNNNNNNNNNNNNNNNNNNNNNNNNNNNNNNNNNNNNNNNNNNNNNNNNNNNNNNNNNNNNNNNNNNNNNNNNNNNNNNNNNNNNNNNNNNNNNNNNNNNNNNNNNNNNNNNNNNNNNNNNNNNNNNNNNNNNNNNNNNNNNNNNNNNNNNNNNNNNNNNNNNNNNNNNNNNNNNNNNNNNNNNNNNNNNNNNNNNNNNNNNNNNNNNNNNNNNNNNNNNNNNNNNNNNNNNNNNNNNNNNNNNNNNNNNNNNNNNNNNNNNNNNNNNNNNNNNNNNNNNNNNNNNNNNNNNNNNNNNNNNNNNNNNNNNNNNNNNNNNNNNNNNNNNNNNNNNNNNNNNNNNNNNNNNNNNNNNNNNNNNNNNNNNNNNNNNNNNNNNNNNNNNNNNNNNNNNNNNNNNNNNNNNNNNNNNNNNNNNNNNNNNNNNNNNNNNNNNNNNNNNNNNNNNNNNNNNNNNNNNNNNNNNNNNNNNNNNNNNNNNNNNNNNNNNNNNNNNNNNNNNNNNNNNNNNNNNNNNNNNNNNNNNNNNNNNNNNNNNNNNNNNNNNNNNNNNNNNNNNNNNNNNNNNNNNNNNNNNNNNNNNNNNNNNNNNNNNNNNNNNNNNNNNNNNNNNNNNNNNNNNNNNNNNNNNNNNNNNNNNNNNNNNNNNNNNNNNNNNNNNNNNNNNNNNNNNNNNNNNNNNNNNNNNNNNNNNNNNNNNNNNNNNNNNNNNNNNNNNNNNNNNNNNNNNNNNNNNNNNAAUUUGAUCUGAAUGAUUAUCAUUCUUAAUCAUUAGCUUAUUUUUAAUUUUGGUUAUGUCUAAAAAUUAAAAUAAUCUUAUAUAUCUAAAAUUUCAAAAAUUUAUAUUAUAUUUUAUAAAAAAUAUCGCAAUAUAAAAAUAAAAAUAUAAAACUUUGAUAAAUAUAUCUUUUAAAAAUAAUUACAUAAAUCAUUGAAUUAAACUUUAAAUUCAAUUUAUAUUAUUUUUAUUGACACUUGAUAAGUUCAUGAAUUUAAUCAUAAAGUAGCAAAGUUGAAAGAAUCAAACUCAACCUAGCAUUAUGUUAAUUUGAUUAAUCACAUUAGAUUAAUUUAAAUCUUAUAAUUUGAUUGGAAUAGCAGAAAUUUUAAGCAAUUACAGUAACAUUGAAUCUUUUAAGCAAUUCAAGAACUUUCAUUAUGAGAGGGAAAUGUUUUUUACAUGAUUUUUCUUAUUUGUUAAAUCAUAUGCUACUUAGACAAACUAGUUCACCAUUCAACAAAGGCAAGAACUUUUUAUCAGUUACUGGGCUUAUUAGAGUUGAAGUACACAACAAUGACAGCAUAGCUCUUUUUCGCCUUCUUCCUCCAUUGGCUCUAAUCUCUUCCAUGCAUCAACAGUUGCCAAUGUGUCAAAUUUAUAAACCAUUGAAAGUGUUCGUGAUGAUUCACCAGCCAUCCGAUACCCUGCCAAGGAGUAUAAAUGGGUUCCGAUUGGUGCCGUUGUCAAGUAAAGCCGUUCCAUUGGUGAAUUAAGAGUUUGCAAACAAGAUCCAUCCACUUCAUCCCACAUGUUGAGUUCAUUAUCGUAGACCUGUGACCUUUCCAGGGCUUGAGACAAUCCCCGGAGCUGAACAACUUUCAAUCCACUGCAACAAUUUGGUUGGGUGGGAUAUCCAGCUGCCACAUCCCCACGAGGUCCCAUCCCCAUGCUUGGGUGUCGAAACCCUUAGCAGAGCUACGCCGUGGGGAAAAUGUCAGCAUGUUUUGAUCCGAAUCAACUCUUUCUGCAAAACCACCCACCACGUAGAUUUUCCCUUUCCAUGUAACCCCAACGCAUUUGUAUCUCAAAGUGCUCAUGCUAGGAAAUGGAAUCCAUUCGUCAAGAGUAGGAUCAUACACCUCAGCCGAUGAAAUUCCUCGAGCACUAGCCAAAUUAGACUUCCCUCCUGCCACAUAAAUUUUAUUGUCACAAACUGCAUAAGCAAAAUCAUAUAGUGGUAUGCCUAAUGGUGAACAUUUGGACCGUUGGUCAUCGAAGUACUAUAGGUGGCACUUGCACACCAACAUCAACAAAUUCAUCGGAUUCACUUGAAUUUUGAGGUCUCCCUUUAUGCCAUAACCUCCCACCAAUGAUGUAAAUAGACACUCCUAGCGAAACCAUAGCAAAACCCUUCAAAACAUGGUUUUCAAGUAGGUUUGGAAUUGUUGAGAAUAAUGACUCAAAUUUCAUAAGAGAUUUAUUUGAGAUUUGUUAGAGAUUUAUUUGUGAUUUGUCAGAUAUUGCUUGAUGGACAAGAAGACUUGCAAAAGAAGAAUUCCAAGAGAAAGAGAAUUUUUAGUAGGUAAGUUUGACUUGUAAGAGAAGAAUUCUAAAAAGAAAGGGAUUCUUAAUAGGCAAGUUUGACUUACAGGAGAAGAAUUCUAAGAAGAGAGGGAUUUUUAAUGGGCAAGUUUGUAUGGUUAUAAAUAGGUGAAGUCUCUACAGAAUUAGGUAUGAGAAAAAGAUGUAAGAGAGUUGUAGGGUUUUAUGGGAUAGACACCCCAUAGGAGUAUUGGGGCUCUACAUCUUAUGGGUGUGUAUGUUUGUUUGUGAGUGGACUAGAGGAGAUUGAGAGGGUCCACAUAGGUAUGAUAUAUGGGAACAUAUGGGUAUGUGUUUAGUUGUGUUGAAAAAGUGCACAAGAGUUUGGGUUGUAUUUGUUUGGGUAGAGAAUACUUCAUAGGACUAGAGGAGAUUGAGAGUGUCUUAUGAGUAUUGAUUGUUGAGUGGGGUUGAUGAUAUGAUGUAUGUUUGUAAUUCUCUACAACUAGUGGAUCUUGUUUCUCAUCCGUUGAUGUAGGUCAGUUGGACCGAACCACGUUAAAUUAUUGUCUCUUGUGUGUUUGAUUUAUUGUUUGAUUUCGCUUCCGUUGGUGUGAUUGGAUUGGAGGCUUUUGACCCAAAAGGAAUUAAGCUGACUUGACUCCAUGUGUUGUUAGAGGGAUUAUAACACCGCAUACAGUUAAAAAUGUCAGCAUUAGGCCCCGCAUCUUUUGACAAAAAGCCACGAAAAUUCGACAAUGAGAAGGGUUGAAUUCAGGUGAUGGUGGUGGUGGUGGCGGCGGUGAUGGUAUGAGUCGUUGCGGGGCAGGGAGUGAACCCAUUGAAGGAGUAGGGGAAGGUGAUAGGCCUAAGCGGGUUCCUAUGGUUUGUUUCAAUAUCAAAUGGGAGGUUUAAUGUAAAGACUUGAGCUAGAUAUAGGAAAAAAGUACGGCGGAUAGCACUAUAAGAAUUGGGGAGUAUGUAGGCAUCGACUAAGAAGUGAGUUUCGAGGGUGCGUAGCAUCCAAGGAGAUGCUCUCUAGGGACUUUCUUGAUCAUGUUGUGAUCAAACAUUUGAUAGGUUUUUUUGUAGGUUUUUAUAUCAUGGAUCGAGACUUAAGUUUCGAUUUGUACGAUUUUUAGACUUAGACAUUCAUUCAUCCGAUAUUUCAGAUCAGUCUGAUCAUCACGGUUUACAUCAUUAUGAGGUAUUGUCCGCUCUAACCCUUUGAUCCGACAUCUCAGAUCAGCUUGAUCGUCACAGUUCACACAUUUCAGAUUAGCCUGAUCGUCAUAAUUCACACCUUUAUGAAGUAUUGUCCGCUCUAGCCCAUGACCUCACUGUUUUGUCUUAUAAAAUACGUCUCACAUUAAAGAAAUGAUAUGAAACAUUUUAUACUUCAGUGACCCUCUUUUUAUGUUCGUUGUAGAAUUUAUGACUACUCUUUAAGAUAGGUGACAUUCUCCUUACCUAACCUUGUGAAGCUUUCGUCGUGGAGGCAAAUCACCUUAUCUACCUCCCUCGAGGCGCUUGGCGUUGAUCAAAUGAUUUAAGGCUGACUCUGAUACCAUUUGUCAAUGGUCGAAACUUAAGCUUUGACUCGUGCAGCUUCGAGAUUCGGACAUCCACUCAUCUGAUAUCCCAUAUUAGCUUGACCCUCACGAUUCAUAUUUUUGUGAGAUAUUAUCUAUUCUAAUCUUUUGACCUCAUGAUUUUAUCAUACUAAAAACCUCUCGCAAAAAAAAAAUGAUGUGAAUAUUUUUAUACCCUAAUAAUCUUCUUUUUUAUGUUUGAAGUGAAAUUUGAGACUUCCCUUAAAUCUGUGACACUUGUAUGUUGCAUUGAUUGUUAUGUGCCGGAAGAUCUCCGUAGUUCUCUAUGACUUCGAAUUAACAACAUGACGCUAAGGGGGCCAUUGUGAGUUUGCGACGAAGGUUUCUACGCUUCCAAGUUUCAUAGAAGUAGUUGAGUCAACGACUUCAACCUUGUUAAUCCCUUUCUGAAAUAACGACAGCAUCAAUUAUUUUAGCAUUAAUUUUAGUCAAUAUCAACAUUCUCCAGUAUGAUUUAAAGUUAUCAUGUAUUUCCCACAUAUUUUUAUGCUUACCAGAAAGAAUAAAACAAGAAAUUACCGUGACAGUGGCAGCAGCCCAUUGCUCUAAUCCAAAAGAUGAGGGAAAGGAAAGAGAGAGUUAGCUCUGCUAUACCCCAAAAGUUUAUGGAAAAAGAAAUCCUUGAAAUUCCAUAUUUCAAGUGAUCAAUAGUAAGAGGUAAGCAUACGCUUUGGAACCACACUUAUGAUAGUAAAAAAGAACUCAAAAAAGGAAUAGGGAGCAAAUCCAUAUACAUACUGCUGCAUGAUACAACAUCUGGAAUCUCACACUUUUUGGCUCUCAUUAAGCCAGCAUAAAACUCUGUUCUAGGAGUUGGGUGGGUUAUCAAGAAAUGUCCUUUACUUCAUGCCAAUAAAGUGUAAAAAUUCUUUUAUAUAUUGAUGACAUGCUCCUGAAAUCCGAUCUUAUAUCUGAUCUAACUAAGUAAGAGUAUCUUUUAUCUGCUUUUUAUCUGUAAAUAUGGAUUUGAGGAGUGAGAACAUUGGGCUUUGUUUUUACCUUUGUUGCUGUUUAAGGCAACAGCAACCACGGCAUGCAAAUUGUGACAAAUCAAACUACUAAUGCAGUUUGUCAAAAUCAAAUGGACUGUUCAAUCCUGUGGAAAAUUUCCAGUUUGGGUCCCUUAGGGUAAGUCUGACAAAUUUCCAGUUGAUAACAUGGACCUGCUUGCAGAUAUGCCAUGUGACCAAAACCAGACAUUUCAAAAUUCAAGACAAUAGUAAUGUGCAUAAGCUUAUAACCAGAAAAUGGAACAGUUCUAGAGGGGAUUGGUGCCAAAACUUGGGACAAAGAUUGCCCUGUUGGCUUGAAAUGACCUGUCAUCUGACAUGGGAGCAGCAAUUUCCAAAAGAAGCUAUGGCAGAAAAAAAAAAAAGAAGGAAAAAACAUUAAUUGGGAGUGGAGUUGAAUGAGCCAAAUGGGAAUUCACUGAGAACAUGUAAAAGCAAAAUGGCCUUUGAAGAUGAGACAACAAGAGAGAAGUAGAAGUGAAGAAGAUUAUGCAAAACAGCCACAUAGCCAUAAGCUUCUAGGGCCGGAAAACACUAAAAUGGAUACUGUGAUUUUUUGAUGAUCACUGUAGAGUUGGCAUCGCUGCUUUGUUCACCUUUGGAACUGUUUUUGAGUGCGUUUGGUGUGUGCUUGAUAUGAAAGGCGCCGGACAUGAGGCUUUGGGGUCCAUUAAGAGCCAAGGCCGUUGUGUGAUUUUACGAGGUGGUAAACCAAGUUGCAUUCCAUUUACAAUUAAACUGGCUGCAACACUCUUUAACAAUGGCCAUUGGCCCAUUGCCAGGCAUGGAGAAGCAUAUUUGAUGACGGAAGGUAUUGGGAUCUAACCCAGACUUUGAUCAUGCAGCAACUAUGGCUCCGGAUUUAUAAAACAAAAUUUUUAAGUUUGAAGAUGUAACAAAUAUAGUGCACUACAAAAUUCUAUAAACAAAAAAAUCUACUGUAAGUUGUGACUUGUAGCUGAGGUUGAGUAAAAAUUAAGAGGGGACCUCAAGAAACUUGACAGAGCUCAAAAGAUUAAUAAACAAAGUUGAGAAGGACUGAGAACUGAGGAGGUAGUUGAAUCAAAGAUGCCUCUCGAUACAAAGCAAACGUAUCUGAUGGUGAUACUACGACCAUAGGGAGGUUCUCUACCCACUGUAUCCUUUUUUUUUCUCUUUCUCUCUCACUUUUGGAUGGAAUUUUAGCAUCCCAAUGUAAUACCAAGAAAAGCAGUGUUGCUGUUGAGAACUGCAAGUGAAGCUGCGUAGGCGCAGCUUCUUCGAAAGACCAAAAAGAUUACACUCUGUAGUCCGUAGUCUGUAGUCAGCACCACUAUCAUAUUUCUUUUCCUCAUUUCUUCUUUCUGUUUAUCUCAACUCUCCUACUCAAUAGUUUUGAGGUCUUUCUUUGUUGUCUUUGUUGUUCUUUGAUUCUUCUGCAUCAUAAAAUUGGAUUGCAAAACCAUCCCCGUUACAAACACCUACUGUCUUGCUCUUUCUCCUCAUUUGUCUGUACACUUUAGCCUAGAGGGUCAUUGAGUUUUGCUUCCAAUAAGAGAAAAAUGGGAGCAUAUAUCGGUUGGUUGGAAUGGGUGAAUAGUUAUGGUAAGAAGCAAUGCAGAAGUCUUUUUUGCAGAGCGAAGGCAGCAUUGAAGAAAGCUGUGAAGUAAGAGCAACACAGCAUUUCAAGUUCAAUAUGAUCCUUCCAGUUACGCUCUCAAUUUGAUGAUGGUUGUUGCCAUUCGGGUGUAGGAGCAAUACAAAUGGAACUUGCUCGAUUUCAGGAUUGUUCAGACUGUAAGAAUAUCAUGUGGGUUUAUGUCCUUUGGUCAAAUCAUAAAUCAAUCUUUAGGUUUUUAUAUUCUCUCUUUGUUCAGUCUGUUUUAUAGAAAGCAGAAGAGUAAGCUUGGAGCUAUGGUUUUCCGUUGGUAGACAUUAGACAUGUGGUUUGGAGUGAAGAUUUGCUCUUUCAAUAAUUUGUAUUUUCGUUCGUUUUUCUUGUUCUUUGCAGUCUCUAUGGCAAGAUUUUCGUGGGAACAAAUUCGCAUGCAAUACUGGCAUUUGUACAAUAACCAUAGAUGGACAUGUUGAUUUAUAUUUGCUGGCCUGGCCGCUGAGCUGGCUAUUUGCACCAUAUCUGGUGAUUAUGCUUGAUUUCGAUUGACAACGUCAAUGAGAUAGAAGAGCUUGAAUAUGGACAUAACUGAAAGGAGAAAGUUUCAGUAAACACAGCAAUAACAGCAAAGCUUUGAGCUUUUUCUAUUUUGUUGUUGGAAAUCCCAUUCAAAGGAUAAACGCAUGAUUGUCAAUUGUACAAGGGCACUGACUUAACCUAAGAACAAAGUAAACAAACCAAAGGCAACUAAAUUCUUCUAACCACAUCUUAACAAAUGACAUCCAACAAAUUUCAAGCUACAGUCCCUGUGUAGAGGUUUACAAGCAUAAUCACUUCAUUCCAUUCAGCUCUACCUCUGGUUAAAUCCAAAGCAACUUGAUUCGUCCACAAUGACUUGCAAACCUUUCAAACAGCGGGAUCUUCAAGUGUGGCAUUUGAUAGAUCAUUUAUGCGAGGAUAUGCUGCUUUCUCAUCCAUUUGAUUUUGAGCCCAUAUCAGCAUCUUUAGCAAGCUUGGAAGCUUUGGGUCUGACCUCCAAUAGUUUACAGAUUAAGCAAAUUUUACUAAGUCUUGAAGACAGAAGAAAUAAUCUCAAAUUUUAAAUCAAACUGGGACAUGAUGUUAUCAACUUAAAUAAAUAAAAAGUUAGAAUUGACAAAAGAAUCGGCAUGGUACAGGCAAUCACAGAAAUCCUUCUUGCUUGUUAAACAUCAAAAAGUUCUGUGGACCAAAAACGGCAGACAUUUGCUGCACAUUGCUCUCCUAAUUAGAGAAAUUCUGCAACCCAAAUACAUCUAAUCAUUGAUGCCAUCUCAAUCACACAAGAGCACAGAAUGCUUAUUUGACCUUUUCUUGUAAUACUGUGUACAUACUAGGCACUAUAUUCGGUUUUGAUAAAGACAGAAUUCAGCUGAAGGACCAACAACCCAAUAAAGCACAGAAGCCGCAUGAAUGUUGCCACUUACCACUAAAAUCUUAACAAUAUAUUAUUGCUGAUGUCGUAACGUCUAGAUCCGGGGAUCCGUCGCUAGACAUUGACUUUAGGGAGUCGCCACCAAUCUUUUUUUAUCCAGGUGUGAUUGGCCACCUAAGGAAUCUGUCCUUUCAGGGAACACCUAAGCUUAAGGGUCCCUAAAAGAAUAGGUUCGGGUCUGCUUAACCAGAACAGAGUUCGGGAGUUCGGUUACGUGUGAGGAAGGUUUAGCACCCUCACAACGCCCAUCAAAAGAUGGUACCAGCUUGAAUUUGUGUUAUCCAAAAGCCUUAAAAUUUUACCAAGUAGUUAGUUGUUGAAAAUUAUUCUCAAUUGACUCUAAUACUUUUAGCAGAAAAUUGAGAAAAUUCCCUCACCUCAAGAGUAUGCAAGAAAAAACUACUGUUUCACUUGCAGAGGCUCCGUCGUCGGAUUAUUUAAAGAAAAAUCAAGAUCAACCAAUUAAUUAAUUAUCGAAAAUUAUUCUCAAUUGACUCUAAUACUUUUAGCAGAAAAUUGAGAAAAUUCCCUCACCUCAGGAGUAUGCAAGAAAAACUACUGUUUCACUUGCAGAGGCUCCGUCGUCAUUAAUUAAAGAAAAAAAAAUCAAAAUCAGCCAAGUAAUUAAUUAUCGGAAAUUAUUCUCAAUUGACUCUAAUACUUUUAGCAAAAAAUUGAGAAAAUUCCCUCACCUCAGGAGUAUGCAAGAAAAACUACUGUUUUACUUGUAGAGGCUCCGUCGUCGGAUUAAUUAAAGAAAAAGAAAAAAAAUCAAGAUCAAAAUCAAAGUCAAAAAAAAAAAAAUUCAAAAAAAAAAAAAAAAAAAAAAAAAUGGAGCGGCUCGGAUCGCGGCUCGGCUUGGUGCGGCUCGGCUCGGCUCGGCUCGGAGGGGCUGAAACGCGCGGGUCAGAAAGCGGGUCGACGCUUCGGGUCGGGUCGGUUCGGCAAAACGCGCGGAUCCUCUUAUUAACUUAAAGCCAAAACGACGUCGUUUUGGGAGGGUAUAAAAGGCACCUUCCUCCGUUUUUCAGCAGACCGUUCCUCCCCUCUCUCUCUCUUCUUCCCUUCUUCUCUGCCUUCUCUCUAGAAUUUGAAGAACGCCGGUACGGAUUCUGGAAAUUUCGCCGGAAUCUGGGAAUUUCGCCGGAAAUUGGCCGGAUGGUGCGCGGUUUCUGGGAUUCUCCGCCGGAAACUGGGUCUGUCGCCGGAAACUUCAAAGUUCGCCGGAAUUGUCGCCGGAAAAUUCAAAAUCGUCCGGAAUUUUCGCCGGAAUCUGGAAAUUUCCCAGAAAUUUCCAGAAAAUUUUUUCGCCAAAUUUUUCUAAAAAAUUUUUCUCACUGCCAGAACACUCCUAAACUUUUCCUUAGCUCUAAACACCCCUAUUCUCUCAAUCAGUAGCUUUUGCUUCUGUUUUCUCUGUGUUCUUGACUGUUCCAGGGGGUCCCUUUUAUAGGGAUUGAUCAGGAGUUUCUGAUCAAUCCCAAUUCCUCUUUGGACGGGAAUUCAGUCUUUGAAUCCAAUUGGACUCUUCUGAUUGAAUUCCCCUUCAGAGUGGGAGUCUUCAACUUUGAAUCCUAGCCCUCCAAAAUAAAAAUUAAAAUAAAAUUAAAAAAAAAAUCUAGAUAAUUGGAAAGAUAAAUCAAAAGAUAAAAAAUUUUCAAAUAAUAUCUGAAAAUCAGAAAAAUCAGAACAGAUAAUUAAAAAAAAAAAUAAGAAUAAUAAUAUAAUAAUAAUAAAUAUAUAACUAUAUACAUAUAAAUCUAUUCUAAUGAAAAAAAUAUAUAUAUAUAUACAUAUAUUAAUACAUAAUAAUAAAUAAUAAAUACACAAGAGAGAAAAAAAAAAAUAAAUAAAAAUAAAAAAUAAAAAAUACGGGUAAAAAUUCAAUUGGGCCUUGCCCAUUUGGGCCAGGCCCAAAUGAUCUGGGUCAGGCCCAAUUGGGGUCAGGCCCAAUUGAUCCGGGCCCGGACCUGAUUGGGUGUCUACAGCUGCCCCUCUUUGCGUAUUUUCUGUGAACAGAAAUUGCGCAAAGACGUAGACACCCAGUCAAGACCCGACUCGACUUUUUUUUUUUUUUUUUUUUUUUUUUAGCUCCUCUUGACAGAGGCUCUACGACUUUGAAAAAUAAAUUGCUCCUCUAAACAGAGGCACCACGACUUUGGAAAGAUAAAUUGCUCCUCUAAACAGAGGUACCACGACUUUGGAAAAAAAUUGCUCCUCUAAACAGAGGCAACGAACUUUGAAAGUAAAUUGCUCCUCUAAAUAGAGGUACCACGACUUUGGAAAGUAAAUUGCUCCUCUCAACAAGGUACACGACUUUGGAAAGUAAAUUGCUCCUCUAAACAGAGGUACCACGACUUUGAAAGUAAAUUGCUCCUCUAAACAGAGGCAACGAACUUUGAAAAGUAAAUUGCUCCUCUAAACAGAGGCACGAACUUUGAAAAAUAAAUUGCUCCUCUAACAGAGGCACCACGACUUUGAAAAAGUAAAUUGCUCCUCUAAACAGAGGCACCACGACUUUGAAAAGUAAAUUGCUCCUCUAAACAGAGGCAACGAACUUUGGAAAAGUAAAUACUCCUAGACAAUCAUGUCCGAAGGAGUUGAAAGUUGUGUUUGAAGGGAUUUCAGGAGAUUAUGCCCAAAGGUCUUAUAAAUCAACCCUGAUACCAAGAGACAUCCUAUUUCGAGGAUUAGGAACUUACCUGACAAGUUUCUUCUCAAACUUGCAAAGUCUUUUCAUAUCUGUCUUUUUCAUGUGGGAUGUUGGAACACCCCUGCUUCUUGAAUUUGUACACUAUAUUUCUCCUGAAAGUAGUGUAUGCUGUGCAAUGCAUAUGAAUUUCAAUGCAUGCCAUGCAAAUGUUGGCCAAUUAAUUCCUGUUCAAUGUAUGGUACUCAAGUUUCUCAAGCUUCUUUUUUUCUUUCUUGGGUGUCAAGCCCUUUGAUUCCUCAAGGAUCCAAUUGCACUGCUCUUCUAAGAUCGAACCAGUGUAGCUCUUAAUUGUCUCUUCCACUCAGAUUCUUCCUUGUUCUGUUUUUCAAUACUUUGGAAUAAGUUUCAUCAUCGAUCAUCACUUGACCAUCAUUCAAUGAAUUUCUCAGCAAUAACAAAUUUUCAAAACAAGUUUCAUCCACCAUCAUUGGGUCAUUACUCUGUCUCAGCAUUAACAUUCAAAACACAACUCUGUCCACUGAUUGUCUUCAUCCAUUCAAUCAUAACUUGCAAGUCAUAUCGAUCAAUUCAUCACUUUUCCAGAUUUGCCCCAUCAUCUCUUUUAGGUUUCUACCAUUUCUUCAUCAUCUUAGAUUUCUUUUCAAAUGAAUGUAAGAUUCUUUUAAGUACAUGUUCAUUCAUUCAUUAUCAUUCAAAUUUUGACAAAUACAAUGCAAUCAAGCAUUUUCUCAAUUCAUUCUAAGGGUGUAACAAUAAGAGGACAGAAAGUGAAUUAUGGUAAAGAUAAUCAAUGGAGAUCUAUUUUGGUAGAAAAUAAAUGGGAAAAGAAAUAAAUUGGAUGUCAUUGAGGUAAAUGGUAUGUCCAAAUGAUGAAUAUUCAGACAAUUUUCAACAUUAAUCUAGGAUUCUUUUUCAAAAACUCAUUCAUUUACUGUUGAAGUCAUCUUGAGCUUGGCGAACUCUGCCCCAGUCUUUGAGGAAUCUUCAGAUGUCUUUGAUCUUUCAUUCAUGUGAGCCAUUUGACCUGGAUAUUUUUUUUUUUUUUUUUGGGUACCAAAAUCACCCUUUCAGGUUUUCAAUUUGGAUCUCUUUUUUCAUUUUUUCAUUUUCUCAUUUUUUCUUCUUUCUUUCUUUUUCUUUUUCUUUUUUUUUUUCAUCAUCUUUUUUUUUCAUUCUUCCCCUAUUAUUGAUAUCCUUCAUACAUCAAACUUUUAAGGUAAUGUAGCAUGAUUCCAUCGCUUCAUCAUGAGUAUGCCUUCGCUCAACAUAUGAUCAUUCAAGUUGAGUAUUCACACUUGAUCCAAAUGGACUUUUCAAGGUUGUAAUGUAGGUCAAGGUGAAGGGUCAUAAAAAAAAUGGAUAUAAUAGGCUCAAAAUAUGUAUUAAAAAGGUUCAAGACCGAAGGAUCAUUUGAUGCAGCUUGGCAUUUUGCCCCACAUCGUUUCACUGUUUUUUCUUUCCUCACACAAAGGAUUCUCAUUACUUUGCCCCAAGUCAUGUGUGGCAUUUAUUUUUUUCUUUUGCUUUUCUUUCUCUUUUCAUCUUUGAGACCUUUUGUGGUUUUUUUUUUUUUUUUUUUUUUUUUUCAAAAAUUACCCUCCAGUGUAGAGGGUGAUCCUUGGUUGGGGUUCUUCAAAAAAAAAUGAUAAGCUCAAGGGGGUAACAAUAAAUGGUUUUUCAAAUGGUAAAAGAAAGAUGGCCAUUUUUCAUCUCAAUUGUGAAUACCUUUCUUGAACAUCAUCUAUUGAACAGAGCUCAUGAACUUGUAUAAAAUAUUGCACCCCUUCAAGAUAUAUCUCUUUCAUCUCUGGUGAUGGCUUACCCUCUUUAUUUUCGCUCAGAUCAUCUCCUCUGUGAAUGAGUUCUCAAAAUUAAAUUCCAGAAUUAUUGUUAUCAUUGUCUAAAUAUUCAUCAUCUGAAAUUUAAGAAUGGGAGUGUGAAGUUAUGGAAGGUAACAAGGCAUGGAAUAAUGGUAAAGUGAAAGAGAAAAAUGUAAUGAAAUGCAUUGACUUGCCUUUAUUAAAAUGAUAACAAGUGAAGUCAUAUUAAAAAAAAUCUAACAUUUUUGAAAAGAAAUCCCAAAAUGACAGAAGAAACCUUCAACCAGCCUUAUCCUAUAUGAUCAGGUAUCAUCUUGCCCCUCAAUUCAUUGUGAAUCUCCGGAUCCUUUCUGUUCUUGACUUUCGCUCAGUACACUAACAUUAGGUGCUGUUGCUUUUCCUUGAUCAAAACUUACCAUUCCAUCAUUGAUCAACCGUUGCACCUUAUACUUUAAAGCAGUGCAAUUUUCAGUAGAAUGGCCAGUAAUUCCAUAAUGAUAGUCACAACGGGCUGUAGGAUCAUACCACUUUGGAUAGGGUGGUUUAAGUGGUUCCACAUGGCUGGGGGCAAUCAAAUGGCUAUUAUAAAGCUCUCGAUAUAACUCUGUAUAAGUCAUAGGGAUUGGAUCAAAUACAGGUUUUUCUCGAGUAGUCCGUUGUUCUCGCGAGCCACUGGCUGGGUUAGUAGGGCGGAUUUGGGUUCUUACAGGAGCUUGAAUGUUAAGGCGAUAAGUGGAUGAAUAAGAUGGUUGGGGAGCUAGCUGGUAUGGGUAGGAUGAGGCAUUAUUCACAGCGGGAUAGUAUGGAGAGUAACCUUGAGAUGGAUAGGGUUGAUAACCGCCGAAUUGUUGUCUAUCAGAGCUCACAGCUUGAGCUUCAGCUUCUUUCUUUUCUGAUGUCUUCUUGGUUUCUCCUCCUCUCAACUUGCCAUUUUUUAUGGCACUUUCAAUAAUUUCUCCAGAGAUUACCAUGUCAGCAAAAUUCUUUGUUGCAUUCCCUAUCAUCUUUUCAUAAUAGGGAGGCUUUAAAGUGCUAACAAACAGCACUGUGGUCUCUUUCUCUGUCAGUGGAGGUUGUACCUGUGAAGCAAUAUCCCUCCAUCUCUGGGCGUAUUCUUUAAAAGACUCAUUUGACUUUUUCUCCAAGUUUUGCAAAGAUAAACGAUCAGGGGCCAAAUCGAUAAUGUGUCGAUAUUGACUGAUGAAGUCAUGUGCCAUAUCACUCCAAGAGCGAAUACGAGUCCUAUCCAACUGAACAUACCAUCUGGCCGCAGAGCCAGUAAGACUAUCCUGAAAGACAUGCAUCAAGAGUUUUUCAUCAUGUGCAUGAGCUGCCAUCUUCCUACAAUACAUGGUGAUGUGGAUUUUAGGGCACUUUGUACCGUCAUAUUUUUCAAAUUUCGGUACUUUGAAUUUAUAAGGGAUAACCACAUCAGGAACUAGGCAGAGCCCAGCAGCAUCAACUGACCCAUAAAAGCUAAAUCCUUCUACAGCCCGUAGCCUCUGCUCUAACAUGCUAAUCUUGGAACUUUCCUCAGCCUCUACUCUCAUCUUUUCCUUCUCCUUCUCUUUUAAAUCAUCUAGAUCAGGAAUUGGUUCUGCUGCCUUUUCAGUGAAGACAGGAUUUAUAUAGCUAUUAUACUGCCCUGGGUUGAAAGCUGAUGGCAUUCCAGGAUAGGCGAAAUGUUGUGGCGGGACCUCUUGGGCAGACUGGGCUUGAGAUGGGCCAAAACCUGGAGGGUACAAAGGGUCAGCUACUUCUUGUAAAUGGGGAACUUGUUGGCUUGUAUUUCCUUCAACCCCUUUCCCCUUAUUCAUGUUAUUGAGGGCCUCCAGAAUUUUGCUAAGUUCAUUUUCAAUCUUCUCCUGAGCUUUUUCUAGCUUUUCAAAUCUAUGAGAACUUUCCUCCUCCAUUUGCCUUGCUCUGGAUCUUGUGUUGUAUGGAUGAGCAAGGUUUUCGCUAGAUGGAGCUAUCCUCGGACCUUGAGUACCAUACUCAUGAUUAGAAAUGUUAUGCUGUGCCUUAUGUAUGAUGCUUUGAUACACAAAUGAAAUGUACAUUUUUUUGAAUGAAAUCUAGCAUGAAAUGAAUGCAAAUGAUUGUGUUGAAACAUGAUCAUGAAAAGAAUACAGAUGCAUACAAUCAGACAAACAACAUAGUUAGUUUCAUGAAUGAAAUGAAAGUAAUGCUGAUGCAUAACAUUACAAAAAAUAAUACACAAAGUUAAGCAAUCAAAAUGAUUAGAUAAACACCUUUUUUGUGUCCUAAUUUCAGGGUAUAUCUAUCAUUGGGUAGAAAGGACUCUAUCCUAGGGUUAGGCACUCUUAAGGUUCACUACAUGUGGUUUUAAAGUCAGAGUCUAAAGGUCCUCAAAUUGUUCCUUACAUCCUUGUCCAUCACAGACUAGUAAGGCACCCUAAUCCUCACCCAUUACAGGCUACAAGCGGAAAAGGUUCAAUUUGAGUGGGAGUAUUUCGCUAGCCACUACGGAGGCAUUAGACCUCACGAAAGCAAUAGGUACUUUACUCCCUCCUAGAGGGACGGAGCUCGGGUAUAGAGCUCAUGUUAUGCACAUGCACAUGAAUGACAUAAUUAACAAGGUAAAUAAACAUGAAUGAAUAAUAACACAUAUAUACAAAAAUGGUUCAAUUUUAUUAGGCUUUUGGAUAACACAAAUUAUUUGCUGGCCUGACUCUCAAGUCCCCAGUGGAGUCGCCAAGCUGUCGUAACGUCUAGAUCCGGGGAUCUAUCGCCAGACAUUGACUUUAGGGAGUCGCCACCAAUCUUUUUUAUCCAGGUGUGAUUGGCCACCUAAGGAAUCUGCCCUUUAGGGAACACCUAAGCUUAAGGGUCCCUAAAAGAAUAGGUUCGGGUCUGCUUAACCAGAACAGAGUUCGGGAGUUCGGUUACGUGUGAGGAAGGUUAUAGCACCCUCACAACGCCCAUCAAAAGAUGGUACCAGCUUGAAUUUGUGUUAUCCAAAAGCCUUAAAAUUUUACCAAGUAGUUAGUUGUUGAAAAUUAUUCUCAAUUGACUCUAAUACUUUUAGCAGAAAAUUGAGAAAAUUCCCUCACCUCAAGAGUAUGCAAGAAAAACUACUGUUUCACUUGCAGAGGCUCCGUCGUCGGAUUAUUUAAAGAAAAAUCAAGAUCAACCAAUUAAUUAAUUAUCGAAAAUUAUUCUCAAUUGACUCUAAUACUUUUAGCAGAAAAUUGAGAAAAUUCCCUCACCUCAGGAGUAUGCAAGAAAAACUACUGUUUCACUUGCAGAGGCUCCGUCGUCGGAUUAAUUAAAGAAAAAAAAAAUCAAAAUCAGCCAAGUAAUUAAUUAUCGGAAAUUAUUCUCAAUUGACUCUAAUACUUUUAGCAGAAAAUUGAGAAAAUUCCCUCACCUCAGGAGUAUGCAAGAAAAACUACUGUUUUUACUUGUAGAGGCUCCGUCGUCGGAUUAAUUAAAGAAAAAAGAAAAAAAAAUCAAGAUCAAAAUCAAAAAAAAAAAAAAAAAAAAAAAAAAAAAAAACCUGGAGCGGCUCGGAUCGCGGCUCGGCUUGGUGCGGCUCGGCUCGGCUCGGAGGGGCUGAAACGCGCGGGUCAGAAAGCGGGUCGACGCUUCGGGUCGGGUCGGGUUCGGCAAAACGCGCGGAUCCUCUUAUUAACUUAAAGCCAAAACGACGUCGUUUUGGGAGGGUAUAAAAGGCACCUUCCUCCGUUUUUCAGCAGACCGUUCCUCCCCUCUCUCUCUCUUCUUCCCUUCUUCUCUGCCUUCUCUCUAGAAUUUGAAGAACGCCGGUGCCGGAUUCUGGAAAUUUCGCCGGAAUCUGGGAAUUUCGCCGGAAAUUGGCCGGAAGUUGGCCGGAUGGUCGCCGGUUUCUGGGAUUCUCCGCCGGAAACUGGGUCUGUCGCCGGAAACUUCAAAGUUCGCCGGAAUUGUCGCCGGAAAAUUCAAAAGUCGCCGGAAUUUUCGCCGGAAUCUGGAAAUUUCCCAGAAAUUUCCAGAAAAUUUUUUCGCCAAAUUUUUCUAAAAAAUUUUUCUCACUGCCAGAACACUCCUAAACUUUUCCUUAGCUCUCUAAACACCCCUAUUCUCUCAAUCAGUAGCUUUUGCUUCUGUUUUCUCUGUGUUCUUGACUGUUCCAGGGGGGUCCCUUUUAUAGGGAUUGAUCAGGAGUUUCUGAUCAAUCCCAAUUCCUCUUUGGACGGGAAUUCAGUCUUUGAAUCCAAUUGGACUCUUCUGAUUGAAUUCCCCUUCAGAGUGGGAGUCUUCAACUUUGAAUCCUAGCCCUCCAAAAUAAAAAUUAAAAUAAAAUUAAAAAAAAAUCUAGAUAAUUGGAAAGAUAAAUCAAAGAUAAAAAAUUUUCAAAUAAUAUCUGAAAAUCAGAAAAAAUCAGAACAGAUAAUUAAAAAAGAAGAUAAGAAUAAUAAUAUAAUAAUAAUAAAUAUAUAACUAUAUACAUAUAAAUCUAUUCUAAUGAAAAAAAAAAUAUAUAUAUAUAUAUACAUAUAUUAAUACAUAAUAAUAAAUAAUAAAAUACACAAGAGAGAAAAAAAAUAAAAUAAAAAUAAAAAAUAAAAAAUACGGGUAAAAAUUCAAUUGGGCCUUGCCCAUUUGGGGCAGGCCCAAAUGAUCUGGGUCAGGCCCAAUUGAUCCGGGUCAGGCCCAAUUGAUCCGGGCCCGGACCUAAUUGGGUGUCUACACUAACAAUGUACAUCGUUAUUCCAAUCUUAAUCCAUGAUUAAUGAUGCACUUAACACUUAUCAAAUAAUUUCAAAACCUCAUUAAGUUGAAGAUCUUUUUCUCUAACCCAUAGGAUCUCCAAUGAUCAAAUCAUUCUCUUAAAUAAUCGAUUAGCUCAUAGGAUAUGUCUCAUAAUAAGUCAUAUCAAAAAUCUCUUCAACUUAUAAAAUCGCACUAUAUCAAAGUAAUUACACUUUCUCUUGACUACAAGAUCCAAAAGCAAUAUGUAAAUAUCAACCAAAAUAAUUACUCCAUGAAUUCAUUGAAUUAUUGAUUCCUUAAUAUUUAUUGAAACUUUAACUACUCAAAACUUCAUCGAAUCAUUUACUUAUACUCACAUUAUAGUCUAUGAAUCCAACUUAUGUCCUUAAAAAAUCAUCAUAUUAUCCAGAGGUCAUCAUUUAAAUUCUUAAAAAUCUCUACAUAGUAUAUGGAUUAUAACCACACUCAUAAAAUCUCUUUCAACCUAAAAAUCAUAAGCUAUAUUCUUAGAAAAUCACUGUUAAUCUAAUUAUCAUAAUCUAACUUCUUAGAAAUCUUCAAAGAUUAUAAUUGUAAUUCUAAAAAAAAUUUUAAAAUCAUACUAUAAGCUUUUUAACAUCCUACAUAGUUUAAAAUCAAAACCUAAACUCCAAGAAAAUCUCCAAGAAUCAUAACUUAAGCUUUUAAAGAAAAUCUCAUCAAAAUCUAACUCUUAAAAAUUCUUCGAAGAUCAUAACUUAAGUUUUGAUACCACUUUAUGUCACGCUAGGAGACCAAGAUGCAACAUGACCAUAUUACCUUAAAGUAAACCCCAAAGUAAUAAGAAGCCUUUUUUUUUAAUCAUUAUAAAAUUCUUCAAUAAAUUGAUAUAGUCUGCCAAGUAAAAUCUAUAUAUUUAAUCUAACUAAUGAUACAUCUCUAUACAUCCAAAUACAAACCAUAUAAAAAUACAAAACCGUCUUAUAAGAUCUCAUUAGCUUAUAUUGUCUCUGACGGCUAAGUAAUCUUUUCCAUUUAAUCUUCUAGCUUUCACAAGACUAAGAAAACUUAUCACUUACUCAUCUGUAAAGAAAAAGUAAAAAAGGAAUGAGCAAACCAUAGCUCAGUAAGUAUAAGCUCACACACCUUACCGAAUCAAGCAUCAUUUUCAUACAUAUCAUAUAGAGUAUUCAAAAUAAUCAUCAAAUCAUAAUGUCAAAACAUUUCAAAGAUCAUCACUUUGUCAAAUAUUUCAUAAAUUCAUAAAUCAAUGUCAAAAUAUAUCACUUCAUAAUCAUUGCAAAAUAUAUUAUUAUUCAAAUAUUGUAAUCAAAUCAAAUCAUGGAUCAAUCAUUAAAAAUUAUUGUAAAUCAUCAUUAUCAUUUUUUUAUCAUUAGCUAUGGUCACUGCUAUAACCCAUAACAUUGACCGUAUCGAUAAUUUCAUCCUCAUGAUCAUUGCUAACUAUUAUAACCCACUAGCUAAGGCUUUACGUUAACUACUAUAACUUGUUGCAGGGCCAUAUGAUCAUGUCCAUGCUAACUACUUGUUAGCCAGGGUCGUAGAACUAGUUCUGUGUUGAUGAUCUCACUUUUUAGAGAUGUAAAAAUGUAGCUAUCAUAAAAUUAUUCUUUAAACAUAAAUCAUUUUUUUAGUUUAUUCAUAAGCAUGAUCCAUCAUUUAUAUAGUAAAAACACAAAAUAAUUAUAUGCUUGAUCCUAUUUUCAUAUAUCGAAAUAAUAAAAUAAAACAUUUACUCAUUUAGAAACAUACAUAUAUAUACAUAGGUUUGAAAACAAGCAAAGUGUGUAAGAUUCUACUUACCUCCUUCCGAUUCUAUCAUCAAUUUUUCUCCCCAAAUAAUUAAUGGCCUAUUCAAGAUAAUUUCAACAUAACAAUAAUUAAUCAACCCAUUUGAGACCACUUAUACCGAAACAAUUAAGUUAAACAAGAAUUAACUCAAGUAACUAAUUCUGGCAACCUGUACUACUGUCACUAAAAUAACCAUAUCUUUAGAUAUCCAUCUUCGAAUUAAAAUCUUUUUAUGCAUUAGAAACUAGACUCGAUAAGCUUUCUAACCAUAUAUGGCCCAUCUCGUGAUUCAUUGUGGAUUAAUUAUAACAAUUUUUGCAAUCCACACCAUAUGCUGCUGCCAGAUAGCUUGUAUACCUUCUCAUAAAAAUUAUGUAUUUAUUCAUAAGAAACUCCAAAUUCAAUUUCACUUGUUUCCUUGGAAAGUAGACUCAAUAAGCUUUCCAAACAUACUUGGCUUAAUCUGUAAAUCCUUGUAUAAAAAUUAAGACAAAUUUCACAAUUCAACCUUGAUGUUGCUACUUUAUAGCCUGCAUAUUCUUAAGCAAAAAUUAGGCAACUCUUCAUAAAAAAACUCGAAUUCGACUUCCAUUUGUUUCAUUAGAAAGUAGGUUCAACAUGCUUUCCAAUGAUAUAUAAUAAUCAUAGCAAUAAUUUAUCCAUUAAUACAUAAUCCUAUUUUAAUUCACUAUUGCAGAUCAUAGCAUCUCAUCUAAAAGUAGAAUUUCUCCUUCAAUCUUUAAAAGCUCAAAUCCUUACUUUUAACCUUUAAACUCCAUUCAAUAAUCAUCAAUAAAUCUUAAAAACAUAAAAUAAACAAAGCCCAAUAAUUUACCUAAAUAAAUCAUGAAGAUUAAUGAAAGAUUUCAUAAUUUUCUUGGUUUUGCUCUUAAAACUUCAACUCUAAAUAAUAGUAAUCAACUUGAUAUUUCUUCUUAAAUAAAAGAGGGCAUAUACUCACCUUUAAGAGAUUAACUUGAUUGUAACCUCUGAUUUUGAAUCGCCAACUUGAUUUUUCAUAUUCUCUAACCUUAAGGAAAAUGAGAAAGAAGAACUCUUAUUUCUUUUCUGUUUCUCGACAACUAGGUUUUCUUUCAUUUAAUAACUCAAUAAUUUUUUUUUUUACUAAUUAAUCUCUUAAUGAAUUGAUGGGCUUUGGUAUUACUCUAGCGCAAUUAUUAUUUGGGUUGGGGUAUCAAAUUCCAUGCCCAUAGUUUGUUCAUAAGGCUUGAUAUCCACUGAUGCUGGAGGUAGUGUUUUAGCCACCUUUUCAAAUUGGCCUUUAUUUAUAUAUCUUCUUACCUUUUUUAACUUCUUGGCAGCAUUUUUUCCUAGCUUGUAACUGGAACAAUAAUUUUUUGGGUAGCAACAUGCAUGACAUUUUUUUCAUGAUUAAUUUUCUUUAUCAAAUAAUCAACUUUUUCUUCCAAAACUUCAACCCUAGAAAGUCACCAUUCAACUUGGUCAAGCCACUUAUAUUUAAAUCUUAUUAUGUAUGAAUUUAAUUAUCUAAUUAGAUGAUUAUUCUGUAAUUAUAAUUUAAUUAUGAUAUAAUAAUUAAUUAUUUAAUUUAUUAUAUGAGUAUAAUAUAUUGUAAUCAAAGGAUAAAAUAUUUUUAUUAAGGCCAUGCCACCAUGGUCCUCAAGAUUGCUCAAUUGAUCAUGAUACAUAUAUAUACAAGAGAUCUUGUUUACAUACUUUCACUUUGGGGGAAAAAUUAUGUUGAAAGAGAUAUAGUCAAAAGUCUUAUGCUAAUGGGCACUAACUGUUAAACUAAUAUAUGCUCAACAAGUCACUAAUUUAAGCUUAAAUAGAAAAUUAAACACUAACCUCUAAGCAGGGAGAGUUGAAACCCACUAAACAGAAGGUGCCUGAGCCACUGUAAGAUGGAGAUAAUGUCAUCAAUGCUACUUGACUCAUCGAUGGUUGCUAGUUUCAUGUGGUCGACGAUGCAUGCAAUGAGGAGCUAUAUUUUCUGGUUGUUAGAGAGAGUAUCUCUACUCUCUUUCCUUUUUUGAACUGAAAUUAGUUUCCUUAAUGGGCCAGAUAACUAUUUAUGCAAGGAUGAGAGUAAAGAGUCCCUCGUUAGCAAAUAUCACCCUAUCCCAUUAUGAGUAUAUACAAAAAUAACUUAGGUCACACUUUAAUCAAAAUCUUACUAUGUGAUUAGAUAUAUCGUAAUAUAGUACCUCUACAUUUAGUCAUUGAUUUGAUAUUAACCAAAUUUAAUACAACCCUAAAUGAUUUUGUUCAUCCAUCAACAUGAGAUUACUAUAACACCAACUUGAUUUGGCUCUUUCUCUAUAGUAAUAAGUUUUGGCACAUUGUUAAUGCUUAAUAUAGUUGCUUGUAACUCUAGUAAAAUAUGUUUUACCAAGAAAGAGAAGCCUUGGAUCAUUCAGCUUAUUGUAAAAACUAGACUUGUUAGUCAAUUGCUUUAAAAUUUUUAUGUGGUUAAUUGGUUGGAUAUGAUCAAUUCAUUGUAUAAACUACCACCUAAAAUUUGUCUUUGAAGCACCUUGUAACUUCAACUUUCAUUUAUGUACAUCUUUUAUUUGAUGACAGAAAGCAAAUUAGCAAGUUUUGAGCUUACUCACAAAAAUGUAGUUUGGAGUGAAUAACCACCCAUAAUAAAUGCUUAUGUGUCUUCCACGAAUCACCUAGGAUGUGUAGUAUGCUCUAUCAAACCCAAACUUGAAAGUUGGCUAAAGAAUUGGCAAUUAGGUUUUGAAACAUGAUAACAAAUUUCUACUUAGCAUGACAAGCAAGUAAACUAAAUGAUAUAUUAGAAUUUAUGUAUUUGAGCCUGGUCAGUUGACUCUGUUAGACAGAGCUUAUGCAUUAAUUGGAAGAGGGAUCUUCACUUGAACAUGGGAUAUUGGUGAUUACCCUUUAAUUGACAAAUGAAUUGAGCUUGAAUGAGAUGGUAUUAGGUUCAUAAUUUGUUGAAUGAAAAAAGACUAUGGUUUGAACAAAAAUAAAAAGAAUAUUAUGUAGCAUCAGAGAAAACAAUGCUAGUUGGUUUAUAACAUAUUGAUUAGGGCUAUUGUCUUUAUUUUUUUGGUUAUUACAUUAUAAAAGCCUCAUAGUAAUAGUACUUUUGUACUUUUGAAACAAGCAUGCAAAUAAUAAUUUGUAUUGUUUAUCCUAACAUGGAAUGCAAAAUUUGUCAUGUGUUCAAGACAUUAAGUAUGUUCUAACAAGUCACAUUUUAGUUUCAUGGUGUGGACAAUCAUAGCAUAGCACAUAUAUGUUUCACUUUAAUAUUUGUGUGCAUAUUCCUUGCACAAAAGAGAUUGAUAGAUAUCAGUCCAUGAAAGUUAAAGAUUAGACCUUGACUAUAGGUAUUCCUUUUACUACUUUCUAAAUUGUCUUAAAGAUUAAAUUUCAAGCCUUGUAUGACUUGAUGAUGAAUAAAGUUACAUGAGCAUAAAAAAUCUCCAAUCAUGUGGUUUAUUAUAGCAUAAAUUCAAGUUCAGUAAGUUCAUCAAAGGUAUGAUUCUCUUACCAAAAGAAGAAAAAAGAGAAUGAUUCAACAAAUAUAUAGAUUUUCCUUAUAAAAAACAGUAAACUAUUAAUAGAAGUAAUCAUCUGCAAUUUGUUACUAUUAUGAUAUUGUAGUUCUUUGCACUUGUAAGUCACUGUGAGGAGAUGUUUAGGAGCCUAGAUUUGAAACAAGGAGCAAUAGUAUUCUUAGUUGUCUCAUCCUCCUAUUCUAAGUCUUUCCACCAGAAUUUCCAUCUAUGAUUGGCAAUGCCAUGUCUUUUAGCAUGAUUUGCAUUGACUGAAAGCUUCUUCAGUUUUGGACACCUUAAUAUGAAGAUUUUCUUGAGAUUUAAAAAUGGAAGGGGAUCCUGGUAGAUGCAUUUUAGUUUUGGCAAGUAAGACAAAUGGAGAACUUCAAGCUUUUCAAAUGGCUUAGUACUUCUUACUUUCUUUGAAAGCCCUGCACAUUUGGUUAUGCUGGUUAUUUCUUUGAUUUGGGAGUAUCUUGAUAUGUAAAGACUAGCAAGCUUUGGGGCAAGCAUAAGCCAUUUCAAAUCUUCUAGUUGCAUACAGUUGUCUUCACUUACACUUUGAAGGUCAUUAAGCCAUCUAUUCUUCAGGAUCAUAAGGCUUUGGAAAUUACAGAUGUUAGGUUUUUUCUUUGUUUCUAUAACCAAUCAUGCUUCAACUCAUUUAAACUUAUAUAGUCUAAGAUAUAUAGCAUAUUGAGCUACUUCAUAUAUGCUAAACAUGAAAUGUUUAGAAUAUUUGAACCACUUAAAUACUAAAGGCAUAGGUUUUAAGCAUAGCUCUUUAACUUGUGAGAGCUUAAGAGUCCUUCAAGUGCAGAAAUGCUCUUUAUAGUGAGACUCAACAUACUCAAUUAUUUUAAACACUAUAAUUCCUUGACCAAGCACUCAUUUCUCCCAGCCAGAAUAUUACCUUACACAACAGAUCGGAAGAACCACAAUUAAACAUUCUCAACACUUGUAAGAAUGGAAAGUUGGAUAUCAGUUGGCAUGGAAUUGUACUUAGUGCAAAGUAUCCUCCAAGGUCAAAUUUUAGCCUUUGCAUGGACUUGAGCUCAUUUGGCAAUUGUCUUAUCCUUUGUCUUGGAUAUAUUGAGAUAUUGUAGGGAAACAAGUUAUGAAAUUCCCUAAGGCAAUUCAGUUAUGCCACUAUUACAGGACAGGUCUAGCACCCUUAGAUUAGGCAAAGACUAAAAGAAAUCAUUAGUGAUUGUCUUCAAUGUUUUCAUUGAGAAACAAGGUUAGUAGGUUAGGACAUGAAGGUGUUUUGAUUAGACUCUUCAAGAUAAUUUGCCAUCAAUUAUAUCCUUCUUAUCGUUUUUCAUUUUUUAACCCUGGUGCUUCAAUUAAUAAACACCUGCUUGCACCAAAACACCUUCUCUCAAAAUUAUUGCACUUCAUUGGCUAUCUAUAGAGCCAUAUCACGAAUCAUGAAUCAUGUCUUGCAUUUUCAUAUAACGACCUUCUUCUUCCAACAAACAUGCAUAUACAAGUGUCCCAAUAAUGUCAUACCCUUGGUUUUGAACUCCAUUUCUGUCAUUACAUUCAUCUAAAAGUCCCUCUUAAAUCUAAUAAUCUAUUAAAUCAGUUUUGUGAAUGACAAAGUCUUUUGAAAUAAAGUACAAUAUAAGAAGAAAGAUCUCACUUUCUUAUUAGGUAAAUGAUCAAAAUUGAACUUUAAAAGAGGAAAGACCUUAUCCAUCACGCUUGAAAAUUUUAGGCACAUUUUUUUAAAACCUCAAUUGGAUGAAUCCAUUCUUGUGGUGCUUCUUAUAGGUCAUGGCUUGACUAAUGGUGAUAAAUGGUAGUGGCAAACUAGCACACUCUUUGGCCAUAAUUUCUGUUGACAUAUGAAUAUCUGGAUAUAGGUUGAGAGUAUCAUUUUCAAUCUUCUUCUGAAACAAAUGCCAAUAAAAAAAAGGUGGCAAACACUCUACUUUAAAACCUUUAUUAGCUUUCCAUCAGACCACACACCUCUUUGGAAUGUGUGGUGAAGACUAGACUACCUUGGAGUUAUUUUGUUGGUUGGUCUAGGAACUCAUAUUUUGUUAGAUCAAUUCGGUCCCAUAAAUCAUCCAACAACAAAACAAAUUUCCUAGUGCUUAAAACUUUGUGUAUGUCUAUAGCCUUUUACUCAAUAUUUUUAUUUCUCCACCUAUCUUCAAAAUAUCCUAUCUUUUCCCCAAUCUCUUCCUGAAUCUUUUCAGGUUUUAGGUCUUUGACGCUACUACCCAUAUCACAAAAUCAACAUUGCUAUGAUGGCUGAUGAGCAUGUUGUUGAUUUGAGUCAUGAGAAUAGUUUUGCCAAUGCCUCCCAUUCCAUAUAAAUUGAUGAUUCUUGCUUGAUCUUCACUGAGGCAGUUCCAAACAGUAGUAAACAUGGACUCCAUGCCCACAGUUUGUUCACAAGGCUUUAGAUCCUCUGGUGCUAAAGGUAGUGUUUCAACCAACUUCUUAAAUUGUCCUUUCUUUAUAUGUUUUCUAUGUUGAAAAUAGUGACUUAAAUCCCAUAACAGAUUUGUUUGGGAUUGGUUAGAUAUUUUUAAUGGACAAGAAGACUUGCAAAAAAAGAAUUUUAAAAGAAAAAAAAUUCUUAAUAGGCAAGUUUGACUUGUAGAAGAAGAAUUCUAAGAAAAAAUGGAUUCUUAAUAGACAAGUUUGUAUUGUUAUAAAUAGGUAAAGUCUCUACAAGAUUAGGUAUGAGAAAAAAAAUAUAAGAGAGUUGUAGAGUUUUAUGGGAUAGACACCCUAUAAAACUAUUAGAGAUUUAUGUUUUAUGAAUGUGUAUGGAUAUGAAUAUUUAUGAGUGGACUAGAGGAGACUGAGAUGUUCUACAUAAGUAUGAUAUAUGGUGCACAUGGGUAUGUGUUUAUUUGAGUGAGAAUACUCUAUAGGACUAUAAGAGAUUAAGAGGGUCUAUGGGUAUUGAUUGUUGAGUAAGGUUAAUAUAAUUUUGUAUGUUUGUAAUUUUCUACAACUAGUGGAUCUUAUUUCUCAUCCAUAGAUGUAGGUCAAGUUGGAUCGAACCAUAUUAAAUUACUGUCUCUUGUGUGAUUGAUUAAUUGAUCGUUUGAUUUCAUUUUUGUUGAUAUGAUUGGAUUAAGGCCUUUUUAGCCUAACAUUCUAACCUUAUUUAACGUAUUGGCAGCAUUUUUUCCUAGCUUGUAACUGGACCAACAAUUCUUGGGGUAGCAACAUCCGAGACAUUUCUUUUCAUGAUUAAUUUUCUUUAUCAGAUCAUCAAUUUCUUCUUCCAAAACUUUAACCCUUGAAAGCCACCAAUUCAACUUGGUCAAGCUAUUUCAAAUGUUGCCUUUCAGCAAUCUGAACUCUCCUCUUCAUGUCGUUUCUUAAUGCUUUUAGUUCUUCCAUUUUGGUUUCAAGAACACCCAAAUGUUUCCCUACUUUGCAGGCAUAACUCGUGUGCUUUACUAUGUGAUUGCAGCAGAAUAAGAUGGUAUCCUCAAUCGAAAUCGAGAUAAAGCAUAAGCCUCCCAUAGUAUACACGAAAAAAAAAUUGUUGAAGGGGUGAAAGAAAUAGAUUUACCAACUAGCUUUGUUAGAAAGAGAAUGAGCAAAUAGAAAGGUUCGAAGUUUGUAAAUGCUAAUCAACAAUCUAGAAUGUUUGACUGUAAUUUGGCAUAGUGUCAUAAGGAGAAUCAAGAUUCAAUAGUUUCUGAAUACUAUAAAAUAAAAUUGAGUUAGAUUAAUGUUUUAUAAAGUUGAUUAAUGUGACUACCACAAUGAAUUAAGCAAAAGAUAUUACUUUUCUAUAUUAUCAAUUUGGUGUAUAGUCGGGUAAGCAGUUUCAACUUUUUCAUCCUUCUAAUCCUUUUUUUGACCAUUCAAAAGGCCAAAUAUGUAUGAACAAGUAUCUUGUCAUUGAGUGAACUGGUUUCAAGAUUAACUUAUCUUUAGAGAGUUGCAGGAUUCUAUUUUAUAUGUCUAACGGUAAAGUGGUAUCAUUUUACAUUUGUUAAAUAUUAAAUUUUUUGUGAUCUUAUAUCAAUGACCAUGCUCAUUGGAGCCUAGAACCAUGAAUUUUGAAAAAAAUUUUAUAGGUAUACUAUUUUCUUAAUGAUUUAGAUUUUUUUAUAAAAAUUAUAAAAUUAAUUAAACCCCCCUCAAAUCUAAAUUCAUUGUGUUCAUAUAUAUUAUUUUUUAUUCUUUAUAUCUAUAUUGAAUAUAUAAUAACAAAAAUUAAUUAUAUCUAAACGUUAUCACUAUUUAACUUAGAUUUGUUUAUUAUAAAUGAUUUCAUUUUAAAAUGAAUAAGUUUGUCAUCACUAUAUUUUUACAAACUUUAAGAGUUAAAUUUAAUAUAUAUACAAGUAUCAUAAUAAUUAAUAACGAAUUGACAAAUAUCCAAUUGUUAUAAUUUUUUCAACCAAACAUUUUUUCUUGCUAUAUCCUGGAUGUUCAAUAAUUUUAAAUUAUUACAUGCCAAAAUAAUUAAAAUUAUUAGUUUAAAUACCUUUUCUUUUUUCAUAAUAUAAAAAAUACCAUUUAAAGGAUUAAAAAGUUUUAAUUUAUUGUAUUAAGGUCUCUAUUUUAUUAUUCUAAAGUCUUUUUUAUUUAAAAGACAUAACUUUUUAUGAUUUUUUUUACUUUAAUAUAGAAAAUAAUAAAUAUGGUAAGAUAAAGUGUUAAUAAUGUAAAAAAAUAAUGAUUUUAUUUUUAUAAAGAAUGUUACUUUGGUUCUCUCAAAAUUAAAUGUCAAGAUUCCUCACAGUCUUAUAUUUAAGUUGAAUCCAUUUACUUAUUAUCAAUUAAUUUUAAAUUUGAUACUUGAUAUUAUAUUAAAGUUCUAUUUUGUUAUUUUUGUCAGCUAUCCAAGUUUUUCACUUGAUAGACUAUUGUCUCCAUAUAAAUCUGAUGAGAGCAUGUUCCAUAUCCAUUGAUUUUAUGUUGAAUGUUUUGUUAUUUAUAAGAAUUUCAUUGAUCUUGCACACUACAUAUCCUGAUAAGAUUAGCAAAUUCAUUCAUACAAUUAAUUUUACUAAUUUUGAUAAUUUCCAAGAUUUGCCACAUGUCAUCUUCUUAUUUUUCUUUUCUUUUCUUGUGCUUUCUUUUUUUUUUUUCUUUUAAUAUUUUUGAAAUUCACAUAGAUAAUAAUUUAUAAUUAAAGAAACUCAAGAAGAAUAUAAAUAGUAACCAUUUACCACAGGCAUAGAUAAUAGAAUAGGCAAGGAUUACAUAGGUUUAAAUCAAGAAAAAGUUGGAAGUAUAAAUAAAAUAAAACAAAUUGAGAUAUUUAGGUUGAAGCUAAAAUUACUUACUCAGCAUUAAAAUGCACCCUAUAUUUAAAACCAUAUAAGCAAAAGAUUCACCAAUAACUUAGUCAAUUUAAUGAACAUCAUACAAAUGAAAAAAUCAUCCACGAUUUUAGAAGACACCGCAACAGCUUCAAGCACAACAAUUAUAACAGAGACCAAAGGUAAAAGUAAUAUGUUUACUCUGCAAUUUCCGUCAACAGACGUAAAGCAGGACAGAAAUCGUUUAGAGCACAUUCAUGCUCCCAUUGAAGCUCUUUCCACCAUUCUUUCUCACCUCUGAUGCUGAUUUUGUUUUCCUUUGCACUGUUGGAGUUGAGUGGAAGUCUUUUCAGCUUUGGGCACCGACGAACAUAAAUAUGUUUCAAACAUGACAAGGGAAGUGUGUCCCAGUAAAUGCUCUUCAACUCUGGCAAAACAUGCAAAUAAAGAGAAUCGAGUUUUCAAAAUAGGCUUAAAGUUUCCACUAGCUGAGCCACUUGACUCAGUUUCCUCUCAUUGAUUAUUUCCUCCAUAUUGUUGCAGUACAUCACAGUAAGAGACCUCAGGUUUGGAGCUAGAAUUAGCCAUGUUAUGUCCUUCAAUUUUGUCAAUUUAUAAUAUCCGUUUAUUCUUACAUAGCGAAGGCUUUGGAGGCAAUGUUUGCUAGCAAUCACAGAGGUUUGAAUGUGGCUCUGCGCUUUUAUCAUUCUGCCUUCUCCUCCCCACUCCAUCUCUACCUCUUGCAAACUUUCGCUCCCCAGAAGGCGUAGACUGUCUAGACUCUUCAUAUUCGCUAAAGAUAAAAUAUUCAAUCGCUUUGAGCCCUUGGAUAAGUAAAGCUCAAUUCGUACAGUGUAGCUGCAUAACCUUUCAGUACUCAAAAGUCUAUCGAGAACCAAAGCACUCGUUAUAGUGACAGUCAACAAUUUCAAAUGGUUCAAGCACUUCAAUUCUUCCACCAAGCAUUCACUAUUAUCUUCCCCUUCCUGGCCCAAAGAAUAAUCACAGCCUAACAUUCUCAAUACUUGCUGCGUUGAAAAAGCAGAUAUCAACUGUCUUGGAAUUCUUAUGGCAGGACUAAAGCAUUCCAAGUUCAAGCAUUUAAGCUUUUCUAAAGCCUUCAAUUCAAUUGGUAGCUCUCUUAUCCCUGUAUAGGAGAGAUCGAGACAUUCCAGAGACACCAAUUUCGAAAUUCCCACUGGAAAUUCUUUUAUAUAUCUAUUGUAUGACAAGUUUAGAACUUUAAGCCACACGUAAAUUGGAAGAAGUCAUUAUUGAUCACCUGCAACUGAUUAUCGUUAAGAAACGGAGUUUGGAGAUCAGGACAGUUAGGUGCUUCUACUAGAUUUUCAAUCCUGUUCUUCAACAAUGACAUCCUGCGUAUACUUCCCCAAUUCUGAACUUCUGGUAACUUAGUUAAUUGAUAACAUGUCUCCACAAAAAACCUCCACUUUUCUUCUUCACACUUACAUGUGUUGGGAUUUGCCUUGAAUCUCGUAAUCCCACAUCGAAAUUUAUAAGAGUUUUUAAUUUGUUUUUUAUCUCACAUCGAGAGUUUAGUAAAGGUACAAGGGAUUUUACUCUUAUAAAUAAUAUGUUUUAGGUUUAGUUUAAUAAUCUCAUAUGAUUAGAUACGAAAAUCCCAUAUAUUUAAUCACCAAGAGAACAACUAAGUAAGUAGGUUAUAAAAGAGUGUAAUUGGUUUUGAGUUAAAUUUUGAGUAAAGAUUUUUUUGUGAUUUUUCUCAUUUCAAAAGUCUUUCAAUUGUAAAGAUUUAUUUGAUAGUGAAUUAGGUUUGGAGUAAAUCAUUUUAAGUUUGACCGAAACAAAUAUAUUUGUAUGUUCUUAUUCUUAAUUUGAAUUUACUAUUUUAUGUCUAGGUGCUGUGGUUGAUUUCCCAACAACAUGCUAUCCACAAACUCAUGUCAAGAAACACGUCAUGCAUCUUUAUGCAAAAUUCAUUUAUUUCUUCCAAUAAACAUACAUGAAGAAGACAAACAAUGAUGUGGUGGCCUUGGUUUCGAGCUAAACUUGUAUUGCCACGUCCAUCCAAAAACCCCUCCCCUAUCCAGAAAUCUAUAAGCAUAUCUUUUCCAAUUUGGUAAUCCUUCGAGAACAAACUACAGUAUAAGAGGCAAGUUCGAAUCAUGUCAUUGGGAAGAGAAUCAAGACUGAAUUUUAGAAGAGGAUAUACCUCUUCAUCCAUGUCUGGAAAAACAGAGGCAGAUGAUCUCCGACACACUUCAAUUGCAUAUUUCCAUUCUUCAACUGUGUUCUUCCAAGCCAUGGCACGAGCAAUGGUGACGAGUGCGAAAGGCAGUCCUCCCCACUCUUUGGCCAAUUCAUGAGCCAACUCACGAAUACAUGGAUUACUUUCAAGUGUUUCUUCACCAACUUUCUUUGAAAUAACUCCCAAGCUUUUUCUUCAGGCAAACACCGCACUUCAAUCUUCUUUUGAGCUUCCAUUUGGCCACACACCUUGAUAGAACGAGCUGUGAAAACUAGUUUGGAACCAUUUUCUUGAGUGGGGAGAGGUAUCCGAACCUUAGAUAGAUCAACUCGCUCCCACAUAUCAUCUAACAAUAUAACAAAUUUCUUUUCCUUUAAAACCCUGAAGAUGUUUUGAGCUUUUUCCUCUGGACUUUUGUUCUGCCAUGUUCCACCAGCUAUUCCCACCCUUUCAGCAAUGUCAUCUUGGACCUUUCCGAUAUAAAACCCUUUAGAUACUACUAUCCAAAUAACAACAUCAAAUCGAUUUGGGGGUUCAGAAAACUUGUUGUGGAUUUUGUUCAGGAGGCAUCCCAUGCCAUGCAGGCCAACAAUUCCCACUUGUUCAGCUUCAAGGAUGCUCCAAGCCUUGUCGAAUUUGGAUUCCAAACCAACAGUAUGCUCAGGAGGUCAUUCAGUCACUAGAGGUGUUGGUUCUCCCUCAGCCACCUUGUCAAAAACUCCCUUGCUCUUAUGAUCCACAACAUUUCGGAGCAUUUUGGCAAUUUGCUUCCCAAACUUCAGGUUGGACUUGGGACUCAUAGAACAACAACCUCCUAUACAUAAUUUCUUAAUUUCCUGAGGACUUUCCACAAUCAACAAAUCAGCUCCCUUAAUCAAAGUUUCUGCCCUCGAAAGCCAGCAUUGAACUUGGUCUAGCCGCUUCAGCUGUUGCUGAUCUUCAGCUAUUUUCACACUUCUGAUAACAUCAUCCCUUAGACCAGUUCAAAUAUUUCAGCCUUUGUUAGGACUUGAGCUCAGUUGGCAACUGUCUUAUACUUGUCUUGGAUAGAUUGAGAUAUUGCAGGGAAACAAGUUUUGAAAUUCCCUGGGUCAAUUCAGUUAUGCCACUAUUACAGGACAGGUCUAACACUUUUAGAUUAGGCAUAGAUUGGAAGAAGUCAUUGCUGAUUGUCUUCUAUGUGUUUUCAUUGAGAAACAAGGUUAGUAGGUUGGGACAUGAAGGUGUUUCGAUUGGAUUCUGAAGGCAAUUUGCCAUUAGUGAUAUCCUUUUUACUGCUUCCCAUUUUUUGAUCUCUGGUGCUUCAAUUAAUCAAACACCUGCUUGCACUAAAAUACUUUCCUAAAAAAUAUUGCACCCAUUAGCUAUCACAGAGCCAUAUCACGAAUCACAUCGACAUUUUCACAUCAUAACCUUCUCCUCUCAACCAAACAUGCAAAUACAAUUGUCCUAAAAAGUCAUCCCUUGGUUUUGAGCUCCAUUUCUGCCAUUAAAUUCAUCUAAAAUCCUUCACAAAUCCAAUAAUGAAUUAAAUCAGUUUUGUGAAAUGACAAAGUCUUUUGGAAAUAAAGUGCAUAUAAGAAGCAUGAUCUCACUUCCAAUUAGGUAAAUGAUCAAAGAACUUCAUAAGAGGAAAGACCUUAUCCCGCAUACCCUCAAAAUUGAGGCACAUUUCUCAAACCUCAAUUGGCACGAAUCCAUUCUUGUGGUGUCUUCCUUGCAGGCCAUGGCUCGACGCGGUGGGUGAUAAUUGCUAGUGGCAUAUCCAGCGCACUCUUUGGCCAUAAUUUCCGACAGCAUACGAAUGUCUGGAUGCAAGUUGAAAGUAUCAUUUACCUAUCAGCUUGUGUUGGAAAGAGAAUAAGCGAACAAAAAGGAUUGUAAGUUUGAAAAUUCUAAUCAGCAAUCUGGAAUGUUUGACUGUAAUUUAGCGUAGCAACACAAUGAGAACCAUCAUUCAAUAUUUUCCGAUUGAAGUAUUGAUUUCAUCACUGCUUCCAAGCUCCAGCCACUUCCGAAAAGAAAAAUGGGCAUGAGCAUCAAAGUAGUUUUCAGAUUUCACAAUAACGAAACGAAACAAUAUAUAUAUAAUAAAAUUGAGUUAGAUUAAUGUUUUUAUAAAGUUGAUUAAUGUAACUACCUUAAUGAAUUAAGCAAAAUAUAUUAACUUUCUAUAUUAUCAAUUUGGUGGAUAGUUGGAUCAUAUUGAAACAAGCAGCUUCAAUUUUUUCUUGAACAAAAUGUCAGAACAAAAUCCACACAUUACACAAAAAUUAAUUUAUAGAUUUUCACCGAUCAUUGCAUUUAUUAAAAAUAUUAUAAAUGAAACCUACUCGCUGAUCUAGUAAAUUUAUCUUGAACAUUGUUUAUUACAAAUAAAAAAAUUUAACGUGCGGUAACGUACGAGACUGUUUCUAGUUCAUGUUAAUAAAGCAACAGUUCCAUUCCUUUACCCUGAGAUCAUGCAUUUAUUGUUGCCAUGGACCAUUGAAUAUUCUUUGUUGCCCAGAAGUAUGGUUUGCCUGAUCCCUCAUUAUAAAUGUUUACAUCGUCUUUCACUCCCCAUAUCAUAAUUUUUGGACUUUUUAACCGUUUAAGUGGAAGUUUUAACACCACGAAAAUAAAAAUAAAUUAGCCUAACAAAAAAGAGAGAAGUUGAGAAAGCUCAUAACAGCUUCCAAAGAGCAUUUGCAACCACAAUAAAUAGAUUGUAUCAAUACUAACUUAAUAGAAAUUAGAAACUUCUGAGUAAAUGAUAUAAAUUUGAAAUUUUUAGUAUCUUCUACUCGUAUAAAUUACUAUACCUAUAGUGUAUUAAUUUUUGACAUAUGCGUAAUGUACAUGUCAUUUUUAUAUUUAAAAAAUUCAAUUAAAUAAAUAUUUUUUUGGUUUCUAUGAUAAUAAUGAUAAAUACGAACAAUUUAAUUUUAAUUUUGAUAAUUUUUUAUAUAUUUUGAUAACAUUUGUUAGAAGUUUGAUCACUGUUCAUAAAUUUUUGGUAUCUUCUAUACAAUUUUGUUAACUUUCAAUAUUUUAAUGACUUAUUAUAUAAUUUUGGUAACAAUUGAUACAAUUUUAAUACUUUUUGAUAAAAUUUUGAUAACUGCUUGAUGUAAUUUUGAUAUACUUUGACUAAAUAUUUAAUUUGAGAGAUGAAACAUUUAUAUGAUUACUAAAUUUAGAACUAAACAUUUUAUUUUAUAUGAAUAAAAAUUAAAUGCUAUCGAAUGUUUAUAAUUAAAUAUAUAUUUAGAUGAAAAUUUGUGAGUGUUUCACACGCACUAUUAACUCUAAUAAAAAUAACAAUUAAAUGAAAAAAUCGAUCAUCUAUAAUUUUUUUAGUGGUUAAGUAUUAUUUUAAAUAAAAAAAUUAAAAAUAAUCCUAAAAUAGAUAUCUAUUUUUUAGGAAAAAAUUAGAAAAAAAAAACAUUUCAUUUUUUCUUACUAUUUUAAAUACAGUUUAAAAACAAAAAGUAAGAAAAUAAAAAUUAAAAGUUCUAGUAUUUUUUUCACAAUCAUUAAAUUUUCAAUUAUUCAACAUUAAUCUACAAAAAAAAAAAAAUCACCACUCCAUACUAUAAUACUCAUGAAAUUCAAAACCCAAAACUAAACCCUAUAAAUAAAAAACGUUUCAUUUUUUUUAUUUUUUAGGAAAAAAUUAAAAAAAAAACAUUUCAUUUUUCUUACUAUUUUAAAUACAGUUUAAAAAUAAAAAGUAAGAAAAUAAAAAUUAAAAGUUCUAGUAUUUUUUCCACAAUCAUUAAAUUUUCAAUUAUUCAAUAUUAAUCUACAAAAAAAAAAAAAAAUCACCACUCCAUACUAUAAUACUCAUGAAAUUCAAAACCCAAAACUAAACCCUAUAAAUUUUUGUUUGUCUAAAAAUUUUGAAUUAAAACAUGUAUGAAAAAGACAAAAAACUGAAACCAAUGAUCUAACAUCACCCUAAUUAUAGAGCUCAAGGAUCAUAAACCCCUUGAAAAAUCAUCAAAUCCAAGGAAUAUCCCAUGAUCCGAAGUGUAAUUACCUGAACCCAUUGUCAAAAGAUCUAGAAACGACCCGUCUUUAGGCAAUUCACUGUUCAACUGUACUGUUCCGUCCAAAAUCAAGCGUGAUGGGGACUCCGCUUGAAACUCAAUGGUGGAUUGCUCCGAAUGGGUCCUGGGAGGCUCUGAGUUUGCAAACUGGGCAACAACUGCUUGGAUUUCGAACACACACUUCCCCCAUUUUCACUUUCGAACACCCUUGAAUUGCAAAUUGCUUUUCUCAGCUGCAGGUUUCUCGCUUAUGUGUUUCACUAUAUUCUUUUCCUUUUCAAAUCUCUGGGAUUGUCUUGGGUUCUCUUUCUCAGUUCUGUCUUUAAACUUAUUAGGCACACCUCAUAACCCUCACCUCCCCUUGAUUCAUUUCUUCGAGACACCUUUUCCAUCUCCAACUUCUUAAUUAUAAAAUUACAAAAAAAGAUUCAUUGAUUAGGUGUUUGUUAAUCUGGUUUUCUUCCAAAAUUUCAAAUUUGGCAAAGAUUGAGCAUGCACAACCUUUUAACAGCUCAACAAGGCAAGGUUUAAAAUUUCUAGUUUUUUUAUAUUGUAAAUAAAGGAGUUACAACUAAAGAAAGAAAGUGAACACUAAGAGAAAGUAGUUGAAUGGAGAAAAAAAUUGAAUGAAAUUAAAAAAAAAAAAAAAAGGCUAGCCCUUUGCAAGAACAGAACAAUGGGAGGCUUUGUAGAGAAACAAGAGUUGAAAGGAGAAAAUUUUGAAGUUAAGAUAAAAAGAAAAAAAUUUGGAAAGAAAGAAGAAAGAAAAGUUGUUGUGUUCUUAUAAAACUGAUGUUUUUAUUAUCUUUUAAUUUUUUUGGGGUUUUAGGGAAUAAAUUAGUAUAAUACACAACUAAACAAUGCAAUUAAACCACAUGGAGAAGACACGCACAAUUUGUCAUCUAAAUAUAUCCUUAAUUGUAAACAUUAAAUAAUGUUUAAUCCUUAUUUAUACUCUUAAUCGUAAUCGUUUAAUCUUAAAUUGAGUAACUAUGCAAACGUUUAAUCCUAAAUUGAGUAUUUAACCUAUUUUUUUUUGUAAUUAUUAAUAAAAUUUGUGCCAUCAUAUAUUAAAUAUUGGAUUCUUGCAAUAAAGUGUAGGCUUCAUGUUACUAUAAGAUAAUUUUCCUUUUUAUAAAGUAACAUUAUUGCUUCAUUUAAAUUUAGAUUUUCUUUACUAAUUUUUUUAUUAAAUAAGCUCAUGGUAGAUUUAUCCUAGCCUCUUAAGAUAAAAGUUCUAGUUUCUUUUUUAGUAGUAACCAAAGUUCAAAACCUGACAACUUUGAAUAUAAAAAAAUUAUCAAAUAUUGACAAUUAAGUUAUCAUUAUGUUAUCAAUGAUUUACUACUAAGUUAUUAAUAAUUUAUUACUAAAAUAACAUUAAUUUACAACUAAUUUAUAAAUGAUUUAUCACUAAAUUAUAAAUGAUUUACCAUUAAAUUAUUGAUAAUUUAUCACUAAAUUACUAAAAAUUUAUUAUAAAGUUAUAACUGAUUUACUACUAAGUUAUCGAUUAUUUAUUACAAACUUAUCAAUUAUUAACUAAUUUAUUGCUAAAUUAUCUCUAAUUUACAACUAAAUUAUCACUAAUUUAUAACUAUGUUAUUAGUGAUUUAUUACUAAAUCCCCAAUGAUUUACUAUUAUACUAUUAUGCAUUUAUUACAUGUUAUCAUUGAUUUAAUACAUAGUUUUUGAUUAUUUACUAUGAAAUUAUUAUAAUUUAUUAUUAAAUUAAUCAUGAUUCACCAUCAAGUUAUCACUUAUUUAUAUUAAAUUAUCCAUGAUUUACUAUAAUAUUACUAGUGGUUAACUAUUAAGUUAUAGAUUAUUCAAAAAAAAAUUAAGUUAUCGAUAAUUUACUGCUAAGUUAUUGAUUUACUUUCAAGUUUUUAAUAAUUAACAACUUAAUUAUUAUUGAUACUAUUAAGUUAUUUAUGAUUUAAUACUAAAUUUAUCAUUGGGAUAAUGUUACAAAUGACUCUUGAAUUAUAGUGAAAUGUUCAAUGUGGUAUUUAAAUUUUAAAAAUCUUUAAUGUGAUACCUAAAUUAUGACUUUGUUAAUUAAUAUGGUACUUAUCCCUAACAUAAUUAGUUUCAAAUGAUGAUACAUGGCAUACAAGCAACUUUCCAAGUACUGCAUUAGUUAAUAAUUUUAUAGUUCAGGUACCACAUUAUAUAUUUCACUAUAGUUUAAGAGUCAUUUAUAACAUUAACCCUUUAUCAAUUAAUUACUAUUAAAGCAAAAUUGAUUUACUGUUAAGUUAUCAUUGAUUUAUUUUUAAGAUAUAUAUGAUUAACUACUAAGUUACUAUUUAUUUUUUAUUAACAUAUCCUUGAUUUAUUAAUAUGCUACUAUAUAUUUACAAUUAUGAAAUAUGGAAUUUAAAAAGUUACUAACAAUAUAUAAGAUAAUUUUAUUUUUAUACGAUAAUAUUAUUAUUUUAUUCAAAUUUAAAAAUUUUUUUACUAAAUUUUUUAUUGAAUAGAUUUGUGAUAGGUUUAUUCUAGCCCCUAAGAUGAAAGUUUUUUAUUCGUUUCCGCCAUGAACCAGGUUCAAUCCCUAAUAAUAAAAAAAAUUAUCAAUGAUUAAUAAUUAAAUUAUUAUUUAUUUACUAUUAUGUUAUUAAUCAUUUAUUACUAAGCUACCAAUAAUUUACUACUAAAUUAUCAAUAAUUUAUUACAUAUUUAUAAAUGAUUUAUCCUUAAAUUAUGAAUUAUUUAUCACUAAGUUACUGAUAAUUUAUUAUAAAGUUAUAACUUAUUUAUUAUUAAUUUAUGAAUGAUUUAUUAUAAAAUUAUCAAUGAUUAACUAAUUUACUGCUAUAUUGUUACUCAUUUGUAGUUAAGUUAUUAAUAAUUUAUUACUACGUUAUUGGUGAUUUACUACUAAAUUAUCAAUGAUUUAUUAUUAUAUUAUUAUAUAUUUACUAUUAUGUCAUAAUUGAUUUACAAUUUAAUUUUCGAUUAUAUACUACAAAAUUAUUAUUAAUUUAGUAUUAAAUUAUCCAUGAUUCAUUACCAAGUUAUCAUUAAUUUAUAUUACAUUAUCCAAAUUUACUAUUAAUUUAUCAUUGAUUAACAAUUAAGUUAUUGAUGAUUUACUAUUAAAUUAUAUUAAUUUACUUUUAACGUAAUGAGUAACUAUAAAUUAUCAAUUAUUUAAUAUUAAGUUAUUAUUCACAAUAUAAAAAAGUUAUUUAUAAUUCACUACUAUUAAUUAAUUACUAUUAAAAUAAAAUUGAUUUAUUAUUAAAUUAUCACUAAUUUACUAUUAAGUUAUUAUUAAUUUAUUAUUAAGUUAUCAAUGAUUAACUAUUAAGUUGUCACUUAUUUUUCAUUAAAUUAUUCUUGAUUUACUACUCUCUUGUUAUGCAUUUACAAUUAUAUUACAAUUAAUUUAUUACUAAAUUAUUAUGCAUUUACUAUUAUAUUAUUAUUGAUUUAUUACUAAGUUAUCAAUUAUUGACUAUUAAAUUAUUAUUCAUAUAUUGAUUUAUGCAUGAUUUACUAUUAAGUUAUUAUUGAUUAAUUAUUAAGUUAUCAAUAAUUACUACUAAGUUAUACUGAUUACUUUUAGCUUUCAUUGAUUAAUUACUAAAUUAGCAAUCAUAUACUAUUAUGUUGUCAUUAAUUUGCAUAUAUUCAAAAAGAAAGCAACCGCAAUGAAUGCUAAAUGAUGUAAUUUAUAAGAUAGAGAAAGAAGUAAGAAAAUGUUUAAACGUAGAUGACUUGAAAAACAAUAAGUAAAUGCUCUUAAUUUGCUAUUUGUAGUUUAGCAUAUAAUAAUAAGUUAAAAUCAUAACUUUUUAUACUAAUGUAAGUAUCAAAGCAAAGUUAAAUUAAUGUAUAAUAUAUAUUAAGUUAAUAUUUUUAAAAUAUUCUUUAAAUUUUUUAAUUCAUUGUAAAAUAGUACAUAUUAAGAUAAGUUUUGUUAAUAAUUUGAUUGAAUGAUUUGUUAUAUAUUUUUAUACUUGUUAGUGAAGUACAAUUUCUUAUAAAAGAUUGAAAAAAUUGAAGUAUUAUGCAACAAUGAAAAUAAUAACUUUACCUUAUGUUUCCAUCUUUAAGUUAUAAUUUUAGGUAAAAUUUAAUUAUGCAAAAGCAAUGAGAAAAAAUUUACUAAAUAAAAUUUAAUAAAAAUAAAUAAACAAUAUUUUAAAAAAUAUUAAGUUUAUAAUAAUUACUUUUACAUUCUCUUUCCAAAAAUUUUCUUUUAUUAAAUGAAAAGAUAGUAUAUUUUCUAAUUGUUAUUUCAUUUUUAUUACUAUCAUUCAAAAUGCAUUUUUUUUUAUAUAUUUUGAUGUCAACUAACUUUUUCAUUUGAAAAGAAUAAAGAUUAUAAGGGGUCAUUAUGACCCAAAUAAUAUUUAAUUGUAUGUUAUCUUCCUAAAUAAGUUUGAACUAUAAUAUCUAUUUCAAAUGAAAUGUCUAAGUUGUUUCCUUCAAUUUAUAUCACAGCAACUUGAUUAGCAAGACUUGGGCAUAAGAAUUUCAAAAUCCUUAAAAGAAGAUAUAUCAUUUAAUCUUUGCACAAUUUGGGUAUAUGAAUUUUCUUCUAGAAUUAUCAUUAAUAUUUCCAUAACUUUUGCACUUAAAUUUUUUUUUUCAUUCUAUUUUGAAAUUUAAUACCAGUGUCAUAAAAGUAUAAUUAAAAGUAAUAUGAAUUAAUUAACUCAAACUUGAAAUAAUUCAAGACUCAUAUUGAGUAUACAUAAAAUUUUUACGCUUUUUGAAUUUUAAUAUAAUUAAAAAUAAUAUAAUACACAUAAUUAUAAAAAUAAACAAAUUUCACUUGAUUCAAUUGAUUUUAAACAAUCAAAACCUUAGUGGUUAUUUAAAAUAUGAAAUCACUGAACCCAAAAUUUGAAUUGGCAUAGCAAUACAAUCAAAAUCCAACAUUUUUUAUUUUAUUUGAAUUUAAGAUGAUUUUAAAUCCGGCUUUUUAAAGAACGAAAAGUUUGCAUCAAUUAUUAUGUCAAAUUUAUUCAAGUGAUAAGUGAAUAAUUAAGUAUACAAUGAAUAGAAGCAAAUAAAACUUAACUCAACCUAAUUGAUAUUGAUUCUAAAAUUAAAACCCAACUUGAAAUUAUGAGUAGUCAAAAUUCAAAAUAAUUGAAAUACUAGAUACACAAUUAAAUAAAAAUUUAUCGAAAGAAUUUUCUUAAUUAAUGCUUUUAAAUCACAUUUAAGUUUACUUAAAUUAUAAUGUAUAAUAAUAUUUUUAUAUUAAAUGUAAUAGUGAUAAUUAAUUUGAUGAAUUUCAAUACUUUUGAAUAAAUAUUACCCAACAUAGUAACCUUAAAAAUUUUUAUAUAAUCAUGAACAUUCUUUAACUUAUAUAAUGAAAAGAAAAAUGAAAGCUAUACAAUGUUUUUCCUAAAAAAAGAAUUUUAUAUUGAUCCUAAAAAAAUUUGAAAUCAUUAAAAUUAUAUAUUUUUCAUUGAAACAUCAUAUAGCACUAACCUUAUUGAUAUGAAUAAGAUAGAACUAUGUAUAAUCAGUCAAAUUUUUCUCUCAUUUUUUUGCUUUGGAAAAUCUUUUAUUGGUGCUUCCAUCAAUUAAAUGUAAUUCUACAUUCUACCAAUUAAAAACAUAAAAUAUCUUUUAUUUAAAAAUUUUAUUAUACAUAAAUUUUGAUUAUAUAAAAAUAUCACAAUACAUAAUUUUAAAAAUUACAAUGAAAUAAAAAAGAUUUAAUUAAUUUCUCUUUUGAAUUAUUUCAAGCGACUAAAAAGAUUUAAUUAUAUAAAUUAUCAACUCAUAAAAUAUACAAAUAAUAAAAUUAUUAACAUACAUAUAUAGCUAGCAAAUCAAUUAAAAUAAAAACCUGAAAGGAAAAAAAUUAGAAAUAAAACAAAUAUGCUUUAAUGAUUUGGGAGUCUAAUAAUGAAAAGAAACUUCAUUUAAAUUAAAAUUUAUAAAAAACUUAUUAUGGUACUUUAAUCAAUCAUUUUUAACAUUUUAGGAAUUAAAAUUUUAAUAAGGAUAUUUUAAUCAAUCACUUUUAAUACUUUUUUAGUGUAAUUAUAAAAAUUUAAUAAUAAAAAGAAAAUUAAUUUAAAUUAAAAGUUAUAAAAUUUACUAAGAAUAUUUUAGUGAAUCAUUUUUAAUCCUUUUGGAAUAAAAUUUCAUAAAUUUUAAGCAGUUUAAUUUCACAAAAAUCUAUUUUUAAUUUUAGUUGAUUUAAAUUAAUUUAAAUAAAUUAAUAAAAAUUAUAUAUUUAAAAAUAAAUUUGUUAAUUUAAAGAUUUAUAAAAGUAUUUAAGUCAAUCACUUUUAACAAUAUUAAAAUUCACACUUUUAUACAUAGAUAAUAGUUUAUAAUUAAAGAAAGACGAGAAGAAUAUAAAUAGUUAUUGCACGUGUUUAAAUCAAGAAAAAGUUGGUAGCAUAACAUGUUAACUGACCAUAAAUAAAAUAAAACAAAUUGAGAUAUUUAGGUUGAAGCUAAAAUUAUUUACUCAGCAUUAAAAUGCAGCCUAUAUUUAAAUCCAUAUAAGCCAAAGAUUCACCAUUAACUUAGUCAAUUUAAUGAACAUCAUACAAAUGAGAAGAUCAUCCACGACUUUAGAACACACCGCAACAGCUUCAAACACAAGAAUUAUAACAGAGACUUAAGGUAAAAGUAAUAUGUUUACUUUGCACUUUCAGUCAAAAGACGUAAAGUAGGGAAGAAAAUCGUUUAGAGCACAUUCAUCCUCCCAUUUAAGCUCUUUCCACCAUUCUUUCUCUCCUCUAAUGCUGAUUUUGUUUUCCUUUGCACUGUUGGAGUCGAGUGGAAGUCUUUUCAGCUUUGGGCAUCCCUCAACAUAAAUUUCUUUCAAACAUGAGAAGGGAAGUGUAUCCCAGUAAAUGCUCUUCAACUCUGGCAAAAACUGUAAAUUAAGAGACUCGAGUUUUCCAAAUAGGCUUAAAGUUUCUACUAGCUCAGCCACUUGACUCAGUUUUCUCUCAUUGAUUAUUUCUUCCAUAUUGUUGCAGAACCCCACAGUAAGAGACCUCAGGUUUGGAGCGAGAAUUAGCCAUGUUAUGUCCUUCAAUUUUGAACAUUCGUAUAUAAAUACUUCGCGAAGGCUUUGGAAGCAAUGUUUGCUUGCAACCACAGAGGUUUCAAUGUGGCUCUGUGCUUUUAUCAUUCUGCCCACCCCUCCCCACUCCAUCUCCACUUCUUCCAAACUUUCAGACUUCCCAAGGUCUAGAAAUUCUAGACUCUUCAUAUUCGCUAAAGAUAAAAUAUUCAAUCGCUUCGAGUCCUUUAACAAUUUAAGCUGAAUAUUUAAAGUGCAGCUGCAUAACCUUUCAGUACUCAAAAGGUCUAUCGAGACCCAAAGCACUUGUUAUAGGGACAGUCAACACAUUCAAAUGGUUCAAGCACUUCAAUUCUUCCACCAAACAUUCACUAUUAUCUUCCACUUCCUGGCCCAAAGAAUAAUCACAGCGAAACAUUCUCAAUACUUGCAACUUUGAAAAAGUAGAUAUCAACUGUCUUGGAAUUCUUAUGGUAGACUCACAGGAUUCCAAGUUCAAGCAUUUAAGCUUUUCUAAAGCCUUCAAUUCAAUUGGUAGCUGUCUUAUCCUUGUAUGGGAGAGAUCGAGACAUUCCAGAGACACCAAUUUCGAAAUUCCCACUGGCAAUUCUUCUAUAUCUCUAUUGUAUGACAAGUUUAGAACUUUUAAGCCACACAUAAAUUGGAAGAAGUCAUUAUUGAUCACCUUCAACUGAUUAUCGUUAAGAAACAGAGUUUGGAGAUCAGGACAGUUAGGUGCUUCUACUAGAUUUUCAAUCCUGUUCUUCAUCAAUGACAUCCUGCGUAUACUUCCCCAAUUCUGAACUUCUGGUAACUUAGUUAAUUGAUAACCUGCCUCCACAAAAAACCUCCACUUUUCUUCUUCACACUUACGUGCUAUCCACAAACUCAUGUCACGAAUCACAUCAUGCAUCUUUAUGCUAAGUUCAUCUAUUUCUUCCAAUAAACAUGCCUGAAGAAGACAACCAAUGAUGUGGUGGCCUUGGUUUCGAGCAUAGACUUGUAUUCCCAUGUCCAUCCAAAAACCCCUCUCCUAUCCAGAAAUCUAUAAGCUCAUCUUUAUCAAUUUGGUAGUCCUCUGAGAACAAACUACAGUACAAGAGGCAAGUUCGAAACAUGUCAUUGGGAAGAGAAUCAAAACUGAAUUUUAGAAGUGGAUAUACCUCUUCACCCAUGUCUGGAAAAACAGUGGUGGAUGAUCUACGACACACUUCAAUUGCAUAUUUCCAUUCUUCAACUUUGUUCUUCGAAGCCAUGGCACGACCAAUGGUGACAAGUGCGAGAGGUAGUCCUCCACACUCUUUGGCCAAUUCAUGAGCCAACUCACGAAUACAUGGAUUACUAUCAAGUGUUUCUUCACCAACUUUCUCUUGAAAUAACUCCCAAGCUUUUUCUUCAGGCAAACACCGCACUUCAAUCUUCUUAUGAGCUUCCAUUUGGCCACACACCUUGAUGGAACGAGUUGUGAAAACUAGCUUGGAACCAUUUUCUCGAGUUGGGAGAGGUAUCCCAACCUUAGAUAGAUCAACUCGCUCCCAUAUAUCAUCUAACAAUAUAACAAAUUUCUUUUCCUUUAAAACCCUGAAGAUGUUUCGAGCUUUUUCCUCUGGAGUUUUGUCCUGCCCUGUUCCCAUCAGCUAUUCCCACCCUUUUAGCAAUGUCAUCUUGGACCUUUCCAAUAUAAAGCCCUUUAGGUACUACAAUCCAAAUAACUACAUCAAAUCGAUUUGGGGGUUCACAAAACUUGUUGUUAAUUUUGUUCAGGAGGGUUGUCUUGCCAACCCCUCCCAUGCCAUACAGGCCAACAAUUUGCACUUGUUCAGAUUCAAGGAUGCUCCAAGCCCUAUCGAAUGUGGAUUCCAAACCAACAGUAUGCUCAGUUGGUCGUUCAGUCACUAGAGGUGUUGGUUCCUCCUCAGCCACCUUGUCAAAAACUCCCUUGCUCUUAUGAUCCACAACAUCUCGGAUUUUGGCAAUUUGCUUCCCAAACUUCAGGUUGGACUUGGGACUCAUAGAACAACAACCUCCCAUACAUAAUUUCUUAAUUUCCUGAGGACUUUUCAGCGUCAACGAAUCAGCUCCCGUAAUCAAAGUUUCUGCCCUCGAAAGCCAGCAUUGAACUUGGUGUAGUCGCUUCAGCUGUUGCUGAUCUUCAGCUAUUUCUACCCUUCUGAUCACAUCAUCCCUUAAAGCCGUCAAUUCUGCUAUUGCAGUUUUUAAAGCUUCUACGUUUUCUUCAAGCUUGCAUACAAACUGUGCUUGUCCGGUAACAUAAUCACCGCAACGGGUAAUGACAGCGUCGCAUGAAGCUGGGAUUGAGAAGUUGCUACCCAUAGUUGGCUUUGAUUUCAAAGAGGGAGUUGAACAAUUUCUGAGAAGGAGAAAAAUGAACGAAAUCAAAGAUGCUUUUUGGAAUAUCAAGCCAAAGGGUGAAAAAAUGAAAGAAAGAUAUGAAGAAGUCAACAGAAGGCAGAGAAUAUCUCCUGGAAGUUUUUUUUUGUUUGCUAAUUCUAACUUAACCAAGGGUGUUGGGAGUAGUUGCUGUGGGAUUACUACUAUUUGCCACUUUCUACUUGUUUACUCCAUUAAAAAUAUUCUGUUUGCUAACCGAUUUAACUGGUAAUUAUACCACAACCUACAGAGAAAAACACAUCAGACAAUUUACAUGUAAUGAUAUGAUUUUUUUUUUUUUUAAAUUUUGGUAGGAUCAAAUAAUAAUUAUGUUAAAUUGGUUCUUGUAACAAUCAUGCAUGUAUUUUUUCCGAGCAAAAGAUGGCCUUGGGACCGGGGUGGCUUUUGGCAUCUACCUUUCGGCAGAGGCAGUCAAGAGGAAGUUGCACAUCAAAACAAUGCAUUGUACUUUUAGUGACAAAUUAGUCAAUAAUGACUUUAAAAAAUUAAUUUAGUGGGGUAGGUUUUCUGUUGUGUGGAAUAUGGACAAACUUGGUCCAAUUUGGCGUGCACAUCGACGACUAAAUAAACCAAAUCACUUUCCUUUAAGAACAUUGGUUAAAAUUUUUACCUUUUUCACUGGACCAAAAGAAGAAUAAUUAGACAUAAUUGAAAUAUCAUAUGUAGAAAAAUAGUCAGUCAUUUUGAAGAAGAAAAAUAGAAAGAAUGAGUUUUUAAAAUCUUAAAGUUUCGAAUUUAAGUUUUAUUGUAUUUGAAUUUAGUUUUAUUUUAUGUUAAUUUAUUUAUUUAAUAAUUUUUUUAUAAACGUAUGAAAUAUGUGAUUUUUGAAAUUAUUUGAUUAUAAUGAAAAUUUUAAUUGUAAUUACAUUCAAUAAAAAAAUUGGUUCCUCCGAAUACUAAAUUUUGAUCCAUGUGCACAUAAUUAAUCUCUCAUAGAGAGAUAAAAUUGGCCCAAUAAUCCUUUGAUUUGGGAAAAAAAUUUAACAGAUUCUACGUUUUUUGUAUGAAGGAAAGGAAUUCAACAUGAGAACAGGUUUGGAGGUCUUUGUCAUGAAUUGGAUGUUGAGGCUGCUAUUGAAGCAUCACUGAAAACCUUCAUUUUGUAGUUUCAAAACAUACAUUAUUUGUGUAAAAGGUGCGAAUUAAAUUGAAUUUUCCAUGUUAGAAAAUUCACAGAAUUCAAUUUCGAAGGCAGCUAAGCACGUGUACUGAUUGAAAUAGAGUCAGAAAAGGAGGUGUUUUGAUUGGAGCUGAGAGCUGUCAGUCAUUGACAAAAACAAAAAUCCAACCCAUACCAUAUGCUCGUUAGGCAAAGGGCUUUUAAAGGGGAAAAAGCAACUUCUGAGAAAAGGCCAUGUAGCUACGAGAUAUAUAAGACUCCUGAAAUUUUCUUUGCUGUUUACUAUAAAGCCAAAAAUAUUCAACAAGAAAAAAGAAAAAAGGAAAAGGAAUUUCGUAAAAUUUUUUAUAAUAUCAAUAAAAUUGUUUGUAUAUUUUUGGAGUUACCAAUAUUUUACAUCGCAUAUGCGGAAUUGUUGCUUAUAAGUUUAAAUUGUGAAUAAAUUCAAUAUAAUCAACUUAAAAAAAACAUUUUUGACAUGUUCUUUCUUUUUUUCCUACAUUUUUCUUGAUAAUUAAUUCCUAAACCUUCAUUUUGGAAAUUUUGUCAACGUCGAGCUUUAACUUUACAAUUGCCCUCUUCCUUGUAAAAGAUUCUUAAACAAAAGGUUGUUUACUCCAUUAAAAAUAUUCCUUUGGCCGACCAAUUUAACUGGUAAUUAGACCACAACCUACAGAGAGAAACACAUUAGACAAUUUACACGUAAUGAUAAGAUUAUGGUAUUUAUUUUUUUUAGGAUCAAAUAAUAACUAUAUUAAAUUAGUUUCUUGUAACAAUCAUGCAUGUAUUUUCUGAGCAAAAGAUGCCUUUGGGGCCGGGGUGGCUUUUGGCAUCUACCUUUUUGCAGAGGCAGUCGAGAGGAAGUUGCACAUCAUGCAUUAUACUUUCACCGAUAAAUUGGCCAAUAAUGACUAAAAAAACUUAAUUUUGUGGGAUAGGUUUUCUGUUGCGUGGAAGAAGCCUUAUACUUUCAUUAACCAGUGUUUGGCAUCACUAAUAAAUAAUUAGCUUAAAAAAUUAAUAACGUGGGGUCGGCUUUUCUGUUGUGGUCCAAUUUGAGGUGCACAUCCCGACUAAUUAACUAAAUCACUUUCCUAUAAGGACAUUGGUUAAAACUUUUUCUUUUCUGAAUGAACCUAAGGAAAACUAAUUAGACGUAAAUUACAAUAUCUUAUACGGAAAAAUAGUCAGUCAUUUUUAAAGAAGAUAAAUAGUAAAGAAUAAGCCUUUUAAAUUUUAACUUUCAAAUUUAAGUUUUUUUUUUUUUUUUUGCAUUGGAAUUUAGUUUAAUUUUAUUUUGAUUUAUUUAAUUAAUUUUUUAUUAUUUUUUUUAUAAAUGUAUGAAAUAUGUUAUUUUUUUAAUUAUUUGAUUAUAAAGAAAUUUUAAAAUUUAAAUUUAUCAAACCUUGUUAUGAAAACUUUGUUUGAAUAAUUGAAUUUAAGGGAUAGCAAUGAUUUUGAUUUGUGUGCAUAUGACUUAAUCUUUCGCAGAGAAUAUAAAAUUAGUCCAAUAAUCAAUUUGAUUUGGGAAAAAAUUUCACAUAUUCUACAUUUCUUGUAUGAAGGAAAAGAAUUCACGUGAGAAGAGGCUUCGAGAUCUUUGCCAUGAAUUGGAUGUGAGGGCUGCAUUAAAGCAUCUCUCCAAACUCUUCAUUUUGGUCAGUUUCAAAACAUACAUUAUAUGUGUUAAAAAAGGUGCAAAUGAAAUUAAAUUUGGCAUGCCCAUCUAUGACUAAGUCACUUUUAAAUCUUGUUUGAUGCAUAAGAUUAUUCAUAGGAUAAAGAAUACUAAUUAUUUUAUAUUAUGUUUGAUUUGUAUCGAAAGAAAACGAUUCAAAUUUUUUAAAAUGAAGAUAAUUAUUUUUAAUUCAUAAGAUUAAAUUUAAAUAUCCAAUUAUUUUUAAUUCAUAAGAUUAAACUUAAACAUCCAAUUAUACCUUUAAAAAUUAUAUCAAUAAUUUAAAUUAUACAAACUUUAAGAAAAGAUAAUUUUGAUAAAUAAAUAAAUUAUUCUAUUCUAAUUUUUGCAUACAUCAAAAAUAAAAUAAAAUGAUAUUAUUUAAUCUAAUCUUAUGCAUAAUAUCAUUAUAUCUUAUUUUAUCAUAAUCUUAUGUAUCAAAUAUAAUUUUAAUUUCCUAUAAAAAUAUAUUUAAAUUUUUUUUUUUUAAGUCUAAUAAGUUGUCAAUUGCAAUAUUUUUUUAUUGAAAAAUGGUCAAUCAUUCUCCGACCAAUCAAACCUUAUCUNNNNNNNNNNNNNNNNNNNNNNNNNNNNNNNNNNNNNNNNNNNNNNNNNNNNNNNNNNNNNNNNNNNNNNNNNNNNNNNNNNNNNNNNNNNNNNNNNNNNNNNNNNNNNNNNNNNNNNNNNNNNNNNNNNNNNNNNNNNNNNNNNNNNNNNNNNNNNNNNNNNNNNNNNNNNNNNNNNNNNNNNNNNNNNNNNNNNNNNNNNNNNNNNNNNNNNNNNNNNNNNNNNNNNNNNNNNNNNNNNNNNNNNNNNNNNNNNNNNNNNNNNNNNNNNNNNNNNNNNNNNNNNNNNNNNNNNNNNNNNNNNNNNNNNNNNNNNNNNNNNNNNNNNNNNNNNNNNNNNNNNNNNNNNNNNNNNNNNNNNNNNNNNNNNNNNNNNNNNNNNNNNNNNNNNNNNNNNNNNNNNNNNNNNNNNNNNNNNNNNNNNNNNNNNNNNNNNNNNNNNNNNNNNNNNNNNNNNNNNNNNNNNNNNNNNNNNNNNNNNNNNNNNNNNNNNNNNNNNNNNNNNNNNNNNNNNNNNNNNNNNNNNNNNNNNNNNNNNNNNNNNNNNNNNNNNNNNNNNNNNNNNNNNNNNNNNNNNNNNNNNNNNNNNNNNNNNNNNNNNNNNNNNNNNNNNNNNNNNNNNNNNNNNNNNNNNNNNNNNNNNNNNNNNNNNNNNNNNNNNNNNNNNNNNNNNNNNNNNNNNNNNNNNNNNNNNNNNNNNNNNNNNNNNNNNNNNNNNNNNNNNNNNNNNNNNNNNNNNNNNNNNNNNNNNNNNNNNNNNNNNNNNNNNNNNNNNNNNNNNNNNNNNNNNNNNNNNNNNNNNNNNNNNNNNNNNNNNNNNNNNNNNNNNNNNNNNNNNNNNNNNNNNNNNNNNNNNNNNNNNNNNNNNNNNNNNNNNNNNNNNNNNNNNNNNNNNNNNNNNNNNNNNNNNNNNNNNNNNNNNNNNNNNNNNNNNNNNNNNNNNNNNNNNNNNNNNNNNNNNNNNNNNNNNNNNNNNNNNNNNNNNNNNNNNNNNNNNNNNUUUAAAAUAAGAAAAAUCACAAAAAACUCUUUAUUCAAAAUUUAACUCAAAACCCAAUUAUACUCUUUUAUAACCUACUUACCUAGUUGUUCUCUUGGUGAUUAAAUAUAUGAGAUUUUCGUAUCUAAUCAUAUGAGAUUAUUAAACUAAACCUAAAACAUAUUAUUUAUAAGAGUAAAACCCCUUAUACCUUUAAUAAACUCUCGAUAUGAGAUAAAAAAUAAAUUGAAAACUCUUAUAAAUUUCGAUGUGGGAUUACGAGAUUCAAGGCAAAUCCCAACACAUGUAAGUGUGAAGAAGAAAAGUGGAGGUUUUUUGUGGAGGCAGGUUAUCAAUUAACUAAGUUACCAGAAGUUCAGAAUUGGGGAAGUAUACGCAGGAUGUCAUUGUUGAAGAAUAGGAUUGAAAAUCUAGUAGAAGCACCUAACUGUCCUGACUCCAAACUCUGUUUCUUAACGAUAAUCAGUUGCAGGUGAUCAAUAAUGACUUCUUCCAAUUUACGUGUGGCUUAAAAGUUCUAAACUUUUCAGACAAUAGAUAUAUAAAAGAAUUUCCAGUGGGAAUUUCGAAAUUGGUGUCUCUGGUGUUGCGCCUGAAGCAAUAAUCACAAUAAUACAGAAGCAAUAGACAACAAUCAAUAAUCAAAUGCGCAGGAAAAAUAAAGCACACCAAGAUUUACGUGGAAAACCCUCCAGUGUAGAGGGAAAAAACCACGGGCCACCAAAAAAAUCUUCACUAUCAAAUAAUAGUUAUACAAAGUUCUUCUCUAGCUAAAACUAGAGCUAAUCAACAACUAGAGAAACAAUUGGAGAAAUCUCACCAAAUAAGUGACUCAACAAAUACACCCUGGAUUUGUUCCUAGAGAGCUUCAAACCCGAUCUUCACCGUUCAGAAUGUAUAACUCUGAAUCAUAAACCUCCUGACAAGGUUCCAACUCAAUCGGACCACGGAUCGACUUCCGUUUAACCAACUCUCCCUUCUCCUUUUUCUCUCUCUGCUUUUCCUGGCUUUUCUUCUUUUUUUGCUUGGUUGUCGACACAUACUCAAAACAACCCCACCUCUUUUUUAUUAAGUAGCUAGGGCUCUGUGUAAAAUAAAAGAUCAAGGCCCAUGGCCUUUACUUGGUCCAAAACCACUUACAUGGGACUGGACCCCAUUUUCCUAACAAUCUCCCCCUCCAGCCCCAUUAGGAGGAGAUUCAUCACCAUAGCAGUUUCAUUUGGAAGUUACCUUGGCCAGGGAACUCAUUCCGGCCAAGUUACUGCAAAGCUCAAGCUUUUCCCUGGGAAGUAUCUUAGUCAACAUAUCUGCCACAUUUUUAUUAGUAUGGACUUUCUUCAAUAGCAUCUGCUGUUCUUCAAUCACUGAACGUAACCAAUGAUAUCUAACAUCAAUGUGCUUUGUUCUAGCAUGGUACAUGGUAUUUUUACUCAAAUCUAAAGCACUCUGGCUAUCACAAAAUACCACAUACUCUUUCUGAUUCAACCCUAAUUCAAGAAGAAAACGUUUCAUCCAAAGCAUUUCUUUACAUGCUUCAGUUGCUGCAAUAUACUCAGCCUCUGUAGUUGACAAAGCAACACACUUCUGUAACUUAGACUGCCAAGAUACAGCUCCUCCUGCAAAAGUGAACAAAUACCCUGAAGUAGAUUUCCUACCAUCAAGAUCGCCUGCCAUGUCAGCAUCAGUAAACCCUUCUAGAACUGGUUGUGAAACUCCAUAAGUCAAGCACAUUUUUGAGGUAUCCCUAAAAUAUCUAAAAAUCCAUUUCACUGCUUCCCAGUGAGCCUUUCCUGGAUUAGAAAGAAAUCUGCUCACUACACCAACUGCAUGAGCAAUGUCAGGCCUUGUACAAACCAUAAGAUACAUUAAAGAACCGACUGCAGAAGAAUAAGGAAUACUAGACAUAGCUAGUUGCUCUUCCUUAGACACUGGACAAGAUUUCUUACUUAGGUGAAAAUGGUUGGCAAGUGAACUACUAACUGAUUUAGCAUGUUGCAUGUUGAAUCUACCAAGCAUUCGUUCAACAUACUUUUCCUGUGACAACCACAGCUUUCCAGCUCUUCUAUCCCGGAUAAUGUCCAUACCAAGAAUCUGCUUUGCUGGACCUAAAUCUUUCAUAUCAAAAGACUUAGACAAUUGUUCUUUCAACCUGCAAACCAUACUAGAAUCUUGUCCUACAAUCAACAUAUCAUCAACAUAUAAUAAUAGGAUAAUGAAGUUACCAUUAGGGAAUUGUUUAAUAUACACACAAGAAUCCGCUGCUGUUCUUUUAUAGCUAUGACUCACCAUAAAAGAAUCAAACUUUUUGUACCACUGUCGCGGAGCUUGUUUCAAGCCGUACAAGCUUUUCUUCAAUUUGCAAACUAAGUGCUCUUUCCCUUUCACUUCAAAACCCUCAGGCUGAUUCAUAUAAAUAUCUUCCUGCAAAUCACCAUGCAAAAAUGCAGUUUUAACAUCAAGUUGCUCAAGCUCAAGAUUCAAACUAGCUGCCAAUCCCAGUACCACUCGAAUAGAACUCAUUUUUAUAACUGGAGCAAAAAUCUCAUCAAAAUCGAUGCCUAGUUUCUGAGAAAAACCUUUUACUACCAAUCGAGCUUUGUACCUCACUAGUUUGUCACCAUCCUUUUUCAACUUGAACACCCAUUUAUUCUUUAAUGGCCUCUUCCCUGUUGGAAGUUUAACAAGAUCAUAAGUACCAUUCUUUCGCAAUGACUCCAUCUCUUCUUUCAUUGCUUUUAACCAGUGCUCUCUAUCCGAAGUAGCCUGCACAUCUUGAAAGCUUUCUGGCUCCCCUUCACUGGUAACUAAAAUAAAAUUUGAACUUGGAUACCUGGUAGAUGGCCUGCGCUCUCUAGUAGAUCUCCUAGGCUGAGACUCUACAUCACUUGAUGUCGAAGGUAGCUCCCCCUACUCAACACUCUCAGGUAGAGAGGAUUGCUCCCCCUGCUCAAAACUAAUAGCAUCUAGCUCAUCACCAACUGUAGCUGGCUCAUCCAUAUCCCCAAGUUCUGUUUCUGGCUCAUUUUCACCAUCUGUGGCUCUUUCCUGUGAAAUCUCUGUCGGUGUUGAAACAUCACACUCAACAGUAACUCGUGUAGUCUUCUCAUUUUUCUCAAGGUCUGCUAUGGUUUCUUUUUCAUGAAAGACCACAUCUCUGCUUCUGACUGUCUUUCUCUUUACUGGAUCCCAUACCCUGUAGCCAAAUUCCUCAUCACCAUAUCCUACAAACACACACUGUGUAGCUUUACUGUCAAGCUUUGAUCUCUGCUCUUUCGGCACAUGCAUGAAUGCUUUACACCCAAAAAUUUUCAAGUGAGAGUAUGAAGCAUCUUUUCCUGUCCACACUCUUUCUGGAAUGUCAAAGCCCAAAGGAACUGAUGGUGACCUGUUAAGUAAAUAACAAGCUGUGUUGACUGCUUCACCCCAGAAUGGCUUUGGUAAUUUUGCCAUCCUCAACAUACAUCUGACUUUUUCCACAAUGGUGCGAUUCAUUCUUUCAGCUAUACCAUUAUGCUGCGGUGUUCCAGGUUCUGUCCUCUCAUGCCUGAUCCCAUGCUUUGAGCAAUACUCUUCAAAGCUUUUAGAUGUGUAUUCCCCACCAUUAUCAGUUCGAAUACACUUCAAGGGUAACCCUGUCAUCCUUUCAACCAUGGCAUGAAAUUUUUGAAAAUACUGCAGUACCUGACUUUUAUAUUUCAACAUAUACACCCAAGUCUUACGUGAAGCAUCAUCAAUAAAAGUAACAAAAUAUCUGCUACCACCUAAUGACUCAACCUCAAUGGGACCACAUACGUCAGAAUAAAUUAAUUCCAAUCUAUUUUCUUUUCUCUGAGAACUUUUACGAAAAGAAACUCUAUGAUGCUUACCAAACAAACAAUAAUCACAUGAAUCGAGAUACAUACCUUUGGUCAAGGGAAUGAGAGAGUGCCUUGCCAAAACCUGUAACCCUUUUUCACUCAUGUGUGCCAGCCUCCUGUGCCACAAGUUUGCUGAAGCAUCAUUUUCAACGGUAUUUACCUGGUUACCGUUCAAUUGCAUCCAUGUCUUAUACAUUGUGCAGCAUAGUUUUCCCCUUGCAACUACCAUAGAUCCUUUGAGAAGCUUCCACUGUCCAUUCUUUUGUCGGCUUUCAUAUCCCUCCUUAUCAAGGACAUUAAUAGCAAGCAAGUUCAUUCUCAUAUCUGGAAUGUGUCUGACAUCCCUUAAAGUCAACAUGCAGCCUGUACUAGUUUGUACACAAUAUCACCAAUCCCAACAAUCUGCGACACACUCUUGUUUCCCAUCUUGGUACAACCAAAGUCUCCUGCUUUGUAAGUUGUAAACAACUCUCUCUUAGGAACACAAUGAUAUGCCGCUCCUGUGUCAACUAUCCACUCAAUGCCGGGAUCACUAACAUGAUUACAAUCACCAUGUGUACAAAUCAAAGUAACUGAAUCACUAUCUGAAUUCACUGCUGCAACAUUGCCAUCAUCUGAACUCUUGCCUUUCUCAUCUUUUCGCUCUUGCUUUAAGAUUCUACAGUUUCGUUUUAUAUGACCCGCCUUACCACAAUGGAAACACUUCACUUUACCUCUAGACUUGGAUCUAUGUUUAGACUUACCACGGCCUUUUGAGUCCUGACCUCUGUCGAUGUUUCUACCCCUGUUCUCUGUGACCAGAGCUUGAUUCCCAGGGUCUACAUCUUUUCGCCUCGCUUCUUCAUUAAGCAUACUGUCCUUUACCAUCUCCAAUGUCACCUUAUAAUCAGGAGCUGAAUUAAGAACAGUCACAACUAGAGUAUUCCAGCUGUCUGGCAAUGAACCCAAAAGAAAUAAUGCCUUCAUUUCAUCAUCCAUCUUAAGUUCCAUAGUAGUCAUCCGAUUAAAUAUAUCUUGAAAAUCACUCAAGUGCUCUGUAACAGAUCGUCCAUCCCUGUACUGUAAAGUUGCAAUCUUUUUAACAAGCAUAACUUUAUUCAUACCUGUUUUUCUCUCAUACAAUGCUGCCAAUUUUUCCCAAACAAUGUGAGCAUCUGACUCCUGCGCUACAUGAUGGAACACGCUGAUAUCAACCCAUUUUUUGAUUGUAGCUAGCGUCUUUCUACCUAGCUUCUUCCAGCUUUCAUCUUUCAUAUCUGCUGGUUUAGCCGAAUCAUCCAAUACUGGCUCAUACAAAUCUUUACAGUAUAGAUGAUCCUCCAUCAUAGGCUUCCAAAUUGAAUAAUUCGAUGCUGUCAAUUUUAUCAUGGAACCUGUAUCACCCUCCAUGAUCUCAAACAGAAUUUACUUCUAUCUUGCGUUGCUUUUGUAUCGAUGUCUCAAAAUAACUCUCGCUCUGAUACCACUUGUUGCGCCUGAAGCAAUAAUCACAACAAUACAGAAGCAAUAGACAACAAUCAAUAAUCAAAUGCGCAGGAAAAAUAAAGCACACCAAGAUUUACGUGGAAAACCCUCCAGUGUAGAGGGAAAAAACCACGGGCCACCAAAAAAUCUUCACUAUCAAAUAAUAGUUAUACAAAGUUCUUCUCUAGCUAAAACUAGAGCUAAUCAACAACUAGAGAAACAAUUGGAGAAAUCUCACCAAAUAAGUGACUCAACAAAUACACCCUGGAUUUGUUCCUAGAGAGCUUCAAACCCGAUCUUCACCGUUCAGAAUGUAUAACUCUGAAUCAUAAACCUCCUGACAAGGUUCCAACUCAAUCGGACCACGGAUCGACUUUCGUUUAACCAACUCUCCCUUCUCCUUUUUCUCUCUCUGCUUUUCCUGGCUUUUCUUCUUUUUUUGCUUGGUUGUCGACACAUACUCAAAAUAACCCCACCUCUUUUUUAUUAAGUAGCUAGGGCUCAGUGUAAAAUAAAAGAUCAAGGCCCAUGGCCUUUACUUGGUCCAAAACCACUUACAUGGGACUGGACCCCAUUUUCCUAACAUUUGGAAUGUCUCGAUCUCUCCUAUACAGGGAUAAGAGAGCUACCAAUUGAAUUGAAGGCUUUAGAAAAGCUUAAAUGCUCGAACUUGGAAUGCUUUAGUCCUGCCAUAAGAAUUCCAAGACAGUUGAUAUCUGCUUUUUCAAAGCUGCAAGUAUUGAGAAUGUUAGGCUGUGGUUAUUCUUUGGGCCAGGAAGGGGAAGAUAAUUGUGAAUGCUUGGUGGAAAAAUUGAAGUGCUUGAACCAUUUGAAAUUGUUGACUGUCACUAUAACGAGUGCUUUGGUUCUCGAUAGACUUUUGAUACUGAAAGGUUAUGUAGCUGCACUGUACGAAUUGAACUUUACUUAUCCAAGGGCUUAAAGCGAUUGAAUAUUUUAUCUUUAGCGAAUAUGAAGAGUCUAGACAGUCUACGCCUUCUAGGGAGCGAAAGUUUGCAAGAGGUAGAGAUGGAGUGGGGAGGAGAAGGCAGAAUGAUAAAAGAGCAGAGCCACAUUCAAACCUCUGUGAUUGCUAGCAAACAUUACCUCAAAAGCCUUCGCUAUGUAAGAAUAAACGGAUAUUAUAAAUUGACAAAAUUGAAGGACAUAACAUGGCUAAUUCUAGCUCCAAACCUGAGGUCUCUUACUGUGAUGUACUGCAACAAUAUGGAGGAAAUAAUCAAUGAGAGGAAACUGAGUCAAGUGGCUCAGCUAGUGGAAACUUUAAGCCUAUUUGGAAAACUCGAGUCUCUUUAUUUGCAUGUUUUGCCAGAGUUGAAGAGCAUUUACUGGGACACAUUUCCCUUCUCAUGUUUGAAACAUAUUUGUGUUUCGGUAUAAGUGGUCUCAAAUGGGUUGAUUAAUUACUGUUAUGUUGAAAUUAUCUUGAAUAGGCCAUUAAUUAUUUGGAGAGAGAAACUAGGUGAUGGAAUCGGAAAGAGGUAAGUAUAAUCUUACACACUUUGUUUAUUUUCAAACCUAUGUAUAUAUGUAUGUAUGUUUCUAAAUGAGUAAAUGUUUUAUUUUAUUAUUUCGAUAUAUGAAAAUAGGAUCAAACAUAUAAUUAUUUUGUGUUUUUACUAUAUAAAUGAUGGAUCAUGCUUAUGAAUGAACUGAAAAAAUGAUUUAUGUUUAAAGAAUGAUUUUAUGAUAGCUACAUUUUUACAUCUCUAGAAAGUGGGAUCAUCGACACAAAACUAGUUCUACGGCUCUGGCUAACGAGUUAUAAUAGUUAGCAUGGAAAUGAUCAUAUGGCCCUACUAACAAGUUAUAGUAGUUAGCAUAAGGCCCUAGCUAGCAGAUUAUAAUAGUUAGCAAUGAUAAUGAGGAUGAAAUUGUCGAUACGGUCAAUGUUACGGGUUAUAGCAGUGACCAUAGCUAAUGAUAAAAAAAUGAUAAUGAUGAUUUAUGAUGAUGAUGAUUUACAAUAAUUUUUAAUGAUUGAUCCAUGAUUUGGAUUGAUUACAAUAUUUGAAUAAUAACAUAUUUUGCAAUGAUUAUGAAGUGAUAUAUUUUGACAUUGAUUUAUGAAUUUAUGAAAUAUUUGACAAAGUAAUGAUCUUUGAAAUAUUUUGACAUUAUGAUUUGAUGAUUAUUUUGAAUACUCUAUAUGAUAUGUAUGAAAAUGAUGCUUGAUUCGGUAAGGUGUGUGAGCCUAUACUUGCUGAGUUAUGUUUGCUCAUUUUCCGUUUACUUUUUCUUUACAGAUGAGUAAGUGAUAAGUUUUCUUAGUCUUGUGAAAGCUAGAAGAUCAAAUGGAAAAGAUUACUUAGUCGUCAGAGACAAUGUAAGCCAAUGAGAUCUUAUAAAACGAUUUUGUAUUUUUAUAUGGUUUGUAUUUGGAUAUAUAGAGAUGUAUCAUUAGUUAGAUUAAAUAUAUAGAUUUUACUUGGCAGACUAUAUCAAUUUAUUAAAGAAUUUUAUAAUGAUUAAGAAAGAAGGUUUCGUAUUACUUUGGGGUUUACUUUAAGGUAAUAUGGUCGUGUUGCAUCUUGAUCUCUGGGCGUGACAUAAAGUAGUAUCGAACUUAAGUUAUGAUCUUUGGAAAAUUUUUAAGAGUUAGACUUUGAUGAGAUUUUCUUGGAGUUUAGGUUUUGAUUUUAAACUAUGUGGGAUGUUAAAAAGCUUAUAGUAUGAUUUUGAAAAUAUUUUUAGAAUUACGAUUAUGAUCUUUGAAGAUUUCUAAGAAGUUAGAUUAUGAUAAUUAGAUUAACAGUGAUUUUCCAAGAAUAUAACUUAUGAUUUUUGGGUUGAAAGAGAUUUUAUGAGUGUGGUUAUGAUCCAUAUCCUAUGUGGAGAUUUUUAAGAAUUUAAAUGAUGACCUCUGGAUAAUGUGAUGAUUUUUCAAGGACAUAAGUUGGAUUUAUAGACUAUAAUGUGAGUAUAAGUAAAUGAUUCGAUGAAGUUUUGAGUAGUUAAAGUUUCAAUAAAUAUUAAGGAAUCAAUAAUUCAAUGAAUUCAUGGAGUAAUUAUUUUGGUUGAUAUUACAUAUUGCUUUUGGAUCUUGUAGUCGAGAGAAAGUGUAAUUACAUUGAUAUAGUGCGAUUUUAUAAGUUGAAGAGAUUUUUGAUAUGACUUAUUAUGAGACAUAUCCUAUGAGCUAAUCGAUUAUUUAAGAGAAUGAUUUGAUCAUUGGAGAUCCUAUGGGUUAGAGAAAAAGAUCUUCGACUUAAUGAGGUUUUGAAAUUAUUUGAUAAGUGUUAAGUGAAUCAUUAGUCAUGGAUUAAGAUUGGAAUAAUAGUGUACAUUGUUAGAAUUAAAAGUAUAGAAUAUUGGAGUUGGAAUGAAAUGAUAUGUCAAAAUUUUGAAAUAAUUAUUUAUGCGUUAUAAUGUUUGAGAAUUUGUCUUGAUGGAUUUAGUCUAAAAUGUGAUAAUUGUGGUAAAUAGUUUAAUAUACGUAAAGAAGGAUAUUCAUUUGAUUUGAUUAUACAUUCUUAUUGAGAAAGUAUUUAAGGUUUGAUUAUGCAAGUUGGACAUUUGUAUAGUUAAUUUGAAGUUUGAUCAUUAAAUUCUUAUUUGGGGUGUACUGAUUUUUUUUAAUGACUAAAGUGAUUAAUUUGUGGUUAUAGUUUCUAAUUGAAGUAUACUAUAGGAUUCCUUCAAAUUUUAUAUUUAUGGAGAACAUUGCCUAUUGGGUACAAGGCUGUGUACCUAGCAAGAAAUUAAAUUUGUGAAUAAAAAUUGAAAUUGUGGUUAUUAAGAUGAUUUAGUAAGGAAGUUGGUUUUGAAGGAGUAAUCGAUUUACUAAAUAUAUAUAUGUUUUGGCUAAGCAUGAUUGUUUGAAAUCUUAAAGGGCAAAAGAUUUGUUGAAAUCUUACAAGUGAUGAUUUUAUGCAGUUGGUGAUACUGAACAUGUAUUCAAUUUUAGAGAAGUUUAAAAUUAAAAAAAAAAGGAACUUCUGAAAUAAUGUGAUGCAUUUGGUUAUUUUUCAUAACUAUACUUUCAGCAUGAAUUCAAGUAUUUGGAGUUUUUAUUGUUUAAAUUUUAUACAAGAAUUUUACUUAUGGAUUAUGAUGCGUAGGUUUUGACUUUGACUUGGAGAUGAUAGUAAUAUAUUUGGUAAAAAGAAAAUUUGAGACAUUAUGAUGUUUGUGGGAAUUAUGAAAAAUCAAUUGUUAUAUGAUAAUUAGUCUAUUAAAUUGAACGAACAAUAUUCAAAAUUGGAGACAACUUGGGUAACCAAAGAUUUAUGUUUAAAUUUACAUAAUGUAAAUUUAUGGAUAUGAUUUAUUGCAUCAAUUUCAUAUGCUUUAUAACAAUUAAUUGAUAGAAAAUUUUAUAUUGUCGAUGGAGAAAAAAAAAAGAAAAAAAAUUAUAAGUACUAUAUGAUAUCUUUUUGGUGACUAAAGGAUUUGUUGAUAUUGUUAUUCAAGGUUGUUAUGGAUUGAAUACCUGGCAUAAAGCGAAUUACAUGAAAAUUUGUGGACAUAUUUUUUUUCUUGUUAUGAAACAAUGUUCUGAAAUUUAUUUUGUCUGAAUUUUAUUGGAACAAAAUAUCAUAGUGCAUAGUGGAAUCUUGAUUUUUUUUAAGUUCUAAGUUUUUUAUGCUAUUGUUAGUGAGGAAAGUGAUGAAUCUUUAAUAAAUAAGGACUAACGGAUUUUGGAUAAGAAUAUUUUGUGUUCUUUCUAGUUUUGGAGCUUUAUCAUUGAUAGACAUUCAUUUAAAUAGUGCUUAUCUUGUGACUUCAAGAGAAAAAAAUUUUUUUUUAAUGUAGCAAUAGUUAUAAGACAAAUAUCCAAUGAUUCAUUUUGAGGUUUUGUAUGAAAGUAGAUCUAAGUCUUAAACUUAAUGGGAUAAGGACAAAGAAGAAAAACUUUUACUUUUUUUUGAAUUUAUGGAACAAAUGGUUGAUAAAUUUUGGUUGAUUAAAGAAUGAUUUAAAGUAAGCAAAAGGAUUAUACUAGAAUUUGGAGAUAUGAUUUAUAGCUUCGAGUAGUUAAUCAUUUUACUCAUAAUUAGGAUUAUAAAGUAAGGAAGGUUAAGUUUGCAUUGUAAGGACAUUUGAAGUUCUUGGUAAAGAAAAAGAAAUUCAAAAUAAAGAAUAUAGUCACCUCGAUGUCUAGUGUGCAUAAUGAAUCUAUGUUAAGAGACUAUCUUGGUAGAAGUUAUAUGGUUGGAUAUGAGUAUUUGGAAAUUCAAGAUGAUAUGGGUUUUAACAUAUUGAAAAUAUCUUUUUUGAAUGGUUAAAUGGCAAGAACAAGUUUUGAGGCAAAAUGAUUACUUUUGUCAAAGUUUAAUGAAACAAUCAUACAGCAAGAAAUGUGAUUAUAGAAAUGGAGGAAUAAGAUGUAAAUAUAAAUCAAGUUUUGAUGACAAAACUUUUCAUAAGGAGGGGAGAAUGUGAUACCCCAGCCCAAAUAAUAAUUGUGCUAGAGUAAUACCAAAACCCAUCAAUUCAUUAAGAGAUUAAUUAGUAAAAGAAAAAAGGGCUGAGUUAUUAAAUGAAAGAAAACCUAGUUAUCGAGAAACAAAAAAGAAAUAGGAGUUCUUCUUUCUCAUCUUCCUAGGGUUAGAAAUAUGAAAAAUCAAGUUGUUGAUUCAAAAUUAGAGGCUACAAUCAAGUUAAUCUCCUAAAGGUGAGUAUAUGCCCUCUUUUUAUUUAAGAAGAAAUGUCAAGUUGAUUGCUAUUAUUUGGAGUUGAAGUUUUGAGAGCAAAACCAAGAAAAAUUAUGAAAUCUUUCAUUAAUCUUCAUGAUCUAUUUGGGUAAAUUAUUGGGCUUUGUUUAUUUUAUGUUCUUAAUAUUUAUUGAUGAUUAUUGAAUGGAGUUUAAAGGUUAAAAGUAUGGAUUUGAGCUUUUAAAGAUUGAAGGAGAAAUUUUGUUUUUAGAUGAGAUGCCAUAAUCUGCAAUAGUGAAUUAAAAUAGGAUUCUGUAUUAAUGGAUAAAUUAUUGCUAUGAUUAUUAUAUAUCGUUGGAAAGCAUGUUGAAUCUAUUUUCUAAUGAAAAAAUGGAAGUCAAAUAUGAGUUUUCUAUGAAGAGUUACCUAAUUUUAGCUUAAGGAUAUGAAGGCAGUAAGGUAGUAGCAUCAGGGUUUAAUUGCAAAAGUUGUCUUAAUUUUUAUACAAGGAUUUACAGAUUAAGCCAAAUAUAUUUGGAAAUACUAUUGAGUCUACUUUCCAAUGAAACAAACGGAAUUGAAUUUGGAGUUUCUUACGAAUAAAUAUGUAAUUUUUAUGAGAAGGAAUGCAGGUUAUCUAGCAGCAGCAUAUGAUGUGGAUAGAAAAAAUUGUUAGAAUUAAUCCACAAGGAAUCACAAGAAGGACCAUAUAUGGUUAGAAAGCUUAUUGAGUCUAGUUUCUAACGCAUUAAAAAGAUUUUAAUUCUAAGUUGCAUAUCUUAAGAUAUGGUCAUUUUAGUGAAAGUAGUGUAGGCUGCUAGAAUUAGUUUCUUGAGUUAAUUCUUAUUUAACUUAAUUGUUUCGGUAUAAGUGGUCUCCAAUAGGUUGAUUAAUUAUUGUUAUAUUGAAACUAUCUUAAAUAGGCCAUUAAUUAUUUGGGGAGAAAAACUAAGUGUUGAAAUCGAAAUGAGGUAAGUAAAAUCUCACACACUUUGCUUGUUUUCGAACCUAUGUAUAUAUAUAUAUAUGUUUCUAAAUGAAUAAAUGUUUUAUUUUAUUAUUUUUUAUAUAUGAAAAUAGGAUCAAGCAUAUGAUUAUUUUAUGUUUUUACUAUAUAAAUGUUGGAUCAUGCUUAUGAAUGAACUAAGAAAAUUAUCUAUGUUUAAAGAACGAUUUUAUGAUAGCGACGUUUUUACAUCCAUAGAAAGUGGGAUCAUUGACACAGAACUAGUUCUACGACCUUAACUAACGGGUUAUAGUAGUUAGCAUAGACAUGAUCAUACGGUCCUGCUAAUGGGUUAUAGUAGUUAGCAUAAAGCUCUAGCUAGUGGGUUAUAAUAGUUAGCAAUGAUCAUGAGGAUGAAAUUGUCAAUACGACCAAUGUCACAGGUUAUAACAAUGACUGUAGCUAACGUUAAAUGAAUGUUAAUGAUGAUUUAUGAUGAUGAUGAUUUACAAUGAUUUUUAAUAAUUGAUCCAUGAUUUGGUUUGAUUACAAUAUUUAAAUGAUAGCAUAUUUUGCAAUGAUUUAUGAAGUGACAUAUUUUGACAUUGAUUUAUGAAUUUAUGAAAUAUUUGACAAAGUAAUGAUCUUUGAAAUGUUUCGACAUUAUGAUUUGAUGAUUAUUUUGAAUACUCUAUAUGAUAUGUAUGGAAACAAUGCUUGAUCCAGUAAGGUGUAUCAGUCGAUACUUGCUGAGCUAUAGUUUGCUCAUUCCCUUUUUACUUUUUAUUUACAAAUGACUAAGUGAUAAGUUUUCUUAGUCUUGUGAAAGCUAGAAGAUCAAAUGGGAAAGAUUGCUUAGUCGUCAGAGACAAUGUUGGCCAAUGAGAUCUUGUGAAAUAGUUUUGUAUUUGUAUAUGAUUUGUAUUUGGAUAUAUAAAGAUGCAUCAUUAGUUAGAUUAAAUAUAUGAAUUUUACUUGAUAGACUAUAUUAGUUUAUUGAAGAAUUUUAUAAUGAUUAAGAAAUAAAACUUCGUAUUACUUUGGGGUUUACUUUAAGGUAACAUGGCAGUGUUAUGUCUUGGUUUCAGGAUGUAACAUGGAGUCCAUGUUUACUACUAUUUGGAACUGCCUCAAUGAACAUCAAACAAUAAUCAUUAGUUUAUAUGGAAUGGGAGGCAUUAGCAAAACUACUCUCAUGACUCAAAUUUGUUAAGAAUAUGUAAGGUCCAGCCCCAUGUAAUUGUUUUAGCCAAUUGAAGGCCAUGGGCUUUUGAAUUUUAACCCAAAAUAAAGCAUUAGACAGUAAAAUAAGGGGGGUUGUGUUUUUGGCAUGGAAUGACAUAAUGUGGCACCGAAUAGAAAGAAAAGAAACAAGAAAAAUAGAGAGAAAAUGGAUAGGGGAGAGUUGGUUAAGCAAAAGUCAAUUCGUGAUCCAAUUAAGCUGAAAUUUUGUCAACAGGUUUAUGAUUCAAAGUUUUACAUUCUGAAUGGUGAAGAUCAGAUUUAAAACUCUUUAGGAACAAGUCUACAGUGUAUUUGUUAAGUCACCUAUUUGGUGAGAUUUUUUUUAAUUAUCUCUCUAGUUAUUGAUUAGCAUUAGUUUUAGCAAGAAGAAAACUUUUUAUAUCCAUUAUUUGAUAAUAGAGAUUUUUUUGUGGUUCAUAAUUUUUUUCUCUACAUUGGAGAGCUUUUCAUGAAAAUCUUUGUGUGCUUUACUUUUCUUACAUUGUUGGAUUAUUGAUUGUUGUCUAUUGCUAUGAGUUUAUUGCGAUAUAUUGCUUCUGUGUUGUUGUAUUUGUUAGGCCUAACAAGUGGUAUCUAAGUGAAAGUUAUUUUGAGACAUUGACACAAAAGUAACCCAAGACUAAAGUAAAUUCUAUUUGAGAUCAUAGAGGGUGAUGUAUGUUUCAUGAUAAAAUUGACAGCAUCAAAUUAUUCAAUUUGAAAGCCAAUGAUAGAGGAUAAGUUAUAGUACAAAGAUUUGUAUGAGCCGAUAUUGGAUGAAUCGAUUAAACCAGCAGAUACGAAACAUGAAAGUUGAAAAAAGUUAGGUAGAAAGAUGUUGGCUACAAUAAAAAAAUGGGUUGAUAUUAGCAUGUUCCAUCAUUUAGCACAGGAGAUAGAUGCCUACACUAUUUGAAAAAAAUUAGCAGUAUUGUAUGAAAGGAAAAUAGGCAUGAAUAAAGUUAUGCUUAUUAAAAAGCUUACAACUUUAUAGUAUAGGGAUUGAUGAUUGAUUACAAAGCACUUGAGUGAUUUUCAAGAUAUAUUUAAUUAAAUGACUAUUAUAAAGCUUACGAUGAAUGAUGAAAUGAAGGCAUUCUUUCUUUUGGGUUUAUUGCCACAAUUAAAAUACUCUAGUUAUGAUUAUUCUUAAUUCAGCUCUUGAUUAUAAGGUGAUAUUAAAGAUGAUAAAUGACAGUAUGCUUAAUGAAAAAGUAAGGUGAAAAGAUUUAGAUCCUGAGAAUCAAGCUCUUGUCAUAGAGAAUAAGGGUAGAAACAUCAAUAGAGGUCAAAACUUAAAAGCCCAUAGUAAGUCUAAAUAUAGAUCCAAGUCCAGAGAUAAAAUGAAGUGCUUCCAUUAUAGUAAACCAUGCCAUAUAAAGUGAUACUGCAAAAUUUUGAAGCAAGAGUGGAAAGAUGAAAAAGGCAAAAGUUUAGAUAAUGGCAAUGUUGUAGCAGUGAAUUCAAAUAGUGAUUUAGUUACUUUGAUUUAUACACAUGGUAAUUCUAAUCAUGUUGUUGAUCCUAACAUUAAGUGGAUAGUUGGUACAGAAGUGGCAUAUCAUUGUGUUCCUAAAAGGAAGUUGUUUAUAACUUACAAAGCAGAAGCCUUUGGUGAUAGAUUAUGAGAGUGUGUCAUACAUUAUUAGAAUUGAUGAUAUUUUUGUACAAAUCAACAAGGUUGCAUGUUGACUUUAAGGGAUACUACACACAUUCUUAAUAUAAGAAUGAACUUACUUGUGAUUAAUAUCCUUUAUAAAGAAAUAUAUGAGAGUUGAUAAAAGAAUGGGUAGUGGAAGCUUCUCAAAAGAUCUAUGGUAAUUGUAAAAGAAAAACCAUGUUGCACAAUGUACAAGAUAUGGAUGCAAUUGAACGGUAAUCAAAUAAAUGCCAUUGAGGAUGAUGUUUCAGCAAACUUAUGGCACAAGAGGCUAGCAUGUAUAAGUGAGAAGGGAUUAUAGGUUUUAACAAGGUAAUCUUUCAUUACCUUAACCAAUGGUAUGUCUCUCAAUUUAUGUGAUCAUUGUUUGUUUGGCAAGUAACAUAGAAUUUCUUUUUGUAAAAGUUCUCAAAGAAAAGAAAAUAGAUUGGAAUUGAUUCAUUCCAUAAUAUGUGGUCCAAUUGAAGUUAAGUGAUUGGGUGAUAACAGGUAUUUUAUUAAUUUUAUUGAUGAUGCUUCACCUUAAACUUGGGUGUAUAUAUUGAAAAACGAAAGCUAGGUAUUGCAAUAUUUUCAUAAAUUUCAUGCCAUGAUAGAAAGAAUGAUAGGGUUACCCUUGAAGUGUAUUCGGACUAAUAAUGGUAUAAAAUACACAUCUAAAGACUUUGAAAAAUACUAUUCAAAGUAUGAGAUCAGACAUAAGAUGAUAGAACCUGGAAACACAGUAGCAUAAUGGUGUAACUGAAAGGAUAAAUUGCAUCAUUAUGAAAAAAGUCAAAUUUAUGUUGAAGAUGGUAAAAUUACCAAAGCCAUUAUGGGAUGAAGUAGUCAACACAGCAUGCUAUUUGUUUAAUAGAUCACCAUCAAUUCCUUUUAGCUUUCAUAUUCUAGAAGAGUGUGGACAAGGAAAGAUGCUUCAUACUCUCACUUAAAAGUUUUUUGGAGUAAAGUAUUCAUGUAUAUACCGAAAAGAGUGAGGUUAAAGCUUAAUUGUAAAGCCACAUAGUAUGUGUUUGUAGGAUAUGGUGAUAAAGAAUUUAGCUACAAGAUAUGGGAUCUAGUGAAAAAAAGUCAAUUAAAAGCAAAGAUGUGGUCUUCCAUGAAAAAAAAACCAUAAUAGACCUUGAGAAAAAUGAAAAAACUACAUGGUUACUGUUAAGUGUGAUAUUUCAACAUUGAUAGAGAUUUAAUCGAAAAGAGCCACAAAUGAUAAAAAUGAGCAAAAGAUAGAACUUGAAGAUAUGAAAAGGUCAACCAUAGUUAGUGAUAAGCAGAUACAAUCAGUUUUGAGAAGGUAAAAUAAUGCUAUCUACCUUAAAAAUGUUUAAAAGGGUGAGCAAGUCCUUUUCCACUAGAGAGUGUUGAGCAAGGGUAGCUACCUCAAAAUCAAAUGUAGUAUAGAAUCUUAGCCUAAGAGAUCUACAGAAAGCAUAGGCCAUCACAAGUAAUCUAAGUUCCAAUUUUAUUUAGUUAUUAGAUGAAAAAGCACCACAUAGCUUUCAAGAUAUACAACCUUCGGAUACGAGCACUAGUAAAAAUAUGAGAAGAGAUAAAGUCAUUGUGAAAAAUAAUACAUAUGAUUUUUGUUAACUUUAAAAACAGAGGAAGCCAUUGAAGAAAAAAUGUGUGUUCAAGUUGAAAAAAGAUGGUGAAAAACUAGUGAGGUAGAAAGCUCGAUUGGUGGUGAAAGGUUUUUAUAAAAAAUCUAGCAUCAAUUUUGAUGAAAUAUUCUCUCUAGUUGUGAAGAUGAGUUCCAUUCAAGUGGUACUAGGAUUAACAAUUAGUUUGAAUCUUGAGCUUAAGCAACUUGAAGUCAAGAUUACAUUCUUGCAUGGUAACUUACAAUAGGACAUUUAUAUGGAUCAGCCUAAGGGUUUUGAAGUAAAAGGGAAAGAGCACUUAGUUUGCAAACUAAAGAAAAAGCUUUUAUGGCUUGAAACAAGCUCUACGACAGUGGCAUAAAAAGUUUGAUUCUUUUAUAAUGAGCCACAGCUAUAAAAGAAAGGUAGCAAAUCCUUAUGUGUAUGUUAAAAAAAUUUUUUUAUGUAACUUCAUUAUUCUCUUAGUAUAUAUUGAUGAUAUAUUGAUUGUGAGACAAGAUGCUGGUAUGGUUUGCAUUGAAAGAAUAAUUAUCUAAGUCUUUUGAUAUGAAGGAUUUAGGUCUAGCAAAAUAGAUUCUCGAUAUGGAUAUUAUCCAGAUAAAAGAGCUAGAAAGUUAUGGUUGUCACAGGUGUUUAGUAGAUUCAACAUGCAAUACGCUAAAUCAUUUACCAGUCCAUUUGCCAACAAUUUUUAUUUGAGUAAGAAAUCUUUUUCAUUAACUAAGAAAGAGUAACUAACUAUAUCUAGUAUUUCUUAUUCUUUUGUAGUUGGUUCUUUGAUGUAUCUUAUGGUUUGCACAUGGCUUGACAUUACUUAUGUAGUUGGUGUGAUAAGCAAAUUUUUUUUUUAAUCAAGGAAAGGUGUAUUGGGAAGUAGUGAAAUGAAUUUUUAAAUAUUUGAAGAACAUUUCAAAAAUGUGCUUGAGUUCUGGAGUUUCACAACUAGUUCGAGAAAGGUUUAUUGAAGCUGACAUAACAAUUGAUUUUAAUGGUAGGAAAUCUACUUUAGGGUAUUUGUUCAUUUUUGCAGGAGGUUAUGUCUUGGCAGUCUAAGUUGUAAAAGUUUGUUGUCUUGUCAACUAUAGAGGCUGAGUAUAUUGCAGCAAAAAAAAAACAGGUAAAAAAAUGCUUUGGAUGAAACAUUUUUUUCUUGAAUUGGGGUUGAAUCAAAAAGAGUAUAUGAUAUUUUGUGAUAGCCAAAGUGCUUUAAAUUUUAGUAAGAAUGCUAUAUACUAAGCUAAAACAAAGCACAUUAAUGUUAGAUAUCAGUGGUUACAUUUAGUGAUUAGGGAAUAUAAAUGCUAUUGAAAAAAGUCCAUACUAAUAAGAAUAUAGUAGAUAUAUUGACUAAGAUACUUCUCAAGGAAAAGCUUUAACUUUGUAGUAACUUAGUCAAAAUGAGUUUUUUGGCCAAGGUAAAUUUCAAAUGAAAACUACUAUGGUAUUGAAUCUCCUCUUAAUGGGGCUAGAAAGGGAGAUUGUUAAGAAUAUAUGAGGUCUAACCCCAUGCAAUUGUUUUAGCCAAUUAAAGGCCAUGGGCUUUUGACUUUUAACCUAAAAUAAAGCCUUUAAUAAUAAAAAAAGAGGGGCUAUGUUUUUGGAGUAGAAUGAUAGAGUGUGGUGCCAAAUAAAAAGAAAAAAAUCUAGGAAAAUAGAAAGAAAAGGGAGAAGGGAGACUUGGUUAAAUUAAAAUCGAUCCGUAGUCCGAUUGAGCUAAAAUUUUGUUAGUAAGUUUAUGAUUUAGAGUUCUAUAUUCUAAACAGUAAAGAUCAGGUUUAAAACUUUUUAGGAACAAAACCAAGGUAUAUUUGUUAAGUCACAUGUUUGGUGAGAUUUCUCAAAUUGUCUCUUUAGUUAUUGAUUAGCUUUAGUUUUAGUUAGAGGAGAAUUUUGUAUAUCUAUUAUUUAAUAGUGGAGUUUUUUUAAUGGUAUGUGAUUUUUUCCCUCCACACUAGAGAGAUUUCCAUGUAAAUCUUGGUGUGCUUUAUUAUUAUUAUUUUUUUUUACGUUGUUAGAUUAGUGAUUUUAUCUAUUGCUAUGGGUUUAUUGUGAUAAAUUACUUUCGUAUUGUUGUGUUUGUUACUUUAGGCCCAACUAAAUCAACAACAGGCUUCUCAGCCAUCCUAGCAAUGUUGAUUUUGUGAUUUGAGCAAUGGCUUCUAAAGACCUAAAACCUGAAAAGAUUCAAAAAGAGAUUGGGGAAAAGAUAGGAUAUUCUGAAAAUAGGUGGAGAAAUAAAAGUUUUGAGCAAAAUGCUAUAGACAUGUACAAAGUCUUAAGUACUAGGAAAUUUGUUUUGUUGUUGGAUGAUUUAUGGGACUGAAUUGAUCUAACAAAAAAUUGGAGUUCUUAUCCUACACCAACAAAAUAACUCCAAGGUAAUCUUCACUACAUGUUCCAAAAAGGUGUGUGGUCUAAUGGAAGCCCACAAAAUUUUCAAAGUUGAGUGUUUGCCACCAUCUUUUGAUUGGCGUUUGUUUCAGAAGAAGAUUGGAAAUGAUACUCUUAACCUGCAUCCAGAUAUUCCUAUGCUAGUGAAAAUUAUGGCCAAAAAGUAUGUUGGUUUGCCACUAGCACUUAUCACCAUUGGUCAAGCCGUAACCUGCAAGAAGACAUCACAAGAAUGGAUUUAGGUAAUUGAGAUUUUAAGAAAAUGUAACUUAAAAUUUUCAAGUAUGGGGGAUAAGGUUUUUCCUCUUUUAAAGUUCAAUUUUGAUCAUUUACCCUUAAUGAGAAAGGUGAGAUCUUGCUUCUUAUUAGUGUACUUUAUUUCCAAAAGAAUUGUUAUUGCACAAAAUUGAUUUAAUAGAUUAUUGGAUUUGUGGGGGUCUUUAGAUGAAUGUAAUGCCAGAAAUGGUAGGCUCAAAACCAAAGGUAAGACAUAAUUGAGACAACUUGUGUAUGCAUGUUAUUGGAAAAAGGAAGGAUUAUGUGAACAUGCCAUGAUGGUGAUUCGUGAUAUGGCUCCGUGGAUGCCAAUGAGUGCAAUAAUUUUUGAGGAGGUGUUUUUGGUGGCAAGUUAGGUGUUUGAUUCAUUGAAGCACCGAAGAUUAGAAAAUAAGAGGCAGUAAGAAGGAUAUCACUGAUGGCAAAUUUUUUUGAGAGUUUAAUCGAAACACCUUCAUGUCCCAACCUGCUAACCUUGUUUCUCAAUGAAAACACAUUAAAAACAAUCACAAAUGACUUCUUCCAAUCUAUGCCUAAUCUAAGAGUGCUAAACCUAUCCUGUAAUAGUGGCAUAACUGAAUUGGCCCAAGGAAUUUCAAAACUUGUUUGCCUACAAUAUCUCAAUCUAUCCAAGACAAGUAUAAGCCAGUUGCCAAAUGAGCUCAAGUCCCUCCAAAAGCUAAAAUAUUUGAACUUGGAUGAUACAUUUGUAUUAAAUACAAUUCCAUGCCAACUGAUAUCUAUCUUUCCAUUCUUAAAAGUGUUGAGAAUGCUUAAUUACGGUUCAUCUGAUAUGAUUAUGCAAAGUAAUAUUUUAUCAAAAGGAAAUAAAUGAAUGCUUUGUCAAGGAAUUGCAGUGUUUGAAACAAUUGAGUAUGUUGAGUCUCACAAUAAGGAGUGCUUUAGCACUUGAAGGACUUUUAAGGUCCCACACAAAAGCUGCACUCAAAACCUAUGCCUCUAGUUUUUAAGUGCUUCAAAUAUUUUAAAUAUUCCAUGUUUAGUAGAUAUGAAGCAUCUCAAUAUGCUAGAUAUCUCAGACUGUAAGAGUUUAGAAGAGCUGAAACAUGGUUGCAGGAACAAAGAAAAAAACUAACAUCUGUUGAUUUCCACAGCUCUAUGAUCUUAAAGGACAGAUGGUUCAAUGGCCUUUAAAGAGUAAGUGUAGAUAAGUGUAUGCAAUUGGGGGAUUUGACAUGGCUCAUGCUAGCCCCAAACCUUGCUAGUCUUUGCAUAUCAAGAUGCUCCCAAUUCAAAGAAAUAAUCAGCACAACCAAAUGUGCAGGACUUCUAAAUAAAGUAGGAAAGUAUUAAGACAUUUGAAAAGCUUAAAGUUCUUCAUUUGUCUUACCUACCAGAACUAAAAUGCAUCUAUUAGGAACCCUUUCUAUUUUUAAGUCUCAAGAAAAUCUCCAUAUUUGGGUGGCCAAAACUGAAAAAGCUUUCGGUCAAUGCAAAGAAUGUUGAAGGACAUGGCAUUACCAUUCAUGGAUGGGAAUUCUGGUGGAAAGAAUUAGGAUGGAAGGAUGAGACAACUAGGAAUGCUUUUGCUCCUUGUUUCAAAUCUAGGCCCCUGAACAUCUCCCCAUAGUGACUUACAAGUGCAAAGAACUACAAUAUCAAGAACAGCUUCGAAUUACAAAUGAUUGCUUCUCUUCAUCAUGGAUUAUUUUUCCUUGAUAAUGAAAAAUCUGCAAGUUUGUUGCAAGAUUAUCUUUUUCCUUCUUUUGGUAAGAGAAUCAUACCUUUAAUGAACUCAUAGAGCUUGAAUUUGUGCUGUAAUAAACCACAUGAUUGGAAAUUUUCUAUGCUCAUGCAACUUUAUUCAUCAUCAGGUUAUGCAGGGCUGAAAUUUAAUCUUUAAGACAGUUUAGAAAGUAGUAAAAAAAAAAAAUACUUAUAGUCAAGGUCUAAUCUUUAACUUUCAUGGACUGAUAUCUAUCUUUUUUGUGUAAGGCAUACACACACAAAUAUUAAAGUGAAAAAUACAUACAUGUGCUGUGUUAUGAUUGUCCACACCAUGAAACUAAAGUGUGACUUGUUAAAACAGACUUAAAGUCUUGAACACAUCAUAAAUUUUACAUUCCAUGUUAGGAGAAACAAUACAAAGUAUUAUCUGCAUGUUUGUUUCAAAAAUGCAACAGGUACUCUUACUAGGAAGCUUUUAUAAUGCGAUACCCAAAAAACUAAAGACAACAGCCUUAAUCAAUGUGUUAUAAACCAACAACAUUGUCUAUCUCUGAUGCUGCACAAUUUUUUUUUUGUUCAAACCACAAUCUCCUUUUCAUUUAACAAAUUGUGAACCUAAUACCAUCUCAAGCUCAAUUCAUUUAUCGACUAAAGGGCAAUCACCAAUAAAUUAAUGCAUAAACUCUGUCUACCAGAGUUAACCAACCAGGCUCAGAUACUUAAAUUCCGAUAUAUCAGUUGUUUUACAUACUUUUCAAGCUAAUUAUAAAUUUAUUAUCAUGUUUCAAAACCUAGUUGCCAAUUCUUUAGCUAACUUUCAAGUCAAGGUUUGAUAGAGCAUGCUACAAAUCCUAGGUGAUUGGUAGAAUAAGUAUAAGCAUUUACUGUGGGUGGUGAUUCACUCCGAACUACUUUUUGUGAUUAAUUUAAGCUCAAAACUUGCUAAUUUGCUUGCUGUCUUCAAAUAGAAGAUGUAUAUAAAUGAAAGUUGAACUCACAACGUGCUUCAAAGACAAAUUUUAAGUGGCAUUUUGUACAAUGAACUGAUCAUAUCCAACCAACAGACCACAUAAAAAUUUUAGAACAAUUCACUAAGAAGUCUGGCUUAUAUGACGAGCUGAAUGAUCCAAGUUUUUCCUUUUUUAAUAUUUUACUGGAGCUACAAGCAACUAUAUUAAGCAUUAACAAUGUGCCAAAACUUAUUAACAUAGGGACCAAGCUAUGUCAAGUUGGUGUUGUAGUAAUCUCAUGUUGAUGGACUAACAAAAUUAUUUUGAUCCGGAUUAAAUUUGGUUAAUUCAAAUCAAUGACUAACUAUAGGGAUACUAUAUUAUGAUAUAUCCAAUCAAGUAAUAUGAUUUUAAUUAAAGUAUGACCUAAGUUAUUUUUGUAUAUACUCAUAAUGGGAUAGGGUGAGAUUUGCUAAUAAUGGAUUCCUGCUCUCCUCCUUAUAUAGUGGUUCUCUGGCCCAUUAAGGGAAACUAAUUUCAAUUCAAGAAAGGAAAUAGAGAAAAAGUGUCUCUCUGACAACCAAAAAAUACAGCUGCCCCCUUCAAUGCGUUGCCAACCACCAUGAAGCCAGCAACUACCGGGCGAGUUAGGCGGCAUUGACGAAGUCACCUCCCUCUAGUAGCGACUCGGUCACUUUCAGUUCAAUGGGUUUCAACUAAACCCACUUAGAGGUUAGUGUUUAUAUUUCUGUUUUAGCUUAAAUUAGUUGACUUGUUAAGUAUAGAUUAGUUCGACAGUUAGUGCCCAUUAGUGAAAGACUUUUGACUAUAUCUUUUUCAAGAUAAUUUUUUUCCCCCAAAAAGAUGGUUGGUAAACAAGAUCUCUUAUACAUAACUAUUAAAAAAUAAAAGAUCUCUUGUAUAUAUAUGUAUCAUGAUCAAUUGAGCACUCUUGAGGACCAUGAUGGCAUGGCCUCAAUAAAAAUAUUAUCCUUUGAUUAUGCAUUUUUUUAAGAUUGUUACAAAUACUACAUUCAUAUAAUGGAUUAAAUAAUCAACUACUAUAUUAUAAUUAAAUUAUAAUUACAAAAUAAUCAGCUAACAAAUUAAAAUAUAAUUAAAUAACCAAAUCCAGACACAAUAAAAUUUAAAUUUAAGCCUUCAAUCAUAAAACUAAAAAGAAGUAAAGGGUAAAAUAUGUUAGGUUUCAUUUAGGUUGAGAUUUUUCCAAAUUCUUCUAUAUGAUCCAGAAUUUCAUAUUCUCUCCCAACAACAAAAUAAACAUAUCUCGUAUCUUCUUCAAAUCUUUACUAUAGUCAAUUAAGGUAAUGUUUGGUAUAUAAGAUGAUGAUAGCAUAUAAUGAUAAUUAUAUUAUGUUAUAUUUAGUUUGUAUUUGAAGAAAAUGAUAAAAUUGUACAGAUGAUUAAUCAUCCUUUUGAUAAAAUUACAAGCAGGAUUAAUCAUCCAAUUGUAUUUUUAAAAAUUAUAUUAAUAAUUUAAAUUAUAUAAAUUUAAAAAAAAAUAAUUUUGAUCAAUAAAUAAAAUUAUCAUAUUUUAAUCAGUACACAUAAUAAACAUAAAAUAAGAUAAUAUUAUUUAAUAUAAUCUUACCAUAUAUAAUUUUAUUCUAUCCAAUUCAUAUUCUCGUAAACCAAACAUUCUAUAAAGACUUAAAAUUAAAAUAGUAUCCUUUUUAGAGUUAACUACCCUUAUAAAUAUAUUCCCCAUAAUUAUUUAUAUUUAGAUUUUUUGCUACAUUUUAUGGAUGGAUGUCCAGUUAUAAAGUGAACUUUUUAAUAUGGUGAUAGCCUUUUAGUCUAGCACGCAAAUGGAUUUUUGUGAAUUAAGGUCAGACCAUUAAUGUUACAAAAAUUAAUUACUAUCUUAAUCACAAUUUAGAUCCACCUAUUAAUAUGAAUUAUACUAGAUAGAAAAAUAGUCAACAAAAUAUAAAUAAUUAUAUUAUAAUUUUUCAUGAUUAAAUUUAUAGCAUAAACUUUUACAAUUAGUUAAAUAUUUUAAUUCAUAAUUUAACCCAAUCCCCUUUACAGAAAAUAAUUUUGUUGAAAAACUUGGAAAUAUUGACUGAGUUUUUUUCCCAAACCAAGGUACUUAGAUAUCUUAUUUCUUUAAGUGGGAUACUUUUAAACUUUAUUCUUAAAAAUAGAUAGUAUCAUACAAUUUAAUUCCAUGUCAACAUGAAAUUCCACAUCACUUUCUUUUUUAAUCUUCUUUCCCUUUCUUCAUUGUAACUAUUCAUCUCUUAAAAAAUGCAGAAAGCUUAUCAAAUAGAAGACAAUCAUUGCAACACUGUAACAUGCCCUAACAGCAAGUAUAAACUUACCUUGCUAUUUGAUACUAUUUAUCAAAACCAAAAACCAUUAAUUGAAAAGGUGCGGCUUUUGAGGCCAAGCAUAGAAUGUUCCUAGAUUCUUGAGGGCACCAAAAAAUUUUGAGCACCUUUGGGAGUAGAUCUAGAGAAUAUUGGAGUUUCAAUCCACCUCCAAAUAAUCUCUCUUUUUUGUGCCAACAAAAAAGUAUUCAUCUAUUUCUUUUUUUUUUUUUAAAUAAAUAUUCAUCUCUUUUCAAAUCUUUAUCUUUUGGGCAAAAAUUUUUUAAAUGAUUGAUUCCGAUAAUAUAAAACCGUUGCACCAUGAUUAUUCACUUGGCACUAAAUAAAUGCUCUUCAAAUUUUAUUUUAUAUUUUUUAAAAUUUUUUUUAUUUCUUCCUUGUUUUAUAUCUUUUGGUUUUGAUUUUAGAUUUUUCCCUUCUCUCUUUCUUUCUUUACCUAAUUUGCUGUUGUGUUGGUCUAUAUUCCAUGGAAUCUCUCCCUUUUAUUUUUCCUUAUGUUUUCUUCACCAACCUUGCUGCUAAAUUCAGUUCCAAUUUUAGAGAACCAAGGUUUUGAAGUAUUGUCAGUACAAUGAUAUACUUUCACUAGGUUAUUAGCUAACAAAAUUCGUAAACAAAAAAGUUUCUUUUAGACAUUUCAUUGAACACCCUUUAAACAUCAAUAGUUUAUUUUUAGUAAAUAACAAUGCAUGAAUAUUUAAUUCAAAUGAAAAGAAGAUAAAGAGAGGACGAUCUGAUGAAGGAAAAAAGAAGAGAAGAUGAGGCCUUUUCAAGAUAUGUGUAUUUUAGAAUUUUUUGAUUUAGUUAAAACUAAUUAAAUAAUUUAUCAUUUAUUUUAUUUUUAUAUAAUUUAUCAUAUAUCUCAGACGUGGAUUCCAAGUAUACAAAGUAUCUUAUUUUAAGAAUUAAGUUUAAAACUAUUCUAAUUUGAUAAAUAAGAUUAUAGGGUGCCUUAUCAUGAGAAAAACUCCAAUCCCCUUUACAGAAAAUAAUUUUGUUGAAAACUUGGAAAUAUUGACUGAGUUGCGUUAGUAUGACUUUUUCUUAACCAAAUCUUCAAGAUUUCUUUAUCCUUCUCUCUCUUUAUAUAUAAAGAUUUAUUUAUAUUUUACAACGAAUUGGAAUUUAUAGAAGGAAAGCUUUUAGUUUCAUUAACGAGAGAAAAGAGAAAAACAUCUAGCUGUCAUCUACCAUGGCUGGUUUGCAAAGAUCUAUAGUGUCUUUUAGGAGGCAAGAAUCUUCAGGGCUUAUUUGGGAUGACAGGUUUUUUUCAGAGGAGAUAAACCAAGUAAAACAAGAACAACAAGAAGAAAAAACAAAGCAACUGCAGCAAGAAGAACAAGGAUAGCUGCAAGACAAUAACCAAGAAAAGAUUGAUGUUAUUAAAGAUGUUAAGCCGAUAAGAAAUAUUGGACCAAUCAAUACCAUUGAAAGAAGCCAAUCUAACGGUCAAAGACGAGGUUACCGUACUGGUAAGGUAUCCGCUGCUAUUGAGCCACCUUCUCCAAAGGUUUCAACUUGUGGUUUUUGCAGUGCUUUCGGGAAACAAACCAAGAAUCAUAUUCAUAGGAAAAGGCCUGGUAAGCGUAGAUCAAGAUAGGUUUUUGUCUGUUCUUUUCCUCGUAUUUUCCUGUGACCGGAGGUAGGAAUUCCGGUGAACAUAGGGGGUUUAAGUUUAAGUUUAAAUCCAACUCAAUAAACUGAGAUGUGGGACUUAAGGAAAAAAAAGAUUAUUCUUUUAAAGCUUAAAGUUUCUUUUUAAAAAAAAAAAAAACAGAUGGAUGCCUUUGGAUGCCUUUUUUUUAAGGGGAUGUUUAAAGUUUUGAUUUUUUUUUUAUUCUGAUAAUGUUUCUUGUUUCUGUUUCAUUCAGAAUUUUGUGGUUUGGGUGGAAGUAAUUAAAUUAAUCUGCAAAUGUUUUAUUUGGUUUUUCUUGAGACAAUUUUCACAUGUACGAAAGGCAAAAUCUUGAUUCCACACUCUUUCCUCUUUCUUUCUCAUUGUAAGGCACCUUUGGCAUCUUGGGUUUGAUUUGAUUUACUUUUAUUUUUGUGUUUUCCCGAAUAAGAACAAAAGCUUUUUUUUUUUUUUGUUAUUCUUUUUUCCUUUGGAUUCCUUAAGAUUCUUUUCCAGUAGGUUUCACAAAUUUCUGGGGUGUUCGGGAGCUCUAUGUCUCAUUUUGUGGGAAAAGGGUAAGAGAAUCUCUCCCCUGUUCUGUUCUGUUCUGUUAUUCUUCGGCAGAAAAUUUCAGGAAUUCAGGGGAUCAUCAAACAGUGGAGAGUGGACCCUUGCCCCCAAUUUGCUCUUAAUUCUUUUACAUGCAUUAAAGUUACUUCCUAGCAUCUCAGGUCAAGCAUUUAUGACAAAUGGAUAGAGGAGCACUAUCAACUUUUUUAUUUGUAUAAACAUAGUCUUUUUAAAUUUCUAAUGCUUUAUUUUUUCAAUGGAAAUUAAUAAAUAGAAGAAAAUUUAUAAUUAUAAUUCAAUAUUACAUUUAUAUAUAAGAAAUCAUUAAAUAAACAACUAAUAAAUUAGAAUAUUAUUAAAUAAAUUCAAUAUAAAAUUGAACGAAACUUAUAUAUAAUGAAACUUGAACUUAAGAUUUCUAAGAUUCUAAAGCUUAAUUUUUGCCAUUAACUCACGAAGCCAGAACAUUAAUAAAAACAUUUAUAAACUACAAAUAAUAUUUAAAAUAUCUCUUCAUGAAAUAACAUAGUUUAGGUGAAAAAUGAUCAAUUUUGGAAUGAGUCAAUUAAAUAAGCAUAAUAUGAAGAUAAAUUAAAUCAUAAAAAAAUUAAAUAAACCAAAAAAUUAUAGAGUAUAAAAUUAUAUUCAAAAUAAGAAGAAAAAUAAUAAUGAAAGCCCAAACACAAAGUUCCAAAAGAAAUCAUCAAACAUCCAAAAAUGGUCCCAAAAUUUAAUUCUCAAUAUUUCUCGCAAUACUACUCUUAAAUAUUGAUAAAUUCUGUGUCUUUGUCAACAUAUGUCACCACUACACCACUUAAGUUGCUAACUUUCAUUUUAUGAUAAUGAUAGAUGAUUGCAAUAGUGGCCAUGCACUUGUGCGAAAUCAAGUGGUAAAAGAAGUGAAAUGGGAUUUUAAUAAAGAUCUUAAGUUGUUUAGAAUGAAAUAAUCAUAAUUAACCUAUGAAUUUAAUUGAUUCAUAUAAUCACUUUCAAAAAAUAAUAUUCAAUAGAUUUAAAAUUCAAAUUUCAUCUCUAAUUUCAUCUUUUAUUUAUAAAUUUACUAUUUUUUUUUAAAUAAACAAACGAACAAAACAAAAAUCCUGAAUAGUAGUUAUUUGGCUGCAUUCUAGUGGUAAUCAUGGGACCAGGAUUGAGUAGAAAGCUAAAGAUAUUGUCCUUUAAAUAUCACAUUAUCAGGAUGAACAAUGACAGAUUCAUAUGUAUAAAUAAAGUAUUCAACUAUUUAUGAUUAUUUUAAAAUUAAAAAAUUAAUAAAAUUCAAAUAUCUUCAAAAAAAUUUUUGGACAUAUUUUUAAUCGAUAAAAUUAAUAAAUCUAUCAAUAAUUUUUAUAUCAUGGAUAUCUUGAAAACAAAAUUCUGAAUUGAACAUGAAUAUGACUAUGUAAGUGUAUCCACCAUAGAUGUAAGCCCAAGGUGGGAACAUGGUGGUGCCAUUUCACAAACAAAGUAUGACAGCUGGGACUCGGUCGAGUAUCAUGGAUAGGAAGAGUUCGGAUGGAAAGUUAAGGCAAAUUAAUUAGGAUGAUUAGAAUAUUAUAAUAUUUUAACUACGCAUCUACCUUUCAAUUUUAUACUAUUUCUUUUGGUAAAACAGGUAUGAUAUCUAACAAUUAUUAUAUGUAAAUCUAUAGAAACGCAAGUUCAUAUUUUGUCCUUAGAUCCCCAACAAUGGUGCCUCGAAAGGGCACCUUGGGGCCUCAACCCGCUGGGUCAUUGCUUAAGCCGUAAUUUUCAUUUGAAUUUGACUACCUGAAUACGUGUGGGAAAAUUACAACUUAGGUCUUUCUUCAUAGUAAAAAGAUGGUCAGAGUAGGCAGUAAUACUCCCCAGUCUGUUAUCCCAACCCUUAAUUGCUAGAAUUAGUCACUUGUAGUUUUCUCUGUAGAAUAAGAUAUUAUUAUUAUUAUUAUUAUUAUAUAUGAUUCUCAAUAAUUUUACUAAAAAUUUUGAGUAAUUUAAAAUUUUAUUAACGUUUUACGGUAUUAAUUUAUAUAAUAUCAUGUGAAUAAAACAUAAUGUCCAUACUAUAUCUUGAGACAUAAUAAUAUCCCUAAUUCUAUAUAUGGGUAGUGCGUGUGAAUAAGGGACCUUGUUUGCUCUAACAUGGGAAAUGUUAAGCUAAACCAACCCAUUAUCAAUUAUAUGUAAGUGGUCUAACAUUUUAACAUUAUCAAAAGUUUUUAAUCAAAUUAAUCGAAAAGUGCAUAUAACUCUUUUUAGUAUAUAUCAAGAUUCAAAUCGCGGAACUCAAUCUUUUUAAGAAUCAUUAGAUUAAGUCUGAAUUGUUGAAAAUACAUCAUUUUACUAAACAUGACUAUUAGGAUUUAGGAAGAUCUUUGUACAAGUUAUAAAAUUUACAAAAAAAAAGAAAAAGAAGCACCAUAGCAUAUCCUCCCACGAUGUUUUCCAUCUAUAACUUGAACUUGUUGAUAUCUUUUACUUGAAAAUUCUAGCAAGGCGUGCUCCUACAUAAAAAAUGUGAAAUGGAAUAACAGCCUAUUAAAAUAACCCAUUUUUUAUUUGACUUCUUAGCUAUAAAUAUGGGAAACCAAACCAUCAUCUUAUCAACAAAGAGAGUCGUGCAAGGAAGAAAGAAUUAGAGAAAGCUAUCUUGCAAUUACAAUGAAGAACAGCUCCAUGCCUCAUUCAUACCACAACUCCAAAAUUCCAGAACCAAAUGUCCAUAACUUCAAAGAUCAUAGAGCCAUGAGGUCCAAUGUCACAGGGAAAAAGCCAUUCGUCGACAUAAACGAAAGUGCUGAGGCAUUCAUCCAGAAAUUCAGGCACCAACUUUUGCUCCAGAGGCUGGAAUCCAUUGAGAAUUACGAGAAAAUGUUGGCUAGAGGACUCUGAUCGAUUGCCCUUUCUUUUUUCUUUAAGAGCUUGAACUGGUAUUCUGUGCUAUCUUCUUCCAAUUGCCUCAUUAAUCUGUUUUUUAGCUUGUAUUUUAUCAAUUAUGGAUGAAUGUAUACAGAUGAUAUGGAAGGUUGAAAAUAUGUAAAAGAACAAUUCUUAAUAUAUUAUAUAAUUAAAUUAAUACAAGCUUUUUUUUCUUGCAUAAUUUGUACUAUAUUUUCAUGAUGAAUGCUUGUCUGUUUUUCCCCUGUAAUCUCCAUAUCUGUUUUCCACAUCUGAUAAUCUUGCAAUAAGAAGAAUAUCCCUACUUUAAAAGCAGUUAUUUUAUAAUUGAAAAUCCUUUUCUUUUUUAAUUUUACAUUAAACCGAAUACAUUAAAGCAUUUGACUGCCGUAGAGAUUAGUAAAUCACCGGAUCCUUUCCUUUAAAUAAAAAUCUAAAAGCAGUGCAGAAGCUCCCCAACUGCAUCAUCGCUAUCUAAAUGCAUCUCACGAACCACGGUGCAUUGGAGGUCAAAAUCCCAUUGCAUUCCAUUGCUUCGAUGUGAUGGAAUCAAACGGGUCCUCAAUUUCAGUUACUAGUAUUAACCCCUGCAUUUUCUAAAAGGAUAAGAAUUUUUUUUUAUUAAAUGCAUCGUUUGGUGUUCUUUUAAAUUGUUGAAUUCAUAUAUAAAUUUUUAAUAUACAAAAAAUUUAUAGAUCUAUUUUUUUUCGAAUUUUAUAAUUUUUAUUUUUUUAAUUAUUUAUAUUUUAAGUUAUUUUAUUUUCAUUAAAAAAUAAAAUAGUUAUUCUAGAAUGUUAAAAAAGGUAAAUAGUCAUUUUAUAAUGUUGGAAAGAUGUCUAAAUAUAACUUUUUGGGAAUUCUUUUAAUAUAUUUUUAAUUUCUUUGUUAAUUAUAUUUUAAAUUAUUUUAUUUUGAUUAAUGUGUCAAAAUAUAUCUUCUUUGAAAAUUCUUUUAAUAUAUUUUUAAAUUUUUAUUAUUAAUAUUUUAAGUUAUUUUAUUUUCAUUAAAGGGUAAAAUGAUCAUUUUAUAAUAUUAGACAGAUGAUCAAAUAUAAUCUAUUUAAAAAGUAUUUUAAUAUAUUUUUAACUUUUAUUGUUAACAUUUUAAUUGUAUUUUUAGCAAUUAUCUGCUUCCUGAAUAUAGAAAACACACGGGACCCAUUUUCCAUCUAUUUUCCAUACAUCACCAAGAGAGAAAUUUCAUUUUCAAAUUCAUCAAUGACGAAACACAGUGUUGCAAGAAGACAAGAAAAUUCCAAUAAAAAGCAUAGAAAUCAGCCGCCAAUCGAAAAAUGUAAAAUACAAGAUCGCAUUUCGGUAAGGAGAAGACAGAAGUCCUAGCAUCCAAACAAGACGAAUGAAUAUGGCCUUGUGUAGGUUGAGAAUUUUGGGUUGAGACAAGCGGUUUCUCUCAUUUUAAUUUCAAAUUUUCUUUGGAUCGCUUAUUCAUGAACAAAAAAUCGAAGAAGCAACUCAACCAAGAACUCUCUUUCGUUCGUCUGGUUGCCUCCAAAUAGCCACAAACAGGCAGAGGCAAGACAAGAAACCCUUUACCAAUUCUAAGACCUAUGAAGGAAUGGCCAAUUUAUUUAAAGGUAAAAUAAUUAUUUUAUAAUAUUAAAAAAGAUGAAAUUAUGAUCACCAAUAGAGAUUAUGUUUAACUAAAGCAUCUUUGUUGUUAAGAAAUAGUAAUAGUAUGAAAUGAGAGAUACAGAAGGGAUGAAACGUAAAUCCAAAGCCAAAAUGAAUGCCAAAUCAAUGAUCAAUUUUAAGAGCAUGGCAAUGUCUUAAAAGAGGAAGAAAUCGUAGGUUUCAGCUUUGGAGGGAACCUUUUUGCCAACUUCCGUCCCAAUCCAGGACUCAAGAUUGGUUGGGAUUUAGAUUUUGUGGGCUUCAGAAUCCUAUCAACUACGCUUAAAUAUCUCUAAGAUACAUAAACAUAUAUAAAACUACUCAACUCUCUGCAAUCUUUUAUUUUUUUAUUUUUUGUUUUCUUAACUCUCCUCUGCCUCCAAAAUGAACUUCCAUUGGACAGGUGCAAUCAUAAUUUUCGAUUCUUUAUCGGUUAUUCAUUUGAUUUUUCAGCAUUACAUUUGUAUGAUAGAUUGUAGAUGAAAUUGUAAUUCCGGAUAGAAACUUGAAUCUAAUUAAUACGAGAUGAAUUUGUCCAAUUUGGAAAUUAGAUUGACAUUAUAACAUGACCUGUUGUAACAUGACCUAGUGAUAGACCAUUACCCUAAAAUUGAAACAAAUCUAAAUACGUAAAUAAGGUGUGAAUGAUAGCUAUAUAUGAAAGGAUAGAUAGCAAAAUCCUAUUCAAAUUCUGAUUUUUAUGAAAUUUUUAUUUUUUGUUCUAUGAUAAAUAAAUUAGGAUAAGACUAUGUGCUCAUAACAUGAUUUCCAACAAACUCUUUCAUGUGAAUGGCAUUUCACACAAUAUAUCAAUCAAAACUAGUUCCAACUUGUGCAUUAAAUUAGUAGAUUUUGAAACCCCAAAUCAUUCACAGCAAGAGAAGGGGGCCUUACAUAAUUUUAAGUACUAGAAAAACUUUAGAGAAUAGUCCAUUUUUAAUUAAUUAAAAUAAGCUCAUAAAAUGAUCACUUCCCUUGGGAUCACAUCUAGGCCUUGUCUUUAUUAAUUACAAAAUAAAUAAUAUUGAACAAACUACUAAACCAAGUGAAGAAAAAUAAGGACUUGUCCAUACAAUAGUUAGACAAGAACAUGAAAAAAACAAAGCAGAUAGGGUGCCUUUUUUUUCAUGAUUUUUAUUAACAUGCACCUAAAUCAAAUGACUCAGCUCUGCUCCUGCAGCUGCUCUUACUGCUGAACCACUUGCUGUAUCUACUGACACUGCACAGUUGCACAUUCACUCUGGAGCAUGAUCGAGCCAUCUCACCUGCCAGUGUGAUCACUGGUAGGCAGGUUAUCCCAGUUGCAUAUCUCAAUCAUGAACCCAUUUGGGUCAUGGAAGAACAGUUGUUGAACAUAGAUCCCGCCUUCUUCCACUAUUGCCCGCACGUAUUCCAAAUCCAUUUCCUUUCAGCUUCUUCUCCACUGUCCCCAUGCUCUCACACUAAACAUGGGAAUACAAUUAGUAAAUUAAUUACCUAAGCUGCAAAUCUAUAGUUACCAGGGUUCCUCAUCAAUUUAUAAUUGAUUCAUCUUCUUGUCAAUUGCAUCAUCAUAAACAAAUUAAUAAACGAGAGGGCCAUGCAUACACUGAGCUAUUUAAGUGUUUCUAAUUAGGUUUUUCCUCCCCACCAACUAAUAUUCGAACAUGAUUACUCUGAAAAAAAGGAUAAAAAAAGAAUAUUUUAUAUAAUUAUUUAAUAAAAAAAUCAUAAUCUAAAAAAAAUUAUAAAUGUUAUGAGUUAAAUUCAAAUCUAUUAAUUAUCAUAUUUAAAAAUAAUUAUAUAAUUUGAUAUGUAAAACUGUAUAUAAUUCUUUUAUGUGAAAGAACCUGAUCUAUUGAUGUGAAAUUUAUUUUUGGUGAACUUUUUAUUUAAAAAAAAAUUUAAAUCCUUUUAAAUAAUAGAUACAUAUCUUGCUCUUUCUAGAUAAAACGUGCGGACACUUUUUUAAAAAAUUGUUAUUAAGUGAAAAUGAAAAAGUUAAAAUUUUUUAAAAAGAAAUGCAAUAGGAGGAUUUUUAGAGUUGUCAUUGAAUUUGGAUAUAUCUAGUUAAUAAUAAUUAACUAUUAUAAUUACUAGUAAUUGACUAUAUUUUUUAUAAAAUUACAAUUAUAAAAAAAUCACAAUCAUAAUAAAUAUUAUAUUCAUAUAUAUAAAAAUUAUCGACCAAAUUAAAAAAUAAUUAAAUAAAUUUAAUAUAAAACUAAAACAAAUUCAUAUAAUAAAAUUCAAUUUUAAAAUCUCAAAUUUUAAAAUAUUCGUGCCAAUGAAUCAAAGUUUAAUUGGCAAGUUUUUUUUUUUUUUGCUUUAUUACUUUUAAGAUCCAUUAUUGCUAUUCACAAGAAUUGUUACCAUGAUAGAUGGACAAGCCGAAGGACCCAAAAGUCAAAUAUGAAAACUGUGUACGCAUCAAAUUUAAGUGGAGAGCUAGUAUUCAGCCUUUCAAUCAAAUUGAAGUACAAAUUGUGAUAAAUAUUUUAUAUAAUUGGACAUUCAAAUUAGGGUGAUGGGAAUUGAAUUACUCAAAGUUUAUAAAAAUAACAUUUAUGUGUACUCUCAAUUUGUCAUGACUCUACGUUGUGUUUGGUGGGAUGAAACAAAGAAAGGAAAAAAAAUUUUUAAUUUUUUUCUUAGAUUAAAGGAAAAAAAAUGAUUGGAUUCAUUUAUAGAUUUUAUGUCUUUCUAAAUUCAAUCUUUCAAAAAGUAAGUGAAAAAAAAAAUGCAAUAAUCAUUUUAUUUACAAUUUUAUUUUUAUUUUCUGUUUAUUUUUCCUUCCUCAUGUCAAAUAGAAAAAAGAAAACCCAACAAUUGUUUUCUUUUGUCUUCUCACUUUUUUUUGUUCAUUUUCGUAACGGUUUUAAGGUCGCUUGACGAAUUUGGAGACGAAAAUAAAAAAUAGAAAAUAGAGUUGCCAUCAAUUUUUUUAAGUUAGGUGCGAUUGGUCACCUAUUAAAACAUAUCUAUUUAAUGAAAUUUUAAAUUUAAUUAAAAUUUAUUAAAAAGAUAAUUUUAGGGUCUACGAAAUAGUUUAGGUCCGAGAGUCAGUAAUGUGUGGAGAAAAAUUAGCAACCCCCAGCACCUGUUUAAAAAUGGUACUAAUUAACUACUCGUUAUCCAUUGAUUUUGAUAAAAAAAUAGUCUUAUUUUUUAGGGUUUCAAAAAAUAAUUUCACCUAAAAAGCUAACACCUUGAUUUUUCAUUUAAUGGAAUUUGAGUUUUCUCUUUUUUUUUAUUAAAAAUUUAUUAUUCAAAUUUUAUUUGGGAAAAAUAAGUUAUAACUUUUUUUUUGAAAUAAUUCUUAAAAUAUUUCAGUAUUUUGGUAACAUUGAAAGACUCUUUCUCAUUUAAAGAUUUCUUAGGCAUCGUUUCUUCGAAUAUCUUAGAAUCUUAUCCUCAAAGGUUUAGAUUUACUUUUCGUAAAAAAAUUAUGUCAUCAUGCAAUGUAAAUACUAACAUGUUAAUGCAUACAUUUUAUUUUACUUUUUGAAAAUUUUAUUGAUUAUUAUUAUUUUUUAAUUAUCAUUUAAGUUUUUGAAGAAAAAAGGAAUUUUUAUUAUAUUGAAGAUUUUUUAUAAAUAUUCCAAUACAUUAGUAAUAUUUAAAAAAAAUCUUCUCACUUAGGGAUUUCUUAAAGCAUCUUUACUCGGAAUACUUUUAGAAUCCCAUCAUCAGAUAAAAUUUUCUUUUUUCUUAUUUUCUAACACUUUAUUCUUAAUUUAUUAGUUAAUUUUUAUUUACUAUUUUAUAACAAAAAAAAGAAAAUUUUUAUUGUAUUGAAAAAUUUUUAUAAAUAUUUCAAUAUAUUGGUAGUAUUUAAAAAAAAUCUUCUCACCUAGAGAUUUCAUAGGUAUCACUACUCAGAAUACCUUUGAAUCUCAUUGUCAGAUAAAAAUUUCCUUUUCUUACAUUUUUUAUUACUUUAUAUUAUUAUUAUUAUUAUAAAGUUUAUUUUUAUUUUUUAAAGUUUAUUUUAAAUUAACAAAAUUAUAAAACUUUUAACUACAUAUUUCAUCAUUUAUUUUUUUUACUAAUAAAUUAUUUAUCAAAACAAAAAAUUAUUCUAACAAAUAUAAAUAUUUUAAUAUGCAUAAAUGUUAUUAGAAUAAUAUAUAAAAAAAUAUUUUAAAAAAUUCAAAAAAAUUUUUUUUGCUUGAACUAGAUUGGUCAACGGUUAGUUCAAUGCGGGUCUAAUCGAUUCGUCGACUCGACCUGGUUGGUUCGAUGAUUCAAUGCCGGUCUGCUUCGUUCUAGGUCAAUUUAGCUAGACCAGAAAAAGUCAAUUGGAAGAUGGGUUGUCGAGUUGGGUGCAUGGACCCUGGGUCGGGUCGACGGGUUGUCGAGUCAGGUGCAUGGACCUUGGGUCGGGUCAACGGGUUGGCGUGUGGAUCCUAGACUUAAAAUGAUGUCAUUUUGAUCUUUUAAUUGAAACGACGUCAUUUUGGCUCUCAACUUUAUAUGAAAACCUCAAAUAUUUUUAGCUCAGUUUUCUCUUCUCUUUCUUUCUCUACCUCUUUCUCUCUUUCAGACCCCCUCUCUUUAUCCAAAUUUGUCAUUCAUUGUUUGUCGUGUCAACCGUCGUAGAUGGUCAUCGACCGGUUGUCAAAAAAUCCAAAAAGCUUUCAAAAAAUUCCUCUCGCCUUCCUAAGCACAGAUCUAAACUCCUUUCCACUAAAAAAGGUCCCAAACAACCUGAAUCGAACUUCAAAUUUUUGACCAAACUCUUUUUUACAAUAUUCUAGCUUGUUUUUUUUUGUUUUUUGAGAUUGAUUUUGUUUUCUCUUUUUGUAGGGUCUUUUGACAUUUGGUUCCUUGUUCCCAAGGGACUAAGUUUUUGUUUGAUUUUUUUUUGUUUUUCUUUGGCAAAAUGUUUUUUUUUGUAGGGUCUCCUCUUUCAUUUUUUAGGGGUCAACCACAGAGCUUUAUUUAUAGAGCUCUAGCUAUGCCCUAUGCCUAGGUAAGUGGCACAGGGCUUCGCAAAUAGGUGUGUCGUAUAUGGUACCCUAAACACCAACCUCCUCUUUACUCUUUUUUUUUUUUUAUUUUGUCCAGUCUUGGCCCUAUGCCUAAACGGGUGGCACAGGCCUAGUAGGGGUUGGUGGUGCUAGUGGUGCUAUGCACGGCACCAAACACCCCCUGCCUCCUUUGUUUUUUUCUUUUCUUUUAUUUUUUUGGUUGUUUCUUUUUUUUAGUAUUUUGUUUAAUUUAACAAAAAAUAAAAUAAACUAAAAAUAAAAUAAAAUAAAAAAUAGGUUGGGCCUAAAGAAUGAAAUGGGCUUAAGACCCAAUUAAAAUCAAACUUUAGGCCUAGUUGAAUUAAAAUCGAGCUUGAAGCCUAGUUGAAUUGAAUUUAGGCCUCGCCCUGAGAACCUAAUAUACCGACAAAUUUUAAACUAAGACUCAAUUAAAAUCUAGAUAAAUUUGGUGUCUACAUUCAUUUCCCUUCAUUUUUGCUGAAAAAUUAUUUAUUAAAUUCAAUUUAGAUAUAAAAAUUAUACAUACAUCAAAUAAGUGCCAAAAAUUAGUAUACUGAGGGUAUUGUAAUUUAUAUGAGCAUAAGAUACUAGAAAUUCCAAUUUAUAUAAUUUACCUAGAAAUUUUUAAUCUAUAAAAAAAAAUUAUCCCUAAUAUUCUAAUUUAGAGCCAAAUUAUAUGUGACAUUUAAAAUGACUUUAGUGUUAAAAAUAUCUUUAUAAUAUUUAUAAAAAAGUAAAAGAAAGAGAGAAGCUUGAAAAGCUUUUGGAUGAAAUGAAAAACAACAAUAAAUAAAAAUUGUCCCUUAAAGCCAACUCAGAUUUGACAUUUAAAAUAAUUGUAGGGUUAAAAAAGACUUUAUAAUAUUUAUAAUAAGGUAAAAGGAAGAUGAGACUUCUAUUUACAGCCUAUUUAUUACUCUAUGCACCCCACUUCUAAAUAUACCCAAAUUUAAAACUCAAUUUUCUAUUUUAACUAAAUACACCCAACCUUUCACUUUCUAUUUUCCAUUACUACCUUUUCUUUGUUCUUCUCUCUUUAUUUUUUGAAAUCAAGUUUCUCGAAAAUAAAUGUUCGAGAAACUUUGAAGCUUUUCAAAAAUGGACAUCUGAGAAGCUUUAAGGAUUCUUGGAUAUCUAUUUUCGAGAAACCUCAAAGGUUCUCAAGUAUUCAUUUAUAAGAACAUUGAAAGCUUUUUAGAUAUCCAUUUUCGAGAAGUUUUGGGUAUUCUCAAAAAUGAAUAUUCGAGAAUCUUUAAGUAUUCUUCGAUAUCUAUUUCUUAGAAUCUCGAAUUAACUUUAAUCACUGAAAACCUUAAAUCAUUAUCUUAUAAGCCCAUUUACUUGUGUAUGAUUGAAACUAAAAUCGAUAUUCUCAACAUACAUGGCAUAAACUUGUUCUUUCUCUUGAUACUCUAGAAAAUCAAGAAAACCAUUUUCUAGUUUUCUGGUUUUGCAUGGGCCAAAGGGUGUUCUUGGUUUUCUGGUCUCCAAACAACAACACUUUUAUGCCUAUGCAUGCUUAAGGACUAACAUGUCUCUUCUAUUCAUACAUAUGAUCAUAUAAGAAUGGGCACAUCAACGACUCAUGUGUGUGCAUGCAUGCUAGUUCGAGAUUGAACACCCUAUAGAACAUUGACCAUGUCAUCAGCAGAUUGAUAAAUAUGGCAGUAAGAACUCUACUCUUUCAACCACUAGUUUUUAUUGUUGGAUUUGUCAAUGUGUUGAUGACAUUGUCAGUGGCCUAAAUAUUAGAGGUCUUUAUUGCUAGAAUUGAGUCAUGCCUCAAAGAAAUCAUUAGAGACAUUUAGAGAUUCCAACACAUCUGAUUUUUCAUGUCAGACAUUGAUAAAGAGAUUGAUUUAUUUUAGUAUUAUUUAUUUUAAGAUUAAAUGUAUUUAUUUUAUUUAAAUUAAAAUUAAAUGUUAUCAAGAGUUUAUAAUUAAAUAUAUAUUUAAAUAAAAAAUCAUGUACUUUUGGAAACGGAUUUAUAAGAAAACAAGAUUCUCAAAAAUCCAUUUUUGAGAAAGUAAUAUAAUUCUCAGAAUGGAUUUCCAAGAUGUACAAAGUUGAUUUUGGGAUGUAUAAGUUAUUAAGGUUAUUUUUAUUAUUUAUUAAAGGUUAAAAUUUGUAUUUGUUAUAUGGGUAUUUUUGAAAGAAAUUUUGAGGGUGUAUAAAAAAAAUUUUGUGGUGUAUUUAGAAAGCCCCAAAAGAAGAGAGAAGAAAACAAAGGAAAAAAAAAGAGAAAGUUGGAAGGGAGGUCAAGCCACGGCCUUUCCUUUAGAGAAAGAAUUGGAAAAUGAAAGAGGAAGAAGAGACGAGAAAGGGAAAGGUCAUUUGACUGUCACCAAAUUGAACUCCACUCACCCGAGCUGGAUGACGGAGGUAAGCUAUCUCACCGAUCGAUGUUGAAAGGAAUUAAAACAAAAGAACAAAGAAGAAGAAAAGGUAAGGGAAAUAAUUUUUUUCUAUGAUUUUUUAAUAGUUAGAUUCUGAAAUUGUUGAAAUUUAAUGGCUUCCUUCACAUAUCAGAAGUCACUAGUUUAUAUUAAGUUAAUAUAUAUUGAUACAAUCUAUUAAUUUUUGUGGCAAAUAAACUUUGGAACCUGUUAUGAGGAAAUAUAGCUUUCUCAACUUCUCUUAUUUUUGUUAUGCUAAUUUAAUUUUAUUUUCACUAUGGUAAAACUUCCACUUAAAUAGUUAAAAGGAACCAAAAAUUAUGAUAAGGGAGUGAAAAACUACGAAAAGAUUUAUAAUGAGGGAUCAGGCAAACCAAACUUCAGGGCGACAAUAUAUAACUAAGUGUAUGAAAUUUUUAUUCUGUUUGAAUCUUUCUCACUAAUUUUCUUGUUUAAUGCUUGCAAUAAUGGUCCAUAGCAAUAGGGCAUGAUCUCAGGGUAAAUAAAUGAACUUUUGUUUCUUUAACAUGAACUAGAAAUAGUCUUGCACUUUAUCGUUGGUUCAAUGUUUUUUUAUUUGUAAUAAACAAUGUUCAAGAUAAAUUUAAUAAAUCAACGAGUAUAGUUUCAUUUAUAAUAUUUUUAAUAAAUAUAAUGAUUAGCAAAAAUUUAUCAAUUAAUUUAUGCAUAAUAUGUGCAUUUUAUUUUGACAUCUUAUGUAACAAAUAAAAUCAAAAUUCAUUUUUUUAAAUUUAUCUUUUCAAACAUAAUUAAGAAAAAAUAAAAUAGACAAUUUCAAAAACAAAAUAAAAGAAAAUGGCCUAAGAAAAAAAAAGAAAGGAAAAGAGAACUAAAUUGAGAUGUAACGUGGAUACAUUCACUUAGGAUGACAAGAAGUCGGGUUAAGGCAGAUUUUUCUAGCAUUGGCUCCGACCCAACUUUUUAAUUAUUCAAUCUGAAUCCAAUUUAGACCCGACAUCGGGUUACUAUUUUUAUAUCAAAUCUCAACUAAGCACAUAUAUGUAUAAUCACAUCUGAUUUAAUUUAAUCGGAGAUAAAUUCAAUAAAUUUAAUUUAGUACAAUCUUUAUUAAAAUAUUAUUUUUAAUAUAAAUUGUAUGUAAAAUAUAUAUAAAUGUAGUAUUUUUAUUUAAUUAAGUUAUUAAAUAAUAAUUAUAUUAAUAAUACAUAUACAAAUAUAAAAUUAAAUAAAUAAUAGAACAUGUAUUUUUUAUAUAUCUUGAAGAGAUCAUCAUGAAGCACCUUGAACUUGCCUCUGAUUUGAUCCUAAUUUAAAAAAUAGAAAACCAUCGUAGCCCAACUUGAUCCCAAUUUCGAAAAGAAAAAAGCUCCCCCAUUGGAUGAAGUCAGGUUAUAAUUUGUCGGAUACUGAUUAUUUUGUCAUUCAUAUAAUUAGUGACCCUUUUUUGAUAAAAUUUAUCUAGAAAUAAAUAAAAACUAAAAAACAAUGAAAGGACAAAAAUGAAAAAUAAAAGAAAGCCAAAUAGUCGGGAUGAGUUAAAAUUCAUCCUUUGAUCAACUUGGCUCUUUAAUAAUUCUAUCCAAUUUUUCUCUAACUUGACAUUAGAUUUUUUUUUUUAUAUUCGACUUCGAUCUUAACUAUGUACAUUCAGUAUGCAUUUGACUUGACUUGAGUGAAAUUAAUUUAAUAAUUUUAAUUUAGUAUAAUUUUUAUAAAAAUAUCAUUUUUAAAUAUAAAUAACAUUUUAAUUAUAUAUAAAUGAAGUAUUUUUAUUAAAUUAGUGUAUUAAAAAAUAAAAUUGUGCUGUAAGGUGUGUCGAUAUAAAGAGUUGACACAAUGAACUUUUGUGCUCUCAAUAAUAGUUCUGAUUCUUGAAGAAAUACAUUUCACAUUGUAGCAGUCUCAUGAAGACAUAUAUUCUAUGUUCUUCUGCUUGUUUCAGAUUUAGUAAAAUUUUACCCUUGAAUUGCUUUACAGACUAAUCUUUCCUUAAAGUCUUUGGUAAGUUUUUGGCACAUAACUCCUGUAUACGUCUAUUUAUGCACAGUAGUUGCGCACGUGUAUAACAAAUGAAUAGAGAAGUAGUUUUUAGUUCAUUUAUCUUGGAGGUAAGUAAUGUGAUUGAAUGACAGUGACUAUGGUGCAAGUUGAUAAUAUUCAAUUCAUCUCUCUUUCUGGUUCUAUUGUCCACUCAAAUUUGUCGAAAUAGGGAUAGUCUAUAAUGUUUCUGCAAUUUAAAGUCAUUCUCACUUCAUUAUACAGGUUACAAAAAUCUCUAAUCUGUCAGUAUGCUGUAAGGCUUUCAGAGAAAAAAGAACGAAAAAAAAAAUACAGGGUGAGGUAAGGAGGAAAAGAAAAGAACUACUGUAACUAUUGAAGCUUGUUUGGAUCUGUAAUAAUUUCAUGAACUAUCUUGUUCGUGAAAUAUCCAGAUAUUUGUGUCUCAACUGCUCAAUCCUAUUGCAUUUAAGGUUGAAGUACAUGCUAGUCAUUGGGAAAAAAAAUCUUUUACCCGAUUAUUUCUGGUCAUUUGUCACUUUUUUUUCCGUCUUAUCUCAGAUUAACCACUGUCAAAAUAGAAAUGAAGUCCCUCACUGAUUAAAGUGUGUAAAUUUGAAUAUUUUGAAGUUUUGCCAUCAUCUCUGUUUUUUGCUUUUUAAGUUUUCUAAACUGCAUGAUUUGUUGUAAUGUCUGUAUCAUUUUGGUUGCUGACUUGCAGCCACUACAAAUUUAGCAGAUGAUUCUGAAGAGACUAAAAUGUCUGGUUUGACCAGCCAGCUUAUUCCAAAUUCAUCUGGGGUGAGUUCAUAAUUGUUUUUUUGUAAAUCAUUAAUGCAAGCAUGUAUGUUAUGCCACAUCAUUAUUGCCAUUCUUUUUUUCACCUUUAAAUUAAAAAUAUUUUAUCUAGUAGACGCGUUUUAAGUUUACUGGGUAAUUAAGUGAACUAUUGCUUAGCUGUUUCAAGUUUCAACUCUGUUUUAAGCGCUGUGAAGAAACAAUAUUGGGAUUUGGAGAAAAUGAAGUAAUUGAUUUCUCUUUUUUUUUUUUUUUAAAUGUAUCAAACGUUAGAAAUUUGGGAAUAAAUAUGUGAAUAUUGCCUGCGUAGGGACUUCUCUCAAAAAUGAAUGAAAAAUCUUACCUUUAGCUUAUAUUUUAGAAGUUUGCAGUUUACAAUUUCUAACUGCAGGUGGAAUCUCUGGUCAGAGAUAUAUGAAAUACAACUUCAAUUGCAGAGUUUGAACUAAAAGUAAGCAGGUUUUAAUUUCUUGUGCCGCAAAUAGCUUGAUAAUGUUAAUGGCUUUUCUACUUGAAUUGUUUCUGUUUCGUAUCCAAACAAUUACAGAUAUUGUGGUUUUGAGUGGCUUUCUGUUCUGUCUCCAUUUGUUAGCUUGGUGGAUUUCGGCUAUACAUAGUGAGGGACUUGGCGGGAAAAAGUGAACAUCCACCUGCGUUCCCAAAUCCUCCUCCUGUCAGCGUCAGCACCAAUAGAACUGUUGAACCACCUGACUCAAACGGGGCUUUUCUUCACCUUCUUUAGCUGUCACCAAACCCCUAUCUUCUUCAGGGAGAAUCCAAUCCUUACUUGAUAAAGCUGCAGAUGAAACCUUGGUGAUACUUCAGUCUCUGAAGGUGAGAAUAUGAAAUUUAAAUUCUUCACUUGCUUUGAACUCAUAGAAGUAAGAUGAUAAAUUGUGCAGGUAGGUUUCUUCAGGAGAUCACGAACCAUAAAGGGGAAGCGUGCUCCACCAUCGUGUAAAGAGGUAAUACUUCAAUGGAUUUUGGUAAGAGUAUUUGUUUAUUUCAGGGGCCCAAACAAUAGAUUGCUUUGAUCACAUUAGCAGAAAGAGAUAAUGUUUUUUCUCAUUUGGCCAUAGCAUUCAAAAUGGUUUUACUGUUUUUCAUCCUUUUAUUUUCCAACGUGUUGUCUUCAAGAGACAAAACAUAAAUGAAACCAUUGAUUUGGAAGCCAUCAUUGGUUCACUUGUACUCUCAAGUGUUGCUUUCGUUUCCAUAUGUUAGAGGUUCUAUUGAGAAAUUCUGAGUUUGUUUCUGCAACAGGGGCAAAUAGUGAAGAAGGGCCAGGUGCUUCGCUACAUUGAACAACUAGGUGGUGAAAUUCCAACCGAGGUUUAAAUCUUGACUUGAUGGGAAUUACCGUGUGUUUACUUUUGUAUGUUGACUGAUGGAAAUGAGGGGUUGAUUUCACCCCACGUGUCUUGCUACUUACUUUUCAUGCAUGCUUAUGUUUAUAUGAUCAAUGAAUCUGGGUUUUGUUUCUAAUUCUGAUCAUUCUUUAACCAGUCGAACGUGUUGUCACUUUUCAGUGCAUUUUAGUCUCACCUCGUCAUCUAUUCUUACAUGUUAUGCUACAUGACAGUUCCCGUUGGAUAUGGUGAUGCUCUUUUCGCACUUCUCCCUUCUUGUCCAGGGAUAAAGAGGCUUCAGUAGAUGAUUUAGUUAAUUUGAUUGCUAUCCCAUCAUGGUGCUUAAUAGUUUGUCACAGAUGUAAGCUUUUAAUAGAAUCAAUACCACAAGCCUCUAGCUAGCUCUAGCAUUCCUAAAGUGGUACAGGAGGAUUUAUUUUUAAAAAAAUAAAUAAAUGGCUCGAUCAAAAUAAAAUUUUCAUGUGAUCGAUGAAUUUAAUAGUUGUAAAAAUUAUUUUUUUAUGGGUUAUAAUUAUAAUUAAUAAUUGUUAUUAUAAUCGAAUAAUUUUAUACAUCACAUAUUAAAUACAAUCAUUUAUGAAAAAACUUAAUAAACAUUAAUUAAAUAAAUAAAUUCCCAUUCAACAAGCCUAAAAUUUGAAACUUGAAGAAUUUAAAAGCUCAUUUACAUGCUUUUAUAAUCUUAUCUUGAAAAAAGUUAUUUCAUACACAUCCUUUUUAUCUAAUUCAUCAUUUUAUAAACAUGUGAAUUUCAUUUCCUUUGCUGAAUUAACAUCAAUGCAAUAAGUUUUUUUUUUUGUAGUAAUUAAUUCUUUUUACUAUGUAAAUAUAUAAAGAUAAUCAUUUUAUAUAUGUGUAAAUUCUCUAAACAAUACUUGGCUUCAGUGUUUGUCUAGAAUUAUAUCAACUUUUUUUUUCUAUUAAGUUUCUUUUAUAAUUUAUUGGUUUGCAACAAAAAAAUUAAACCAUUAACACACACACACAUAUUACUAUUAUUAUUAUUAACCAUAAUUGUAAAACAAUUAAUCAUUUAUAAUUUCUUUCGAGAAUGCUAUUCCUUGAAUUUCAUUUGUUUCCACAAAGCGUUAAAAUUGGAUUUCAUAACAAACCUUAUUAUAUAGGUUUAUAUGCAACUUGUUCUUUAAACAAGUAUCAUUAAAAAAUACAAGUCAUAUAAUUCUAAUUAUUUUAAUAAAAAACUUAAAUCAUAACUUUACUAUUUUAACUAUUUAUUUUAAAAUGUACAAGGUCUUUAUAUUCUUCAAUUUAGAAGAAUUCUGUUUCAAGUUCAUAUGAAUUUUAUUUAGUAACUUGAUGAAUUACCUUGAAUAUAUAUUCUUUCGAUAUGAUAUUAAUCUACAUACUUUAUUGUACGUAAUUAUGCAUAGCCAAUGCACUUAAUUCAUCUUUAAUUUCUUGGUUUUGCAAACUUUUACUAUUGCUUCAUGUUCCCAAACCUUUAGAUAAUUUAGAUUUGGUUUUAUUUCUUUCAUAAUUCAUGAGAAUAACUUCUUUUUGUCUGAAAUUUUAUUUUAAUCAUGAUAUAAUAUCAUUAAUAUUUUUACCUUAUGAUCUUAUCUUAUUUAAGGAGAGUGAAUCAUUUGGGUUAAUUCUCAUAUUUAGAAAAUAGAAAUGUUUAUAUGCUUGACUGCUAUGUUUUUCGAUGGUAUCUCUUUGCAAGAGCUUAAUCAUGUUCAAACCAAUCAAAACAUUGUUGCUAAGCUUAAAUUUAGAUUUGAUAAUUUUAAACACGAAAUAAAAAUGUUAUGAAAAAAAUAUAAAGGCGAUACAAUUUAAAAAUUUGGUAAAAAUUAUAUAUAGAUUUGAUAAAAAAAUGUUUUAUGUUGUGUGCUGAUACAAAUUUGAUACUACAAUUAUUUAUGUUAUACACAUAUUUGACAUGACAAAAAUACGAUAUAGAUAUACUCUAUGUAAAUUCAUUGGUUUUGUUCUCAUUAUCUUUUAUAUUUUAAAAACAUAAAUAACUUGAUCAAAAGAAAAUUUUCAUAUAGUUGAUGAAUUUAUUGGAAUCAUCUUUUUUAUUGACUGUACUUACAAUUAAAAAUUUGUCGUAAUGAAAUAAUUUCAUAUAUCAUAUAUUACUGUCGUAACGAUUUUGGGACCGUCAGACGUAAAAUAAUGAGUUGUGUUUUAAAAUUGAGAAAAAUAAAAGGAGGGAGUCGCCACCAAUCUUUGUUAAGGUGUGAUUGGCCACCCAAAAGUUUAUCCUUUUAAUAAAACUAUAAAAACGGGUUUAAAGUUUAUCAAAAAGAUAAAUUUUGAUCUAUGAAAAACCAGGUUGAGUCCGGGAGUCGGUUACAUGUGGGAAAGGAUUAGCACCCCCACAACGCCCAUAAAUUGGUACCAUUCAACUAUGCGCUAUUUCGGUGUUGGAUAAAAAUGAUUUUGACUUGAAAUUUAAUACUAAUUCCCUUCGUUUUAAAAAAUACUUUUGCUAAAAUUUUUAUUUAGAAAUAUUGAGAGAAUCUUUAAGUUAAAGAAUUAUCUUAAAAUUCUCCAACAUCUAGGUAGAAUUUAAAAUAACUCUUUUGCUUAAGAUUUAACACAAUAAUCCUUAAAAUGAAAUAACAAUCUUUAUUGAAAAUAAUUGUUAGCAACUCUCCAACAUCUAGGCAGAGUACCAAGAAUUAUUUCUUUCAGAAUGUUAUUUUUAUUUUGUUUUAUAAUAUCACAAUUUUUUUUAAAAAAUGUAUUAUUCUUUUUUUAUUAUAAAAUAUUUUAUCAUUGAACAAUAAAUUAAAGAGAGAAUAAUGUAGACAAUUAUCGAUGAUAACAUGCUAACGUAUGUAUGCUAAUGAAUGUCAUGUAAAAUGAAAUGCAAUUUAAGAGUUGGAUUCUUAAGUAUAAUGAGACCACCCCUACUCUCCUCCAUCUGGUAGCUUUGGACUAUUUAUAUUUAAGAUUCAAUUUAUUAUAUUUUUAUUUAUUUAAUCAUGUUAAAGCAAAUUAAGAAUCGUAUAAAAGACUUAACGAAGUAAAAUUUCUUUAAUACCCAUUAGGAGCAUUCGGGAACAAUUGCUUCAAAUAAAUUUCACACGUGUCUUGUUAGAUUUUAGAAGUUUUGAGUAUAGGGUUUCAGUAAAGGUUUUGAAGGUUUGUUUUCUUAGGUUUAGAGGUUUUAAAGCUUGAAUUUUAGAUAUGAUUUUUUGAUUUAGAAUUUAAUUAUUAAUUUUGGGUUUUGAAUUUAAGGGUUUGGAUUUUAGGGAUUUUUGGAUCUUGGUUUGGAUUAAGAGUUAAAGGUUUGGAAUUUCGGAUUUUGGGGAGGGUUUUUGGGAUUUAAGGGUUUCGAAUUUUAGGGAUUUUGGAUUUUUAGUGGGUUUUGGAUUUUAGAGAUUUUGGAUUUUGGGUUUUAGAACCUAGGAUUUGAAAAAUUAAAAAAAAUUAGUGUUUAAGGUUCGUUUUUAGAAAAUACGAACAUCUCUAAAAAACUCUCCAACAUCUAAGUGGAUUUUCCGAAGCAAGUUCGAUUUUAGUGAUUUUUGAAAAUUAAUUUAAAAAUUUUUUAUAUUUAUUUUUUAUGAAAAUUUAUUAUAAUAAUUCUCCAACAUCUAGACAGAAUUAUUUCUUUAGAAAAAUAUUUUUAUUCCCUCCAACAUCUAGGCAAAGAAAAUAAUAAAAAUUAUUUUUUUGAGCAUUUUAGUAUAUUUUUAAUUAUUAUUUGUUUUCAAUUUUAUUAUUUAAACAAUUAAACAUUUAUUCCACCAAAUUUAAGAAUUUAUCAUGCAUCAAUAAAAAAAAUACUUAAAAUAACAAAAAUAAUAAUAUAAAAAAAUUAGAAAAUUUAAAAAAAAAAUUUUUUUUACCUAAACCGGACCGAUUAACGGUUCGGUCAAUAAUCGAUUCGGCUGGACCAAAAAAGGGUCGGUUCGACGCACGGUUCGGCUGAACGAUCUACGGUUCGGUCCGAUUCAAACCGGUUCAAUUAUACCAAUCAGCAAUUAUUGGAAGAGGGAGGUCUACAGGUCGGGUUACACAGAUCCUGGGUCGAAUCUGGGUCAACGUGUGGAUCCUUCUUGGCCUAAACGACGUCGUUUUGGCCUUUAGGCCUUUAUAUAUAAUCGAAAUUUUUUUGUUUAUUUGGUUUCUGUUUUCAAAAAAAAAGGGAGAGCUACAGAGCUCUCUCGUUGACCAAUCGUCAGACCACCGCGUCAGCCGCAGACUAGAUCACUGCGGCGGUCGCUGCCGGUGGUUGUCGAGGUUUGAAAAAUGCCAAAAAUACUUCUAGAAGCACUAUUCAAUGCGCUCUUCCCAAAUCUGGCUUUCUUUUUGCCAGAAAUAGCCUUGAUCGUUGUAGAUCGGGGCUUAAAGUUUUCUGCCUUCUUUCUUCUUCUUCUUCUUUUUUUGUUUUCUUGAAACAAAAACUGAUAUAUUUUUUUUGUUUUUGCAGGGAGCUUGACACUAAGGUUCCUCCCUACGGGGAUGACUAUUUGUUUUUUUUUUGUUUUUGUUUUUUAUGUUUCUGUUUUCGUGGUUGGUGUGGGUUGAAGGAUUUUUUUUUUAUGUGUCUGGAUGUCCAAGUGGGUGUUGUGGGCAGUGUGUCUGAAGGUGAAGAACUGUCUGAGCUCAAAGGUUUUGUGAGGGUAAGAUGAAUGGGUAUUCUUCAUUUUUUCAAAGAAUGUUCAAAAGAGAGGUUGAAGAGGAUUCGAGAGAGAGGAAGGGGGAAUGGGUUGUUGAUUUUAAAGAGCUUCAAUUAGGGGGAUUUGGGUGGCUGUAAGGUGGUUGUAUGUGGGUUGAAUAGGGAGCUGGUUAGGGGGCUGGUCAGGAGGCUAAUAGGGGGCUGGUCGGGUCGUAGGGUGGCUAGUCAGGGGCGACAGUAACGCCAGCCACCCUACUUUCUGUUUUUUCUCUUUUUGUUUUUUUUUUGUUUUAUUUAUAUAAUUAAUAAUUAUUAUUUUUUUAAAAUUAUUAUUAUUAUUAAAAUUAAAACAGUAGACCCGGAUAAAAUCGGUAUCUACAGCUACCCCUCUUUGCACAUUACUGAGAAUAAAAAAUAGGACAAAGACAAAGACAACGAUUUUGUCCGGAAGUAAAUCGUGAUUUUUUUUUUUAAACACAAAAUGAUUGGGAUGACACCGCAAGCCAAAAAAUAAUGAAUCAAUCGAGAUAAUAUCACGAAUCGAAUUUAUGUCUGAAGGUCUUACAAAUCAUGCCCAGAGGUCUUACAAAAUCGAUUGAGAUAAUACCGUAAGUUAAAAUUAUGCCCUAAGGUCUUACAAAUCAUGCCCGGAGGUCUUAUAGAAUCGAUUGAAAUAACAUCACAAGUCAAAAGAUAAAGAAUCGAUCGGGAUAACACCGUAAAUCAAAAUUAUGUCUGGAGGUCUUAGAAAUCAUGCUCGGAGGUCUUACAAAAUUAACUAGGAUAACACCGCAAGUCAGAAAUAAAGAAUCGAUCGGGAUAACAUCGUGAAUCAAAAUUAUGCCCGGAGAUCUUAGAAAUCAUGCCUGGAGGUUUUAUAGAAUCAUUCCCGAAAGUCUUAUAGAAUUGCCCGGAGGUCUUGCAGAAUCAAUUGAAAUAACAUCACAAGUCAAAAAAUAAAAAAUCGAUCGGGAUAACAUCGUGAAUCAAAUUUAUGCUCAGAGGUCUUAGAAAAUCAUGCUCGGAGGUCUUACAUAAUCGAUUGAAAUAACACCACAAGUUAAAAGAUAAAGAAUCGAUCAGGAUAACAUCACGAAUCAAAUUUAUGCUCGAAGGUCUUAGAAAUCAUGCUCUGAGGUCUUACAGAAUUUAUUGGGAUAACAUUGCAAGUCAAAAAUAGAGAAUCAAUUGGAACAACAUCGUUAAUCGAAAUUAUGCUCGAAGGUCUUAAAAAUCAUGCCUGAAAGUUUUACAAAAUCAUGCCCGGAGGUCUUACAGAAUUGUUCGAAGGUCUUACAGAAUUGUUCGGGAUAAUAUCGCAAGUCAGAAAUAAAGAAUCGAUCGGGACAACACCGCGAAUCAAAAUUAUACCCGAAAAUCUUACACAUCAUGCCCCGAGGUUUUACAGAAUCAACUGGGAUAACAUCAUAAGUUAAAAAUAAAGAAUCGAUAGAGAUAACACUGCGAAUCAAAUUUAUACUCGGAGGCCUUAUAAAUCUCAAAAUCUUUGAAUGCUCAUCAUAAUCAGAGGCAAUGAAACUUUAACAAUCUUUUAAUCUUGAAAGUCGUGCGCAGAGACUUUUAGAGAUUAUGCCCGAAGGUCUUAUAAAUCUCAAAAUCUUUGAAUGCUCCUCAUAAUCAAAGGCAAUGAAACUUUAAAAAUUUAAAAAUAUUUUAAAACAUAGCUUUCACCUAAUCAGAGAUUUUUGAUACUUUAAAAGUCUUUUCUGAGGAUGGUUCCUUCUAAACAGAAGCUUUGAAAUCUUGAUUGAAAUUGGUUCCUCUUAAAUAGAGGCUUUGAAAUCUUAAUUAAGAAUGGUUCUUCCUAAACAGAGACUUUAAAACUUUAAAAACUUAAAAACAUGCCCCCUUUUUAUUAUUAUUUUUUAAUACUUACAAAGUUGAUAAAAGCAAACAUGAUACAAAUGUCUAUUCUCAUCAAAUGAUGCUAAUGGAAAUGUCGAUGCAAAUGUCAAUGCCAACGUAAAAAUGUAAAUGCUUUAUACAUUUGACUUUUUCACAAUGCAAAUGACAUUGUCCUUUCCAUGUAGAUGGCCCUACAAAUACCUUUUCUUAGGAUGCAGAUGCCAUGAUGCAAAUGCAAAAUCUUCUUAUGGUGUGAAUGCAAAUGUCUUAUACAAAUGCCAAUGCAAGUGAUGCAAAUACGAAUGUCUUUCUUGUGAUGCAAAUGCAAGCGAUGCAAAUGCAAAGACUCUUCUUGCCCCUCUUUUUUUUUUUUGAAAAAUAUUUGUUUAUAUUUUCAUUGUUUCAUUCUCACCCAAAAAAUUAUCUCAGUAUUAUGUACAAAAUGCUUCAAUAAUCUUGGAAAAUUUUCAAAAGUGAUCAAAAAUUAUCCCACAUAAAGUAUUUUCAUAAUUAAUGAAAAAUUUAGAAUUCAAGACUUUCGAAUCUCUUGGAAGUCGGUGAUCACUAUUUGGAAAGCUUAUGGAUGGAAGGGUAAUUGACAAUUCAACUCCUUUUACUAGUGGGCAUAUCUCAUGGAAAAGCUCGACAAGGGUUGCAAGGAUUUCAUCUUGGGCUCACAAAAAAGAUAAUUUUUAAAACAUCUUUUUUUAUUGAAAACGUGAUACUUCAAUGUGAGUCAAAAUUAGCCAUUACUUUUCAAACAAGAUUUGAGAAGAAGAUAAGGCUGGCUUUUUUUUUUUUUAAGGAAGGUCUUUAAUGGGUACUGGUCCUUCAUGAGGCUUUGUAUCAAGACCUUUUAUUUUGGAUAAAACCUUGAAACUCUGAAGUUCAUUAUGAGGCCUCAAAAAUGACUUUAGCUCUAAACUGCUCUUUUGGGGUUUUCACCUUAGAGCUAUAUAUUUUUUUUUUAUCAAUGAAGAAUUCAACAAGUAUAUACAAAUUCAAGGAUAUUGCUUUUCAAUCCAAGUAUCCACAUUUGAUCAAAAUGGGCUUUUCAGGGUAUGUAAUGUAGGUUGAGGUUAAGGGUUCUGAAAGAAUGGAUAAAUAGGCUCAAAACAUGUUAUUCAGGGUGAUUAGGCCAAGGAUCCUGAUGAGCACUCUCUAACUUUCUUUUUUUGCCCCUUUUUUUUUGAAACAUUUGGCUUUAAUUUCAAUAACUUUACGUACUUUUUUUUUGCCUUGAAUUCUCAUUUUCAAGGUACAUAUUUUUUCUUUUUUUUAUUUGAUUUUUUUUAAUUCUAAUUGAAGCUUCAUAUUCUUAUCUUUAAGGCUUUUUUGUUUUGCCUUAGAAAUAUUUAACUUUAUCUUUGGUUGUUCACUUUCUUGAAUCUUGAAAUUUUAAUUGAAGUCUUGUUCACUUUUUAUCCCAGACUUUCACCUCCGAUUGGCAUGUUAGAUGCUUUCAAUAUCGGAUACUUUUCUUGAAGUUAAUCUUGUAUGUAUCCUAAUUUUUCCUCCUAAUGUAGAAAAUGAUCCUUGGUUAUGGUUUAUUUUGGAACAAAAAAUUUAAUAGGCUCAAAUGGGUAGCAAAUGGAUAAUUUUUAUGUACGAGAAGGAUAGAGAAAUAUGGUCAUUCAUUAUUUCAAACAUGAUCACUUAGGUAGAAGAGCAAAUCAUUGAAUAUGUCCUUUUUGUUUUUUUCUUGUUUUUUUUUUGGAUGCCCCAUCUUUUUUUUACUCAAGGUUCCAACGAUGACCAAGUCGUAUAGGAUCGAUCGUAUAGCUCAAAAAGGCUCUUUGGGCUCUAAAAUUUUUUGGCAUUUUCUUAGUGAAAGGAAGAGAAUAGGUAUAAAGGUAUGAAAUAAAUUGUCUUAGGCAGAAAUGGAUUCUUUUUUCUUUUUUAAUGUGUCUUAAGACAUGAAACAAGGGUUAUUUAAGAAAAAGACUCAAGCAUUUUUGUAUCUAUAGUCAUAGCAAAAUUUUGACACACAUUGAAUUAUCAAUUGAAAAUUUUGAAAGAGUAUCUGAUUUUUGAAAUUCAAAACAAACAUUCAAAAUUAAUCUCUUUUGUUCUUUGCCCAAGAAAAGAUUAUCGACCCUUUAAAGUCUAAACUCAAACUCACAUUUCCUGAAAGGUUAUGGUUGAUGAGUCCAAUCAUUUAAGUGAUUAGGGUCAUGAAAGAAUUCGAAAAGGUGUGAAAGUAUUUGAUGAGCUUUUUCCUAAUAGUAAUCACCAUUUCUUUUAAGAAUCCUUCCAUCUUUAUUGUAAAAUAAAACUUUUUUUUCUUUUUGUAUUUUUUUUUUAAAGUUACUUAUAUGGGACUUUUAUUCAAACAAAUGCAUAAAGAGAAAAUUUCAUGAAAAAGAUCAAAAGUAUUCAAUUCUUCCAAAAUAAGUUAAAUAACUCCUAGAGACACAAUGCACGUGUCCUACAUACAUAGUAAAAAAAAAAUCAUCCUAUCCUGAUUUUUAAAAUUUGACACCUCCCUCUUCAUCUCAACUUCUCACAUUUGACAAUUGAAUGGAGUCAACAACUUCUAUUGUUCUAUUACCUCUGGAGUCAGAAUACCAUUCUUAAUAAGAUCUUUAACCUUUUCUUUCAACUGUCUGUAUUUUUUAGUUGAGUGGCCAAUUACCCCCAUAUGGUAAUCAUAUUUAUCAUUGGGAUUGUAACUCCUUGCUGAUGGAUUUGGUGUUGUUUUCAAAGGCACAAAAGUGAGAUAUUGACCUUCUAUUAGCAAAGGCAAAAAGUGAGAAAUAGGGAUGGAUAAUUUUUCUUAAUCAUUCCUUAGUCUUUUUCGAUUCUUUAUUGGUCGAGUGGUGGAUUCAAAUGUAGAAAUAAGAUCAUGAAUGAUCACUUGAGGAUGGGAGUUUGCUGGAAAGCUCAAAUGCUGGCUUGGUUGGCAAAGAUAUGAGUUUUAAUAUAUAUGGCUUAUGGCAGGGUGAUGGGGUUGAUAAACGAGAUAAGGAUUAUACAGGAUAAAUCUAUUAGGUAGAUGCCUUUCCAUUGUGACUGCCUGCACAUCUUCUUUAUUCUGUUUUGAUGUACUUUCUUUUUCAACAUCUGUUGCAUCUUUUAACUUAAUCAUGCCACUCUUAAUUGCAUUUUCUAUAAUUUCACUAGAAAUCACCAUGUCCGAAAAUUUUUUGGAGAGAUUCCCAAUCAUUCUUUCAUAAUAGGGAGUGUCCAAAAAAUUGACAAAUAGAAUAAUAAUUUUUUUCUCUAACAAGGAUGGUUAUACUUGAGCUGUUAUGUCUCUCUAUCUAUGUGUAUAUUCUUUGAAUGUUUCAGUUGAUCUUUUCUCCAUGUUCUGCAAAGACAACCUAUCUGGCACCAUAUCUUCAACAUGCUUAUAUUGUGCUGGGAAGGCCCUAGCCAAUUCAUUCCAAGAACGAAUCUUACUUCGAUCUAACUGAGCAUACCAUUUUGCUGUAGGUCCAGUGAGACUAUCUUGAAAGUAAUGGAUCAACAAUUUUAUCAUCAUGAGUGUAACCUAUCAUCUUUCGAUAGUACAUGGUGAUGUGUGUUAAAGGGAAUUUCGUUUCAUCGUACUUCUCGAAACUUGAGGCUUUGAAUUUUGAUGGAAUAACAAGCUUUGAAUUUUGAUGGAAUAACAAGAUUAGGUACUAGCCUAAGUUUACUGGUGUCAACAUUCUCGUACACAUCAUGGCUUUCAAUUACUUUCAAUCUCUUUUCCAAUAGAUCAUACUUAUCUUUCAUCACUAUAUCUUUUGAUGGAUCUGGCACCCUUUUCAAUUUUUUUAAUUUUUUAUGAUCAUCCAUAUUAGGCACAAUAGUGAAGUCGUGAGGAUUAUGUCCAGGAUUGACAUUUGUCUGAACUAAUGGUAUCUUGGCAAAAUCACCAAUAUAAGGUUGAUAAGUUGUUGGAGGUGCUUGUGACACAUGGGGAUCUUGAACAUAUGUGAACCCACAUAGAUACAUUGGUGUCUCGACAACUAUUUCCUUCCUUGUCCUAUGUGUCUCAACAACUUUUUUUCCUUUUGUCAAUUUCACUAUCAUCUGUUUUAAUUCUGCCAGUUGUCUGUUCACUUUUUAUUGCAUUUCCAUAACUGUUUCAUUUAUCUCUCUUUAGGCCUUUUUUACUCUGUCCAUUCGAUUGGCAUCUUCAUUUUUCAUGAUUCUAGUACUGACUCGAGUGCUAUAAGCGUGCAGACUCAACUGAUCUCAUUUUCUAGGAUAGCUAUCCUUGAACCUUUUAUUAAUCAUCAGAAGUCAGAAAUGCACAACAAAAAUUUUAUUAUCAAAAAUCUUUUGGCUUUGAAGGUUUAACAAAAGCGUGUUCACAAUCAUCAUCUUUUGACUUUAACUAGCAUGAAAAACAAUGAAUUCAAACAGAUGAUGCAUGAUGUGUAAGCUAAAUUUUAUUAUUAUUAAGAAAGGGAGAACUCGAGUUCCAUCAUAUAUUCUGGCUAGGUUAUCUAAAGACAUUCUUUUCUUUUCAAAAGUUUGAUGAAAGUAUAUUCACAAUUAUCACUCUUUUUUACUGGUUCUAAUUAUUAAAGGUGGACAGAAGCAUCAAUUCAUAGAAAAUCUAGGUUAAAAAAGUUUUCAUUCAUUCCAAAAGCAUCAAGUUUACACAUCAUAAACCAUUCUAGGGCUAAGGCCAAAAGGUGUCAGACCUGCUUCCACUUCCCUUUGUCUCACCUAAAAAAUAGUCAACUAUAAUUACUAGGGAGGACAAUUCUUUACUUAAAAAGUUUUUUAUUCAUCAUCUUGAUCAACUUUACUGUUGCCUAUAACACUACCUACCAUUUCGACAUGGAUCAAAGAAGGGUUCUCAUGAAUAACUGGCCUCAUCUUGGCAUCAAAACUCAGAUAUCUGACUUUCAUCAAUCCCUGCACCCUAUGUUUCAAAGCUAUGCAAUCUCUCAGAGAAGGGCUCACAACACCAAAAUGGUAUUCACAUUAGGCAUUAGGGUUAUACCAUUUAGGGAAAGGUUGUUUACGAGGUUCAGCAAGGAUAGAGGCAAUGAGGUAGUUCCUUAGGAACAACGAGUAUAACUCUGUGUAGGACAUGGGUAUUGGAUCAAUUGGGGCUUUUCCUUUGGUGUUACCAGAGUUUUUCUAUCCUAUAGUUAGUUUGCUUUACUGAAAAGGUGCUGGUAUAGUUGGUCUCAAAGUGAAUUGAAAAACUCUGGAUCGAAGAUUGGGUUCAAAAGGUAGUGACAGGAUAGCAUGCUGAACAAACGAUUGUGAAAUAUGAUAUGGUGAAUAUAGGUUCAGGUGUGAAAUUUUUGGUGGUUGAAUGAAAAUUAGGGGUCUAAUCCUAGGUGCUUGGAAAGGAGGUUGAAAAUGGUCAUAAGAAGGAUUUAGGUAUGGGUUAGGACUUGAGAUAGUUGGUGAUGGUUAUUUGAAGCCAGGUGACUCCUUAUUGGAAAUCAAACUCUUGAGCUCAGUCAUUUGCGUGGCUAGUUCACCCAUUCCUCUCUUGAGUUCGCCUAAACUUCGAUCACUAUUCAAAUCACCCAAUGCUUUAGCAUACUCUGGCAGAGUGCUGGAACUAACAGGAGCCAAUUAACCUUGACUUGACGGAAGUGACAACGGUCUUUGAGGAGGAACAAACUCAACUUCAUCACUACCUCUAACCAUUUCUAUCAAUUGAGCCAUCUGUUGUUUCAUCUCUCAAAGCUCAAGCCAUAAUUCCUCUUGAUUCAACUCCAAAUCACUAAUCCUUGCUUCCAAUUGAUCUUUCAUUUUCAUCACUCUGAUUCCCACCAAGACAGAUAUUUUAUUCCAGAACUUAAAUAAAAAAUUCUAGACUAUUACCCUAAUUGAAUGAAUAUCACAAAAAUAAAAACAUACAAAGUAUGUUUAUGAAUACAUGAAUACGAGAAUGUCCUAAAAUGCAUAUAUACUUAUGACAAUGGAUUUUUAUAUGUACAAAGACCCAAAUAAAAAUUUUUGUCAACCAUGAAUGUGUAUGCAAAAAAUGCAAUGUCAUGUUGCAAGAAUGGUGAGAUAUGAAAUGCAAUGUAUAUUCCAUAUGACCUUAUUAUUCAUGAAUCUAUAUGCAUGAAAUGCAAUUACAUAUUUACAUGAAUGGUGAGAGUAUUCUUAUGACUAAUGCAACAUACAUAUAUGAAAUGCACAAACCUACUGUAUGUAUGAGAUAUGUAUGUAUGAAAUGCAAUGCAUGUGUUGUGCUGCCUUAAUAAGGUAAACACUGCCUUAAGAUACGUAAUGAGAUAGAAUGCAUGCACUACUUAUAAAAAAGUGCAUGAGAUACAUGUGCAUGAAGUAAAAUGCGUGUGCUACCUAUUGAUAUGGAUGGGAUGGAAUGCACGUUGUAGACACCCAAUUGGGUCCGGGCCCAGAUCAAUUGGGCCUGGCCCAAAUGGGUAAGGCCCAUUUCAAUCCUGUAUUUUUUAUUUUUUUUUCUUUUCUUUUCUUUUUCUUCUUUUGUAUUUUAUGUAUUUUAUUAUUAUUAUUAUUAUGUAUAUCUUUGUGUAUUUAUUUUUAUUUAGAUUAGAUUUAUAUGUAUUGUAUGUAUAUAGUUAUAUAUUUAUUAUUAUUAUUAUCUUUUUUUUUGUAAUAUAUUUUUGGGUUUAUCUUAUGUUAUUUUUUUUUAUUAUCUGUUAAUUUUAUCUGAUUUUUUUUCUUUUCGAAUUAUCUGAUAUUAUUUUUUUAUUUUUAUACUAUCAUAUCUUUUGAUUAUCUAGUAUUUUUUUAUUUAUUUUGAUUUUAAUUCUGGAUGGCUAAGAUUCAAAGUUGAAGAAUCCCACUCUGGAGGGGAAUUCAAUCAGAAGAGUCCAGUUGGAUUCAAAGACUGAAUUCCCGUCAUAGGAGGAAUUGGGAUUGAUCAGGAACUCCUGAUCAACCCCUAUAAAAGGGACCCUCUGGAACAAUGCUGAAGACACAGAAAACAGUAAGCCAAGCUACUAAUUUGAGAGAAAAGGAGGCGUAUAGGAAGCUAGAAAAAGUUUAGGAGUGUUCUGGAAGUGAGAAAAAUUUUUUAGAAAUUUUUGGCGAAAAUUCUUUCUGGAAAUUUCUGGGAAAUUUCCAGAUUCCCGCGAAAAUUCCGACGAAGUUUGAAUUUUCCGGCGAAAAUUCCGGCCAACAUUGAAGUUUCCGGCGACCUGCCCAGUUUCCGGCGAAGGAUCCCAGAAACCGGCGAUCUUCCGGCCAACUUCCGACGAAAUUUCCAGAUUCCGGUGACAUUUUCCAGAAUCCGGCACCGGUGUUCUUCAGUUUCUAGAGAGAAGGGAGAGAAAAAGGAAGAAGAGAGAGAGAGGGGGAGGAGCGUUCUGUCGAAAAACGAAGGGGACUGCCUUUUAUACCCUCCCAAAACGACGUCGUUUUGGCCUUAAGUAACCCACAGGAUCCGCGCGUUUUUUCGAACCCGACCCGACCCGGGCGUCGACCCGCUUUCUGACCCGCGCGUGCCAGCCCCCUCCGAGCCGAGCCGAGCCAAGCCGCCAAGCCGCUCCCCCCAAGCCGUUUCCCUGCCUUGAGCCGAGCCGAGCCGCGAUCCGAGCCGCUCCAGGUUUUUUUUUUUUUUUUUUCCUUUGAAUUAUUUUAUUUUAUUUAUUUCUUUGUUUAUUUUAAUUUUUAUUUAUUAGAUUAGGUUUAUGUAAUAUCCUUUUUAUUUAUUUUUUUACUAUUUUAUUUUCUUUAAAUAAAAAUAAAAAAUUCCAAAAAAAUAUAUUUUUAGGGAAAAGUUGAAAGUAUCAAUUUUCCUUAGAAAUAAAUUUCCAAAAAAUAUUUUUGGGGAAAAGUUGAAAGUAUCAAUUUUCCUCAGAAAUAAAUUUCAAAAAAAAAUAUUUUUAGGGAAAAGUUGAAAGUAUCAAUUUUCCUUAAAAGAAAAAUAAAUUUCCAAAAAAAAUAUUUUUAGGGAAAAGUUGAAAGUAUCAAUUUUCCUUGAAAAUCGAAAUUUCCAAAAAAUAUUUUUGGGGAAAAGUUGAAAGUAUCAAUUUUCCUUAGAAAUAAAUUUUCAAAAAAAAGGGUUUUUGAGGAAAAGUUGAAAGUAUCAUUUUUCCUUGAAAUCGAAAUUUCCAAAAAUAUUUUUAGGGAAAAGUUGAAAGUAUCAAUUUUCCCUACAAAAAAAAAUCAUUCUUUCCUUCCUUUCUAUCUUAAUUUUGAUUUAAAUAAUCCGACGACGGAGCCUCUGUAAGUGAACAGUAGUUUUUCUUGCAUACUCUGAGUGAGGGAAUUUUCUCAAUUUUCUGCUAAAAGUAUUAGAGUCAAUUGAGAAUAAUUUCCAAUAACUAAUUACUUGGUAAAAUUUUAAGGUUUUUGGAUAACACAAAUUUAAGCUGGUACCAUCUUUUGAUGGGCAUUGUGAGGGUGCUAUAACCUUCCUCACACGUAACCGAACUCCCGAACCUUGUUCUGGUUAGCAGACCUGAACCUAUUCUUUUGGGGACCCUUAAACUUAGGUGUUCCCUGAAAGGACAGAUUCUUUAGGUGGCCAAUCGCACCUAGAUAAAAAAGAUUGGUGGCGACUCCCUUAAGUCAAUGUCUAGCGAUAGAUCCCCGGAUCUAGAUGUUAUGACACACGUAUUAUCCUAUUAUAAUGCACAUGAGAUGAGAUACAUGUAUGAUGUAUGAAAUGCGAAAGAUGAAAUAAAACACGAAAAUUUUUAUUUUAAGAAGGAAAAAUAGAAAGAAAUAAGGCUUGAAAAUUUGUUUUUAUUCGACCAAUAAACAAAGGAUUUAAGAAAAAUCUUUAACCUUUGAAAAUGUUCUUUUGUCUUUUUUUUUUUCUUUUCAAUGAUUGACCUAAAAUAAAUACCACAAAUUCAAAUAUAAUGCACACAAUCAAAAAAUAUAUAAAAUAAAAAAAUAAAAUGACUCGAGAAUUCAAAACAAACAAGUAAGAGAAAUAAUAUAACAACCAUACAACCAAAUAAUAUAACGUAUAAUGUCCUAAUUUUUGGUAAUUUUCUAAAAAGGAAGCAUGGCUCAAUCCUAGGCAGGCUUCUUAUGGCUCACAAUAUGCUGGGUUAGGAUUUAUAUGUCUAAAGGUUCCUAAACUAUUCCUCACAUCAUCGUCUAUUAUAGACUAGUAAGGUUUCCCGAUCCUCGCCCAUUAUGGGUUAUUAACGGAAAGGGUUCAAUCUGAGUGGAAGUCUUUUGCUAGCAAAUGUGGAGGUUAUCACCUCACGAGAGCAUAGCUACUUCACUUUCUCCUAAAAAGGAUGAAGCCCGGGUAUAAAGCUCAUGCAUGCGAGUGAAUAUGCAAAGUGUGUGCAAGGUAAUGUAUUAAUCAAAAUAACAUGAAUAAAUUAAAAGCAUAAUCAAAAUGAAGUAAUAACUAACACAUAAUUUACUUUAUUUAUUAACAUGAAUGUUUUCAAAAAAAAUAAAAUAAAAAAAAUUAGAUUAAAUAUCAAAUAAAAUCAAUUAAAUCCAACCAUUGUUAAUAGCGUAUAAUUAAAAUUUUGGCCUGACUCUCAAACAAGUCCCCAGUGGAGUCGCCAAGCUAUCGUAACGAUUUUGGGACCGCCAGACAUAAAAUGAUGAGUUGUGUUUUAAAAUCGAGAAAAAUAAAAGGAAGGAGUCCCCACCAAUCUUUGUUAGGGUGUGAUUGGCCACCCAAAAGUUUAUCCUUUUAAUAAAACUAUAAAAAUGGGUUUAAAGUUUAUUAAAAAGAUAAAUUUUGGUCUACAAAAAACUAGGUUGAUCCGGGAGUCGGUUACGUGUGGGGAAGGGUUAGCACCCCCACAAUGCCCAUAAAUUGGUACCAUUCAACUAUGCACUAUUUCGGUGUUGGAUAAAAAUGAUUUUGACUUGAAAUUUAAUACUAAUUCCCUUCGUUUUAAAAAAUACUUUUGCUUAAAUUUUUAUUUAGAAAUAUCGAGAAAAUCUUUAAGUUAAAAAAUUAUCUUAAAAUUCUUCAACAUCUAGGCAGAAUUUAAAAUAACUCUUUUUGCUUAAGAUUUAAUACAAUAAUCCAUAAAAUAAAAUAACAAUCUUUAUUGAAAAUAAUUGUUAGCGACUCUCCAACAUCUAAGUAGAGUACCAAGAAUUAUUUCUUUUGGAAUGUUAUUUUUAUUUUGUUUUAUAAUAUCAUAAUUUUUUUUUAAAAAAUGUAUUAUUCUUCUUUUAUUAUACAAUAUUUUAUCAUUGAACAGUAAAUUAAAGAGAGAAUAAUGUAGACAAUUAUCAAUGAUAACAUGCUAACGUAUGUAUGCUAAUGAAUGUCAUGUAAAAUGAAAUGCAAUUUAAGAGUUGGAUUCUUAAGUAUAAUGAGACCACCCCUACUAUCCAACAUCUAGGCAGAGCUUAGGUGCGACUGUUUAUAUUUAAGACCUCAAUUUUAUUAUACUUUUUAUUUAUUAAUUUUAUUAUUAAAGCAAAUUAAGAAAUCAUGUGAAAAGGCUUAACGAAGUAAAAUUUCCUAAAUACCCCAUAAUCUAGGCGGCAUUCAGGAACAAAUUGCUUCAAAUGAAAUUUUCACACGUGUCCUUAGGAUUUUUAUGAGGUUUUGAGUAAGGGUUUGAGUAGAGGUUUUGAAGGUUUGGUUUUAAGGUUUAUAGGGUUUUAAAGCUUGAAUUUUAGGAUAUGGAAGGUUUAGGGUUUUGAUUUUAGAGUUUGGAGAUUUUAGGGUUUGGGUUUUGAUUUAAGGGUUUGGAUUUUAGGGAUUUUGGAUUUUGGGUUGGAUUUAAGACUCUAAAGGUAUGAAAUUUCAGAUUUUGGGGGGUUUUGGAUUUUAAGGGUUUUGGAUUUUAGGGAUUUUGGAUUUUUAGUGGGUUUUGGAUUUUAGAGAUUUUUGAUUUUGGGGUUUUAGAAACCUAGGAUUUUGAAAAUUAAAAAAAUUAGUGUUUAAGGUUUUAUUUUUAAGAAAAUACGAACAUCUCUAAAAGUCUCCAACAUCUAGGCGGAUUUUCAAAGCAAGUUCGAUUUUAGUGAUUUUUGAAAAUUAAUUUAAAAAUUUCUUAUAUUUAUUUUUUAUGAAAAUUUAUUAAUAAUAAUUCCCCAACAUCUAAGCGAAAUUAUUUCUUUAGAAAAAUAUUUUUAUUCCCUCCAACAUCUAGGCAAGAAAAAUAAUAAAAAUUAUUUUUUGGAGCAUUUUAGUAUAUUUUUAAUUAUUAUUUGUUUUCAAUUUUAUUAUUAUUUAAAUAAUUAAACAUUUAUUCCACCAAAUUUAAGAAUUUAUCAUGCAUCAAUAAAAAAAUACUUAAAAUAACAAAAAUAAUAAUAUAAAAAAAAUUAGAAAAUUAAAAAAAAAAUUUUUUUUACCUAAACCGGUCUGUCAACGGUCCGAUCAAUGACUGGUUCAGCUGGACCGAAAAGGGGUCGGUUCGGCACGCGGUUCUGCUGAGCGGUCUACGGUUUUGUCCGAUUCAAACUGGUUCAAUUGGAUCGAUCAACAGCUGUUGGAAGAGCGGGUCUAUGGGUCGAGUUGCACGGAUCUCGUGUCAGAUCCGGGUCAACGCGCGGAUCCUCCUUGGCCUAAACGACGUCUUUUUGGCCUUUAGGCCUUUAUAUAUAACAGAAAAAAAAAUUUUGUUCAUUUGGUUUCUAUUUUCUGAAAAAAAUGGGAGAGCUCCAGAACUCUCUCGUCGACAGGUCGUUGGACUGUCGCGCCGACCGCUGUUUGGGUCAUCAUCGGCAGUCACUGCAGGUGGUCGUCAGUGUCCAAAAAAUUCUAAAAAUACUUCCAGAAGCGCUCUUCAACGCGCUCUUCCCAGAUCUGGCUUUCUUUUCGCCAGAAACAGCUUCAAUCGUCGUAGAUCGGGGCUUGAAAUUUUUUACCUUUUAUCUUCUUCUUUUUUUUUUUGUUUUGUUGAAACAAAAACUGAUCUUUUUUCUUUGUUUUUGUAGGGAGCUCGACACUGAGGUUCCUAACUACAUGGAGGACUGUUUGUCUCUUUUUUUGUUUCUAUUUUUUGUGUUUCUGUUUUCAUGGUUGGUGUGGGUUGAAGGAUUUUUUUUUGUGUCUGGGUGUCUAAGAGGGUGUUGUGGGUAGUGUGUCUGGAGGUGAAGAACUGUCUGAGCUCGAAGGUUUCGUGGGGGUAGGAUGAAUGGGUAUUCUUUUCUUUUUUCAGAGAAUAUUCGAGAGAAAAGUUGAAGGGGAUUCGAGAGAAAAGUUGAAGGGGGAAUGGGUUGUUAAUUUUAAAGAGCUUCAAUUAGGGAGAUUUGGGUGGCUGUAGGGUGAUUGUAGGUGGGCUGAACAGAGAGCUGGUUAGGGGGCUGGUCAGGUCAUAGGGUGGCUAGUCGGGGGCGGUAGCAGCACCAGCCACCCUACUUUCUGUUUUUUCUCUUUUUAUUUUUUUAUAUAAAUAAUAAUUAUUAUUUUUAAAAUUAUUAUUAUUAUUAUUAAAAUUAAAAUAAUAGACCCGAACAAAAUCGAUGUCUACAAUUACACACAUACAUUUAUAAAAAAAACAAAUUAAUUAAAUAAAUCAAUACAAAAUUAAAUUAAAUUCACCUGCAAUAAGACUUUAAUUUGAAACUUAAAGAUUUUAAAAGCUCAUUCUUAAGGUCCAUUUAGAUGAAUGAUGAGAUUGAUUCUGAUAAGAUUAAAAAAAAUGGUAAAGAUGAGAUUUGUUACUCUAACAGUAAGUUUAAUUACUAUAACGGUAAGAUUAAAAUUAAUAGCAAAAUAUAUGUUUGAUGAAAAUGCAACGGUAGUAGUGAGGUAGAUUAUAAUGAAAAGAUAAAAUAAUCAUUAAAGAUAUUAAAUUAAAAUUACAUAUAAUAAAAUUUAUAAAAUAUAUUUGAUAUUUGUGAUAUUAAUAAAUAAUUAAAAAUUAUUAAAAUUAUUUUAUAUCAAAUAAUAAUUUUAUUAAUAAAUUGAAAAUUAUUAAAAUUACUUUUAUAUCAAAUAAUAAUUUAUUAUUAUAUAUUUAAAAAUUAUUUUUUGUGUAUAUUAUUUUUGUUCAAAAUAACAAAUAAAAAAAAAAAACAACCCUAAAAGCUAAGGGACAUUUUUGUUCCUUCAUUAUUGUUUGAGAGGUAAAAAAGAUUAAAAAAAAAAAGUGAAGACAUUAUAACAAAGGAUGUUGCGUUGGGGAAGGGAACUUUUCAUUGGAGAAGGGGUGGCCGACAAGAAAAAAGGGAUAUGGUGAUGCUCUUUUCGCACUGGUCCCUUCGUUUCCGGGGAUAAAGAAGCUCCAGUAGAUGAUUUAGUUAAUUUGAUUGCUAUCCCAUAAUGGUGCUUAAUAGUUUGUCACAGAUGUAAGCUUUUAAUAGAAUGAAUACCACAUGCCUCUAGCUAGCUCUAGCAUUCCUCCAGUGCUACAGGAGGAUUUAUUUUUAAAUAAAUAAAUAAAUAGCUCGAUCAAAAUAAAAUUUUCAUGUGAUCGAUGAAUUUAAUAGUUGUAAAAAUUAUUUUUUAUUGGUUAUAAUUAUAAUUAAUAAUUGUUAUUAUAAUCGAAUAAUUUUAUACAUCACAUAUUACAUACAAUCAUUUAUGAAAAAACUUAAUGAACAUUAAUUAAAUAAAUAAAUUCACAUUCAACAAGCCUAAAAUUUGAAACUUGAAGAUUUUAAAAGCUCAUUCUUUGUUACUAAGAUAAGAUUUGAUCAGCUAGAGAAUGAACAUUUUUUUACAUAAAAUAUUGCAAUUGACGUCUGAUUAGUGUUCUUAAAAAAAAAAGAUUUAAAUAAUGUUAUUGUAAGAAACUAGAAGCGAGUUGGCUUAACUAGUUGUAGAAGCGCACGCCAAAUUGGAUCAAGUUUGUGCUUCUUCCACACAACAGAAAAGCUGACCCCACAAAAUUAAAUAUUGACCAAUUGAUGCCCAAAUUUGUCAGUGAAAGGUAAUGCAUUGCAUUAUUGAGCACCCUCCUCUUUACUGCCUAGGGCCAACAUAAAAUGCCGAAAGGUCCCCAGCCCCGAAGGCAUCUUUUGUCCACAAAAUUCGUGCAUGAUUGUGACAAAAAACCAACUUUGAUUUGAUUAUUAUUUGAUCCUACAAUUUUUUUUAAAAGAAAACAUAAUGUUGUGAUUACAUGUAAUUGUCUAAUGUAUUUUUUUAAGUGUACAAUUACUAAUUGUGUAUAACAUAUCUGAACACAAUUUAUUUCGUUUCGUAUAUCUACUAACUUUUAUUUAUCACAAAAGUAAUGUUUUAUUUUAUGUAUGUCUUAAUAUACAUCACACAUUCAUUUGCUGUUGCAUAUUUGAUUGUGCAAUCAAUAUUUUUUUAUCAGAUAAUGUUGUAUCAUUGUAUAAUUAUAAUUUUUUUUUAGAAUUUUUCUAAUAAAGUAAAAUUGAAAAUUUUCACUUGUCAUUUUUAUAUAAACUUUUAUUUUUGGAAUUAAUUUUACAAUACUUUAUUUUUCAUAGUAAAAAAUUAUUAAACAAGGAUUUUAUAUUUUUAAUUUAUUCUUGAUCCGUACUAAAUAUAUCAUCUUUAUAUAGUCAAAUGAUGAUGAUUUUUUUAACUUAUUAUAAAUACAUUUAAUUGUAUAAUUUAUUAUAUGAUAUUAUAAGUCAAAAUUAACUCAUCAAAUUUUAAUUUUUUUAGGAGUUUAUUAAGUUUAAUUAAGAACUUAACUAAUUUACAUGCUUUUAUAAUCUUAUCUUGAAAAGAGUUAUUCCAUACACAUCCUUUUAUCUAAUUCAUCAUUUUAUAAACAUGUGAAUUUCAUUUCCUUUGCUGAAUUAACAUCAAUGCAAUAAGUUUUUUUUUUGUAGUAAUUAAUUCUUUUUACUAUGUAAAUAUAUAAAGAUAAUCAUUUUAUAUAUGUGUAAAUUCUCUAAACAAUACUUGGCUUCAGUGUUUGUCUAGAAUUAUAUCAACUUUUUUUUCUAUUAGGUUUCUUUUAUAAUUUAUUGGUUUGCAACAAAAAAAUUAAACCAUUAACACACACACACACACAUAUAUUACUAUUAUUAUUAUUAACCAUAAUUGUAAAACAAUUAAUCAUUUAUAAUUUCUUUCGAGAAUGCUAUUCCUUGAAUUUCAUUUGUUUCCACGAAGCGUUAAAAUUGGAUUUCAUAACAAACCUUAUUAUAUAGGUUUAUAUGCAACUUGUUCUUUAAACAAGUAUCAUUAAAAAAUACAAGUCAUAUAAUUCUAAUUAUUUUAAUAAAAAGCUUAAAUCAUAACUUUACUAUUUUAACUAUUUAUUUUAAAAUGUACAAGGUCUUUAUAUUCUUCAAUUUAGAAGAAUUCUGUUUCUAGUUCAUAUGAAUUUUUUUUAGUAACUUGAUGAAUUACCUUGAAUAUAUAUUCUUUCGAUAUGAUAUUAAUCUACAUACUUUAUUGUACAUAAUUAUGCAUAGCCAAUGCACUUAAUUCAUCUUUAAUUUCUUGGUUUUGCAAACUUUUACUAUUGCUUCAUGUUCCCAAACCUUUAGAUAAUUUAGAUUUGGUUUUAUUUCUUUCAUAAUUCAUGAGAAUAACUUCUUUUUGUCUGAAAUUUUAUUUUAAUCAUGAUAUAAUAUCAUUAAUAUUUUUUCUUAUGAUCUUAUCUUAUUUAAAGAGAGUGAAUCAUUUGGGUUAAUUCUCAUAUUUAGAAAAUAGAAAUGUUUAUAUGCUUGACUGCUAUGUUUUUCGAUGGUAUCUCUUUGCAAGAGCUUAAUCAUGUUCAAACCAAUCAAAACAUUGUUGCUAAGCUUAAAUUUAGAUUUGAUAAUUUUAAACACGAAAUAAAAAAGUUAUGAAAAAAAUAUAAAGGCGAUACAAUUUAAAAAUUUGGUAAAAAUUAUAUACAGAUUUGAUAAAAAAAUGUUUUAUGUUGUGAGCUGAUACAAAUUUGAUACUACAAUUAUUUAUGUUAUACACAUAUUUGACAUGAUAAAAAUACGAUAUAGAUAUACUCCAUGUAAAUUCAUUGGUUUUGUUCUCAUUAUCUUUUUAUAUUUUAAAAACAUAAAUAACCUGAUCAAAACAAAAUUUUCAUGUAGUUGAUGAAUUUAUUAGAAUCAUCUCUUUUAUUGAUUGUACUUACAAUUAAAAAUUUGUCGUAAUGAAAUAAUUUCAUAUAUCAUAUAUUAUACACAUACAUUUAUAAAAAAAACAAAUUAAUUAAAUAAAUCAAUACAAAAUUAAAUUAAAUUCACCUGCAAUAAGACUUUAAUUUGAAACUUAAAGAUUUAAAAGCUUAUUCUUAAGGUCCAUUUAGAUGAAUGAUUAGAUUGAUUCUGAUAAAAUUAAAAAUAAUGAUAAAUAUGAGAUUUGUUAUUUUAACAGUAAAUUUGAUUACUAUAACGAUAAGAUAAAAAUCAGUGGUAAAAUAUAUGUUUGAUGAAAAAGCAACAGUAAUAGUGAGGUAGAUUAUAAUGAAAGGAUAAAAUAAUCAUUAAAGACAUUAAAUUAAAAUUACAUAUAUUUUUGUUUUUGUCAAUGAUAGACAGCUCGCAGCUCCAAUCAAAACACCUUCUUUUCUGACUCUAUUUUAAUCAGUACACGUGCUUAGCUGCCUUCGAAAUUGAAUUCAAUGAAUUUUCUAGCAUGGAAAAUUCAAUUUAAUUCACACCUUUUACACAAAUAAUGUAUGCUUUGAAACUACAAAAUGAAGGCUUUCAGUGAUGCUUCAAUGGCAGCCUCAACAUCCAAUUCUAGACAAAGAACCCGUAAACCUCUUCUCAUAUCGAAUUCCUUUCCUUCCAACAAAAAACGUAGAAUCUGUUAAAUUUUUUUCUCAAAUAAAAGGAUUAUUGGGCCAAUUUUAUCUCUCUGUGAGAGAUUAAUUAUGUGCAUACGGACCAAAAUACCCUUAUUAUGCUUAAAUUCAAUGAUCAAAUAACCAAGGUUGAUAAAUUUAGUAUUCGGAGGAACCAUCUUUUUUUAUUCAAUGUAAUUACAAUUAAAAUUUUCAGUACAAUCAAAUAAUUUCAAAAAUCACAUAUUUCACACGUUUAUAAAACAUUAACAAAUAAAUAAAUUAAUUAAUAAAUUAAUAUAAAAUUAAACUAAAUUCAAAUGCAAUAAGACUUAAAUUUGAAACUUUAAAAUUUUAAAAGCUCAUUCUUACUAUUUUUCUUCUUCAAAAUGACUGACUAUUUUUCUACAUACGAUAUUUCAAUUGACGUCUAUUAUUCUUCCUUAGGUCCACUGAAAAAGAAAAAGUUUUAACCAAUGUUCUUCAAGGAAAAUGAUAUGGUUUAUUUAGUCGUCGAUGUGCACGCCAAAUUGGACCAAGUUUGUGUAUAUUCCACACAACAGAAAACCUACCCCACUAAAUUAAUUUUUUUAAGUCAUUAUUGACUAAUUUGUGAGCCUCUGCCGAAAGGCUGAUGCCAAAAGCCACCCCGGCCCCAGGGACAUCUUUUGCUCGGAAAAAAUAUACAUGCAUGAUUAUUACAAGUGUUAAGAAAACAGAGUCCAGUCUCGUGUAAUUAAUUUUAGAUUAAGUAAAGUUUAUGGGUUUUAGUCUUUCUUUUUACAUAGAGUUUUAGUUGCUUAAUAAAAAAAAAGGUUGUUUUAAGGUGAUAUCACAAGCCAAUAAAAGAAAGAAGAAAAGCCAAGAAAAUAGAGAGAAAAAAAAAAGAGUUGGUUAAACGAAAGUCGAUCUGUAGUCCAAUUGAGUUGAAACUUUGUCAGCAGGUUUAUGAUUUAGAAUUCUAUAUUCUGUAUAUUCUGAACGGUGAAUAUCGAAUUUGAAACUCUUUAGAAACAAAUCCAUGAUGUAUUUAUUGAGUUACUUUUUUUGUAAGAUUUCUCCAAUUGUUUCUUUAGUUGUUGAUUAGCUUUAGUUCUAGCUAGAGAAGAACUUUGUAUAUCCAUUAUUUGAUAGUAAAGAUUUUUUUGGUGGUCCGUGAUUUUUUUCUCUACACUGAAGGAUUUUUCACAUAAAUCUUGGUAUGCUUUAUUUUUUCUACGUUUUUUAUUAUUUAUUGUUAUCUAUUGCUGUGGGUUUUAUUGCGAUAUAUUGCUUCUAUAUUGUUGUGAUUAUUGCUUCAGGCGCAACAAGUGGUAUAAAAGCGAUGGUUAUUUUGAGACAUCGAUACAGAAGCAAUCCAGGACAGAAGUAAAUUUUAUUUGAGUCAUGAAGGGUGAUACAAGUUCUAUGAUAAAAUUGACAGCAUCGAAUUAUUUAAUUUGAAAGCCUAUGAUAGAGGAUCAUCUAUAUUGCAAAGAUUUGUAUGCGACAGUAUUGGGUGAUUUGGCUAAACCAGCAGAUAUGAAAGAUGAAAGUUGAAAGAAACUAGGUAAAAAGACAUUGGCUAUAAUAAAAAAAUAGGUUGAUAUUAGUAUGUUUCAUCGUGUAGCAUAGGAGUCAAAUACUCAUAUCGUUUGAAAAAAAUUAACAGCAUUGUAUGAAAGAAAAACAUGUAUGAAUAAAGUUAUGCUUGUUAAAAAGCUUGCAACUUUACAGUACAAGGAUGGACGAUAUAUUACAGAGCACUUGAGUGAUUUUUAAGAUAUAUUUAAUCAGAUGACUACUAUGGAGCUUAAGAUGGAUGAUGAAAUAAAGGUGUUGUUUCUUUUGGAUUCAUUGUCAGACAGCUGGAAUACUCUAGUUGUGACUAUUCUUAAUUUAGCUCAUAAUUACAAGGUGAUAUUGAAGAUGGUAAAAGACAGUAUACUUAAUGAAGAAACAAGGUGAAAAGAUUUAAACCUUGAGAAUCAAGCUUUGGUCAUAGAGAACAAAGGUAGAAACAUCGAUAGAGGUCAUAACUCAAAAGAUCGUAGUAAGUCUAAACAUAGAUUCAAUUCUAGAGAUAAGUGAAGUAUUUUCAUUGUGGUAAGGCAAGUCAUAUAAAACGACAUUGUAAAAUCUUGAAGCAAGAGCGAAAAGAUGAGAAGGCAAAAGUUCAGAUGAUGGUAAUGUUGUAGCAGUGAAUUCAGAUAGUGAUUCAGUUACUUUGAUUUGUACAUAUUGUGAUGUAAUCAUAUUGGUGAUUCUGGCAUUAAGUGGAUAGUUGACAUAUGAGCGAUAUAUCAUUGUGUUUCUAAGAGAGAUUUGUUUACAACUUACAAAAUAGAUGACUUUGGUUAUACCAAGAUGAAAACAAGAGUGUAUCACAGAUUAUUGAGAUUGGUGAUAUUGUUGUAAAAACUAGUACGGUUGCAUAUUGACUUUGAGGGAUUUCAGACAUAUUUCGAUAUGAGAAUGAGCUUGCUUACUAUUAAUGUCCUUGAUAGGAAUAUGAAAGCUGACAAAAGAAUGGGCAGUGAAAGCUUCUCAAAGGAUCUAUGGUAGUUGUAAAGGGAAAACUAUGCUGCACAAUGUAUAAGACAUGGUUGUAAUUAAACGGUAAUUAGGUAAAUGCCGUUGCAGAUGAUGCUUCAGCAAACUUGUGGCAUAGGAGGUUGGCAUACAUGAGUGAGAAGAGGUUACCGGUUUUGGCAAGACAGUCUCUCAUUCCCUUAACUAAAGGUAUGUUUCUUGAUUCAUGUGAUUAUUGUUUGUCUAGUAAGCAUCUUUUUUAUUGAUUGUACUUACAAUUAAAAAUUUGUCGUAAUGAAAUAAUUUCAUAUAUCAUAUAUUACUGUCGUAACGAUUUUGGGACCGCCAGACAUAAAAUAAUGAGUUGUGUUUUAAAAUCGAGAAAAAUAAAAAGAGAGAGUCGCCACCAAUCUUUGUUAGGGUGUGAUUGGCCACCCAAAAGUUUAUCCUUUUAAUAAAACUAUAAAAACGGGUUUAAAGUUUAUCAAAAAGAUAAAUUUUGGUCUACGAAAAAUCAGGUUGANNNNNNNNNNNNNNNNNNNNNNNNNNNNNNNNNNNNNNNNNNNNNNNNNNNNNNNNNNNNNNNNNNNNNNNNNNNNNNNNNNNNNNNNNNNNNNNNNNNNNNNNNNNNNNNNNNNNNNNNNNNNNNNNNNNNNNNNNNNNNNNNNNNNNNNNNNNNNNNNNNNNNNNNNNNNNNNNNNNNNNNNNNNNNNNNNNNNNNNNNNNNNNNNNNNNNNNNNNNNNNNNNNNNNNNNNNNNNNNNNNNNNNNNNNNNNNNNNNNNNNNNNNNNNNNNNNNNNNNNNNNNNNNNNNNNNNNNNNNNNNNNNNNNNNNNNNNNNNNNNNNNNNNNNNNNNNNNNNNNNNNNNNNNNNNNNNNNNNNNNNNNNNNNNNNNNNNNNNNNNNNNNNNNNNNNNNNNNNNNNNNNNNNNNNNNNNNNNNNNNNNNNNNNNNNNNNNNNNNNNNNNNNNNNNNNNNNNNNNNNNNNNNNNNNNNNNNNNNNNNNNNNNNNNNNNNNNNNNNNNNNNNNNNNNNNNNNNNNNNNNNNNNNNNNNNNNNNNNNNNNNNNNNNNNNNNNNNNNNNNNNNNNNNNNNNNNNNNNNNNNNNNNNNNNNNNNNNNNNNNNNNNNNNNNNNNNNNNNNNNNNNNNNNNNNNNNNNNNNNNNNNNNNNNNNNNNNNNNNNNNNNNNNNNNNNNNNNNNNNNNNNNNNNNNNNNNNNNNNNNNNNNNNNNNNNNNNNNNNNNNNNNNNNNNNNNNNNNNNNNNNNNNNNNNNNNNNNNNNNNNNNNNNNNNNNNNNNNNNNNNNNNNNNNNNNNNNNNNNNNNNNNNNNNNNNNNNNNNNNNNNNNNNNNNNNNNNNNNNNNNNNNNNNNNNNNNNNNNNNNNNNNNNNNNNNNNNNNNNNNNNNNNNNNNNNNNNNNNNNNNNNNNNNNNNNNNNNNNNNNNNNNNNNNNNNNNNNNNNNNNNNNNNNNNNNNNNNNNNNNNNNNNNNNNNNNNNNNNNNNNNNNNNNNNNNNNNNNNNNCGCUUUUCAUGGAUCUGACCUUCUUUUUACCUAAAAUAGCCCCGAUCGACAUAGAUUGUGGCUCAAAGUUUCUGUCUUCUUUUCCUUUUUUUUAUAUAAACUAAAACUGAUAUAUGUUUUUUUUUCAAGUACCUCAUUGGCACUAGAUUCCUCCCUACGAGGAGAACUGUGUUGAUUUUUUAUGAGUUUUUUCUUUUCUGUGUGGAUUUUUUUGUGUGUUUUCCUGGUGUCAGUUUGAUUUUCUGAUGGGUAGAAAGUUGUGUGGGAGUAGAGAAGGGGCUUUGAGUGUUUUGAUUGAAGCUAAGGCUUUGAGGGGCUUGGGACUUAAAUGUCAACAAGGGUGUGUGGAGGCUUAAGUGAAGAUACUGAGAAUGACGGUUUCUGGGUAGAAGGUGAUUGGUUUUUGGUAUGUUCUAACUUAGAAAGGGAAGGGAGUGUUAGAGGGAAAUGUGUCUGGUUUGUGCUCGAGAGUAAGGUACGAGAGAGAGGUUCUUAAGAAGAUUCAAAAGGGGAAUAGGUGGUGGCUGUAAGGUGGCAUAGAGGUAGGCUGUAGGUGGGCUAGGGUAGGUUGUAGAGGGUGGCUGGUCAGGAGCGUGGGCAACCAAUGGUGCCGUGCACAACACCACUGGCACCCCAAUCUUUUUGUUUUUUUGUUUGUCUUUUCUUUUUAUUUUUUUAAAAAAAUUUUUAAAAAAAAUUUAAUUAAAUAAUUUUUAAUUUUAAUUAAACCAAUAUUAUUGUUAUUAUUAAAAUUAUUAUUAUUAAUAUUAAACAAGAAUUGAAAAUAGUAGACCCGAACAAAACCGGUGUCUACAAACAUAAAAAAAAAAAAAACUUAUUUCAAGCCAAAGACAUGUGAAGUUCAAAUAACAUGAUUUGGUGUGGAUUAACUUGCGGAAAGAAAGAUUUCCUUUAGGAAAGUUUGGCAAAUUACAACCUAAGGUAGAUGGUCCACUUAGAGUUCUCUAACGAAUUGGAGAGAAUGCCUAUAAGAUAAAUCUUUUUGACACUUGUAGAGUAUCUUUCACCUUCAAUAUUGCUAAUUUGUCACCCUACCAUGACAAGAAUGCUAGUUUAGACUAGAGGACAAGUCUUUUCCAACUAGAAUAUAUUGAUAUCAGAGUGUUUGCACAUCAUACAACUUGGGCUGAGACUAAGGCAAACUUAUCCAAAAAUAAGAUGAGCUUAUCCUUGGUCCAAAUCCAUACAUAAAUAAAGUGGGUUAGAAUAGGAAAAUUGUGUUCACACUAGCUAAAAAAGAAGAUCAUGAAUAUGAAUGGGAUUAUGGUUAGGUUCAAGAGUAAAUGAGCAAAUUAUGUUUACAUGCAAAUCUCAUAAUUUUAGGCAUGAUUCUAGCAAUACAAUUUGAAAGUUUUCAUGCUUGGAGGGAUGUUCCUAGCCUAUAUAUUUUCUAUUAUUCUUUGAUAAAAGGCAAAAUAGAGUUUUCUUUGUCAUUAAGAAAUAUUUUAGAUUGUUCAUUAAGUUCUGUAUCUCUUCAGUGGAUUUCCUAGAGUGAUGAACUUUUAUUGUUCUAUAUCCCUGAUUAGAAUUCUUAGGAUAGGAUUUUUGUAUCCCUUAGUUUUUAGUCUUGAUUGUGAACUUUUAUCCCUUUUAAUUCAAUAAUUAUCUUCUACCAUUAUUUAAAUCCCUAUGAGUUAUCUUCUUUACGAGUUUUUCUGUUUGCAAUUAAUUUUUACAUCUCAAAUAUCAAUUCUCGGCAUCAUUCACCUCCAAAAUAAAUAAAAUAAAACUACUUCUUUAUUUAUGCACUAAUGCAUUAUGCAUGUUUUGCGUGUUUAUGUAUAUUUCAUUUGUUAUACACGUGCAUAACUACAUUUGUUAUACACGUGCACAACUACUGUGCAUAAAUAGACGUAUAUAGAAGUUAUCUACCAAAGACUUUAAGGAAAGAUUAGUCUGUAAAGCAAUUCAAGGGUAAAAUUUUACUAAAUCUGAAACAAGCAGAGGAACAUAGAAUAUAUGUCUUCAUGAGACUGCUACAAUGUGAAAUGUAUUUCUUCAAGAAUCAGCAUUAUUAUUGAGAGCACAAAAGUUCAUUGUGUCAAUUCUUUAUAUCGACAUACCUUACAGCACAAUUUUAUUUUUUAAUGUACCUUACAGCACAAUUUUAUUUUGUAAUACACUAAUUUAAUAAAAAUACUUCAUUUAUAUAUAAUUAAAUGUUAUUUAUAUUUAAAAAUUAUAUUUUUAUAAAAAUUAUAUUAAAUUAAAAUUAUUAAAUUAAUUUUAGGUUAAGUCAAAUUAAAUGCAUACUGAACAUAUAUAGUUAGGAUCGGAGUCGAGCAUAAAAAAAAAGCUUAUUUCAAGUCAAAGAAAAAUUGGAUAGAAUUAUUAAAAAAUCAAGUCAAUCAAAAGAUGAACUUUAACUCGUCCCGACUUAACUUAUUAUCAUAUCUAAAUGGAAGUAUUUAUGUGACACCUCAAUUUGGCUUCCUUUUAUUUUUCAUUUUUAUCCUUUUCAUUUUUUUAAUUUUUAUUUAUCUUAUUCUAAAGAGAAAACUACAAGAGACUAAUUCUAGCAAUUAAGGGUUGGAAUAACAAGACUGGGAAGUAUUACUGCCUACCCUGACCAUCUUUUUUGUCUUUGAAGAAAGGCCUAACUUGUAAUUUUUCGACACGCAUUUAGGUAGUCAAAUUCAAAUGAAAAUUACGGCUUAAGCAAUGACCCAGCAGGUUGAAGCCCCAAGGUGCCCUUUCAAGGCACCAUUGUUAGAGAUCUAAGGACAAAAUAUGAACUUGUGUUUCUAUAGAUUAUUUACAUAUAAUAAUUGUUAGAGAUCAUACCUGUUUUACCAAAAGAAAUAUAGUAUAAAUUUGAAAGUCAGAUGCGUUUUUAAAAUAUUAUAAUAUUCUGAUCAUCCUAAUUAAUUUGCCUCAAGUUUCCAACCUAACUCUUCCUAGCCUUGAUACUCGACCGAGUCCCAACUAUCAUACUUUUUUUUGUGAAAUGGUACCACCAUGUUCCCACCUUGGGCUUACGUCAAUGGUGGAUACACUCACAUAGUCAUAUUCAUCUUCAAUUCAGAAUUUCUUUUUCAAGAUAUCCAUGAUAUAAAAAUUAUUGAUAGAUUUAUUAAUUUUACCGAUUAAAAAUAUGUUCAAAAAAUUUUUUGAGGAUAUUUGAAUUUUCUAAAUUUUUUAGUCUUUAAAAUAUUCGUAGAUAAUUGAAUAUUUUAUUUGUAAAUAUGGAUCUGUCAUUAUUCAUCAUUGUCAUUAUUCAUCAUGAUGAAUGUAAUAUUUAAAAAGAAUCAAACUAAUAGAGUUUGCAUCGGAUAUUUGUUUCAGUUUUACAAAUUCUAUUUACCUACAACAAUCAUUAACACCAAACAUCACUGCCAACCCCACCUUUUUUUAUUUUUUUAAUUUUUUUUUUAUGAAACGCAUCAUCCUUGUUAAAUCAACAAUUACCAUAAUUUACCCUCCUAUUAAAAACACACAUGAAGUUUAGACAAAUCUCUAUCAAAAUGAUCUUCAAAGAAAUGUCAAAUCUUACAUCUUUUUGCUUAAUACUGAUGCAUCCUUUCAUCCCUUUCAUAAGCUUCCUCAAAUCCGUAUCCAGAAAAACCUUCCUCAAGUCAAACUCUAGCACAAUUUCAGAGAAACAUUUCGGCUUCAAAUGAAAAAAAAGAAAGACUUCCUUUUAUUCUAACAUUUCUAUACGUAGCAAGCUUCUUACUUUUUUAUAUAAUUUAUUAUAAAAAAUUAUUUUAUACACAGAAAGUGAAAUUAUGUUGUAAUUUAAGAUUAAUUCUGUUAAUAAGGAGAUGAAUUUCAUUUUCUUGUCAAUUAAAGAUUAUUCAUUAUGAAAAGCACUUCCAAAAUAAAUAAUAAAUGUAUCAAUUGACAUGAAAGAAUAUACUCUUAAAAUUAUUUGUAAAGAGGAUUAAAUUCAUAUAAAGCCUUAAAAUACGAUCGUACUAUCAAAAUCAAAAUAUUUUUUAUCAUAAAAAUCCAAAUGGAUUUAUAACGUGACUUUGGAAUCCUUACUUUCUACCUAACAUUACCUUACUUUCUACCUACUUUAUGUUUGAAUUAACGAGAGGGGAAGGAAAGGAAAGGAAAAUAACAAAAACAAAAAAACUCUUCUUUUUGUUUGAAUAAAUUUUUAAUUUAAAGAAAAAAAAAUAAAAACUUAAUAACUUUUGGUUUCUCUUAUAAUCCUUACUUUUUUAAUAUCCAAAUUUGGAGGAAAAGCUAUGGAAAGAAAAGUUGAAAAAUUUUUAUUUUUAUAAAAAGACUAUUAUAUUCAUAUUUUUAUUAUAACAUUAGAUUUGAUCAUAUAACUGACAUUUAUUACAAAAAUAAUUUUUUUAUAAGUAUUUUAUAUAAGAUCAUAAUUUAUAAAUAUUUUGUGAUUUUCAAGUUUUAACAAUAAAACAAGCUAAAUUAUUGUUAGAAUAAAUAAGUUAAUACAUCUUACUAUAUUAAACAUACUCAAUUUUGUUUAAAAAGAUUUGUUUAUACAAACUAGGUAAUAUAAAGAUAUAUUUGUAUAUUAUAUGUUAUUUUAUAAAAAAAAGUUAUAAUUAGAAAGAAUAUUAUAAUGAAUUAUUUCUUUUCCUUUUCACUAUUUAUCAAAAUAAUGAUUGUUAAAAUUUUUUUUUAUUAAUUUUAACUAUCUAAACAUGAGAUACACGCAUUCUUUUUUAUCUUUUAAAAAAUUUUUCUUUCCUUUCUUUUUCUUUCUUUUCCUUUAUUUAUAUCUAAACAUGGCGUAAAAAAAAAAGAUGAGGUUUUUAGCUAUAUCAAUAAUUGCAACCUCAAGUUCUAAAGAGAUUAACUUGGAUAGAGAAAAGUUCAAAUGAAACCCAAGACAAACUCAAGUCAAGCUCAAAUUCCGGCCGAAUGUCAAAAUCCAAUAAUGAGUAAACAGUGACCAAUUCGGCUAUUACCCUUAAACCAUUUAGCUUAAAAAAACUCCACUUAAACCGUAAAAUUACACUGUUUGACCUGGUAACUCUUCUUCAAAUCCUCAAGGCUAAUUAGGGAACUGUCUUUCUGAAGGUUGUUUGAGGUAAGAUGGAAAAAACGAAUUCCAAAAGUCCAUAAUUUUUAGUAAUGCUAUUGCUUCUGUCAACCUGUCUGUUACUAAUGCCUAGUAUCUCAAUAAUCAGUGACAUUUAUUACGUUGUUCCUUUUGUAAAUUUUGAUUUCAUCAAUGACAAUUACAUGGAUGUUGCUUCAUGGUUCAUACCAAUUUGAUAGGUUCAUAAAAGAGUUGGUGACAUUUUUAAAAUUUCUGGUAGAACCUUGACAUGGUGGUUACACAGAUUUAAAUUAACUGUGGUUGUAAUCUCUCAUCGUUACUGUCAUCUUCCAGUAUCGAUGGAUUCAGAGCAGUUGUGGAGCGACAUCUGGUUUGGAUCGUGAUGGCCAGCCUAUCAAAGUACAUGCUUCAGGCCGGUAGGCACGCAUUUUGCAGCAUGAUCAGUGUGAUCAUUCGGGUGGAACGCUCUAAGAUGGUUCCUAUAACUUUCAAAACUGUUCAAAACUUGGAGAUGCCUCUAGCUGAAGCUUGGUGCCCCCUAUCUCAUAUGUUUACAAACAAAUCCAGUCGAAGGAUGAUGCACAACAAAUGAGGCAUAUAUAAAACCUAGUCUAUGAAACUUCAAAGUACUAGAUUUGUUAUUUGGUAAGACCUCUCGUUCGAGUUGAAAGCAUUGGAGUUCUUUGAAUAGAAUGCGAAGUCUAUUCAUUUAACGGCAUUUUAAACAGUUGGGUCUGAAUUUUUCAUUCAUUGCAGUUGAAUGCUCUUUCCCCUAAAUUCAUGGUUUGUAUUUUUGUAUGUAAAGUUUAUUGAAAAUUUACUUUCCAUAAUGUAACUUGAUCAUAUUUUCACAUGCUGCGGAACUAAUUAUAUUAUUAAUUAAAAGUACUAGAGCCAUUGCCUUUUGCUCAUGGCCGGCAUUAUAGGCUAAAUAUACAUGGCUGCAAAGACAUUUUAUCGUUGCCAUUAUCUCCUUCCGUACAAGGACAAUAUCUUUAGCUUUCUACCCAAUCCUGGUCCCAUGAUUACCACUAGAAUGCAGCCAAAUAACUACAAUUCAGGAUUUUUUUUUAUGUUCGUUUGUUUAUUUAAAAAAAAACUGUAAAUUUAUAAAUAAAAGAUAAAAUUAGAAGAGUUUAAAUUUGAAUUUUAAAUAUGUUGAAUAUUAUUUUUUGAAAGUGAUUAUAUGAAUCAAUUAAAUUCAUAGAUUAAUUAUGAUUAUUUCACUCUAAACAACUUAAGAUCUUUAUUAAAAUCCCAUUUCACUUGUUUUACCACUUGAUUUCGCACAAGUGCAUGGCCACUAUUGCAAUCAUCUAUCAUUAUCAUAAAAUGAAAGUUAGCAACUUAAGUGGUGUAGUGGUGACAUAACAAAAACACAGAGAAUUUAUCAAUAUUUAAGAGUAGUAUUUCGAGAAAUAUUGAGAAUUAAAUUUUGGGACCAUUUUUGGAUGUUUGAAGAUUUCCUUUUGAACUUUGUGUUUAGGCUUUCAUUAUUAUUUUUCUUCUUAUUUUGAAUAUAAUUUUAUACUCUAUAAUUUUUUUGUUUAUUUAAUGUGUUAAUUUUAAUUUUUUUAUGAUUUAAUUUAUCUUCAUAUUAUGCUUAUUUAAUUGACUAAUUCCAAAAUUGAUGAUUUUUCAUCAAUUUUAAAUAUUAUUUGUAGUUUAUAAAUGUUUUUAUUAAUGUUCUGGCUUAGUGAGUUAAUGGCAAAAAUUAGGUUUUAGAAUCUUGAAAUCUUAAGUUCAAGUUUCAUUAUAUAUAAGUUUCGUUCAAUUUUAUAUUGAAUUUAUUUAAUAAUAUUUUAAUUUAUUAGUUGUUUAUUUAAUGAUUUCUUAUAUAUAAAUGUAAUAUUGAAUUAUAAUUAUAAAUUUUCUUCUAUUUAUUAAUUUCCAUUGAAAAAAUAAAGCAUUAGAAAUUUAAAAAGACUAUGUAUAUACAAAUAAAAAAGUUGAUAGUGCUCCUCUAUCCAUUUGUCAUAAAUGCUUGACCUGAGAUGCUAAGAAGUAACUUUAAUGCAUGUAAAAGAAUUAAGAGCAAAUUGGGGGCAAGGGUCCACUCUCCCCUGUUUGAUGAUCCCCUGAAUUCCUGAAAUUUUCUGCCGAAGAAUAACAGAACGGAACAGGGGAGAGAUUCUCAUGUAAACUUACCCUUUUCCCACAAAAUGAGACAUAGAGCUCCCGAACACCCCAGAAAUUUUUGAAACCUACUGGAAAAGAAUCUUGAGGAAUCCAAAGGAAAAAAGAAUAACAAAAAAAAAAAAGCUUUUGUUCUUAUUCGGGAAAACACAAAAAUAAAAGUAAAUCAAAUCAAACCCAAGAUGCCAAAGGUGCCUUACAAUGAGAAAGGAAGAGAAAAGAGUGUGGAAUCAAGAUUUUGCCUUUCGUACAUGUGAAAAUUGUCUCAAGAAAAACCAAAUAAAACAUUUGCAGAUUAAUUUAAUUACUUCCACCCAAACCACAAAUCUGAAUGAAACAGAUACAAGAAACAUUAUCAGAAUUAAAAAAAAUCAAAAAUCAAAACUUUAAACUUUAAACACCCCCCCCCCCCCAAAAAAAAAAAGAAGACAUCCAUCUGUUUUAAAAAAAAAACUUUAAACUUUAAAAGAAUAAUCUUUUUUUUUCUAUAAGUCCCACAUCUCAGUUCAUUGAGAUGGACUUAAACUUAAACAUAAACCCCCUAAGUUCACCGGAAUUCCUACCUCCGGUCACAGGAAAAUACGAGGAAAAGAACAGACAAAAACCUAUCUUGAUCUACGCUUACCAGGCCUUUUCCUAUGAAUAUGAUUCUUGGUUUGUUUCCCGAAAGCACUGCAAAAACCACAAGUUGAAACCUUUGGAGAAGGUGGCUCAAUAGCAGCGGAUACCUUACCAGUACGGUAACCUCGUCUUUGACCGUUAGAUUGGCUUCUUUCAAUGGUAUUGAUUGGUCCAAUGUUUCUAAUCGGCUUAACAUCUUUAAUAACAUCAAUCUUUUCUUGGUUAUUGUCUUGCAGCUAUCCUUGUUCUUCUUGCUGUAGUUGCUUUGUUUUUCUUCUUGUUGUUCUUGUUUUACUUGGUUUAUCUCCUCUGAAAAAAACCUGUCAUCCCAAAUAAGCCCUGAAGAUUCUUGCCUCCUAAAGGACACUAUAGAUCUUUGCAAACCAGCCAUGGUAGAUGACAGCUAGAUGUUUUUCUCUUUUCUCUCGUUAAUGAAACUAAAAGCUUUCCUUCUAUAAAUUCCAAUUCGUUGUAAAAUAUAAAUAAAUCUUUAUAUAUAAAGAGAGAGAAGGAUAAAGAAAUCUUGAAGAUUUGGUUAAGAAAAAGUCAUACUAACGCAACUCAGUCAAUAUUUCCAAGUUUUCAACAAAAUUAUUUUCUGUAAAGGGGAUUGGAGUUUUUUCUCAUGAUAAGGCACCCUAUAAUCUUAUUUAUCAAAUUAGAAUAGUUUUAAACUUAAUUCUUAAAAUAAGAUACUUUGUAUACUUGGAAUCCACGUCUGAGAUAUAUGAUAAAUUAUAUAAAAAUAAAAUAAAUGAUAAAUUAUUUAAUUAGUUUUAACUCAAUAAAAAAAUUCUAAAACACACAUAUCUUGAAAAGGCCUCAUCUUCUCUUCUUUUUUCCUUCAUUAGAUCGUCCUCUCUUUAUCUUCUUUUCAUUUGAAUUAAAUAUUCAUGCAUUUUUAUUUACUAAAAAUAAACUAUUGAUGUUUAAAGGGUGUUCAAUGAAAUGUCUAAAAGAAACUUUUUUGUUUACGAAUUUUGUUAGCUAAUAACCCAAUGAAAGUAUAUCAUUGUACUGACAAUACUUCAGAACCUUAGCUCUCUAAAAUUGGAACUGAAUUUAGCAGCAAGGUUGGUGAAGAAAGCAUGAGGAAAAAAUAAAAGGGAGAGAUUCCAUGGAAUAUAGACCAACACGAUAGCAAAUUAGGUAAAGAAAGAAAGAGAGAAGGGAAAAAUCUAAAAUCAAAACCAAAAGAUAUAAAACAAUGAAGAAAUAAAAAAAUUUUUAAAAAUAUAAAAUAAAAUUUGAAGAGCAUUUAUUUAGUGUGAAGUGAAUAAUCAUGGUGCAAUGAUUUUAUAUUUUCGGAAUCGAUCAUUUAAAAUAUUUUUGCCCAAAAGAUAAAGAUUUGAAUAUUUAUUUAAAAAAAAAAAGAAAUAGAUGAAUACUUUUUUGUUGGCACAAAAAAGAGAGAUUAUUUGGAGGUGGAUUGAAACUCCAAUAUUCUCUAGAUCUACUCCCAAAGGUGCUCAAAAUUUUUUGGUGCCCUCAAGAAUCUAGGAACAUUCUAUGCUUGGCCUCAAAACCCGCACCUUUUCAAUUAAUGGUUUUUGGUUUUGAUAAAUAGUAUCAAAUAGCAAGGUAAGUUUAUACUUGCUGUUAGGGAAUGUUACAGUGUUGCAAUGAUUGUCUUCUAUUUGAUAAGCUUUCUGCAUUUUUAAAGAGACGAUUAGUUACAAUGAAGAAAGGGAAAGAAGAUUAAAAAAGAAAGUGAUGUGGAAUUUCAUGUUGACAUGGAAUUAAAUUGUAUGAUACUAUCUGUUUUUAAGAAUAAAGUUUAAAAGUAUCCCACUUAAAGAAAUAAGAUAUCUAAGUACCUUGGUUUGGGAAGAAAACUCAAUCAAUAUUUCCAAAUUUUUCAACAAAAUUAUUUUCUGUAAAGGGGAUUGGGUUAAAUUAUGAAUUAAAAUAUUUAACUAAUUGUAAAAGUUUAUACUAUAAAUUUAAUCAUGCAAAAUUAUAAUAUAAUUAUUUAUAUUUUGUUGAUUAUUUUUCUAUCUAGUAUAAUUCAGAUUAAUAGGUGGAUCUAAAUUGUGAUUAAGAUAGUAAUUAAUUUUUGUAACAUUAAUGGUCUGACCUUAAUUCACAAAAAUCCUUUUGCGUGCUAGAUUAAAAGGCUAUCACCAUAUUAAAAAGGUCACUUUAUAACUGGACAUCCAUCCAUAAAAUGUAGCAAAAAAUCUAAAUAUAAAUAAUUAUGGGAAAUAUAUUUAUAAGGGUAGUUAACUCUAAAAAGGAUACUAUUUUAAUUUUAAGUCUUUAUAGAAUGUUUGGUUUACGAGAAUAUGAAUUGGAUAGAAUAAAAUUAUAUAUGGUAAGAUUAUAUUAAAUAAUAUUAUCUUAUUUUAUGUUUAUUAUGUGUAAUGAUUAAAAUAUGAUAAUUUUAUUUAUUGAUCAAAAUUAUUUUUUUUUUUAAUUUAUACAAUUUAAAUUAUUAAUAUAAUUUUUAAAAAUAUAAUUGGAUGAUUAAUCCUGCUUGUAAUUUUAUCAAAAGAAUGAUUAAUCCUCUGUACAAUUUUAUUAUUUUCUUUAAAUACAAACUAAAUAUAACAUAAUAUAAUUAUCAUCAUAUCCUAUCAUCAUCUUAUAUACCAAACAUUACCUUAAUUGACUAUAGUAAAGAUUUGAAGAAGAUACAAGAUAUGUUUAUUUUGUUGUUGGGAGAGAAUAUGAAAUUCUGGAUCAUAUAGAAGAAUUUGGAAAAAUCUCAACCUAAAUGAAACCUAACAUAUUUUACCCUUUACUUCUUUUUAGUUUUAUGAAUGAAGGCUUAAAUUUAAAUUUUAUUAUGUGUGGAUUUGGUUAUUUAAUUAUAUUUUAAUUUGUUAGCUGAUUAUUUUGUAAUUAUAAUUUAAUUAUAAUAUAGUAGUUGAUUAUUUAAUCCAUUAUAUGAAUGUAAUAUUUGUAACAAUCUAAAAAAAAUGCAUGAUCAAAGGAUAAUAUUUUUAUUGAGGCCAUGCCGUCAUGGUCCUCAAGAGUGCUCAAUUGAUCAUGAUACAUAUAUAUACAAGAGAUCUUUUAUUUUUUAAGAGUUAUAUAUAAGAGAUCUUGUUUACCAACCAUCUUUUUGGGGGAAAAAAAUUAUCUUGGAAAAGAUAUAGUCAAAAGUCUUCUGCUAAUGGGCACUAACUGUUGAACUAAUCUAUACUUAACAAGUCAACUAAUUUAAGCUAAAACAGAAAUAUAAACACUAACCUCUAAGUGGGUUUAGUUGAAACCCAUUGAACUGAAAGUGCCCGAGUCGCUACUAGAGGGAGGUGACUUCGUCAAUGCCGCCUAACUCGCCCGGUGGUUGCUGGCUUCAUGGUGGUUGGCAAUGCAUUGAAGGGGGGAGCUGUAUUUUUUGGUUGUCAGAGAGACUUUUUCUCUAUUUCCUUUCUUGAAUUGAAAUUAGUUUCCCUUAAUGGGCCAGAGAACCACUAUAUAAGGAGGAGAGCAGGAAUCCAUUGUUAGCAAAUCUCACCCUAUCCCAUUAUGAGUAUAUACAAAAAUAACUUAGGUCAUACUUUAAUUAAAAUCAUACUACUUGAUUGGAUAUAUCAUAAUAUAGCAUCCUAAUAGUUAGUCAUUGAUUUGAAUUAACCAAAUUUAAUCUGGAUCAAAAUAAUUUUAUUAGUCCAUCAACAUGAGAUUACUACAACACCAACUUGACAUAGCUUGGUCCCUAUGUUAAUAAGUUUUGGCACAUUGUUAAUGCUUAAUAUAGUUGCUUGUAGCUCCAGUAAAAUAUUGAAAAAGGAAAAACUUGGAUCAUUCAGCUCGUCGUAUAAGCAAGACUUCUUAGUGAAUUGUUCUAAAAUUUUUAUGUGGUCUGUUGGUUGGAUAUGAUCAGUUCAUUGUACAAAAUGCCACUUAAAAUUUGUCUUUGAAGCACGUUGUGAGUUCAACUUUCAUUUAUAGACAUCUUCUAUUUGAAGACAGCAAGCAAAUUAGCAAGCUCUGAGCUUAAAUUAAUCAAAAAAAGUAGUUCGGAGUGAAUCACCACCCACAGUAAAUGCUUAUACUUCUUCUACCAAUCACCUAGGAUUUGUAGCAUGCUCUAUCAAACCUUAACUUGAAAGUUAGCUAAAGAAUUGGCAACUAGGUUUUGAAACAUGAUAAUAAAUUUCUAAUUAGCUUGAAAAGUACGUAAAACAACUGAUAUGUCAGAUUUUAAGUAUCUGAGCCUGGUUGAUUGACUCUGGUAGACUGAGUUUAUGCAUUAAUUUAUUGGUGAUUGCCCUUUAAUUGAUAAAUGAAUUGAGCUUGAGAUGGUAUUAGGUUCUUAAGUUGUUAAAUGAAAAGGAGAUUGUGGUUUGCUAAAAAAAAAAAAGGAUUGUGCAACAUCAGAGAUAGACAAUGUUGGUUGGUUUAUAACACAUUGAUUAAGGUUGUUGGUUGUUGUCUUUAUUUUUUUGGUUAUCGCAUUAUAGAAGCUUCCUAGUAAGAGUACCUGUUGCAUUUUUAAAAUAAGCAUGCAGAUAAUAAUUUGUAUUGUUUCUCCUAACAUGGAAUGUAGAAUUUAUGCUGUGUUCAAGACUUUAAGUAUGUUUUAACAAGUCACAUUUUAGUUUCAUGGUGUGGACAAUCAUACCACAGCACAGGUAUGUAUUUUUCACUUUGAUAUUUGUGUGUGUAUUCCUUGCACAAAAGAGAUAGAUAUCAGUCCAUGAAAGUUAAAGAUUAGACCUUGACUAUAAGUAUUUUUUUUUACUACUUUCUAAUCUAUCUUAAAGAUUAAAUUUCAAGCCCUGCAUGACUUGAUGAUGAAUAAAGUUGCAUGAGCAUAGAAAAUCUCCAGUCAUAUGGUUUAUUACAGCACAAAUUCAAGCUCUGUAAGUUCAUUAAAGGUAUGAUUCUCUUACCAAAAGAAGAAAAAGGAGAAUGAUGCAACAAACAUGCAGAUUUUUCAUUAUCAAGAAAAAGUAAUCCAUGAUGAAAAAAAGCAAUCAUCUGCGAUUCGAAGCUGUUCUUGAUAUUGUAGUUCUUUGCACUUGUAAGUCACUGUGGGGAGAUGUUCAGGGGCCUAGAUUUGAAACAAGGAGCAAAAGCAUUCCUAAUUGCCUCAUCCUCCCAUUCUAAUUCUUUCCACCAGAAUUCCCAUCCAUGAAUGGCAAUGCCAUAUCCUUCAGCAUUCUUUGCAUUGACCGGAAGCUUUUUCAGUUUUGGACACCCAAAUAUGGAGAUUUUCUUGAGACUUAAAAAUAAAAAGGGUUUCUAGUAGAUGCAUUUUAGUUCUGGUAGGUAAGACAAAUGAAAAACUUCAAGCUUUUCAAAUGGCUUAAUAUUUCCCUACUUUUUUUAGAAGUCCUGCACAUUUGGCUGUGCUGAUUAUUUCUUUGAUUUGGGAGCAUCUUGAUAUGCAAAGACUAGCAAGGUUUGGGGCAAGCAUAAGCCAUGUCAAAUCCCCCAAUUGCAUACAGUUGUCUACACUUACUCUUUGAAGGCCAUUGAACCAUCUCUCUUUCAGGAUCAUAGAGCUGUGGAAAUCAACAGAUGUUAAUUUUUUAGUUGGUUCUUACAACCAUGUUCAGCUCUUCUAAGCUCUUACAGUCUGAGAUAUCUAGCAUAUUGAGCUAUUUCAUAUCUGCUAAACAUGAAAUAUUUAAAAUAUUUGAACCACUUAAAAACUAGAGGCAUAGGUUUUAAGUGCAGCUCAUGAACUUGUGAGAGCUUAAAAGUCUUUCAAGUGCAGAAGCACUCUUUACUGUGAGACUCAACAUACUCAAUUGUUUCAAACACUACAAUUCCUUUACCAAGCACUCAUUUUCCUUUGAUAAAAUAUUACCUUGCAUAAUCAUAUCAGAAGAACUGCAAUUACGCAUUCUCAACACUUGUAAGAAUGGAAAGCUGGAUAUCAGUUGGCAUGGAAUUGUAUUUAAUACAAAUGUAUCAUCCAAUUUCAAAUAUUUUAUCUUUUGCAGGGAUUUGAGCUUUUUUGGCAACUGUCUUAUACUUGUCUUAGAUAGAUUGAGAUAUUGUAGCGAAACAAGUUUUUAAAUUCCCUGGGCCAUUUCAGUUAUGCCACUGUUAUAGGACAGGUCUAGCAUUCUUAGAUUAGGCAUAGAUUGGAAGAAGUCAUUAGUGAUUGUCUUCGAUGUUUUUCAUUGAGAAACAAGAUUAGUAGGUUGGGACAUGAAGGUGUUUCGAUUAAACUCUCAAGACAAUUUACCAUCAGUGAUAUCCUUCUUACUGCUUCCCAUUUUCUUAUUUUUGUUUUUUCGAUUAAUUGAACAACUGCUUGCACCAAAACACCUUCCUCAAAAUUAUUGCACUCAUUGGCUAUCCACAGAGCCAUAUCACGAAUCACAUCAUGCAUUUUCACAUAAUGACCUUCUUCCAAUAAACAUACAUACACAAGUGUCUCAAUAAUGUCAAACCUUUGGUUUUGAGCUCCAUUUCUGUCAUUACAUUCAUCUAAAAGUCCCUCACAAAUUCAAUAAUCUAUUAAAUCAGUUUUGCGAAUGACAAAUUCUUCUCGAAACAAAGUACAAUAUAAGAAGCAAGAUCUCACUUUCUCAUUAGGUAAAUGAUCAAAAUUGAACUUCAAAAGAGGAAAAACCUUAUCCCCCAUACUUGAAAAUUUUGAGGCACAUUUUCUUAAAAUCUCAAUUACUUGAAUCCAUUCUUGUGGUGUCUUCUUGUAGGUUCCGGCUCGACUAAUAGUGAUAAGUGCUAGUGGCAAACCAGCAACUCUUUAGCCAUAAUUUUCGCUAGCAUGGGAAUAUUUGGAUGUAGUUUGAAAGUAUCAUUUCCAAUCUUCUUUUGAAACAAAUGCCAAUCAAAAGAUGGUGGCGAACACUCAACUUAGAAACUUUUAUGGGUUUCCAUCAGACCACACACUUUUUGGGAACGUGUAGUGAAGAUUACCUUGGAGUUAUUUUGUUGGUGUAGGAUAAGAACUUCAAUUUUUGUUAGAUCAAUUCGGUCCCAUAAAUCAUCCAAAACAAAACAAAUUUCCUAGUACUUAAAACUUUGUAUAUGUCUAUAGCCUUUUGCUCAAAACUUUUAUUUCUCCACCUAUCUUCAUAAUAUCCUAUCUUUUCCCCAAUCUCUUCCUGAAUCUUUUCAGGUUUUAGUUCCUUAGAAACCAUUGCCCAAAUCACAGAAUCAACAUUGCUAGGAUGGUUGAGGAGCAUGUUGUUGAUUUUGUUAGACCUAAAGUAACAAACAUAACAACGCGAAAGCAAUAUAUCACAACAAACCCAUAGUAAUAGACAACAAUCACUAAUCUAAUAACGCAAGAAAAAUAAAGCAUACAAAGAUUUACGUGAAAAACUUCUUAGUGUAAAGGCAAAAAAUCACAGACCACUAAAAACAUCUUUACUAUCAAAUAAUGGAUAUAUAAAGUUCUCAUCUAAUUAAAACUAAAGCUAAUCAAUAACUAAAGAGACAAUUAAAAAAAUCUCACUAACUAGGUGACUUAACAAAUACAUCAUAGUUUUGUUCUUAUAGAGUUUUAAAUCUAAUCUUCAUUGUUUAGAAUGAAGAACUCUGAAUCAUCAACUUACUGACAAAAUUUUAGCUUAAUUGGAUUACGGAUCGACUUCCAUUCAACCGACUCUCCCUUCCCCCUUUUCUUUCUAUUUUUCUAGUUUUUUUUUCUUUCUAUUUGGUGCCACACUUAGUCAUUUUACGCCAAAAACACAGCCCCCUCUUUUAUUGUUAAAGGCUUUAUUUUAGGUUAAAAGUCAAAAACCCAUGACCUUUGAUUAGCUAAAAUAAUUGCAUGGGACUGGAUCCGAUAUAUUCUUAACAAUCUCCCCUUCCAUCCCUAUUAUGAAAAGAUUCAAUAUCACAGUAGUUUCAAUAAAAAUUCUAAAAGAAAAAUAUAAUUAUACAACGGUACAACAUCAUCUGGUAAAGAAAUAUAGAUUGCACAAUCAAAUACGUAAAAGCAAAUGAAUGUGCAAUGUAUAUUAAGGCAUACAUCAUGCACGAAAAUUUAUUUAAUUAAUGUUUAUUAAUUUUUUCAUAAAUGUAUGUAUGUGAUAUGAGAUACAUAAAAUUUUUUGAUUAUGAUAAUAAUUUUUAAUUUUAAUUACAACCAAUAAAGAAAUAGUUUCCCCAACUACUAAACUCAACGAUCACAUGAAAAUUUUGUUUUGAUCGAGCUUUUUUUAAGUAAAUCCUCCUGUACCACUGGAGGAAUGCUAGAGCUAGCUAGAGGCAUGCUGUAUUCAUUCCAUUAAGCACCAUGAUGGGAUAGCAAUCAAAUUAACUAAAUCAUCUACUUGAGCUUCCUUAUACCCGAAAAAGAAGGGAGUAGUGCGAAAAGAGCAUCACCAUAUCCUACGGGAUCUGUCAUGCAAGCAUAACAAGUAAGAAUAGAUGACGAGAUGAGACUGAAAUGUACUGAAAAUUGACAACACAUACCACCAUCCUCUCUUAGAAUUUUUAUGACCUCCCCGGACACAUUCGACUUGUGAAAGAAUGAUCAGAAUUAGAAACAAAUCCAAGAUUCAUUGAUCAUAUAAACAUAACCAUGCAUGAAAAGUAAAUAGCAAGACACGUAGGGUGAAAUCAACCCUUCAUCAGUCAACAUAUAAAAGUAAACACAUGGUAAUUCCCAUCAAGUCAAGAUUUAUACCUCAGUUAUGUUGUGCCUGAAGCAAUAAUCACAACAAUACAGAAGCAAUAGACAACAAUCAAUAAUCAAAUGCGCAGGAAAAAUAAAGCACACCAAGAUUUACAUGGAAAACCCUCCAGUGUAGAGGGAAAAACCACGGACCACCAGAAAAAUCUUCACUAUCAAAUAAUAGUUAUACAAAGUUCUUCUCUAGCUAAAACUAGAGCUAAUCAACAACUAGAGAAACAAUUGGAGAAAUCUCACCAAAUAAGUGACUCAACAAAUACACCCUGAAUUUAUUCCUAGAGAGCUUCAAACCCGAUCUUCACCGUUCAGAAUGUAUAACUCUGAAUCAUAAACCUCUUGACAAGGUUCCAACUCAAUCGGACCACGGAUCGACUUCCGUUUAACCAACUCUCCCUUCUCUUUUUUCUCUCUCUGCUUUUCUUGGCUUUUCUUCUUUCUCUGCUUGGUUGUCGACACACACCUUAAACAACCCCACCUCUUUUUUAUUAAGUAGCUAGGGCUCUGUGUAAAAUAAAAGAUCAAGGCCCAUGGCCUUUACUUGGUCCAAAACCACUUACAUGAGACUGGACCCCAUUUUCCUAACAAUCUCCCCUUCCAGUCCCAUUAGAAGGAGAUUCAUCACCAUAGCAAUUUCAUUUGGAACUUACCUUGGCUAGGGAACUCAUUCCGGCCAAGUUACUGCAAAGCUCAAGCUUUUCCCUGGGAAGUAUCUUAGUCAACAUAUCUGCCACAUUUUUAUCAGUAUGGACUUUCUUCAAUAGCAUCUGCUGUUCUUCAAUCACUGAACGUAACCAAUGAUAUCUAACAUCAAUGUGCUUUGUUCUAGCAUGGUACAUGGUAUUCUUACUCAAAUCUAAAGCACUCUGGCUAUCACAAAAUACCACAUACUCUUUCUGAUUCAACCCUAAUUCAAGAAGAAAACGUUUCAUCCAAAGCAUUUCUUUACAUGCUUCAGUUGCUGCAAUAUACUCAGCCUCUGUACUUGACAAAGCAACACACUUCUGUAACUUAGACUGCCAAGAUACAGCUCCUCCUGCAAAAGUGAACAAAUACCCUAAAGUAGAUUUUCUACCAUCAAGAUCGCCUGCCAUGUCAGCAUCAGUAAACCCUUCUAGAACUGGUUGUGAAACUCCAUAAGUCAAGCACAUUUUUGAGGUACCCCUCAAAUAUCUAAAAAUCCAUUUCACUGCUUCCCAGUGAACCUUUCCUGGAUAAGAAAGAAAUCUGCUCACUACACCAACUGCAUGAGCAAUGUCAGGCCUUGUACAAACCAUAAGAUACAUUAAAGAACCGACUGCAGAAGAAUAAGGAAUACUAGACAUAGCUAGUUGCUCUUCCUUAGACACUGGACAAGAUUUCUUACUUAGGUGAAAAUGGUUGGCAAGUGAACUGCUAACUGAUUUAGCAUGUUGCAUGUUGAAUCUACCAAGCACUCAUUCAACAUACUUUUCCUGUGACAACCACAGCUUUCUAGCUCUCCUAUCCCGGAUAAUGUCCAUACCAAGAAUCUGCUUUGCUGGACCUAAAUCUUUCAUAUCAAAAGACUUAGACAAUUGUUCUUUCAACCUGCAAACCAUACUAGCAUCUUGUCCUACAAUCAACAUAUCAUCAACAUAUAAUAAUAGGAUAAUGAAGUUACCAUUAGAGAAUUGUUUAAUAUACACACAAGAAUCCGCUGCUGUUCUUUUAUAGCUAUGACUCACCAUAAAAGAAUCAAACUUUUUGUACCACUGUCGCGGAGCUUAUUUCAAGCCAUACAAGCUUUUCUUCAAUUUGCAAACUAAGUGCUCUUUCCCUUUCACUUCAAAACCCUCAGGCUGAUUCAUAUAAAUGUCCUCCUGCAAAUCACCAUGCAAAAAUGCAGUUUUAACAUCAAGUUGCUCAAGUUCAAGAUUCAAACUAGCUGUCAAUCCCAGUACCACUCGAAUAGAACUCAUUUUUACAACUGGAGCAAAAAUCUCAUCAAAAUCGAUGCCUGGUUUUUGAGAAAAACCUUUUACUACCAAUCGAGCUUUGUACCUCACUAGUUUGUCACCAUCUUUUUUCAACUUGAACACCCAUUUAUUCUUUAAUGGCCUCUUCCCUAUUGGAAGUUUAACAAGAUCAUAAGUACCAUUCUUUCGCAAUGACUCCAUCUCUUCUUUCAUUGCUUUUAACCAGUGCUCUCUAUCCGGAGUAGCCUGCACAUCUUGAAAGCUUUCUGGCUCCCCUUCACUGGUAACUAAAAUAAAAUCUGAACUUGGAUACCUGGUAGAUGGCCUGCGCUCUCUAGUAGAUCUCCUGAGCUGAGACUCUACAUCACUUGAUGCUGAAGGUAGCUCCCCCUGCUCAACACUCUCAGGUAGAGAGGAUUGCUCCCCCUGCUCAAAACUAAUAGCAUCUGGCUCAUCACCAACUAUGGCUGGCUCAUCCAUAUCCCCAAGUUCUGUUUCUGGCUUAUUUUCACCAUCUGUGGCUCUUUCUUGUGAAAUCCCUGUCGAUGUUGAAACAUCACAUUCAACAGUAACUCGUGUAGUCUUCUCAUUUUUCUCAAGGUCUGCUAUGGUUUCUUUUUCAUGAAAGACCACAUCUCUGCUUCUGACUGUCUUUCUCUUUACUGGAUCCCAUACCCUGUAGCCAAAUUUCUCAUCACCAUAUCCUACAAACACACACUGUGUAGCUUUACUAUCAAACUUUGACCUCUGCUCUUUUGGUACAUGCAUGAAUGCUUUACACCCAAAAACUUUCAAGUGAGAGUAUGAAGCAUCUUUCCCUGUCCACACUCUUUCUGGAAUGUCAAAGCCCAAAGAAACUGAUGGUGACCUGUUAAGUAAAUAACAAGCUGUGUUGACUGCUUCACCCCAGAAUGGCUUUGGUAAUUUUGCCAUCCUCAAUAUACAUCUGACUUUUUCCACAAUGGUACGAUUCAUUCUUUCAGCUAUACCAUUAUGCUGCGGUGUUCCAGGUUCUGUCCUCUCAUGCCUGAUCCCAUGCUUUAAGCAAUACUCUUCAAAGCCUUUAGAUGUGUAUUCCCCACCAUUAUCAGUUCGAAUACACUUCAAGGGUAACCCUGUCAUCCUUUCAACCAUGGCAUGAAAUUUUUGAAAAUACUGCAGUACCUGACUUUUGUAUUUCAACAUAUACACCCAAGUUUUACGUGAAGCAUCAUCAAUAAAAGUAACAAAAUAUCUGCUACCACCUAAUGACUCAACCUCAAUGGGACCACAUACGUCAGAAUAAAUUAAUUCCAAUCUAUUUUCUUUUCUCUGAGAACUUUUACGAAAAGAAACUCUAUGAUGCUUACCAAACAAACAAUAAUCACAUGAAUCGAGAGACAUACCUUUGGUCAAGGGAAUGAGAGAGUGCCUUGCCAAAACCUGUAACCCUUUUUCACUCAUGUGUGCCAGCCUCCUGUGCCACAAGUUUGCUGAAGCAUCAUUUUCAACGGUAUUUACCUGGUUACCGUUCAAUUGCAUCCAUGUCUUAUACAUUGUGCAGCAUAGUUUUCCCCUUGCAACUACCAUAGAUCCUUUGAGAAGCUUCCACUGUCCAUUCUUUUGUCGGCUUUCAUAUCCCUCCUUAUCAAGGACAUUAAUAGCAAGCAAGUUCAUUCUCAUAUCUGGAAUGUGUCUGACAUCCCUUAAAGUCAACAUGCAGCCUGUACUAGUUUGUACACCAAUAUCAUCAAUCCCAACAAUCUGCGACACACUCUUGUUUCCUAUCUUGGUACAACCAAAGUCUCCUGCUUUGUAAGUUGUAAACAACUCUCUCUUAGGAACACAAUGAUAUGCCGCUCCUGUGUCAACUAUCCACUCAAUGUCGGGAUCACUAACAUGAUUACAAUCACCAUGUGUACAAAUCAAAGUAACUGAAUCACUAUCUGAAUUCACUGCUGCAACAUUGCCAUCAUCUGAACUCUUGCUUUUCUCAUCUUUUCGCUCUUGCUUCAAGAUUCUACAAUUUCGUUUUAUAUGACCCGCCUUACCACAAUGGAAACACUUCAUUUUACCUCUAGACUUGGAUCUAUGUUUAGACUUACCACGGCCUUUUGAGUCCUGACCUCUGUCGAUGUUUCUACCUCUAUUUUCUGUGACCAGAGCUUGAUUCCCAGGGUCUACAUCUUUUCGCCUCGCUUCUUCAUUAAGCAUACUGUCCUUUACCAUCUCCAAUGUCACUUUAUAAUCAGGAGCUAAAUUAAGAACAGUCAUAACUAGAGUAUUCCAGCUGUCUGGCAAUGAACCCAAAAGAAAUAAUGCCUUCAUUUCAUCAUCCAUCUUAAGUUCCAUAGUAGUCAUCCGAUUAAAUAUAUCUUGAAAAUCACUCAAGUGCUCUGUAACAGAUCGUCCAUCCCUGUACUGUAAAGUUGCAAUCUUCUUAACAAGCAUAACUUUAUUCAUACCUGUUUUUCUCUCAUACAAUGCUGCCAAUUUUUCCCAAACAAUGUGAGCAUCUGAUUCCUGCGCUACAUGAUGGAACACGCUGAUAUCAACCCAUUUUCUGAUUGUAGCCAGCGUCUUUCUACCUAGCUUCUUCCAGCUUUCAUCUUUCAUAUCUGCUGGUUUAGCCGAAUCACCCAAUACUGGCUCAUACAAAUCUUUGCAGUAUAGAUGAUCCUUCAUCAUAGGCUUCCAAAUUGAAUAAUUUGAUGCUGUCAAUUUUAUCAUGGAACCUGUAUCACCCUCCAUGAUCUCAAACAUAAUUUACUUCUAUCCUGGGUUGCUUCUGUAUCGAUGUCUCAAAAUAACUCUCGCUCUGAUACCACUUGUUGCGUCUGAAGCAAUAAUCACAACAAUACAGAAGCAAUAGACAACAAUCAAUAAUCAAAUGCGCAUGAAAAAUAAAGCACACCAAGAUUUACGUGGAAAACCCUCCAGUGUAGAGGGAAAAACCACGGGCCACCAGAAAAAUCUUCACUAUCAAAUAAUAGUUAUACAAAGUUCUUCUCUAGCUAAAACUAGAGCUAAUCAACAACUAGAGAAACAAUUGGAGAAAUCUCACCAAAUAAGUGACUCAACAAAUACACCCUGGAUUUGUUCCUAGAGAGCUUCAAACCCGAUCUUCACCGUUCAGAAUGUAUAACUCUGAAUCAUAAACCUCCUGACAAGGUUCCAACUCAAUCGGACCACGGAUCGACUUCCGUUUAACCAACUCUCCCUUCUCCUUUUUCUCUCUCUGCUUUUCCUGGCUUUUCUUCUUUCUCUGCUUGGUUGUCGACACACACCUUAAACAACCCCACCUCUUUUUUAUUAAGUAGCUAGGGCUCUGUGUAAAAUAAAAGAUCAAAGCCCAUGGCCUUUACUUGGUCCAAAACCACUUACAUGGGACUGGACCCCAUUUUCCUAACAAGUUGGAAUUUCAUCACCUGGUUGUUCAAUGUAGCAAAGCACCUGGCCUUCCUUCACUAUUUGCCCCUGUCGCAAAAACAAACUCGGAAUUUCUCAACAGAACCUCUAACAUAUGGAAACGAAAGCAACACUUGAGAGUACAAAGGAACCAACGAUGGUUUCCAAAUCAAUGGUUUCAUUUAUGUUUCGUCGCUUGAAGACAACACAUUGGGAAAAAAAAGAUAAAGGAUGAAAAACAGUUAAACCAUUUUGAAUGCUAUGGCCAAAUGGGAAAAAAACAUUAUCUCUUUCUGCUAAUGUGAUCAAAGCAAUCUAUUAUUUGGGCCCCUAAAAUAAGCAAAUACUCUUACCAUAAUCCAUUGAAGUAUUACCUCUUUACACGAUGGUGGAGCACGCUUCCCCUUUGGUCCUUGAUCUCCUGAAGAAACCUACCUGCACAAUUUAUCAUCUUACUUCUAUGAGUUCACAGCAAGAGAAGAAUUUAAAUUUCAUAUUCUCACCUUGGGAGACUUAAGUAUCACCAAGCCUUCAUCUGCAGCUUUAUCAAGUAAGGAUUGGAUUCUCCCUGAAGAAGAUAGUGGUUUGGUGACAGCUAAAGAAGGUGAAGAAACAGCCCCAUUUGAGUCAGGUGCUUCAACAGUUCUAUUGGUGCUGACACUGACAGGAGGAGGACUUGGGAUCGCAGGUGGAUGUUCUCUUUUUCCCUCCAAGUCCCUCAAUAUGUGUAGCCGAAAUCCAUCAAGCUAACAAAUGGAGACAAAACAGAAAGCCACUCAAAACCACAAUAUCUGUAAUUGCUUUGGAUACGAAACAGAAACAAUUCAAGUAGAAAAGCCAUUAACAUUAUCAAGCUAUUUGCGGCAAAAGAAAUUGAAACCUGCUUACUUUUAGUUCAAACUCUGCAAUUGAAGUUGUAUUGCAUAUAUAUCUGACCAGAGAUUCCACCUGCAGUUUGAAAUUGUAAAAUACAAACUUCUAAAAUAUAAGCUAAAGGUAAGAUUUUUCAUUCAUUUUUUAAAGAAGUUCCUAAGCAGGCAAUAUUCACAUAUUUAUUCCCAAUUUCUAACGUUUGAGUACAUUAAAAAAAAAAAAAAGAGAGAGAAAUCAAUUACUUCAUUUUCUCCAAAUCCCAUAUAUUGUUUCUUCACAGCGGCUUAAAACAUAGUUGAAACUUGAAACAGCUAUGCAAGCACAGUUCACUAAUUACCCAGUAAACUUCAAAGGUCUACUAGAUAAAAUAUUUUUAAUUUAAAGAUGAAAAAAAGAAUGGCAAUAAUGAUGUGGCAUAACAUACAUGCUUGCAUUAAUGAUUUACAAAAAAACAAUUAUAAACUCACCCCAGAUGAAUUUGGAAUAAGCUGGCUAGUCAAACCAGACAUUUUAGUCUUUUCAGAAUCAUCUGCUAAAUUUGUAGUAGCUGCAAGUCAGCAACCAAAAUGAUGUAGACAUUACAACAAAUCAUGUAGUUUAGAAAACUUAAAAAGCCAAAAACAGAGAUGAUGGCAAAACUUCAAAAUAUUCAAAUUUACACACUUUAAUCAGUGGGGUACUUCAUUUCCACGUUUGACAGUGGUUACUCUGAGAUACGACAGCAAAUAAAGUGACAAAUGACCAGAAACAACCGGGAACAAGAUUUUUUUCCCAAUGAGUAGCACUUACAUCAACCUUAAAUGCAAUAGGAUUGAACAGUUGAGACACAAGUAUCUGGAUAUUUCAUGAACAAGAUAUUUCAUGAAAUUAUUACAGAUCCAAACAAACUACAAUAGUUACAGCGGUUCUUUCCUUUCCCUCCUCACCCCACACUGUAAUUUUUUUCCUACUUUUUUCUUUUUUCUCUCAAAGCCUUACAGCAUAGAGACAUUAGAGAUCUUAUAACCUCUAUAACGAAGUGAGAAUGACUUUAAAUUGCAGCAACAGUAUAGACUAUCGCUAUUUCGACAAAUUUGAGUGGACAUUAGAACCAGAAAGAGAGAUGAAUUGAAUAUUACCAACUUGCACCAUAGACACUGUUAUUCAAUCACAUUAUUCACUUCCAAAACAAAUAAACUAAAAACUACUUCAGUAUUUAUGUACUAAUGCAUUAUGCAUUUGCAUGUGUGGGAGUGCAUGUAUCUUUCAUUUGUUAUACACUAGCACAACUACCGUGCAUAAAUAGAUGUAUAUAGGAGUUAUGUGCCAAAAAAUUAGUCCAAUAAUCAUUUGAUUUGGGAAAAAAAUUUCACACAUUCUACGUUUCUUGCAUGAAAGAAAAGAAUUCAACGUGAGAAGGGGUUUCGAGAUCUUUGCCAUGAAUUGGAUGUUGAGGCUGCCAUUGAAGCAUCUCCCAAAAUCUUCAUUUUGUAGUUUCAAAACAUACAUUAUAUGUGUAAAAGGUGCAAAUGAAAUUAAAUUUGGCAUGCACACAUACGACUAAGUCACUUUUAAGUUAUGUUUGAUACAUAAAAAUAUUAAUAGAAAAAAAUAAUAAUUAUCUUAUAUUAUGUUUGAUUUAUAUCUAAAGAAGAUGAUUUAAUUCUUUCAAAGUAAAAAUGAUUAUUUUUAAUUUAUGAGAUUAAAUUUAUAUAUCUAAUUAUAUUCUUAAAAUUUAUAUUAAUAAUUUAAAUUGUAUACUAGAUGCCAAUUGCAAUUUUUUUUAUUGAAAAAUGGUCAAUCAUUCUCCGGCCAAUCAAACCUUAUCUCAAUUCUAAAGCUCCAUUUGGAAUCAAGUAGGGGUCCAGUGGAGAUACUUUUUGUAUGAAAAAUUGUGCCAAACGCAUCAUGCAUACAUUUGUUAAAUAAUAUCAGUACAAUAGGAGUUGAGUUUCAACACGCCAUAUCCCCUUUUUUUCACCGGCCAAUCCCCUCUCCAAUGAAAAAUUCUCUUCCCCACCGCAACAUCCUUUCCUGUAAUGCCUUUACUUUAUUUUCUUUUUAUCUUUUUUACCCCUCAAACAAUAGUGAAGGAAUAAAAAUGUCAUUUAGCUUUCAACUUUGUUUUUAUUUUAUUUUUUUUGUUAUUUUGUACAAAAAUAAUAUAUACAAAAAAUAAUCUUUAAAUAUAUAAUAAUAACUUAUUAUUUGAUAUAAAAAUAAUUUUAAUAUUUCUCAAUUUGUUAAUAAAAAUAUUAUUUGAUAUAAAGUAAUUUUAAUAUUUUUAAUUAUUUAUUAAUAUCAUAAAUAUCAAAUAUAUUUUAUAAAUUUUAUUAUAUGUAAAUUUUAAUUUAAUAUCUUUAACGAUCAUUUUAUUUUUUUAUUAUAAUUUAACUCAUUAUCACCGCUACAUUUGCAUCCAAAUAUAUAUAUAUAUAUUCUACCACUAAUUUUAAUAUUAUCGCUACAUAAUCAAUCUUAUUGUUAUAGUAACAAAUAUCAUCUUCACCACUAUUUUCAAUCUUACCAAAAUCAGUCUCAUCAUUCAUCUAAAUCGAUCCUAAGAAUGAGCUUUUAAAAUCUUUAAGUUUCAAAUUUAAGUUUUAUUGCAAGUGAAUUUAAUUUAAUUUUGUGUUGAUUUAUUUAAUCAAUUUGGUUUUUUUAUAUAAAUGUAUGUGUUUAAUAUAUGAUAUAUGAAAUUAUUUCAUUAUGAUAAAUUUUUAAUUGUAAUUACAAUCAAUAAAAAAGAUGAUUCUAAUAAAUUCAUCAGCUACAUGAAAAGUUUGUUUUGAUUUGGUUAUUUAAGUUUUUAAAAUAGAAAGAUAAUGAAAAUAAAACCAAUGAAUAUAAAUAGAGUAUAUCUAUACUGUAUUUUUAUCAUGUCAAACAUAUGUAAAAUAUAAAAAAUUAUAGAAUAAAAUUCGUAUCAGUACCCAACACAAAAUGUUUUUUUUUAUCAAAUCUAUAUAUAAUUUUUACCAAAAUUUUAAAUUAUAUUGCUUUUAUACUUUUUUUUCAUAUCAUUUUUAUUUCGUAUUUAAAAUUAUCAAAUCUAAAUCUCAGCUUAGUAACGAUGUUUUGAUUGAUUUGCGCAUGAUUAAGCUCUCACAGAGAGAUGCCAUCGAAAAACAUAUUGGUCAAGCACAUAAACAUUUCUAUUUUCUAAAUAUGAGAAUUAACCCAAAUGAUUCACUCUCCUUAAGCAAGAUAAAAUCAUAAGGUAAAAAUAUUAAUGAUAUUAUAUCACGCUUAAAAUAAAAUUUCAGAAAAAAAAAAGGUUAUUCUCAUGAAUUAUGAAAGAAAUAAAAUCAAAUCUAAGUUAUCUAAAGGUUUGGGAACAUGAAGCAAUAGUAAAAGUUUUCAAAACUAAGAAAUUAAAGAUGAAUUGAGUGCAUUGGUUAUGCAUAAUUACAUACAAUAAAGUAUAUAGAUUUAUAUCAUAUUGAAAGAACAUAUAUUCAAGGUAAUUCAUCAAGUUAAAGAAAUUACUAAAAAAAAUUCAUAUGAACUUGAAACAAAAUUCUUCCAAAUUGAAGAAUAUAAAGAUCUUGUACAUUUCAAAAUAAGAAGUUAAAAAAGUAAAUUAUGACUUAAGUUUUUUAUUUAAAGAAUAAGAAUCAUAUGACUCAUAUUUCUUAAUGAUACUUGUUUUAAAGAAAAAGUUGCAUAUAAACCUUGUUAUGAAAUUCGAUUUCAUAACAAAUGAAAUUCAAGGAAUAGCAUUCUCGAAAGAAAUUAUAAAUGAUUAAUUGUUUUACGAUCAUGGUUAAUAAUAUAAUUUAUAUAUAUGGAUGUGUGUGUUAAUGAUUUAAUGUUAUUGUUGCAAACCAAUAAGUUGCUAUUGAAACUUAAUAAAAAAUAAAAGUUGAUAUAAUUCUGGACAAACACUGGAGCCAAAUAAUGUUAAGAGAAAUUACACAAAUAUAGAAUUUAUAUAUAUGCGUGUGUGUGUGUUAAUGACUUAAUCUUUUUGUUGCAAACCAAUAAGUUGCUAUUGAAACUUAAUAGAAAAUAAAAGUUGAUAUAAUUCUGGACAAACACUGGAGCCAAACAUUGUUAAGAGAAAUUACACAAAUAUAGAAUGAUUAUUUUGAUAUAUAUGCACAAUAAAAAGAAUUAAUUAUUACAAAAAAAAUACUUAUUGCAUUGAUGUUAAUUCACCAAAAGAAAUGAAAUUCACGUAUUUCUAAAAUGAUGAAUUAGACAAAAGGAUGUGUAUGAAAUAACUUUUUUCAAGACAAGAUUAUAAAAGCAUAUAAAUUAGUUAAGUUUUUAGUUAAAUUUAAUAAAUUCUUUAAAAAAAACAUAAAAAUUUGAUGAGUUAAUUUUGACCUAUAAUAUCACAUAAUAAAAUAUAAGAUUAAAUGUAUUUAUAAUAAGUUAAGAAAAUUUUCAUCAUUUGACUAUACAAAGAUGAUAUGUUCGGUAUCGAUUAAGAAUAAAUAAAUAUAUAGAAUUUUUGUUUAGUCAUUUUUUGGUAUGAAAAAUAAAGUAUUGUAAAAGUAAUUUGAAAAAUAAAAGUAUUUAAAAAUGACAAGUAAAUUUUUUCAAUUUUACUUUAUUAGCAAAAUUCUUAAAGAAAUAUAUAAUUAUACAACGGUACAACAUUAUCUAAUAAAGAAAUAUUGAUUGUACAAUAAAAUAUGUAAAAAUAAUUGAAUGUGUGAUGUAUAUUAAGAUAUAAAUAAAAUGAAACAUUAUUUUUGUGAUAAACAAAAGUUAGUGGAUAAAUGAAACGAAAUAAAUUGCAUUGAGAUAUGUUUUACACAACUGGUAACUGUACACAUUGAAAAACACAUCAGGCAAUUACAUGUGAUUACAAAAUUAUGUUUUCUUUUAAAAAAAAUAUAGGAUCAAAUAAUAAUCAAAUCAAAGUUCGUUUCCUGUCACAAUCAUGCACUAAUUUUUAUGGCCAAAAGAUGCCUGUAAGGCUGGGGGCUGAGGUAAUAAAAAGGAAGGUGCACAAUAAAGCAAUGCAUUAUACCUUCGCGAACACAUUUGGGCCAUCAAUUGGUCAAUAACGAGCUUAAAAAUAAUUAAUUUUGUAGGGUCAGUUUUUCUGUUGUAUGGAAGAAGCACAAAAUUGGUCCAAUUUGGCGGUCUCUUUAGUUUCCUACAGCAACAUUGUUUAAAUCUGAUUUUUUAGAAAGACUAAUUAGACGUCAAUUGCAAUAUUUUAUGUAGAAAAAUAGUCAGCCAAUCUCCAGCCAAUCAAACCUUAUUGCGAUUAAAAUCUUUAAGUUUCAAAUGUUAGGCUUGUUGAAUGUGAAUUUAUUUAUUUAAUUAAUGUUUAUUAAUGUUUUUCAUAAAUUUAUGUAUGCAGUAUGUCAUAUAUAAGUGUUUGAUUAUAAUAAUAAUUUUUAAUUUUAAUUACAACCAAUAAAAAAAAUAGUUUCUCCAAUUACUAAAUUCAUUAAUCACAUGAAAACUUUGUUUGGAUCGAAUUUUUUUUAAAAUAAAAGAUAUUAAAAACAGAAACAAUGAAUUUAAGCAAAUUAUUUGAUUGUUUACAUACCUUCACUUUGUAGGAAAAAAAUUAUGUUGAAAAAGAUAUUGUCAAAAGUCUUAUGCUAAUGGGCAAUAACUGUUGAACUAAUCUGUGCUCACCGAGACACUAAUUUAAGCUAAAGCAGACAAUUAAACAGUAACCUAUAAGUGGGUAAAGUUGAAGCACAAUGAACUGAAGGUGCCCGAGCCACUGUUGGAGGGAGGUGACUUCGUUGAUGCCACCUGAGUCACUAGUGGUUGCAGGCUUCAUGGUGGUCGAUGAUGCAUGUAAAGAGGGAGCUGUCUUUUCUAGUUGUUAGAAAGAGUGCUUCUGCCCUCUUUCCUUUCUUGAACUGAAAUUAGUUUCCUUAAUAGGCCAUGUAACUAUUUAUACAAGGAUGAGAGCAGGGAGCCUCUUGCUAGCAAAUAUCACCCUAUCGAAUAAUGAGUAUAUACAAAAAUAACUUAGGUCACAUUUUGAUCAAAAUCAUAUUAAUGCGAUUGGAUAUGUCAUGAUUUGGUUAGUCUAUCAACAUGAGAUUACUACAACACCAACUUGACAUAGCUUUGUCCCCAUGUUAGUAAGUUUUGGCACAUUGUUAAUGCUUAAUAUAGUUGCUUGUAGCUUUAGUAAAAUAUCAAGAAAGAAAAGCCUUGGAUCAUUCAGCUUGUUGUAGAAGCCAGACUUUUUAGUAAAUUGUUCUAAAAUUUUUACUUGGUCUAUUGGUUAAUAUGAUUAGUUUGUUGUACAAAAUGCCACCCAAAAUUUGUCUUUGAAGCACCUUGUGAGUUCAACUUUCAUUUAUCUACAUCUUCUGUUUGAUGACAGAAAUCAAAUCAGCAAGUUCAAAGCUUACAUUAAUCGCAAAAGUAGUUCGGAAUGAAUAACCUCCCAUAGUAAAUGCUUAUGCGUCUUCUACCAAUCACUUAGGAUGUGUAGUAUGCUUUAUCAAACCCAAACCUAAAAGUUGGCUAAAGAAUUGGCAACUAGGUUUUAAAACAUGAUAACAAAUUUCUACAUAGCUUGACAAGUAAGUAAACCAAUUGAUAUGUCAAAAUUUAAGUAUCUGAGCCUGAUCAGUUGACUUUGUUAGAUAAAGCUUAUGCAUUAAUUUGAAGAGGGAUUUUCACUUGAGCAUGGGGUAUUGGUGAUUGCCCUUUAAUUCAUAAAUGAAUUGAGCUUGGAUGAGAUGGUGUUAAGUUCAUAAUUUGUUGAAUGAAAAGGAAAUUGUGGUUUGAACAAAAAAAAAAAAAGAGAGAUUGUGUAGUAUUAGAGAUAGACAAUGUUGGCUGGUUUAUAACACAUUAAGGCUGUUGUCUUCAUUUUUUUGGUUAUUGCAUUAUAGAAGCUUCCUAGUGACAGUACCUAUUGCACUUUUGAAACAAGCGUACAGAUAAUAAUUUGUGUUGUUUCUCCUAACAUGGAAUGUAGAAUUUAUGAUGUGUUCAACACUUUAAGUAUGUUUUAACAAGUCAGAUUUUAGUUUCAUGGUAUGUAUGUUUCACUUUAAUAUUUGUGUGUGUAUGUCUUCCACAAAAGAGAUAGAUAUCAGUCCAUGAAAGUUAAAGAUUAGACCUUGACUAUAACUAUUUUUUUUAUUACUUUCUAAACUAUCUUAAAUAUUAAAUUUCAAGCCCUGUAUGACCUGAUGAUAAAUAAAGUUGCAUUAACAUAGAAAAUCUCUAAUCAUAUGGUUUAUUACAGCAUAAAUUCAAGUUCUGUGAGUUCAUUAAAGGUAUGAUUCUCUUACUAUAAAAAGAAAAAGGAGAACGAUGCAACAAACAUAUAGAUUUUUUGUUAUCAAGAAAAAGUAAUCAAUGAUGAAGAGAAGCAAUCAUCUGCAAUUCGAAGCUAUUCUGGUAAGUCAUUGUGCGGAGAUGUUUAGCGGCUUAGAUUUGAAACAGGAAGCAAAAGCAUUCCUAGUUGUCACAUCAUCCCAUUAUAAUUCUUUCCACCAAAAUUCCCAUCCAUGAAUGGCAAUGCCAUGUCUUUCACCAUUCUUUGCAUUGAACGGAAGCUUCUUCAAUUUUGGACACCCAAAUAUGGAGAUUUUCUUGAGACUUAAAAAUGGAAGGGCUAAAUGCAUUUUAGUUCUGGUAGGUAAGACAAAUGGAGAACUUCAAGCUUUUUAAAUGGCUUAAUACUUCCUACUUUCUCUGGAAGUCCUGCACAUUUGGCUGUGCAGAUUAUUUAUUUUAUUUGGAAGCAUCUUGAUAUGCAAAGACUAGCAAGGUUUGGGGUAAACAUGAGCCAUGUCAAAUCCUCUAAUCGCAUACAGUGGUCUACACUUACUUUUUGAGGGCUGUCGAACCAUCUGUCCUUCAGAUGUUAGUUUUUUACUUGGUUCUUGCAACCAAUCAUGCUUCAACUCUUCUAAACUCUUACAGUCUGAGAUAUCUAGCAUAUUAAGCUGCUUCAUAUAUGUUAAACAUGGAAUAUUUAGAAUAUUUGAACGACUUAAAAACUGAAGGCAUAGGUCUUGAGUGCAGCUCAUGAAUUUUUGGGAGCUUAAAAGUCUUUUCAAGUGCAAAAAUGCUCCUUAUUGUGAGACUCAACAUACUCAAUUAUUUCAAACACUACAAUUCCUUAACCCAUCACUCAUUUCCCCCAGAUAGAAUAUUACCUUGCACAAUCAGAUCAGAAGAACCGCAAUUAAGCAUUCUUAACACUAGUCAGAAUGGAAAGCUAGAUAUCAGUUGGCGUGGAAUUGUAUUUAGUACAAAUGUAUCCUCUAAGUUCUAAUAUUUCAGCCUUUGCAGGGACUUAGCUCAGUUGGCAAUUGUCUUAUACUUGUCUUGGAUAGAUUGUGAUAUUGCAGGGAAAUAAGUUUGAAAAUUCCCUGGGCCAAUUCAGUUAUGCCACUGUUACAGGAUAGGUUUAACACUUUUAGAUAGGCAUAGAUUGGAAAAAGUCAUUACUGAUUGUGUUUAAUGUGUUUUCAUUGAGAAACAAGGUUAGCAGGUUAGGACAUGAAGGUGUUUCGAUUAGACUCUCAAGGUAAUUUGCCAUUAGUGUGUUCUUCUUACUGCUUCCCAUUUUGUAAUCUCUGGUGCUUCAUUUAAUCAAUCACCUGUUUGCACUAAAAUACCUUCCUUGAAAAUAUUGAACCCAUUGGCUAUCCGCAAAGCUAUAUCACAAAUCACAUCGUGCAUUUUCACAUAACGACCUUCUUCUUCCAACAAACAUGUAUAUACAAGUGUCCCAAUAAAGUCAUACCUUUGGUUUUGAGCUCCAUUUCUGCCAUUACAUUAAUUUAAAAGUCCCUCACAAAUCCUAUAAUCUAUUAAAUUAGUUUUGCGAAUGACAAAGUCUUUUGGAGAUAAAGUAUAAUAUAAGAAGCAAGAUCUCACUUUCUCAUUAGGUAAAUGAUCAAAGAACUUCAUAAGAGGAAAGACCUUAUCCCCCAUACCUGAAAAUUCUGAGGCAUAUUUUCUUAAAACCUCAAUUGCAUGAAUCCAUUCUUGUGGUGUCUUCUUGCAGGCCAUGGCUCGACCAAUGGUGACAAAUGCUAGUGGCAUAGCAACACACUCUUUGGCCAUAAUUUCUAAUAGCAUAAGAAUAUCUGGAUGCAGGUUGAGAGUAUCAUUUCUUAUCUUCUUCUGAAACAAAUGCCAAUCACAAGGUGAUGGCAAGCACUUUACUUUGAAACUUUUAUGUACUUCCAUGAGACUACAGACCUCUUUGGAAUGUUUAGUGAAAACUACCUUGGAGUUUUUUGUUGGUCUGGUAUAGGAACUCCAAUUUUUGUUAGAUUAAUUUGGUCCCAUAAAUCCUCCAACAGCAAAACAAAUUUCUUAGUACUUAGGACUUUGUAUAUGUCUAUAGCCUUUUGCUCAAUACUUUCAUUUCUCUACCUAUUGUCAAAAUAUCCUAUCCUUUCCCCAAUCUCUUCUUGACUAUUUUAGGUUUUAGGUCUUUAGAAGCCACUGCCCAGAUCACAAAAUCAACAUUGCUAGGAAGGCUAAGGAGCAUCUUGUUGAUUGAGUCAUAAGAGUAGUUUUGCCAAUGCCUUUCAUUCCAAAAAAGGCAAUGAUUCUGGCUUGAUCUUCACUGAGGCAGUUCCAAAUGGUAAUAAAUAUGGACUCCAUGCUGUAGACACCCAAUUUGGUCCAGGCUCGGAUCAAUUGGGCCUGGUCCAAAUGGGUAAGCCCACUUUAUUUUGUAUUUUUGUAUUUCUUAUAUUUUUAUAUUUUUUAUUUUAUUUUACUUUAUUUCAUAUUUUAUGUAUUUAUUAUUUAUUUAUUUAUUAUUCCUAUUUAUUAAUAUAUAUUUAUUUUAUUUUAUUUUUAUUAUUUUUAUUAUUUAUCUGUUGAUAUAUAUAUGUAUUAUUAUUUAUCUAUUUAUAUAUAUUAUUAUUUAUCUAUUAAUUAAUAUAUUAUCCUUAUUAUUAUCUUUUUUAUUUUUUUAUUUUUUUAUUUAUUUUAUUUUUUUCUUUUCUUCUUUCCUUUACUCGAUUGGAGUUGGAUUAGAAUAGAAAUUUGAGUUCUAUCGUGAAUGUGGGAUUCAAUCAGAAUCUAAAUUGGAUUCAAAGAUUGAAUCUCAAUCCAAAAGGGAAUAGGGAUUGAUCAGAAACUCUUCUGAUCAAUCCCUAUAAAUAGAUCCACGGAUCAAAAGACUGGAACACAAAAAAAAAGAGAUACUGGCAGGGAGAAAAAGGCAGACACAGAGAAGAUUUAAAAGCUGAAAAAGGGUUUUGGUACGUUAGAACAGCUCUAGGAAUCGGUGGGGAAUUUUUAGAGAAUUUUUUACGAUUUUUUUCUGGAAAUUUUUGAAAAUUUUUCAGAUUUCGGUUGAAUUUUUUUACAAAGAUUAAAAUUUUCGAUGACUUUUUCGGCCAAGUUUGAACUUUCCGGUCAGCUGCCCAAUUUUUGACAAGAAUUUCCAAAAAUCGACCAACUUUUCGAUGAACUUACGGUAAAAAAUCUAGAUUUCGAUGAAGAUUUUCAGAAUCCGAUGAGAUUCAACCGGAGUUCUUCAGAUUUUAAAGAGAAGGGAGAGAAAAGGAAGGGAAGAAAGAGAGAGGGAAUGAGGGUUCUGCUGAAAAAAACAGAGGAAUUAACCUUUUAUACCUAAUGAAAACAACGUUGUUUUGGCGUUACUAUGCCUAGAGGAUCCGCGCAUUUUGAAAUCGGGUGACCCGACCCGAGCGCUAACCCGCUUUUGACUCGCGUGCAACCCUCGUCUCCAAGCCAUUUUCUCGAGCCAAGCCACAUCCCCGAGCCGCGUCUUUGAGCCGUCUUUUCUUUCUCAAGCCAAGCCGUGCCGAGCCGUUCCUAGGUUUUUUUUUUCAUUUUUUAUUAUUUAUUUAUUUAUUAUUUAUUAAUUAGAUUAGAAUUAUUUAAUUUUUUUAUUUAAUUUUUUUAUUUUUAUUUUUAUUUUCAUUUUAUUUUAUUUUAUUAUUUUUACUUUCUUAAAUAAAAUUCCAAAAAAAAUAUUUUUGGAGAAAAGUUGAAAGUAUCAAUUUUCCUUAAAAAUAAGUCUUCAAAAAUGAAUUUUUUGAGAAAAAGUUGAAAGUGUCAAUUUUCCCUGCACAAAAGCAAUCAUUUUUUUUCUUUUCUUUGUUAUUUCUUUGGAUUUUCUUUAAAUAAUUUGACGAUGGAGCAUCUACAAGUGAGACAGUAGUUUUCUUGCAUACUCUUGAGAUGAGAGAAUUUUCUCAAUUUUUUGCUAAAAGUAUUAGAGUCAAUUGAGAAUAAUUUUCAAUAAUUAAUUACUUGGUAAAUUUUUAAGGCUUAUUGGAUAACACAAAAUUAAAUUGGUACCAUCUUUUGAUGGGCGUUGUGAAGGUGCUAUAACUUUCUUCACACGUAACCAAACUUUCGAACCCUGUUCUGGUUAGUAGACCUAAGCCUAUUCUUUUAGGGGCCCUUAAACUUAAGUGUUCCCUGAAAGGAUAGAUUCCUUAGAUGGCCAAUCGCACCUAGAUAAAAAAGAUUGGUGGCGACUCCUUAGUCAAUGUCUAGCGAUAGAUCCUCGGAUCUAGAUGUUAUGACAGCUUGGAGACUCCACUGGAGACUCUGAGAGUCAGGCUAGCAAAUAAAUUUGUGUUAUCCAAAAGCCUAAUAAAAUUGAACUUUUUUUUGUAUAUAUAUAUUAUUAUUCAUUCAUGUUUAUUUACUUUAUUAAUUAUGUCAUUCAUAUGCAUGUGCAUAACAUGAGCAAUAUACUCGAGCUCCGUCCCUCUAAGAGGGAGUAAAGUACCUAUUACUUUCGUGAGGUUUAAUGCCUCCGCAGUGGCUAACGAAAUACUCUCACUCAAAUUGAACAUUUUUCGCUUGUAGCUUGUAAUGGGUGAGGAUUGGAGUGCCUUACUAGUCUAUGAUGGACAAUGAUGUAAGAAGCAAUUUGGGAACCUUUAGACUUUAACCUCAAACCACAUAUAGUGAACCUUAAGAGUGCCUAACCUAUAGAUGAGCCAUCACUCUUCCCUUUUAAAAUUGACCAAAAGCAUAGGAUUUAUUCCUCUUAUUCUGUGUGAUGUUUUAAUUUACUUAGUUAUUUAUUUAUUUCUUUUUUUUGGGCAUACUAACCUUUUCUCUCAUUCUUUUGCAUUAGUUCAUGCUCAUAUCAUAAAGUUGUAGAAAGAACAUUUGCUUGAAAUAUGGUUUUCAACAAAAAUUUUUCAUGGACUCCACAGAACGACUAAUUUGUUCUUCAUCUGUACUAGCACCUUGUGAGUCACCCAACGAAGUAAGGGCCCAGUCAGAAAAUAUUCAACUAAAGAUAGGGGAUUAUUUACCAAUUAGAUAUGAUUAUACCCUGUCUCAAGAAACAUCUAUCCUCUUCAAAUAGAACAAUCUAGAGGAUUUGGUUGAUAUCUUAAAGAAGAUGAGUCCAUCAAGAUAAAAGCAGUUCUGUUAAAGACACGGCAUAUAGCACACUUUCUAGCAGUAGUUAUCGACGAUCAACUAAUCAGAGCUGCAGCAUAAUUUUGGGAUCCUACAUACAAAUGUUUCAUCUUUAAUGAAGUUGAUAUGACUCCAACCAUCGAAGAAUAUUCGAUUUUAUUGGGUUUGCACCUCAAGGCUCUUGAUAAGAUAUAUGUUAAAAACACAAGUCAGGAUUUUGUAAGGGUUUGGCUCAACUCAUGGGGAUAGACAAAGAAGUUGUAGAUUCUCAUACAAAGAAGAAACAAGAAUAGGUUUGCUUACCUUGGAAGUUCUUUCAUGAGUUUUUAGUGCAAUAUGCCAAUGAAGAAUAGGGGUUAGAUAUAUUUGCCUUAGCCAUAUACGGAAUGGUGAUCUUUCCAAAAGUUUUAGGUUAUAUUACGAUAGUGGUGGUUGACUUCUUUGAGAGUGUGAUCAAUGACUGUAACCCUUCAACGGUAAUAUUAGCAGAGACUAUUAGAUCUUUGAGUUACUAUCAUCGGAAUGGAGGGCAUUUUAUAGGCUGUAUGCAGUUAUUAUACUUAUAGAUGAAAAGUCAUUUCGAAUAGGGAAAGAGUGCUUUCUCGAAGCUUUAUAUCCGCAAUCGAGCUUCAAUCAAAAAAUUCUGUGAAAAUGGGUGGUCAGAACGAAAGUCUAAAAAAGAAUGGAUAACUUUCCUACAAAAGUUGACCAGUACCGAUGUAAGAUGGUUGGCCCCAUGGAUGAAUUAUGAGCCUAUAUUGUAUCAAUGUGGGGAUAAUACAGUGGUCCCACUUCUGGGUUUAUGAGGAGCGACAAAUUAUGCACCACUCCUAGUAAGAAGGUAGUUUGGGGCAGAACAGUUCAUUUCUAUAAUUUAUGGGCUUCAUCAGUUAGAUUUCUCUUACAGUGAGCCAAAAGCAUUUCAGAUGAUGAAUGAGAUGAUUAAAACAUGGAAAAAUCUCCGAAGAGUGAGUCCUUAAUCGUUUACUGAUAAAGUCACUCAAGGGCAUUUAGUUUGGAGAGCAAAACGAAGACAAGAAAUGGUAUUCACUUAUGAAAGCUUUCAACCACCAACAGAAGAAAAACUUGAAGAGACACCAUUAGAAUUAGAGCUUGCAAUAAAAGAAUUUGAGUUUAAAAAGGGUAAAUUAAAGCAAGAAAUUUAAAAGCUUCAAGAAGAAAAAGAUCAGUGGAAAGAUAAAGCUAAAAGUCAUGAAGCUAGAGUUCACAUGAUCACUAGAGAACGUGAUACAGCUGUUGAAGACUUGGUAAAGCUACACCAAAAACAUAAAAGGUUAUGUGUGAGAGAAUGGGUCAAAGAAAUAACCAUUAUUGAGCUAACUAAAGAAAAUGCAAGAUUGAAGCAAGAGUAUGCUGAGUUAGAAUAAUACCUAAGUACAAAUAGAGAAUAACAUGCUGAAUAGCUAUCUAAGUAGGCUGAGACAAAAGUUGAAUGAACAAGAAGACCACAUUGCUACAUUAGUUAGGGAGCAUGAAGAGUUAUCAUACCAAGUCUGGUGUGGUAAAAGAGAGAACUUAGGAAGACAAAAAUAUAUUGAGCACCUAACAACCCAAAUUUGUAAAGGGGUUUGCAAGCCAAAAGAGAUGGUGAAAGAGGCAGAGGUAUUAAAACAAGUGGUGACCCUAGUAGGAGAAUAUGGACAGCAUCUGUUGAACUUCAUCGAGGAAGCCAAAGCCCAGCAUGAACAGAUUAAGCAAUUUUAUGGUUAUAGCUCUAGGAUGAUAAACUCAAUGUAAAUAAAAGUUUUUUGGAAUAAAUGAAAUCUUUUAGUUGAAUACCAUCUUUAAGGCAAAUGUUCUUUGCAUACAUGCAUUUUUCAUUCAUUGCAUUCUCAUUCAUUACACUUAACAAAGUAACCAUGUGAUAGUCAUGCAAAUUUACUAAUUCUAAAAUAUGGUACUCAAGGAUCAAGGAUAGUUCAAUCUAGCGAAAACCCUAUCCAUCGAUACAACACAAGAUCCAGAGCUAGAGAAAUGAAACAAGAAAACUCUCACAGAUUUGAAAAGCUAGAAAAAGCACAAGAAAAUAUUUAAAAUGAGUUUAGCAAGAUUCCAGAUGCUCUUAAUAAGUUGAACAAAAAAAAAAAGUAGAAGAAAACACAAGCCAACAAGUUCUCCCAUUGUAAGAAGUGGUUGACCCUUUGUAUCCUCUAGGUUUUGGCCCACCUCAAACCCAGUCUACACAAGAAGUUUCACCACAACACUUCACAUAUCCUACAUAUCCUGGAAUGCCAUCAGCCUUCAAUCUAGGGCAUUACAUAGCUAUGUAAAUCCUAUCUUUACUAAAAGGAUAGUACAAUCGAUUCUUGAUCUAGAUGAUUUGAAAGAGAGAGAAAGAAAAAGCAAAAAUGGUGGAGUCUCAGGGAGAUCUAAAGAUUAGUAUGCUUAAACAAAGAUUACGGGCAGUAGAGGGGAUUGGAUUUUAUGGCUCUGUUGAUGUUGUUGGGCUGUGCUUAAUCUCGGAUGUAGUCAUUUUACCAAAGUUCAAAGUACCAAAAUUUGAAAAAUAUGAUGGUACAAAGUGCCCCAAAACCCACAUCACCAUGUAGUAUCGGAAGAUGGUAGCCCAUGCUCAUGAUGAAAAAUACUUGAUGCAUGUCUUUCAGGAUAGCCUUACAGGCUCUGUUGCCAGGUGGUAUGUUCAACUGGACAGAACCCGCAUUCGCUCUUGGAGCGAUAUGGCACAUGACUUCAUCAGUCAAUAUCGACAUAUUAUCGAUUUGGCUCCUAAUCGUUUGUCUUUACAGAACCUAGAAAAAAACGUAAAUGAGUCUUUUAAAGAAUAUGCCUAGAGAUGGAGGGAUGUGACUUUUCAAGUACAACCUCUUCUUACUGAGAAAGAGACUACAGUGCUAUUUGUUAGCACUUUGAAACCUUCUUAAUAUGAAAAGAUGAUAGGGAAUGCCAUAAAAAAUUUUACUGAUAUGGUAAUUUCAGUAGAAAUUAUCAAGAGUGCUAUCAAGAAUAACAAGCUGAAAGGAAGUGAAGCAUCUAGCAAGAGAGUCUUGAAGAAGAAAAAGACUUAAACUCAGGCUAUAAGCUUUGAUAGAUAGUAAUCUGGAGGUUACCAACCUUACUCACCACAAGGAUACUUUCCAUAUUACCCUAUUGUAAAUAACACUUCCUCUUACCCAUACCAACCAUUUGUACAGUCACCUUAUCCCCAAACAUAUCAACCUCCUCCUAGGCCUCAGAACACCGUAUAUAGUCCUAACACUCAGCCUACCCCAAGACCUCACACUCGUCCAGUUAACCCAAUUGGUGGUUCACGAGAGCAACGAACCACUCGUGAAAAACCUGUAUUUGACUUAAUCCCAAUGACUUAUACAGAACUAUAUAGAGAGCUUUACAACAGUCAUUUGAUUGUUUCUAGUAAGUUAGAAUCCCUCAUGCCACCUUACCCUAAGUGGUAUGAUCCCACAGCCCAUUAUGACUAUCACUAUGAGAUUACUGAUCAUUCUACCAAAAAUUACACCGUCCUAAAACACAAAGUGCAACGGUUGAUUAAGGAUGGAAUGAUUAGCUUUGAUACAAGAGGGGUGAUUGCAACAAAUGUUAGUGGCAAUCUUUUGUCGAAUCAUAAUGUCAUUGCUCUAAGUAGAGAAUAGAAGCGUCAUGUAAAGAAAGAAAUGGCAGAUAUUAAGAUACUUUUUAGUCAGCUAUUUGAUAUUUUAUGGAAAGCUGACAUGAUACAACUAGUGAGUCCACAUAGUUAUCAUGGAGUAUAUAUAGCUGGCACUAUUUGUAAAUAUCAUAGUGGGGUAAUAGGUCACUCUACUGAAACCUGUGAGCAAUUUCACCGAGAGGUGUAAAAACUCUUGGAUUCAUACCAGAUGGAGGUCUAUAAAAGAAAAAAAGACUUAAGAAGUGCUGAGGUGUCCAUGACUGAUAAGCCUGCAAAGCUGUUUCACCAAGAGGUGCAAAAACUCUUGGAUUCAUACCAGAUAGAGGUCUAUAAAAGAAGAGAAAACUUAAGAAGUGUUGAGGUGUCCAUGACUGAUAAACCUGCAAAGUUGUUUCCAAAGUCAGUGACAAUUCAUUGUGGGAACAAGCCAAAGUCUAUCAUAGACAAACUCAUUCCCAGGCUGGUAACUUUUAAGGUUUUAACUCUUUUUCCAUACAAGGAUGAUAAAGCUAUCCCCUAAAGAUAUGGUUACGAUACGGUAGUUCAGGGGUAAAAAGGGGAUGUCUUUAAAGUUGACGCUUCCAAUAUAACCGAUGUAGGAGGUAUUACCUGAAGUGAAAGGUGUUACAUUUUAAAAAUGUUGGAAAAGGCUAGAAGAGAGAAAGCCAAGGAAGGAAAAAGAUGAAAUAACCCAGAAGUAGAACCUGAAGAGGAUCGCCCGAAGUUGGUGUCAGAAAAGGAAGUUUGUGAAUUCCUGAAGCUGGUAAAGUAUAGUGAGUAUUUAGUUGCUGAACAGUUGAACAAAAUGCCAGCUCGAAUCUCAUUACUAUCAUUGCUGUUAAACUCAGAGCCACAGUGAAAUGCUGAAAGUAUUGAACCAGGCAUAUGUGGCUAUAAUGUAUCUGUUGGAUAUGUGAACCACCUGGCUGAAAAUUUAGUCAUGCCAAAUCACAUUUCAUUCAGUGAUGAUGAGAUUCCCUUGAAGGGAAAGGGAAAUGCCAAGGCUUUGCAUAUCACGAUCAAGUGCAAGAGCUAUAUCAUAGCCAAGAUCCUUAUUGAUAAUGGCUCUACUAUCAAUGUCAUGCCUAUGUCAACUUUGGCAAAGCUACCCAUUGACUACUUUCAUAUGAAGGAUAGUCAGAUGAUUGUGAGAGCUUUUGAUGAUACCAAAAGAGAAGUUAUGAGGGAUAUCGAGAUGCCCUUGCAAAUUAGUCUAUACACUUUUAAUGUCAAAUUUCAAGUAAUGGAUAUCUUUCCAUCCUACAGCUUUUUAUUAGGAAGGCUGUGGAUUCACAUGGCAAGAGCUGUGUCCUCUACCUUGCACCAAAAGAUCAAGUUUAAUAUAAAAGGUCAACUAGAGGUGGUAGUUGGGGAGAAAGACAUGCUAGUGACCCAACCGUUGAAUACUCCAUAUGUAGAGGCUAUCGAAGAAGCAUUAGAAUGCUCUAUCGAUCUUUUGAAUUGGUUAAUUCUGUAGGUAAAAGAUUUAAAAAUCAACCUUUUCCAAAGAUAGUGAUGAGCCAAGUCAUCAAUAAAUGCUGGUAUUCAGGACUAGGGCUAGGCAAGAACUUGCAGGGAAUAAAGGAGCCGUCGACAGUGACAAAUAAUCGUGAAAGGUUAAGCCUGGGUUAUAAGUUAGCAAAAUGGGAGAUCAAGAGAAGGCCAGCAGGAAAAAUAGUAAAACUAAUGGUUAUCCCACACCUGUAUGAGAUUUUUAGACCUGAAGGAUUCAUGUACCCAGAUACAAAAAAAAGCAUAAAAAGGGCUUUUACCCAGUUAACCAUUGAUGCUAUUAAAGAUGAAGGGGAGAUUAAUCAAAAGGGGUGGGUCUACCUUUGUUCGCCAGAUUAUGAACUAAGCAAUUAGAGUGCCAUUGAAAUGCCUGUGAUUGUUGAAACUAAUACAAUGUAAUUCAACAUCCCAAUAGCUAUUGCCCAAGGCAUUAGGGUGAUCUUUCUUCUUUGGGUCAUUUAUCUUUUAUUAUUUUUAAUAAAAAUUAGGAAGAAUGCAUUUUCAUUCAUUUUUUCUUUUGUCUUCAUUAUUUCCAUCUUUCUAAACACAUCUUGCCAACAUAUCCCAUUUCAUUCAAUUUCAGGUCCUUAAAUGAACAUGAAGAUAAUUAUUAUAACAAUCAAGAUGUUAGUUUUGUGAAUUCAAUUAACAAUGAUGAACUUGACAACAAAGAGAAUUUUGAGGAAUAUGUUAUGCCUCCGUACCUAAUGAGAUUGAUUGAAUAAGAAAAUAAUCCAAUUGAGCCUCAUCAAGAGAUAGUUGACUUAGUGAGUCUGGGAGAUGAAGAGAAUAAGAAAGAUAUCAGAAUUAGCACUUCACUCUCAUCAGGAGAUAGACAACGUUUAGCAAACUUACUUCAGAAUUCACAGAUGUAUUUGCUUAGUCUUACUAGGAUAUGUCAGGGUUAAGUACGGAGAUAAUGGAACACAAAUUACCCCUAAAGCCAGAAUGUAAGCCAGUUCAACAGAAACUGAGACGGAUGAAACCUGAAAUGCCACUAAAGAUCAAAGAAGAAGUGAAGAAACAAUUUGAUAUAAGUUUUCUACAAGUGGCUAAGUAUCCAGAGUGGAUAACCAAUAUAGUACCAGUACCUAAGAAGAAUGAAAAGGUAUGAAUGUGUGUAGACUAUCGUAACUUGAACAAGGUUAGUCCAAAGGAUAACUUUCUUUUACCUCAUAUUGACACAAUAGUAGAUAACACAGCUAGGCAUUCAAUUUUCUCUUUCAUGGAUGCUUUCUCAGGGUAUAAUCAGAUAAAAAUGGUUACGGAUGAUUGGAAAAGACCACUUUCGUGACUAUAUGAGGAACCUUUUGUUACAAGAUCAUGCCUUUUGGGUUAAAGAAUGUUGGGGCAACAUAUCAAAAGGCCAUGGUACCACUCGUCUAUGAUAUGAUGCACAAAGAGAUCGAGGUGUAUGUAGACGAUAUGAUUGUAAAAUCUUGUGAGGAUGAAGAUCAUGUCACCAGCAUCAAAAAGUUAUUUGAGAGAUUAAAAAGGUUCUAGCUCAAGUUAAACCUAGCCAAGUGCACCUUUGGGGUAAAGUCAGGAAAAUUACUAGGUUUUAUGGUCAGUGAAAGAGGAAUUGAAGUCGAUCCAGAUAAGAUACAGGCCAUUCAAAUUUGUCACCUCCGAGUACACCAAAAGAAGUUUGAAGUUUUCUGAGAAGAUUGAAUUACAUUUCUCGGUUUAUCUCUCAGCUUACCUACAAAUACGAUCCCAUAUUUAAGCUUCUCUACAAGAAUAAUCCUAAAAAAUAGAAUGAGGAAUAUCAAGUAGCCUUUGAUAAAAUUAAGCAAUACUUUUCAAAUCCUCUAGUGUUGGUACCACCUGUUUCAGGGAAACUUUUAAUUUUAUACUUGACAGUAUGUGAAAAUUCAAUGGGAUGUGUGCUGGGGCAACAAGAUGAGUCUAGCUGAAAGGAGAGAGCUAUUUACUAUCUGAGUAAAAAGUUUACAAAGUACGAAUCUAAGUAUUCCUCAUUGGAAAAAAUGUGUUGUACAUUAGCGUGGACUGCCAAAAGACUUAGACAGUAUAUGCUUUAUCAUACCACAUGGCUCAUAGCAAAACUAGAUCCAAUUAAAUAUAUUUUUGAGAAGCUUUCUUUGUCUGAAAGAAUUGCUAGGUGGAAAGUAAUGCUCUCGAAGUAUGAUAUUAUAUAUGUGAGCCAAAAGGCAAUAAAAUGGGGUGCUAUAGCGAAGUUUCUUGCAGAUCAUGCUACUGAAGAGUAUGAACCAAUGAAGUUGGAAUUCUCUGAUAAAGACCUAAUGACUAUUUCCCAACUAGAGAAAAGAGAGCAUAGAGAAAAAUGUUGGAGAAUGUAUUUUGAUGGAGCUGCCAAUGCCUUAGGACAUGGAAUUGGGGCAAUUCUGAUCUCUCUAAAAGAAUAAUACUGCCCUAUAACAGCGAGGUUAAAUUUCAACUGCACAAAUAACAUCAUUGAAUAUGAGGCAUAUGUCAUGGGUUUACAGGCUGCCAUAGAUAAAAAAGUGAAAACAUUAAAAGUGUUUGGGGACUUAGCUCUAGUUAUAUAUCAAUUGAAAAAGGAAUGAGAGAUGAGAGAUUCAAAACUCGUUCCAUAUCAUAAGUAUAUUCUAGAGUUGAUAAAAUAAUUUGAAGACACCAAGUUUGACCAUUUACCUCGAGAAAAGAAUCUGAUUGUCGAUGCAUUGGCUACUCUGGCUACAAUGAUUUGAAUUAAUGAUAAUACUGACAUUUAGCCCAUCAAUCUAGAUGUUAAAGAUAUGCCAGCUCAUUGCUUCAAUGUAGAAGAGGAAGAAGAUGGGAAGCUUUGGUAUCAUGAUAUCUUAUAGUAUAUUAAGGAUCAGCAAUACCCAGUUCAAGCAACAGAAAAUGAUAAAAGGGUUAUCCAAAGAUUGGCCUAAAGCUUUUUCCUAUAUGGGGAUGUUCUAUACAAAAAAAGUGGGGAUCAAGUAUUACUAAGGUACGUAAGUAAGGCUGAAGCAAGAAAAAUCAUUGAAGAGGUACAUGAUAGAAUAUGUGAGGCAUAUACCAGUGGACAUAUGAUGGCGAGACAGAUCAUGAGAGCAAAAAAUUAUUGGUUAACGAUAGAGAGUGAUUGCAUUGACUAUGCUCGUAAAUGUCAUUAAUGCCAAAUAUAUAUCGAUAAAAUCCAUGCUCCGCUAUCUGCUUUACAUGUUAUGGCAUCACUUUGGCCAUUCUCAAUGUGGGGCAUGGAUGUCAUUGGUCUUAUCACCUCAAAAGCUUCUAACAGGCAUAGAUUUAUUUUUGUAAUGAUAGAUUACUUCACAAAGUGGGUGGACGUAGCAUCAUAUGCAAGUGUAACACGAUCUGUGGUUUACAAGUUCAUAAAGAGAGAUAUCAUUUACAGAUAUGGACUUUCAAAAAAAAUUAUUUCAGACAAUGCCAAGAAUCUAAAUAGUAAGAUGAUGUAAGAAAUAUGUCUCAAUAUAAGAUCAAGCAUCAUAACUCGACACCAUACCAUCAAAAAAUGAAUGGGGCAGUUGAGACAACUAACAAGAACAUAAAAAGAAUUCUUGAAAAGAUGACUGAAACUUAUAAAGAUUGGCAUGAGAAGUUACCAUUUGCACUGCACACAUAUCGAACAUCGGUGCACACCUCUACUAGGGCAAUCCCAUUUUCUUUGGUUUAUGGGAUGAAAGUUGUAUUACCAGUGGAAGUGGAGAUCUCUUUCUUGAGGGUUCUAAAAGAAGUUGAGCUGAAAGAAGUUGAAUGGAUUCGAGAACGCUAUGAACAGUUAAAUUUCAUAGAAGAAAAGAUAUUGACUGCACUGUGCCAUGAUCAGCUAUAUCAAAAAAGAAUGAUGAGGGCUCAUGAUAAAAAGAUUCGACCCCGUUACUUUCAAGAAGGAGAGUUAGUCUUAAAGAGAAUCCUCUUAAUCUAGCACAAUAAUAGAGAAAAAUAGACUCCAAAUUGGGAAGGGUCGUAUGUGGUGAAAUGAGCUUUCUCGGGUGAAACGCUGAUAUUGACUGAGAUGGAUGGAAUGAUUUACCCCAUCCUAUAAAUUCUGAUGCUGUGAAGAAAUAUUAUGCUUAAAAAAAUGAAAAAAUAAAAAAAAAUGAAAAAUGAAAAAAAAUGAAUGAAAAAGGAAGACUCAAGGCGAAAACCCUAAAAGAGCGGUUUGAGUCAUAGGGGGUUUAUCUAAGUUGAAAACCUGAAAAGGCAGCUUAGAUAAAGAGAAUACAACAUCAAAUUUAAAAAUUCACUGGCAUGGAGACUAGCAAAUUCGGAGGAGCUCCAAGUUGUUAAAUACAUCAGAUGGUUGGGUUUUCAAAAAAACCUUGAGAUGUGUUAUCAUGAUUAUCUGAUUGUUCAUUUUUGGCUUUGUCCCCAUACUUAUCCUUGUAAUUGUUUCUUGGCUGAAGUUUGCCAACAUUUUGUUAAUAAAAGACAUUUUAUUUCACUUUUUUGUCCCUAUUUUGUUGACGGUUUCUCAACCAUUCUUAUUCUUUUCCUCUUAAUACUCUACAAUAAAAGAAAUAUGUAAAUGCAUUCUUACUUUUUGAGUUUGAAAUAAUGAUUAAGAAAUGAAUAAUGGCAUGAAAGAUUUUUACAUUACAUUGAAAAAGUCAAGAGUGAUAAAGACAGAAUCGAAAUGUUCAGUUCCUGAUAAAGAUAUUGAAUUUGGAAAAAGAUUUCUUACAGGAAGAAUGUGAGUGGAAGAAAUGAUUGGGAGCUACACUGGCUUGAUCUUAAAAGAGCAGCAUAAUUAGGUCUUUGAAAAAUCAAGGGUUCGGGGCCCAAGAAAAGAGCUUGAGAAAUUUGAGUACCAUAAAUGAAUAGGAAUAAAGUAACCAACAUUCACAUGGCAUGCAUUGAAUUUCACAUACAUUGCAUAGCAUAUACUACAUUUAAGAAAAUAUAGUGCAUAAAAUCAAUAAGCAAGGGUAUUCCAAAAUCCCACAUAAAGAAGACAGAUGUGAAGACAUUUUCAAAUUUGAAAAAAAGCUUGUCAGGUAAGUUCCUAAUCCUUAAAAUAGGUUGUCUCUUGGUAUCAGGGUUGAUUUAUAAGACCUUUGGGCAUAAUUUCCUGAAAUUCUUUCAAACACGAUUUUCAACUCCUUUAAACAUGAUUGUCAAUGAGCAAUUUAUUUUUCAAAGUCAUUGAGCCUCUGAUUAGAGGAGCCAUUUAUUUUUCAAAGUCGUUGAGCCUCUGAUUAGAGGAGCCGUUUAUUUUCCAAAUUCAUUGAGCCUCUGUUUAGAGGAGCUUUAUUCAUUUUCAAAGUCGUUGAGCCUCUGAUUAGAAGAGCAUUGUUUAUGUUUUUCAAAGUCGUUGAGCCUCUACUUAGAGGAGUUUUGAUCACUUUAAUACAAAAAAAAAUGAAAAAAAAGAGGUCGAAUUGAGUCUUAAAUAGGUGUCUACGUCUUUGCGCAAUUUCUGUUUUACAGAAAAUGUGCAAAGAGGGGUAGGUGUAGACACCAAAUUUGGUCCAGGCUCGGAUCAAUUGGGCCUGGUCCAAAUGGGUCCAAAUGGGUAGGCCUACUUUAUUUUGUAUUUUUGUAUUUCUUAUAUUUUAUAUUUUUAUAUUUUAUUUUACUUUAUUUUGUAUUUUAUGUAUUUAUUAUUUAUGUAUUUAUUAUUACUAUUUAUUAAUAUAUAUUUAUUUUAUUUUUUUUUAUUAUUAUUUAUUUGUUGAUAUAUAUGUAUUAUUAUUUAUCUAUUAUUAUUAUUAUUUAUCUAUUAAUUAAUAUAUUAUCUUUAUUUAUUUUAUUUAUUUUAUUUUUUUUCUUUUCUUCUUUCCUUUACCCAAUUGGAGUUGGAUUAGGAUAGAAUUUUGAAUUCUCGUGAAUGUGGGAUUCAAUCAGAAUCCAGAUUGGAUUCAAAGAUUGAAUCCCAAUCCAAAAAGGAAUAGGGAUUUAUCAGAAACUCUUCUGAUCAAUCCCUAUAAAUAAAUCCACGGAUCAAAAGACUGAAACACAAAAAAAAAAGAUACUGGCAGGGAGAAAAAGGCAGACACAAAGAAGAUUUAAAAGCUGAAAAAGGGUUUUGGUGCAAUAGAACAGCUCUAGAAAUCGGUGGGAAAUUUUUGGAGAAUUUUUUACGAGUUUUUUUCUGAAAAUUUUUGGAAAAUUUUCAGUUUCUGGUUGAAUUUUUCGAUGAAGAUUGAAUUUUUUGACUAUUUUUUCAGUCAAGUUUGAACUUUUCGAUCAGCUGCCCAGUUUUCGGUAAGAAUUUUUAGAAACCGACCAACUUCAGAUGAACUUCCGAUGAAAAACCCAGAUUUCGAUGAAGAAUUUCAGAAUUCGACGAGAUUCAACCGAAGUUCUUCGGGUUUUAGAGAAAAGAGAGAAAAGAGGAAGGGAAGAGAGAGAGAGAGGGAAUGAGGGUUCUGCAAAAAAAAAAAGAGGAAUUAGCCUUUUAUACCCAGUGAAAAUGACAUUGAAAACGACGUCGUUUUGGCGUUACUGUGCCCAGAGGAUCCACGCGUUUUGAAAUCGGACGACCCGACCUAAACGCCAACCCGCUUUCUACCCGCGCGUAACCCGCGUCUCCGAGCCGUUUUCCCGAGCCGAGCCACAUCUCUGAGCCACGUCUCUGAGUCAACUUUUCUUUCUCAAGUCGAGCUGAGUCGAGCAGCUAAGCCGAGCCGUUCUCAGGUUUUUUUUCAUUUUUUAAUUUAUUAUUAUUAUUAUUAUUUAUUAAUUAGAUUAGAAUUGUUUAAUAUUUUUUAUUUUAUUUUUUAUUUUUAUUUUCAUUUUAUUUUAUUAUUUUUACUUUCUUUAAAUAAAAUUCAAAAAAAAAUAUUUUUGGAAAAAAAUUGAAAGUAUUAAUUUUUCUUAAAAAUAAAUUUUUAAAAAAAGAUUUUUUUUGAAGAAAAGUUGAAAGUAUCAAUUUUCUUCGAAAUUAAAGUUUUCAAAAAAAUAUUUUUGGGGAAAAGUUGAAAGUAUCAAUUUUUCUUAAAAAUAAAUUUUCAAAAAAAGAUUUUUUUUGGGGAAAAGUUGAAAGUAUCAAUUUUUCUCGAAAUUAAAGUUUUCAAAAAUAGAUUUUUUUAGGAAAAGUUGAAAGUAUCAAUUUUUCCUAUACAAAAGCAAUCAUUUUUUUCUUUUCUUUGUUAUUUCUUUGGAUUUUCUUUAAAUAAUCCGACGAUGGAGCCUCUGCAAGUGAGACAGUAGUUUUCUUGCAUACUCUUGAGAUGAGAGAUUUUUUUCAAUUUUUUGCUAAAAGUAUUAGAGUCAAUUAAGAAUAAUUUCCAAUAAUUAAUUACUUAAUAAAUUUUUAAGGCUUAUUGGAUAACAUAAAAUUAAGUUGAUACCAUCUUUUGAUGGGCGUUGUGAGGGUGCUAUAACCUUCCUCACACGUAGCCGAACUCCCGAACCCUAUUCUGGUUAGUAGACCUGAACUUAUUCUUUUAGGGACCCUUAAGCUUAGGUGUUUCCUGAAAGGAUAGAUUUUUUAGAUGGUCAAUCACACCUAGAUAAAAAAGAUUGGUGGCGACUCUUUAAGUCAAUGUCUAGCGAUAGAUCCCCGGAUCUAGACGUUAUGACACAUGCCCACAAUGUGUUCACAAGGCUUUAUAUCCCGUGGUAUUGAAGGUAGUGUUUUAGUCACAUUUUUAAAUUGGACUUUCUUUAUGUGUCUUCUCACCUUUUUUAACAUCUUGGUAGCAUUUUUUCCUAGCUUGUAACUGGGUUAGCAAUUCUUAGGGCAGCAACAUCUACCGCAUUUUUUUUUUUCAUGAUCAAUUUUCUUUAUCAGAUCAUCAACUUCUUCUUCCAAAACUUCAACCCUUGAAAGUCGCCAUUCAACUUGGUUAGGCAGCUUCAUAUGCUGCCUUUCAGCAAUCUGAACUCUUCUUUUCACGUCAUUUCUUAAUGCUUUUAGUUCUUUCAUUUUGGUUUCAAGAACACUUAAAUGUUUCCCUGCUUGCAGGCAUAACUCGCGUGUGUUGCUGCAUGAUUGCAGCAAAAAGAGAUGGUAUUCUUAAUCGAAAUCGAGAUAGAGCACAACCCUUCUACAGUACACAAAUAAAUUGUCUAAGAGGUGAAAAGAACAGAUUUACCUAUCAACUUGUGUUGGAAAGAGAACAAGCAAACAGAAAGGAUUGAAGUUUGAAAAUGCUAAUUAGCAAUCUAGAAUGUUUGACUGUAAUUUAGCAUAGCAACACAAUGAGAACCAUGAGUAAAUAUUUUGAUUAAAGUAUUGAUUUCAUCACUGCUUCCAGGCUCCAACCACUUCUGAAUAGAAAAAUGGGCAUGAACAUCAAAGUGGUUUUCAGAUUUCACAUUGAUGAAACGAAACAAUAAAUAUAUAUAAAAUAAAAUCAAGUUAAAUUAAUGUUUUAUAAAGUUGAUUAAUGUAACUACGUUAAUGAAUUAAGCAAAAUAUAUUAAUUUUCUAUAUUAUCAAUUUGUUGGAUAGUUGGGUUAUAUUGAAACAAGCAGCUUCAAGUUUUUCUUCCUUUUAAUCCUCUUUUUGACCAUUCAAAGGGCCAAAUAUGCAAGAACAAGAAUCUUGUUGUUCGAGUGAACGGGUCUCAAUAUUAACUUAUCUUCAAAGAGUUUUACGCAGGAUUCGACUUUAUAUAUCUACCGUUAAAGUAUAAUCAUUUUGAAUUUUUUAAAUAUUAAAUUUUUAUGAUUUUAUAUUUAAAUCGAGUCUUUUUAUUUAUUAGCAAUUGAUUUUAAAUUUGAUAUUUCACCUUACAUUAAAGUUUUAUUUUGUUGUUUUCACACUUUGUCCCAAAUUUUCAUUUGAUUUUAGAUUGAAUGUUUUGUUAUUUAUAAGAAUUUCAUUGAUCUUGCACAUUACUUAUCCUUAUCAGGUCAAUCAAAUUCAUCUAUACAAUUAAUUUCAUUAAUUUUGACCAUUCUCAAGAUUUGCCACAUGUCAUCUUUUUCUUUUUUUUCUUUUUUUAUUUUCUCAAUUUUUAAUAAAUAAUCUAUUUUUAUUCUUUUUAAAAUUUAAAGUGAGAUCAUAUGACAUUAUAGAUUAAAAAUAUUUUUUAUUUUUUUAUCCUUUAUUUUUUAUUUUUAAUUAAAUAAUUUUAUAAAAAAAUUGUCAACAGAGGUAUCUACGUAACAUUCAAAUUUGACUUCUUUUUAUUUUUUUCCUUUUAGGUCUUUAUUUUUUUAGUUUUCAUUUUUUUUUCUUUUUUAAAUUUAUAAAUUAAAUUUUAUUUUUUAGUAUAUUAAUUUAAUAAAAAUGCUACAUUUAUAUAUAAUUAAGAUGUUAUUUAUAUAAAAAAAUUAUAUUUAUAAAAAUUAUAUUAAAUUAAAAUUAUUGAAUUAAUUUUGGAUAACUUAGGUCAAAUACAUGUUACAUAUAUAUAUAUAUAUAUCGAAUUAGAGUUCGGUUUAAAAAAAAAAAACCUACUUGAUAAAAUUAUUACAAAAUCAGAUCGAUCUCAAGAUGAAUUUAACUCUGUUUCAACUUGAUGCAUUGAAAUCUUUAAAUGAAAAUAUUUAUAUGGCAUCCAAAUUUGCUUUCUUCAGUUUCUUUUGCCCUUUUCAUAAUUUUUUUUUUUUUGGAUAAAAUAGGUCAACAAUCACUCAAUUAUAUAAAGUUUUUAAGAUUAUCACCCAAUUAUUAAUUUUUUUAGUUUAACCAUUAAUUUGAGUAUUUUUUUUUUCACCCUACCAUUAAUAUCUAACAGAACACGUACUGGGUAUGUCACAUCAGUUGCUAAAUUCACAUUUUUCUUUUCCUUUCUCUCUCCUGCCCAUUCUCGCGACCUUCUUUUUGGUUUUUCUCUUCAAAGCCCAACGACAAUCAGUGGAGCAAUUUGGAAAGAAACAAUUUGGAAAAAACGCAGUCCCCAAGAGAAGCAAUUUAAAUCUUCAAUCAUACGGCAGAUAGCCUCGACACAAAUAAAACUACAAUCGAUUGACCAUAAACAAACCAUUCAAAUACACAAUUUCUAUUAACAAUAAACAGAAAACAGCAAGCAUCAACAACAAAUUUUAGGCAUCAACUAUCAAUUCACCUAAAAAAUCUAAGGACAAUCAUAUACAGAAACAAGACCUAAUGACACAUUAUAGCCAAAAUAAACAAUCCACAAACACAAUUUUCAGCAAUCAGGCUUCAUUCACAACAGAUUUCAUAAAAAUAUUUAAUAGCACAUAUACAUAAAAUAGGGGAGCCUAAGGGUUUUGUUUAUAGGUUUUUUUUUAGAGUUUUUUUUAUUUGUAGUUUUGGGCUUUUUAAUUAACAGAAUACAGUGGAGUUGUGAUGGGUAUUAUUAAAUCUCAGCUUAGUUGUUUGAGGUUUCUUGCCAGGGUUUCUAGAUCAAAUAAAAGAAGUAGAAGAAGGAAGAGAAUUUGGGCAUUCGGCAAGGUGAUGGUGGUCUUGGCAUUGGGGAAUCUUUUUCUUUGGAUCUAGAUCUUAGACAUUUUGAGAGGAUUUUAAAAAAUCUAGGCUUACUAAAGUCUCAGAGAGGUGAAGAGGAAUCAAAAAGGAAACUUUAUGGGUUUUCUAACUGCCAGUGAAUGGUGACGAUUAGUGAUGAAAGGUGGCGUUAGCAGUGGGAAGCACCAGAUUCUGGAAAAACGAUGGUUGCCGAUUGAAAGGUUAGAGAAAGGAAGAAGGGAAAAGUAGGAUUUGUUGAGGGAGAAACAAAAAUAGAAACCGAAAAAAAUGAAAAUUUUGGUUUUUAUUGUUUAUAUAAAACAAUGAGUUUUAGAAAAAAAAAUGAAGGAAAUGAAAAAAGAAGAAAAAGAAAAGAACAUGGUUAGAUAACCCAAUCCAAUCUCACAUGGCAAUUUUUUCUUACGUAGACAUGCCACGUUGUUUCUGACACCGUAUACGGCAUGGCAAUUUUUUAGCUUUGAUUUUUUAAUUGUCUAUUUUAUUUUUUAAUUAUGUUUGAAAAAAUAAAAUUGAAAGAGUGGAUUUUGAUUUGAUUUUUUAUAUAAAAUGUCAGAAUAAAAUGCACACAUUGCACAAAAAUUAAUUUAUAGAUUGUCAUUGAUCAUUGCAUUUAUUAAAAAUAUUAUAAAUGAAACCAUACUCGUUGAUUUAUUAAAUUUAUCUUGAACAUCGUUUAUUACAAAUAAAAAAAUUUAACGUGCGUAUCGUUCUAGACUAUUUCUAGUUCAUGUUAAUAAAAGAACAGUUUCUUUCAUUUACCCUGAGAUCAUGCAUUGUUGCUAUGGACCAUUACUGCAAGCAUUAAAUAAGAAAGUUAGGAAGAGAUGAAGACACAAGCAGAACCAUUCAAUCAAAUAUUCUUUGUUGCCUAGAAGUAUGGUUUGCCUGAUCCCUCAUUAUAAAUCUUUCCAUCGUCUUUCACUCCCUGUAUCAUGAUUUUUGGAUCCUUUUAACUGUUUAAGUGGAAGUUUUACCACCAUGAAAAUAAAAAUAAAUUAGCCUAACAAAAAUGAGAGAAGUUGAGAAAGCUAUAUUUCCUCAUAACAGCUUCCAAAGAGCAUUUGCAACUUCAAUUAUUAGAUUUGUAUCAAUACUAACUUAAUAGAAAUUAGAAAUUUCUGAGUAAAUGAUAUAAAUUUGAAAUUUUCAAUAUCUUCUGUUUGUAUAAAUUACAAUACUUUUAGUGUAUUAAUUUUUGACAUAUGCAUGAUGUACAUGUCAUUUAUAUAUUUAAAAAUUCAAUUUAAUAAAAUUUUUUUGGUUUUUAUGAUAAUAAUGAUAAAUACAAACAACUUAAUUUUGAUUUUGAUAACAUUUGUUAGAAGUUUGGUAACUUUUGAUAAAAUUUUGGUACUUUCUAUACAAUUUUCUUAACUUUCAAUAUUUAAUUACUUAUUAUAUAAUUUUGGUAACCAUUGAUACAAUUUUAAUACUUUUUGAUAAAAUUUUGAUAACUUUUUUAUGUAAUUAUGGUAACAUUUAUGAUAUAUUUUGGCUAAAUAUUCAAUUUGAGAUAUGAGACUUUUAUGGGGUUACUAAAUUCAGAAUUAAACAUUUUAUUUUAUACGAAUAAAGAUUAAAUGUCAUCGAAUAUUUACAAUUAAGAAUAUAUGUGGAUGAAAAUUUAAGCUCAUUUCACACUGUUAACUCUAAUAAAAAUACAAUUAAAUGAAAAAACUGGUUAUGUGUAAUUUUUUUAGUGUUUAAGUAUUAAUUUAAAUAAAAAAUUAAAAAUAAUCCUAAAAUGGAGAUUUAUUUUUUAGAAAAAAAAUAAAAAAAUCAUUUCAUUUUUUCUUACUAUUUUAAAUACAGUUUAAAAAUAAAAAGUAAGAAAAUAAAAUUUUAAAGUUCUGGUAUUUUUUUCACAAUCAUUAAAAUUUAAAUUACUCAAUAUUAAUCUAUACCCAAAAAAAAAAAAUCACCAAUCUAUACUAUAAUACCCAUGAAAUUCAAAACCCAUAACUAAACCAUAUAAAAUUUUGUUUGUCUAGAAAUUUGGAAUUACAACAUUUAUGAAAAAGACAAAAAAACUGAGACCAAUGAUCUAACAUUAUCCCAAUUAUAGAGCUCCAGGAUCAUAAACUCCUUGAAAAAUCAUCCCAUAAUCUGAAGCGUAAUUACCCAAACCCAUUGUCAAAAGAUCCAGAAACGACUUGUCCGUAGGCAACUCACUGUUCAACUAUACUGUUCCAUCUAAAAUCAAGCAUGAUGGGGACUCUGCUUGAAACCCAAAGGUGGAUUGCUCCGCAUGGGUCCUGAGAGGCUCUGAGUUCGUAAACGAGGUGACAACGGCUUGGAUUUCGAACACACACUUCCCCCAUUUUUGCUUUCAAUUACAAAUCGCUUUUCUUAGCUGCAGGUUUCUCGUUUAUGUGUUUCACUAUAUUCUUUUUCUUUUCAAACAGCUGGGAUUGUCUUCAGUUCUCUUUCUCAGUUCUGUCUUUGAACUUGUUAGGCACACCUCAUAACCUUUACCUCCCCUUGAUUCAUUUCUUCGAGACACCUUUUCCAUCUCCAACUUCUCAAUUAUAAAAUUACAAAAAAGAGGUUCAUUGAUUAGGUGUUUGUUAAUAUAGGUUUCUUCUAAAUUUUCAAAAGUGGCAAAGAUUGAGCAUGGACAACCUUCUGAUGGCUCAACAAGGUAAGGUUUAAAAUUUCUAGGUUUUUUGUAUUGUAAAUAAAGGAGUUACAGCUAAAGAGAUAAAGUAAAUACUUAGAGAAAGUAGUUGAAUAGAGAAAAAAAUGAAUGAAAAAGAAAAGAUAGCCCUUUGCAAGAAUAGAACAAUAGGAGGCUUCGUAGAGAAACAAGAGUUGAAAGAAGAAAAUAAGAGGUUUUAUUAUUUUUUCUUUUUUUUUUUUGGUUUUGGGGAAUAAAUCAGUAUAUUACGCAACUAAACCACGCAAUUAAAUCACAAGUAGGAGACACACACAAAUUUUUAUCUAAAUAUAUCUUUAAUUGUAAAAAUUCGAUAACACUUAAUCUUUAUUUAUAUAAAAUAAAUUAUUUAGUCUUAAAUUGAGCAACCAUAUAAAUGUUUAAUUCUAAAUUGAGUAUUUAGCCUAUACUUUUGGUAAUUAUUGAUAAAAUUUGUGCUAUCAUAUAUUAAAUAAUCGAUUCUUGCAAUAGAGAGUAGGUUUCAUUUUAGUAUAAGAUAAUAUCUUUUUUAUAUGGUAACUUUAUUGCUUCAUUUAAAUUUAGAUUUUUUUACUAACUUUUUUUAUUAAAUAAAUUCAUGGUAGAUUGAUCCUAUCUCUUAAGAUAAAAGUUUUAGUUUCGUUUCUACUAAUAACCAAGGUUUAAUCUUUGACAAUUUCAAAUAUAAAAAAGUUACCAAAGAUUAAAAAUUAAGUCAUCAUUGAUUUACUAUUAUAUUACUAGUGAUUUACUACUAAAUUAUUAAUGAUUUACUACUAAAAUAACAUUGAUUUACAACUAAUUUAUAAAUGAUUUAUCACUAAAUUAUAAAUGAUUUACUACUAAAUUAUUGAUAAUUUAUCACUAAGUUACUAAAGAUUUAUUAUAAAGUUAUAACUAAUUUACUACUAAGUUAUUGAUUAUUUAUUACAAAAUUAUCAAUUAUUAACUAAUUUACUGCUAAAUUAUCAAUAAUUUAUAACUAAAAUUAUUAGUAAUUUAUAACUAUGUUAUUUGAUUUAUUACUAAAUCACCAAUGAUUUACUAUUAUACUAUUAUGCAUUUACUAUAUGUUAUCAUUGAUUUAAUACUUAGUUUUCGAUUAUUUACUAAAUUAUUACAAUUUAUUAUUAAAUUAAUCAUGAUUCACCAUCAAGUUAUCACUUAUUUAUAUUAAAUUAUCCAUAAUUUACUAUAAUAUUACUAGUGAUUAACUAUUAAGUUAUAGAUUAUUCAAAAAAAAAGUUGUCGAUAACUUACUACUAAGUGAUAUUGAUUUACUUUUAAGUUUUUAAUAAUUAACUACUAAAUUAUUAUUGAUACUAUUAAGUUAUUUAUGAUAUACUACUAAAUUUAUCAAUGAGAUAAUGUUAUAAAUGACCCUUGAAUUAUAGUGAAAUGUUCAAUGUGAUAUCUAAAUUUUAAGUCUCUGAUGCGAUACCUAAACUAUAAAUUUAUUAAUUAAUAUGAUAUUUAUCCCUAACAUAGUUAAUUUCAAAUGAUGAUACAUGGUGUACAAGCAACCUUCCAAGCACUACAUUAGUUAAUAAUUUCAUAGUUCAAGUACCACAUUAUACAUUUCACUAUAGUUCAUGAGCCAUUCAUAGCAUUAAUCAUUUAUCAAUUAAUUACUAUUAAAGUAAAAUUGAUUUAUUAUUAAGUUAUUAUUGAUUUAUUACUUAGAUAUAUAUGAUUAACUACUAAGUUACUAUUUACUUUUUAUUAAUAUAUCCUUGAUUUAUUAAUAUGCUGCUAUAUAUUUACAAUUUGAAAUAUGGAGUUUAAAAAGUUGCUAACAAUAUAUAAGAUAAUUUUAUUUUUAUAUAAUAAUAAUAGUAUUUUAUUCAAAUCUAAAAAUUUUUUUACUAAAUUUUUAUUUGAUAGAUUUGUGGUAGGUUUAUUCUAGCCCUUAAGAUGAAAGUUUUUUAUUCAUUUCUGCCACGAACCAAGGUUCAAUCCAUAACAAUAAAAAAAUUUAUCAAUGAUUAAUAAUUAAGUUAUUAUUUAUUUACUAUUAUGUUAUCAAUCGUUUAUUACUAAGCUAUCAAUAAUUUAUUACACAUUUAUAAAUGAUUUUUCCUUAAAUUGAAAAUUAUUUAUCACUAAGUUAUUGAUAAUUUAUUAUAAAGUUAUAACUUAUUUAUUACUAAUUUAUGAAUGAUUUUAUUACAAAAUUAUCAAUGAUUAAACUAAUUUACUAUUAUAUUGUUACUCAUUUAUAGCUAAGUUAUCAAUAAUUUAUUACUAUGUUAUUAGUAAUUUACUAUUAAAUUAUCUAUAAUUUAUUACUAAAUUAUCAAUGAUUUUCUAUUAUAUUAUUAUAUAUUUACUAUUAUGUCAUAAUUGAUUUACAAUUUAAUUUUUGAUUAUAUACUACAAAAUUAUUAUUAAUUUACUACUAAAUUAUCUAUGAUUCAUUACCAAGUUAUCAUUAAUUUAUCUUACAUUAUCCAUAUUUACUAUUAAUUUAUCAUUGAUUAACAAUUAAGUUAUUGAUGAUUUACUAUUAAAUUAUAUUGAUUUACUCUUAAGGUAAUGACUAACUAUUAAAUUAUCAAUUAUUUAAUAUUAAGUUAUUAUUCACAGUAUAAAAAAGCUAUUUAUGAUUUAUUACUAUUAAUUAAUUAUGAUUAAACUGAAAUUGAUUUACUAUUCAAAUUAUCACUAAUUUACUAUUAAAUUAUUAUUAAUUUAUUAUUAAGUUAUCAAUGUUUAACUAUUAAGUUGUCACUUAUUUUUCAUUAAAUUAUUCUUGAUUUACUACUCUCUGUUAUACAUUUACAAUUAUAUUACAAUUAAUUUAUUACUAAAUUAUUAUGCAUUUACUAUUAUAUUAUUAUUGUUUUAUUACUAAGUUAUUAAUUAUUAAUUACUAAAUUAUUAUUCAUUUAUUGAGUUUUGCAUGAUUUACUAUUAAGUUAUUAUUAAUUAACUAUUAAGUUAUUAUUUAUUACUACUAAGUUAUAUUGAUUACUUUUAACUUUCAUGGAUUAAUUACAAAAUUAGCAAUCAUCUACUAUUAUGUUGUCAUUAAUUUGCAUAUAUUCAAAAAGAAAGUAACUGCAAUGAAUGCUAAAUGAUGUAAUUUAUAAGAUAGAGAAAGAAGUAAGAAAACGUUUAAACAUAGAUGACUUGAAAAACAAUAAAUAAAUGCUCUUAAUUUGCUAUUCGUAGUUUAGCAUGUAAUAAUAAGUUAAAAUCAUAACUUUUUAUACUAAUGUAAGUAUCAAAGCAAAAUUAAAUUAACAUAUAAUAUAUUUAUUAAGUUAAUAUUUUAAAGAUAUUCUUCAAAUUUUUUAAUUCAUAGUAAAAUAAUACGUAUUAAGAUAAGUUUUAUUAAUAAUUUGAUUGAAUGAUUUGUUAUGCAUUUUUAUGCUUGUUAGAGAAGUACAAUUUCUUAUGAAAGAUUGAAAAAAUUGAAGUGUUAUGCCAACAAUGAAAGUAAUAAACUUUACCCUAUCUUUCUAUCUUUAAGUAUAUAAUUUUACGUAAAAAUUUAAUUAUAUAAAAGCAAUGAGAAAAAAUUUACUAAACAAAAUUUAUAAAAAAAAUAGACAAUAAUUUUAAAAAAUAUUAAGUUUACAAUAAUUACUUUUACAUUUUCCUUAAAAAAUUUCUUUUAUUAAAUGAAAAGAUAGUAUAUUUCUAAUUGUUAUUUCCUUCUUAUUACUAUCAUUCAAAAUUACUUUUUUGAUAUGUUGAUGUCAACCAACUUUUUCAUUUGAAAAGAAUAAAGAUUAUAAGGGGUCAUAAUGACCUAAAUAAUGUUUAAAUGUAUGUUGUCUUGUUGAAUGGGUAUAACUAUGACAUCUAUUUCAAAGGAAAUGUUUAAGUUGUUUCCUUCAAUCUAUAUUGCAGCAACUUGAACAGCAAGACUUCAGCAUAAGAAUUUCAGAAUCCUCAAAAGAAGAUAUAUCAUUUAAUCUUUGCAUGAUUUGGGUAUAAGAAUUUUCUUCUAGCAUUAUCAUUAAUAUCUCCAUAACUUUUAAAUUUUUUUUUUGUUUUUUCAUUCUACUUUGAAAUUUAUUACUAGUGUCAUUAAAGUAUAGUUAAAAAUAAUAUAAAUUAACUAACUCAAACUUGAAACAAUUCAAAACUCAAAUUGAGUAUACAUAAUAUUUUUAUGCUUUUUGAAUUUUAAUAUAAUUAAAAAUAAUAUAAUACACAUAAUUAUAAAAAUAAACAAAUUUCACUCAAUUCAAUUGAUUUUAAAAAAUCAAAACCUUAGUGGUUAUUUAAAAUCCGAAAUCAUUGGACCCAAAAUUUGAAUUAAAAUAGCAGUCCAAUUAGAAUCCAAUAUUUUUAAUCAUCUUCCACAUCAAUUCAAAAUUUUCUUAUUUAAGUUUUUUUUCUUUCAUCUUCAAUGUCUCAUUUUUAUUAUCUUUGUAUUUGAAUUAGUUAACUAAUUUUUAAGAAUAUUUCUAAAGUGAAAUUAAAAUUAUAAGCAAUUGAUUAUACUUAUUUUUCAUUUGGAUUUAAGAUGAUUUUAAAUCUAACUUUUUAAAGAACGAAAAGUUUACACCAAUUAUUGAGUCAGAUUUGCUCAAGUGAUAAGUAAAUAAUUAAGUAUACAAUAAAUAGACAUGGAUAAAACUUGACUCAACUUAAUUGAUUGUUGACUCUAAAAUUAAAACUCAACUCGAAAUUAUGAAUAGUUAAAAUUUAAAAUAAUUAAAAUACUAAAUACAUAAUUAAAUAAAAAUCUAUCAAAAGAAUUUUGUUAAUUAAAGCUUUUAAAUCACAUUUAAGUUUAGUUAAAAUAUAAUUUACAAUAAUAUUUUUAUAUUAAAUGUAAUAGUGAUAAUUAAUUUGAUAAAUUUCAAUACUUUUGAAUUAAUAUUACCCAAUAUAGUAACUUAAAAAUUUUUGAACAUUCUUUAACUUAUAUAAUGAAAAAAAAAUGAAUAAGGCCUCGACUGGUAAUGGAGAUAGUAUUGAAUUUCAAGGCUAGGUUGCUUUGGUGUGGAUUGCCAAUGAUGGGAAGGAUGGCAAUGCGGAGAUGGCCACAAAAUUGGCUUGGUGGGAAUCGGUGGUGCCAUGUACUUAUGUUUUUCUCAGUGAUCUUUCUUGAUCUCCCUACUCUAUAAUAUUUGUGCCAAGUUUAUAGGAAAAUUCAGAAGAAUCCCUGAUUAACUCAACCUUUGACAAGAUUUUGAUAUUAUAAAAAACUUUGGAUUUUUCGAAUACAAAUUUAAUCCCUUUAAAAUUCUACUAGCAUGCAUUCACAAGGCAAAAUUUUAUCUUCCCCCCCUUUUUUUAACUAUUAUCUUAUCAUUAUCCUAUAAUCUUAACACCUAAACAGAAAAACCAAAGAUAAAUCAAAUAAAUAAUCAGAAAAGAAAAAACCAAAAAUAAUAACAAAAACAAAAUAUGAAAUAAAAAUGAAAAUGGAUAAUUGCUCCUAAUAAUAUGGAUCUUAUUGUACCAAGCCCAAUGGGCUUAGGAUCAGACCAAUUAAGGUGUCUACACUUGUUGGCAAAGUACAAUUUCUUAUGAAAGAUUGAAAAAAUUGAAGUGUUGUGCCAACAAUGAAAAUAAUAAACUUUACCCUAUGUUUCUAUCUUUAAGUAUAUAAUUAUAGGUAAAAUUUGAAUUAUAUAAAAGCAAUUAGAAAAAAUUUAUGAAAUAAAAUUUAUAAAAAAAUAAAUAGACAAUAAUUUAAAAAAAUAUUAAGUUUAUGAUAAUUACUUUCACAUUAUUCUUCAAAAUUUUCUUUUAUUAAAUGAAAAGACAGUAUAUUUAUAAUUGUUAUUUUGUUUUUAUUACUAUCAUUCAAAAUGACUUUUUUUAUUUUUUAAUAUCAACCAACUUUUUCAUUUAAAAAGAAUAAGGAUUAUAAGGGGUCAUAAUGACCCAAAUAAUGUUUAAUUGUAUAUUAUCUUCCUAAAUAAGUCUGAACUAUAAUAUUUAUUUCAAAUGAAAUGUUUAAGUUGUUUCUUUCAAUGCAUAUUGUAGCAACUUGAUUAGCAAGAUUGGAGCAUAAGAAUUUCAAAAUCCUCAAAAGAAGAUAUAUCAUUUAAUCUUUUCAUAAUUUGGGCAUAUGAAUUUUCUUCUAGAAUUAUCAUUAAUAUUUUCAUAACUUUUGCAUUUAAAUUUUUUUUGUUUUUUCAUUCUAUUUUGAAAUUUAUUACCAGUAUCAUAAAAGUAUAGUUAAAAAUAAUAUGAAUUAAUUAACUUAAACUUGAAACAAUUCAAAACUAAAAUUCAGUAUACAUAAAAUUUUUAUGCUUUAUAAAUUUUAAUAUAAUUAAAAAUAAUAUAAUACACAUAAUUAUAAAAAUAAACAAAUUUUAGUAUAUUCAAUUGAUUUAAAAAAAUCAAAACCUUUGUGGUUAUUUAAAAUCUGAAAUCAUUGAACCCAAAAUUUGAAUUAAAAUAGCAAUCCAAUCAGAAUCUAAUAUUUUUUUAUUUUAUUUGAAUUUAAUAUGAUUUUAAAUUCAGCUUUUUAAAGAACAAAAAGCUUGCACUAAUUAUUGAGUCAAAUUUGCUCAAGUGAUAAGUGAAUAAUUAAGCACACAAUGAAUAGGCACAUAUAAAACUUGACUCAACCUAAUUGAUAGUUGAUUCUAAAAUUAAAACCCAACUUGAAAUUAUGAGUAGUCAAAAUUCAAAAUAAUUGAAAUACUAAAUGCACAAUUAAAUAAAAAAUCUAUCAAAAGAAUUUUGUUAAUUAAUGCUUUUAAAUCAUAUUUAAGUUUAGUUAAAUUAUAAUUUAUAAUAAUAUUUUUAUAUUAAAUGUAAUAGUGAUAAUUAAUUUGAUGAAUUUCAAUACUUUUAAAUAAAUAUUAUCCAAUAUAGUAACAUUAAAAAUUUGUAUAUAACCAUGAACAUUCUUUAACUUAUAUAAUGAAAAAAGAAUGAAAGGUGUUCAAUGUUUCUCCCAACAAAAUAGUUUUAUGUUGAUCCUAAAAAAAUUUGAAAUCAUUAAAAUUAAAAUUUUUUUAUUGAAAUAUUAUAUAGCACUAACCUUAUUUAUAUGAAUAAGAUAGAGUUAUGUAUAACCAGUCAAUUUUUUGUCUCAUUUUUUUGCUCUGAAUAAUCUUCUAUUGGUGUUUCCGUCAAUAAAUUAUAAUUCUACAUUCUACCAAUUAAAAACAUAAAAUUUCUUUUAUUUAAAAAUUUUAGUAGGCAUAAAUUUUGAUUGUAUAAAAAUAUUACAAUACAUAAUUUUAAAAAUUACAAUGAAAUAAAAAAAGAUAUAAUUAAUUUCCCUUUUGAAUUAUUUCAAGCAAAUAAAAAGAUUUAAUUGUUUAUUAAUGAUCAAAUUAUCAACUCAUAAAAUAUACAAAUAAUAAAAUUAUUAACAUACAUAUAUGGUUAGCAAAUCAAUUAAAAUAAAAACUUGAAAGGAAAAAAAAUAGAGAUAAAGCAAAUAUGCUUUAAUGAUUUAGGAGUCUAAUAAUGAAAAAGAAACUUCAUUUAAAUUAAAAUUUAUAAAAAAAUUUAUUAUAGUACUUUAAUCAAUCAUUUUUAACAUUUUAGGAAUUAAAAAUUUUAAUGAAGAUAUUUUCAUCAAUCACUUUUAAUACUUUUUUAGUGUAAUUAUUAAAAAUUUAAUAGUAAAAAUGAAAAUUAAUUUAAAUUAAAAGUUAUAAAAAAUUUAAUAAUAAUAUUUUAGUGAAUCACUUACAAUCUUGCAAAUUAAAAGUUUACAAUUUUAAGUGAUUUAAUUUUGCAAAAAAAUUUAAUUUUAAUUUUAGUUUAUUUAAAUUAAAAUUAAAUAAAUUCCUAAAAAUUAUAUAUUUAAGGAUAAAUUUUUUAAUUUAAAAUUUUAUAAAAAUAUUUAAGUCAAUCACUUUUAAUAUUUUUAAAAUUCACAUUUUUAUACAAAGAUAAUAAUUUAUAAUUAAAGAAAGACGAGACAGGUUUAAAUCAAGAAAAAGUUGGUAGCAUAAUAAAAUAAAACAAAUUGAGAUAUUUAGGUUGAAGCUAAAAUUAUUUACUCAGCAUUAAAAUGCAGCAAGCAGCCUAUAUGUAAAUCCAUAUAAGCAAAAGAUUCACCAUUAACUUAGUCAAUUUAAUGAACACGACACAAAUGAGAAAAUCAUCCACGAUUUUAGAACACACCGCAACAGGUUCAAACACAACAAUUAUAACAGAGACUAAAGGUAAAAGUAAUAUGUUUACUUUGCACUUUCAGUCAAAAGACGUAAAGGAGGGAAGAAAACCGUUUAGAGCACAUUCAUCCUCCCAUUGAAGCUCUUUCCACCAUUCUUUCUCACCUCUAAUGCUGAUUUUGUUUUCCUUGCACUGUUGGAGUUGAGUGGAAGUCUUUUCAGCUUUGGGCACCGAUGAACAUAAAUUCCUUUCAAACCUGAGAAGGGAAGUGUAUCCCAGUAAAUGCUCUUCAACUCUGGCAAAUGCUGUAAAUUAAGAGACUCGAGUUUUCCAAAUAGGCUUAAAGUUUCUACUAGCUCAGCCACUUGACUUAGUUUUCUCUCAUUGAUUAUUUCUUCCAUAUUGUUGCAGAACCCCACACUAAGAGACCUCAGGUUUGGAGCGUGAAUUAGCCAUGUUAUGUCCUUCAAUUGUGAACACUGGGUUAUAAAUACAUAGCGAAGGCUUUGGAAGCAAUGUUUGCUUGCAAUCACAGAGGAUUCAAUGUGACUCUGUGCUUUUAUCAUUCUGCCUUCCCCUCCCCACUCCAUCUCCACUUCUUCCAAACUUUCACAGUUCCUAAGGUCUAGACAUUCUAGACUCUUCAUAUUCGCUAAAGAUAAAAUAAUCGCUUCGAGUGCUUCAACAAUCCAAGCUGAAUACUUAAAGUGCAGCUGCAUAACCUUUCAGUACUCAAAAGUCUAUGGAGACCCAAAGCACUUGUUAUAGUGACAGUCAACAAAUUCAAAUGGUUCAAGCACUUCAAUUCUUCCACCAAGCAUUCACUAUCAUCUUCCACUUCCCAGCCCGAAGAAUAAUCACAGCCAGACAUUCUCAAUACUUGCAGCUUUGAAAAUGCAGAUAUCAACUUUCUUGGAAUUCUUGUGCCAGGAGAACCACAAAAUUCCAAGUUCACGCAUUUAAGCUUUUCAAAAGCCUUCAAUUCAAUUGGUAGCUGUCCUAUCCAUGUAUCCGAGAGAUCGAGACAUUCCAGAGACACCAAUUUCGAAAUUCCCACUGGCAAUUCUUCUAUAUCUCUAUUGUAUGACAAGUUUAGAACUUUUAAGCUACACAUAAAAUGGAAGUCAUUGUUGAUCACCUUCAACUGAUUAUCGUUAAGAAACAGAGUUUGGAGAUCAGGACAGUUAGGUGCAUCUACUAAAUUUGCAAUCAUGUUCUUCAUCAAUGACAUCCUGCGUAUACUUCCCCACUUCUGAACUUCUGGUAACUUAGUUAAUUGAUAACCUGCCUCCACAUAAAACCUCCACUUUUCUUCUUCACACUUGCAUGCUGUCCACAAACUGAUGUCACGAAUCACAUCAUGCAUCUUUAUGAAUAAAAUUAUCAAUGAUUAACUAAUUUACUGCUAUAUUGUUACUCAUUUAUAGUUAAGUUAUUAAUAAUUUAUUACUACGUUAUUGGUGAUUUACUACUAAAUUAUCAAUGAUUUAUUAUUAUAUUAUUAUAUAUUUACUAUUAUGUCAUAAUUGAUUUACAAUUUAAUUUUCGAUUAUAUACUACAAAAUUAUUAUUAAUUUAUUAUUAAAUUAUCCAUGAUUCAUUACCAAGUUGUCAUUAAUUUAUAUUACAUUAUCCAAAUUUACUAUUAAUUUAUCAUUGAUUAACAAUUAAGUUAUUGAUGAUUUACUAUUAAAUUAUAUUAAUUUACUUUUAAUGUAAUGAAUAACUAUUAAAUUAUCAAUUAUUUAAUAUUAAGCUAUUAUUCACAAUAUAAAAAAAGUUAUUUAUAAUUCACUACUAUUAAUUAAUUACUAUUAAAAUAAAAUUGAUUUAUUAUUAAAUUAUUACUAAUUUACUAUUAAGUUAUUAUUAGUUUAUUAUUAAGUUAUCAAUGAUUAACUAUUAAGUUGUCACUUAUUUUUCAUUAAAUUUUUCUUGAUUUACUACUCUCUUGUUAUUCAUUUACAAUUAUAUUACAAUUAAUUUAUUACUAAAUUAUUAUGCAUUUACUAUUAUAUUAUUAUUGAUUUAUUACUAAGUUAUCAAUCAUUGACUAUUAAAUUAUUAUUCAUAUACUGAUUUAUGCAUGAUUUACUAUUAAGUUAUUAUUGAUUAAUUAUUAAGUUAUCAAUAAUUACUACAAAGUUAUACUGAUUACUUUUAGCUUUCAUUAUUAAUUACUAAAUUAGCAAUCAUAUACUAUUAUGUUGUCAUUAAUUUGCAUAUAUUAAAAAAGAAAGCAUCCGCAAUGAAUGCUAAAUGAUGUAAUUUAUAAGAUAGAGAAAGAAGUAAGAAAAUGUUUAAACGUAAAUGACUUGAAAAACAAUAAGUAAAUGCUCUUAAUUUGCUAUUUGUAGUUUAGCAUGUAAUAAUAAGUUAAAAUCAUAACUUUUUAUACUAAUGUAAGUAUCAAAGCAAAGUUAAAUUAAUGUAUAAUAUAUAUUAAGUUAAUAUUUUUAAGAUAUUCUUUAAACUUUUAAUUCAUUGUAAAAUAGUACAUAUUAAGAUAAGUUUUGUUAAUAAUUUGAUUGAAUGAUUUGUUAUAUAUUUUUAUACUUGUUAGCGAAGUACAAUUUCUUAUAAAAGAUUGAAAAAAUUGAAGUAUUAUGCCAACAAUGAAAAUAAUAAACUUUACCUUAUGUUUCUAUCUUUAAGUAUAUAAUUUUAAGUAAAGUUUAAUUAUGCAAAAGCAAUGAGAAAAACUUUACUAAAUAAAAUUUAUAAAAAAUAAAUAGACAAUAAUUUUAAAGAAUAUUAAGUUUAUAAUAAUUACUUUCACAUUCUCUUUCAAAAAUUUCUUUUAUUAAAUGAAAAGAUAGUAUAUUUCUAAUUGUUAUUUUAUUUUUAUUACUAUCAUUCAAAAUGCAUUUUUUUAUAUAUUUUGAUGUCAACCAACUUUUUCAUUUGAAAAGAAUAAAGAUUAUAAGGGGUCAUAACGACCCAAAUAAUAUUUAACUAUAUGUUAUCUUCCUAAAUAAGUAUGAACUAUAAUAUCUAUUUCAAAUGAAAUGUUUAAGUUGUUCCCUUCAAUCUAUAUCACAGCAACUUGAUUAGCAAGACUUGGGCAUAAGAAUUUCAAAAUCCUUAAAAGAAGAUAUGUCAUUUAAUCUUUGCACAAUUUGGGUAUAUGAAUUUUCUUCUAGAAUUAUCAUUAAUAUUUCCAUAACUUUUGCACUUAAAUUUUCCUUUUCAUUCUAUUUUGAAAUUUAAUACCAGUGUCAUAAAAGUAUAAUUAAAAAUAAUAUGAAUUAAUUAACUCAAACUUGAAAUAAUUCAAGACUCAUAUUGAGUAUACAUAAAAUUUUUAUGCUUUUUGAAUUUUAAUAUAAUUAAAAAUAAUAUAAUACACAUAAUUAUAAAAAUAAACAAACUUCACUUGAUUCAAUUGAUUUUAAACAAUCAAAACCUUGGUGGUUAUUUAAAAUAUGAAAUCAUUGAACCCAAAAUUUGAAUUGAAAUAGCAAUCCAAUCAGAAUCCAACAUUUUUUAUUUUAUUUGAAUUUAAGAUGAUUUUAAAUCCAACUUUGUAAAGAAGGAAAAGUUUGCACCAAUUAUUGAGUCAAAUUUGUUCAAGUGAUAAGUGAAUAGUUAAGUAUACAAUGAAUAGAUGCAAAUAAAACUUAACUCAACCUAAUUGAUAGUUGAUUCUAAAAUUAAAACCCAAAUUGAAAUUAUGAGCAGUCAAAAUUUAAAAUAAUUGAAAUACUAAAUACACAAUUAAAUAAAAAUUUAUCGAAAGAAUUUUGUUAAUUAAUGCUUUUAAAUCACAUUUAAGUUUAGUUAAAUUAUAAUGUAUAAUAAUAUUUUUAUAUUAAAUGUAAUAGUGAUAAUUAAUUUGAUGAAUUUCAAUACUUUUGAAUAAAUAUUACCUAACAUAGUAACCUUAAAAAUUUUUAUAUAAUCAUGAACAUUCUUUAACUUAUAUAAUGAAAAGAAAAAUGAAAGCUAUACAAUGUUUUUCCAAAAAAAAGAAUUUUAUAUUGAUCCUAAAAAAAUUUUAAAUCAUUAAAAUUAUAUAUUUUUCAUUAAAACAUCAUAUAGCACUAACUUUAUUUAUAUGACUAAGAUAGAGCUAUGUAUAAUCAGUCAAAUUUUUUUCUCAUUUUUUUUCUUUGGAAAAUCUUCUAUUGGUGCUUCCAUCAAUUAAAUGUAAUUCUACAUUCUACCAAUUAAAAACAUAAAAUUUCUUUUAUUUAAAAAUUUUAUUAUACAAUAUAAAAAUAUUACAAUACAUAAUUUUAAAAAUUACAAUGAAAUAAAAAAGAUUUAAUUAAUUUCUCUUUUGAAUUAUUUCAAGCGACUAAAAAGAUUUAAUUAUAUUAUUUAUGAUCAAAUUAUCAACUCAUGAAAUAUACAAAUAAUAAAAUUAUUAACAUACAUAUAUAGUUAGCAAUCAAUUAAAAUAAAAACCUGAAAGGAAAAAAAUUAGGGAUAAAAACAAAUAUGCUUUAAUGAUUUAGGAGUCUAAUAAUGAAAGGAAACUUCUUUUAAAUUAAAAUUUAUAAAAAAAAAAAACUUAUUAUGGUACUUUAAUCAAUCAUUUUUAACAUUUUGGGAAUUAAAAAUUUUAAUAAGGAUAUUUUAAUCAAUCACUUUUAAUACUUUUUUAGCGUAAUUAUAAAAAAUUUAAUAAUAAAAAAGAAAAUUAAUUUAAAUUAAAAGUUAUAAAAAAUUGACUAAGAAUAUUUUAGUGAAUCAUUUUUAAUCCUUUUGGAAUUAAAAUUUCGAAAUUUUAAGCAGUUUAAUUUCACAAAAAAUCUAUUUUUAAUUUUAGUUGAUUUAAAUUAAAUUUAAAUAAAUUAAUAAAAAUUAUAUAUUUAAAAAUAAAUUUGUUAAUUUAAAGAUUUAUAAAAGUAUUUAAGUCAAUCACUUUUAACAAUAUUAAAAUUCACACUUUUAUACAUAGAUAAUAGUUUAUAAUUAAAGAAAGACGAGAAGAAUAUAAAUAGUUACUGCACGUGUUUAAAUCAAGAAAAAGUUGGUAGCAUAACAUGUUAGCUGACCAUAAAUAAAAUCAAACAAAUUGAGAUAUUUAGGUUGAAGCUAAAAUUAUUUACUCAGCAUUAAAAUGCAGCCUAUAUUUAAAUCCAUAUAACCAAAAGAUUCACCAUUAACUUAGUCAAUUUAAUGAACAUCAUACAAAUCAGAAAAUCAUCCACGAUUUUAGAACACAACGCAACAGGUUCAAACACAACAAUUAUAACAGAGACAAAUGGCAAAAGUCAUAUGUUUACUCUGGAAUUUCAGUAAAGAGACCUAAAGCACUAAAGCAGGGAAGAAAAUCGUUUAGAGCACAUUCACCCUCCCAUUGAAGCUCUUUCCACCAUUCUUUCUCACCUAUAAUGCUGAUUUUGUUUUCCUUUGCACUGCUGGAGUUGAGUGGAAGUCUUUUCAGCUUUGGGCAUCCACGAACAAAAAUUUCUUUCAAACAUGAGAAGGGAAGUGUAUCCCAGUAAAUGCUCUUCAACUCUGGCAAUCCUCUAGUGUAAGAUACUUGAGUUUUCCAAAUAGGCUUAAAGUUUCUACUAGCUCAGCCACUUGACUCAGUUUUCUCUCAUUGAUUAUUUCUUCCAUAUUGUUGCAGCAGGCCACAUUAAACCGCCUCAGGUUUGGAGCGAGAAUUAGCCAUGUUAUGUCCUUCAAUUUUGAACAAGUGGCUAUAAAUACAUUGCGAAGGCUUUGGAAGCAAUGUUUGCCUGCAAUCAGAGAGGUUUGAAUGUGGCUCUGUGUUUUUAUCAUUCUGCCUUCCCCUCCCCCCUCCAUCUCCUCUUCUUCCAAACUUUCACAGUUCCCAAGGUCUAGAGAUUCUAGACUCUUCAUAUUCGCUAAAGAUAAAAUAUUCAAUCGCUUCGAGUCCUUUAACAAUUCAAGCUGAAUAGCUAAAGUGCAGCUGCAUAACCUUUCAGUACGCAAAAGGCUAUCGAGACCCAAAGCACUUGUUAUAUUGACAGUCAACACAUUCAAAUGGUUCAAGCACUUCAAUUCUUCCACCAAACAUUCACUAUUAUCUUCCACUUCCUGGCCCAAAGAAUAAUAACAGUGAGACAUUCUCAACACUUGCAGCUUUAAAAAAGCAGAUAUCAACUGUCUUGGAAUUCUUAUGCGAGAAGAACCACAAAAUUCCAAGUUCAAGCAUUUAAGCUUUUCUAAAGCCUUCAAUUCAAUUGGUAGCUGUCUUAUGCUUGUAUAUGAGAGAUCGAGACAUUCCAGAGACACCAAUUUCGAAAUUCCCACUGGCAAUUCUUCUAGACCACUAUUGCCUGACAAGUUUAGAACUUUUAAGCCACACAUAAAUUGGAAGAAGUCAUUAUUGAUCACCUUCAACUGAUUACCGUUAAGAAACAGAGUUUGGAGAUCACGACAGUUAGGUGCUUCUACUAGAUUUUCAAUCCUGUUCUUCAUCAAUGACAUCCUGCGUAUACUUCCCCAAUUCUGAACUUCUGGUAACUUAGUUAAUUGAUAACCUGCCUGCACAAAAAACCUCCACUUUUCUUCUUCACAUUCACAUGCUAUCCACAAACUCAUGUCACGAAUCACAUCAUGCAUCUUUAUGCAAGAUUCAUUUAUUUCUUCCAAUAAACAUGCAUGAAGAAGAGAACCAUUUUUUUGAGUUGGGAGAGGUAUCCCGACCUUAGAUAGAUCAACUCGCUCCCAUAUAUCAUCUAACAAUAUGACAAAUUUCUUUUCCUUUAAAACCCUGAAGAUGUUUUGAGCUUUUUCCUCUGGAGUUUUGUCCUGCCAUGUUCCAUCAGCUAUUCCCACCCUUUUAGCAAUGUCAUCUUGGACCUUUCCGAUGUAAAACCCUUUAGAUACUACAAUCCAAAUAACUACAUCAAAUCGAUUUGGGGGUUCACAGAACUUGUUGUUGAUUUUGUUCAGGAGGGUUGUCUUGCCAACCCCUCCCAUGCCAUACAGGCCAACAAUUCCCACUUGUUCAGCUUCAAGGAUGCUGCAAGCCUUAUCGAAUGUGGAUUCCAAACCAACAGUAUGCUCAGUAGGUCGUUCAGUUACUAGAGGCGUUGGUUCCUCCUCAGCCACCUUGUCAAAAACUCCCUUGCUCUUAUGAUCUACAACAUCUCGGAGCAUUUUGGUAAUUUGCUUCCCAAACUUCAGGUUGGACUUGGGACUCAUAGAAAAACAACCUCCUACACAUAAUUUCUUAAUUUCCUGAGGACUUUGCUCAAUCAACAAAUGAGCUCCAUUAAUCAAAGUUUCUGCCCUCGCAAGCCAGCCUUGAACUUGGUCUAGCCGCUUCAGCUGUUGUUGAUCUUCAGCUAUUUUCACUCUUCUGAUCACAUCAUUCCUUAGAUCCGUCAAUUCUGCUAGUGCAAUUUUUAAAGCUUCUACGUUUUCUUCAAGCUUGCAUACAAACUGUGCUUGUCCGGCAACACAAUCACAGCAGCGGGUAAUGACAGUGUCGCAUGAAGCUGAGAUCGAGAAGAUGUUACCCAUAGUUAGGCUUUGGUUUUAAAGGGGGAGUUGAACAAUUUCUGGAAAGGAGAAAAAUGAACGAAAUCAAAGAUGCUUUUUGGAAUAUCAAGCCAAAGGGUGAAAAAAUGAAAGAAAGAUAUGCAGAAGUGCACAGAAGGCAGAGAAUAUCUCCUGGAAGUUUUUUUUUUGUUUGCUAAUUCUAACUUAACCAAGGGUGUUGGGAGUAGUUGCUGCGGGAUUACUACUAUUUGCCACUUUCUACUUGUUUACUCCAUUAAAAAUAUUCUGUUUGCUAACCGAUUUAACUGGUAAUUAUACCACAACCUACAGAGAAAAACACAUCAGACAAUUUACAUGUAAUGAUAUGAUUUUUUUUUAAAAAAUUUUUGGUAGGAUCAAAUACUAAUUAUGUUAAAUUGGUUCUUGUAACAAUCAUGCAUGUAUUUUUUCCGAGCGAAAGAUGGCCUUGGGGCCGGGGUGGCUUUUGGCAUCUACCUUUCGGCAGGGGCAGUCAAGAGGAAGUUGCACAUCAAAACAAUGGAUUAUACUUAGUGACAAAUUAGUCAAUAAUGACUUUAAAAAAUUAAUUUAGUGGGGUGGGUUUUCUGUUGUGUGGAAUAUGCACAAACUUGGUCCAAUUUGGCGUGCACAUCGACGACUAAAUAAACCAAAUCACUUUCCUUUAAGAACAUUGGUUAAAAUUUUUACCUUUUUCACUGGACCUAAAGAAGAAUAAUUAGACAUAAUUGAAAUAUCAUAUGUGGAAAAAUAGUCAGUCAUUUCGAAGAAGAAAAAUAGAAAGAAUGAGUUUUUAAAAUCUUAAAGUUUCAAAUCUAAGUUUUAUUGUAUUUGAAUUUAGUUUAUUUUAUGUUAAUUUAUUUAUUUAAUAAUUUUCUUAUAAACGUAUGAAAUAUGUGAUUUUUGAAAUUAUUUGAUUAUAAUUGAAAAUUUUAAUUGUAAUUACAUUCAAUAAAAAAAGAUGGUUCCUCCGAAUACUAAAUUUAUCAACCUUGGUUAUGGAAACUUUGUUUUGAUAAUUGAAGCAUAGUAAGGGUAUUUUGAUCCAUGUGCACAUAAUUAAUCUCUCAUAGAGAGAUAAAAUUGGCCCAAUAAUCCUUUGAUUUGGGAAAACAUUUUUGACAUGUUCUUUCUUUUUUUCCUACAUUUUUCUUGAUAAUUAAUUCCUAAAGCUUCAUUGACAUAUUCACCCUUUUAGAUAGCAAUAGUGUGUUCUAUUAAGCGGUUGGGGUGUAUUCUAUGUGUAAUUUUUAUUUUUUUAUCUAAAUAUGGAUUUUACAUAUAUUAAAACGGUGUACAAUCCAUUAAAAUAAUAAUAAAUUUCAUAUUUAUAAGUAAUAAAUGUUAUGUAAUUUUUUAUUAAGAUUAGAAUAAUUAUAAAAUUAUAUAAAUAAAAAUAUUAUAGAUAAAAUGUUCUCUAUGUUUUGAUUAACUCUAUAUAAUUUAAAAUUAUAAUUAAUUAAUUAUCAAUAUAGUCGUAAAGCAGAGGAUAAAGAAAACCUUCAUUUUGGAAAAUUUGUCAACGUCGAGCUUUAACUUUGCAAUUGCCCUCUUCCUUGUAAAGGAUUCUUAAACAAAAGGUUGUUUACUCCAUUAAAAAUAUUCCUUUGGCCGACCAAUUUAACUGGUAAUUAGACCACAACCUACAGAGAGAAACACAUUAGACAAUUUACACGUAAUGAUAAGAUUAUGAUAUUUAUUUUUUUAAGGAUCAAAUAAUAACUAUAUUAAAUUAGUUUCUUGUAACAAUCAUGCAUGCAUUUUCUGAGCAAAAGAUGCCUUUGGGGCCGGGGUGGCUUUUGGCAUCUACCUUUUUGCAGAGGCAGUCGAGAGGAAGUUGCACAUCAUGCAUUAUACUUUCACCGACAAAUUGGUCAAUAAUGACUAAAAAAACUUAAUUUUGUGGGAUAGGUUUUCUGUUGCGUGGAAGAAGCCUUAUACUUUCAUUAACCAGUGUUUGGCAUCAACUAAUAAAUAAUUAGCUUAAAAAAUUAAUAACGUGGGGUCGGCUUUUCUGUUGUGGUCCAAUUUGAGGUGCACAUCCCCGACUAAUUAAACUAAAUCACUUUCCUAUAAGGACAUUGGUUAAAACUUUUUCUUUUCUGAAUGAACCUAAGGAAAACUAAUUAGACGUAAAUUACAAUAUCUUAUACGGAAAAAUAGUCAGUCAUUUUUAAGAAGAUAAAUAGUAAGAAUAAGCUUUUUAAAUUUUAACUUUUAAAUUUAAGUUUUUUUUUUUUUUUUUGCAUUGGAAUUUAGUUUAAUUUUAUUUUGAUUUAUUUAAUUAAUUUUUUAUUAUUAUUUUUUAUAAAUGUAUGAAAUAUGUUAUUUUUUAAAUUAUUUGAUUAUAAAGAAAAUUUUAAAUUUUAAAUUUAUCAAACCUUUGUUAUGAAAACUUUGUUUUGAUAAUUGAAUUUAAGGAUAGCAAUGAUAUUUUGAUUUGUGUGCAUAUGAUUAAUCUUUCGCAGAGAUAUAAAAUUAGUCCAAUAAUCAUUUGAUUUGGGAAAAAAUUUCACAUAUUCUACAUUUCUUGUAUGAAGGAAAAGAAUUCACGUGAGAAGAGGCUUCGAGAUCUUUGCCAUUAAUUGGAUGUUGAGGCUGCCAUUAAAGCAUCUCUCAAAAUCUUCAUUUUGUAGUUUCAAAACAUACAUUAUAUGUGUAAAAGGUGCAAAUGAAAUUAAAUUUGGCAUGCACAUCUAUGACUAAGUCACUUUUAAAUCUUGUUUGAUGCAUAAGAUUAUUCAUAGGAUAAGAUAAUAAUUAUUUUAUAUUAUGUUUGAUUUGUAUCGAAAGAAAAUGAUUCAAUUUUUUUAAAAUGGAGAUAAUUAUUUUUAAUUCAUAAGAUUAAACUUAAAUAUCUAAUUAUACCUUUAAAAAUUAUAUCAAUAAUUUAAAUUGUAAAAACUUUAAGAAAAGAUAAUUUUGAUAAAUAAAUAAAUUAUUCUAUUCUAAUUUUUGCAUACAUCAAAAAUAAAAUAAAAUGAUAUUAUUUAAUCUAAUCUUAUGCAUAAUAUCAUUAUAUCUUAUUUUAUCAUAAUCUUAUGUAUCAAAUAUAAUUUUAAUUUCCUAUAAAAAAUAUUUAAAUCUUUUUGUUUUAAAGUCUAAUAAAUUGUCAAUUGCAAUAUUUUUUUAUUGAAAAAUGGUCAAUCAUUCUCCGACCAAUCAAACCUUAUCUCAAUACUAAAGCUCCAUUUGGAAUCAAAUAGUGGUCCAGCGAAGAUACCUUUUGCAUGAAAAAUUGUGCCAAAUGCAUCAUGCAUGCAUUUGUUAAACAAUAUCAAUGCAAUUGGAGUUGAAUUUCAACGCGCCAUAUCCCUUUUUUCUCGUUGGCCACCCCCUCUCCAAUGAAAAGUUCCCCUCCCCAACGCAACAUCCUUUGUUAUAAUGUCUUCACUUUUUUUUUUUUUAAUCUUUUUUAUCUCUCAAACAAUAAUGAAGGAACAAAAGUGUCCCUUAGCUUUUAGGGUUGUUUUUUUUAUUAUUAUUUGUUAUUUUGAACAAAAAUAAUAUAUACAAAAAAAUAAUUUUUAAAUAUAUAAUAACAAAUUAUUAUUUGAUAUAAAAAUAAUUUUAAUAUUUUUCAGUUUAUUAAUAAAAGUAUUAUUUGAUAUAAAAUAAUUUUAAUAAUUUUUAAUUAUUUAUUAAUAUCACAAAUAUCAAAUAUAUUUUAUAAAUUUUAUUAUAUGUAAUUUUAAUUUAAUAUCUUUAAUGAUUAUUUUAUCUUUUCAUUAUAAUCUACCUCACUACUACUGCUGCAUUUUCAUCAAACAUAUAUUUUACCACUGAUUUUAAUCUUACCGUUAUAGUAAUCAAACUUACUGUUAGAGUAACAAAUCUCAUCUUUAUCAUUAUUUUUAAUCUUACCAAAAUCAAUCUCAUCAUUCAUCUAAAUGGACCUUAAGAAUGAGCUUUUAAAAUCUUUAAGUUUCAAAUUAAAGUCUUAUUGCAGGUGAAUUUAAUUUAAUUUUGUAUUGAUUUAUUUAAUUAAUUUGUUGUUUUUAUAAAUGUAUGUGUGUAAUAUAUGAUAUAUGAAAUUAUUUCAUUAUGACAAAUUUUUAAUUGUAAGUACAAUCAAUAAAAAAAUUGAUUCUAAUAAAUUCAUCAACUACAUGAAAAUUUUGUUUUGAUCAGGUUAUUUAUGUUUUUAAAAUAUAAAAGAUAAUGAGAACAAAACCAAUGAAUUUACAUAGAGUAUAUCUAUAUCGUAUUUUUAUCAUGUCAAAUAUAUGUAUAACAUAAAUAAUUGUAGUAUCAAAUUCGUAUCAGCACACAACAUAAAACAUUUUUUUAUCAAAUCUAUAUAUAAUUUUUACCAAAUUUUUAAAUUGUAUCGCCUUUAUAUUUUUUUCAUAACAUUUUUAUUUCGUGUUUAAAAUUAUCAAAUCUAAAUUUAAGCUUAGCAACAAUGUUUUGAUUGGUUUGAACAUGAUUAAGCUCUUGCAAAGAGAUACCAUCGAAAAACAUAGCAGUCAAGCAUAUAAACAUUUCUAUUUUCUAAAUAUGAGAAUUAACCCAAAUGAUUCACUCUUCUUAAACAAGAUAAGAUCAUAAGGUAAAAAUAUUAAUGAUAUUAUAUCAUGAUUAAAAUAAAAUUUCAGACAAAAAGAAGUUAUUCUCAUGAAUUAUGAAAGAAAUAAAACCAAAUCUAAAUUAUCUAAAGGUUUGGGAACAUGAAGCAAUAGUAAAAGUUUGCAAAAUGAAGAAAUUAAAGAUGAAUUAAGUGCAUUGGCUAUGCAUAAUUAUGUACAAUAAAGUAUGUAGAUUAAUAUCAUAUCGAAAGAAUAUAUAUUCAAGGUAAUUCAUCAAGUUACUAAAAAAAAUUCAUAUGAACUUGAAACAGAAUUCUUCUAAAUCGAAGAAUAUAAAGACCUUGUACAUUUUAAAAUAAAUAGUUAAAAUAGUAAAGUUAUGAUUUAAGUUUUUUAUUAAAAUAAUUAGAAUUAUAUGACUUGUAUUUUUUAAUGAUACUUGUUUAAAGAACAAGUUGCAUAUAAACCUAUAUAAUAAGGUUUGUUAUGAAAUCCAAUUUUAACGCUUUGUGGAAACAAAUGAAAUUCAAGGAAUAGCAUUCUCGAAAGAAAUUAUAAAUGAUUAAUUGUUUUACAAUUAUGGUUAAUAAUAAUAAUAGUAAUAUAUGUGUGUGUGUGUGUUAAUGGUUUAAUUUUUUUGUUGCAAACUAAUAAAUUAUAAAAGAAACUUAAUAGAAAAAAAAAGUUGAUAUAAUUCUAGACAAACACUGAAGCCAAGUAUUGUUUAGAGAAUUUACACAUAUAUAAAAUGAUUAUUUUUAUAUAUUUACAUAGCAAAAAGAAUUAAUUACUACAAAAAAAAAAAAACUUAUUGCAUUGAUGUUAAUUCAGCAAAGGAAAUGAAAUUCACAUGUUUAUAAAAUGAUGAAUUAGAUAAAAGGAUGUGUAUGGAAUAACUUUUUUCAAGAUAAGAUUAUAAAAGCAUGUAAAUUAGUUAAGUUCUUAAUUAAACUUAAUAAAUUCCUAAAAAAUUUAAAAUUUGAUGAGUUAAUUUUGACUUAUAAUAUCAUAUAAUAAAUUAUACAAUUAAAUGUAUUUAUAAUAAGUUAAAAAAAUCAUCAUCAUUUGACUAUAUAAAGAUGAUAUAUUUAGUACGGAUCAAGAAUAAGUUAAAAAUAUAAAAUUCUUGUUUAAUAAUUUUUUACUAUGAAAAAUAAAGUACUGUAAAAGUAAUUCUAAAAAUAAAAGUUUAUAUAAAAAUGACAAGUGACAAUUUCCAAUUUUACUUUAUUAGAAAAAUUCUAAAAGAAACUAUAAUUAUACAAUGAUACAACAUUAUCUGAUAAAGAAAUAUUGAUUGCACAAUCAAAUAUGCAACAGCAAAUGAAUGUGUGAUGUAUAUUAAGACAUACAUAAAAUGAAACAUUACUUUUGUGAUAAAUAAAAGUUAGUAGAUAUACGAAACGAAAUAAAUUGUGUUCAGAUAUAUUAUACACAUCUAGUAAUUGUACUCGUAAAAAAAUACAUUAAACAAUUACAAGUAAUCACAAUAUUAUGUUUUCUUUAAAAAAAAAUUUAUAGGAUCAAAUAAUAAUCAAGCCAAAGUUGGUUUUUUGUCACAAUCAUACACGAAAUUUUGUGGGCAAAAGAUGCCUUCGGGGCUGGGGACCUUUCGGCAUUUUAUGUUGGCCCUAGGCAGUAAAGAGGAAGGUGCUCAAUAAAGCAAUGCAUUACCUUUCACUGACACAUUUUGGGCAUCAAUUGGUCAAUAUUUAAUUUUGUGGGGUCGGCUUUUCUGUUGUGUGGAAGAAGCACAAGCUUGAUCCAAUUUGGCGUGCACUUCUACAGCUAGUUAAACCAAGUCACUUCUAGUUUCUUACAACAACAUUGUUUAAAUCUUAUUUUUUAAGAACACUAAUUAGACGUCAAUCGCAAUAUUUUAUGUAAAAAAAUGUUCAUUUUCUAGCCGAUCAAAUCUUAUCUUAGUACUGAAGAAUGAGCUUUUAAAAUCUUCAAGUCUCAAAUUUUAGGCUUGUUGAAUGUGAAUUAUUUAUUUAAUUAAUAUUUAUUAAUUUUUUUCAUAAAUGAUUGUAUGUAAUAUGUGAUGCAUAAAAUUAUUCGAUUAUAAUAAUAAUUUUAAUUAUAAUUAUAACCAAUAAAAAAAUAAUUUUUAUAACUAUUAAAUUCAUCGAUCACAUAAAAAUUUUAUUUUGAUUGAGCUAUUUAUUUAUUUAUUUUUAAAUAAGUCCUCCUGUACCACUGGAGGAAUGCUAGAGCUAGCUAGAGGCUUGUGGUAUUGAUUCUAUUAAAAGCUUACAUCUGUGACAAACUAUUAAGCACCAUGAUGGGAUAGCAAUCAAAUUAACUAAAUCAUCUACUGGAGCUUCUUUAUCCCCGGAAAAGAAGGGAGAAGUGCGAAGAGAGCAUCACCAUGUCCAACGGGAUCUGUCAUGUAAGCAUAACAUGUAAGAAUAGAUGACGAGGUGAGACUAAAAUGCACUGAAAAGUGACAACACGUUCGACUGGUUAAAGAAUGAUCAGAAUUAGAAACAAAACCCAGAUUCAUUGAUCAUAUAAACAUAAGCAUGCAUGAAAAGUAAGUAGCAAGACACGUAGGGUGAAAUCAACCCCUCAUUUCCAUCAGUCAACAUACAAAAGUAAACACACGGUAAUUCCCAUCAAGUCAAUAUUUAAACCUCGGUUGGAAUUUCACCACCUAGUUGUUCAAUGUAGCAAAGCACCUGGCCCUUCUUCACUAUUUGCCCCUGUUGCAGAAACAAACUCAGAAUUUCUCAAUAGAACCUCUAACAUAUGGAAACGAAAGCAACACUUGAGAGUACACUUGAGAGUACAAGUGAACCAAUGAUGGCUCCCAAAUAAAUGGUUUCAUUUAUGUUUUGUCUCUUGAAGACAACACGUUGGAAAAUAAAAGGAUGAAAAACAGUAAAACCAUUUUGAAUGCUAUGGCCAAAUGAGAAAAAACAUUAUCUCUUUCUGCUAAUGUGAUCAAAGCAAUCUAUUGUUUGGGCCCCUAAAAUAAACAAAUACUCUUACCAAAAUCCAUUGAAGUAUUACCUCUUUACACGAUGGUGGAGCACGCUUCCCCUUUAUGGUUCGUGAUCUCCUGAAGAAACCUACCUGCACAAUUUAUCAUCUUACUUCUACGAGUUCAAAGCAAGUGAAGAAUUUAAAUUUCAUAUUCUCACCUUCGGAGACUGAAGUAUCACCAAGGCUUCAUCUGCAGCUUUAUCAAGUAAGGAUUGGAUUCUCCCUGAAGAAGAUAGGGGUUUGGUGACAGCUAAAGAAGGUGAAGAAAAGCCCCGUUUGAGUCAGGUGGUUCAACAGUUCUAUUGGUGCUGACGCUGACAGGAGGAGGAUUUGGGAUCGCAGGUGGAUGUUCACUUUUUCCCGCCAAGUCCCUCACUAUGUAUAGCCGAAAUCCACCAAGCUAACAAAUGGAGACAGAACAGAAAGCCACUCAAAACCACAAUAUCUGUAAUUGUUUUGGAUACGAAACAGAAACAAUUCAAGUAGAAAAGCCAUUAACAUUAUCAAGCUAUUUGCGGCACAAGAAAUUAAAACCUGCUUACUUUUAGUUCAAACUCUGCGAUUGAAGUUUUAUUUCAUAUAUCUCUGACCAGAGAUUCCACCCGCAGUUAGAAAUUGUAAACUGCAAACUUCUAAAAUAUAAGCUAAAGGUAAGAUUUUUCAUUCAUUUUUGAAAGAAGUCCCUAAGCAGGCAAUAUUCACAUAUUUAUUCCCAAUUUCUAACGUUUGAGUACAUUAAGAAAAAAAAAAAGAGAAAUCAAUUACUUCAUUUUCUCCAAAUCCCACAUAUUGUUUCUUUACAGCGGCUUAAAACAGAGUUGAAACUUGAAACAGCUAAGCAUAGUUCACUAAUUACCCAGUAAACUUAAACGGUCUACUAGAUAAAAUAUUUUUAAUUUAAAGGUGAAAAAAAGAAUGGCAAUAAUGAUGUGGCAUAACAUACAUGCUUGCAUUAAUGAUUUACAAAAAAACAAUUAUGAACUCACCCCAGAUGAAUUUGGAAUAAGCUGGCUGGUCAAACCAGACAUUUUAGUCUCUUCAGAAUCAUCUGCUAAAUUUGUAGUAGCUGCAAGUCAGCAACCAAAAUGAUGCAGACAUUACAACAAAUCAUGUAGUUUAGAAAGCUUAAAAAGCAAAAAACAGAGAUGAUGGCAAAACUUCAAAAUAUUCAAAUUUACACACUUUAAUCAGUGAAGUACUUCAUUUCUAUUUUGACAGUGGUUAAUCUGAGAUAAGACGGCAAAAAAAGUGACAAAUGACCAGAAACAAUCGGGUACAAGAUUUUUUUUCCCAAUGAGUAGCAUGUACAUCAACCUUAAAUGCAAUAGGAUUGAGCAGUUGAGACACAAAUAUCUGGAUAUUUCACGAACAAGAUAUUUCAUGAAAUUAUUACAGAUCCAAACAAGCUUCAAUAGUUACAGCAGUUCUUUUCUUUUCCUCCUUACCUCACCAUGUAUUUUUUUUUUCGUUCUUUUUUCUCUGAAAGCCUUACAGCAUACUGACAGAUUAGAGAUUUUUGUAACCUGUAUAAUGAAGUGAGAAUGACUUUAAAUUGCAGAAACAUUAUAGACUAUCCCUAUUUCUACAAAUUUGAGUGGACAGUAGAACCAGAAAGAGAGAUGAAUUGAAUAUUAUCAACUUGCACCAUAGGCACUGUCAUUGAAUCACAUUACUCACCUCCAAAAUAAAUAAACUAAAAACUACUUCUCUAUUCAUUUGUUAUACACGUGCACAACUACUGUGCAUAAAUAGACGUAUACAGGAGUUAUCUGCCAAAAACUUACCAAAGACUUUAAGGAAAGGUUAGUCAGUAAAGCAAUUCAAGGGUAAAAUUUUACUAAAUCUGAAACAAGCAGAAGGAAAUAGAAUAUAUGUCUUCAUGAGACUGCUACAAUGUGAAAUGUAUUUCUUCAAGAAUCAGAACUAUUAUUGAGAGCACAAAAGUUCAUUGUGUCAACUCUUUAUAUCGACAUAACUUACAGCACAAUUUUAUUUUUUAAUACACUAAUUUAAUAAAAAUACUUCAUUUAUAUAAAAUUAAAAUGUUAUUUAUAUUUAAAAAUGAUAUUUUUAUAAAAAUUAUACUCAAUUAAAAUUAUUAAAUUAACUUCGGUCAAGUCAAGUCAAAUGCAUACUGAAUGCAUAUAGUUAGGAUCGAAGUCAAGUAUAUUUGAAAAAUUGGAUAGAAUUAUUAAAGAGUCAAGUUGAUCAAAGGAUGAAUUUUAACUCAUCCCAACUAUAUCCGUUAUCAUAUUUAAAUGGAGUUGUUUAUGUGACACCUCAAUUUGGCUUUCUUUUAUUUUUCAUUUUUGCCCUUUAAUUUUUUUUUUAGAUUUUAUUUAUUUCUAGAUAAAUUUUAUCAAAAAAGGGUCACUAGUUAUAUGAAUGACAAAAUAACCAGUAUCUAACAAAUUCUAACUUGACUUCAUCCAAUGGGGGAGAUUUUUUCUUUUCAAAAUUGGGAUCAAGUUGGGCUAGGAUGGUUUUCUAUUUUUUAAAUUAGGAUCAAAUCAGAGGCAAGUUCAAGGUGCUUCAUGACGAUCUCUUCAAGAUAUAUAAAAAAUACAUAUUCUAUUAUUUAUUUAAUUUUAUAUUUGUAUAUGUAUUAUAUUAAUAUAAUUAUUAUUUAAUAACUUAAUUAAAUAAAAAUACUACAUUUGUAUAUAAUUUAAAUACAAUUUAUAUUAAAAAUAAUAUUUUAAUAAAGAUUAUACUAAAUUAAAUUUAUUGAAUUCAUCUCCGAUUAAAUUAAAUCAGAUGUGAUUAUACAUAUAUGUGCUUAGUUGAGAUUUGAUAGAAAAAUAGUAACCCGAUGUCGGGUCUAAAUUGGAUUCAGAUUGAAUAAUUAAAAAGUUGGAUCAGAGCCAAUGCUAGAAAAUCUGCCUUUACCUGACUUCUUGUCAUCCUAAGUGAAUGUAUCCACGUUACAUCUCAAUUUAGUUCUCUUUUCCUUUUUUUUAUCUUAGGCCAUUUUCUUUUAUUUUGUUUUUUAAAUUGUCUAUUUUAUUUUUUCUUAAUUAUGUUUGAAAAGAUAAAUUUAAAAAAAUGAAUUUUGAUUUUAUUUGUUACAUAAGAUGUCAAAAUAAAAAACACAUAUUAUGCAUAAAUUAAUUGAUAAAUUUUUGCUAAUCAUUACAUUUAUUAAAAAUAUUAUAAAUGAAACUAUACUCAUUGAUUUAUUAAAUUUAUCUUGAACAUUGUUUAUUACAAAUAAAAAAAAAUUGAACCAAUGAUAAAGUGCAAGACUAUUUCUAGUUCAUGUUAAAGAAACAAAAGUUCAUUUAUUUACCCUGAGAUCAUGCCCUAUUGCUAUGGACCAUUAUUGCAAGCAUUAAACAAGAAAAUUAGUGAGAAAGAUUCAAACAGAAUAAAAAUUUCAUACACUUAGUUAUAUAUUGUCGCCCUGAAGUUUAGUUUGCCUGAUCCCUCAUUAUAAAUCUUUUGGUAGUUUUUCACUCCCUUAUCAUAAUUUUUGGUUCCUUUUAACUAUUUAAGUGGAAGUUUUACCAUAGUGAAAAUAAAAUUAAAUUAGCCUUACAAAAAUAAGAGAAGUUGAGAAAGCUAUAUUUCCUCAUAACAGCUUCCAAAGUGUGUUUGCCACAAAAAUUAAUAGAUUGUAUCAAUAUAUAUUAACUUAAUAUAAACUAUUGGUUUCUGAAAUAUGUGAAGGAAGCCAUUAAAUUUCAACAAUUUCAGAAUGUAACUAUUAAAAAAUCAUAGAAAAAAAUUAUUUCCCUUACCUUUUCUUCUUCUUUGUUCUUUUGUUUUAAUUCCCUUCAACAUCGAUCGGUGAGAUAGCUUACCUCCAUCAUCCAGCUUGGGUGAGUGAAGUUCAAUUUGGUGACAGUCAAAUGACUUUUUCCUUUCUCGCUCUUCUUCCUCUUUCAUUUUCCAAUUCUUUCUCUAAAGGAAAGGCCAUGGCUUGACCUCCCUUCCAACUUUCUCUUUUUUUUUUUCCUUUGUUUUACCCCUUCAGCUCCCUCCAGAGAAUCUCUUUUAGCUUUAUCUUCAUUGUUUCUCGUCUCAUCCAAGAGCCUUUCAAGCUUCUCUCUUCCUUUGGGGCUUUCUAAAUACACCACAAAAUUUUUUUUAUACACCCUCAAAAUUUCUUUCAAAAAUACCCAUAUAACAAAUACAAAUUUUAACCUUUAAUAAAUAAUAAAAAUAACCUCAAUAACUUAUACAUCCCAAAAUCAACUUUGUACAUCUUGGAAAUCCAUUCUGAGAAUUAUAUUACUUUCUCAAAAAUGGAUUUUUGAGAAUCUUGUUUUCUUAUAAAUCCGUUUCCAAAAAUACAUAAUUUUUUGUUUAAAUAUAUAUUUAAUUAUAAACUCUUGAUAACAUUUAAUUUUAAUUUAAAUCAAAUAAAUACAUUUAAUCUUAAAAUAAAUAAUACUAAAAUAAAUCAAUCUCUUUAUCAAUGUCUAACAUGAAAAAUCAGAUGUGCUGGAAUCUUUAAAUGUCUCUAAUGAUUUCUUUGAGGCAUGACUCAAUUCUAGCAAUAAAGACCUCUAAUCUUUAGGCCACUAACAAUGUCAUCAGCACAUUGACAAAUCCAACAAUAAAAAUUGGUGGUUGAAAGAGUAGAGUUCUUUAUUGCCAUAUUUAUCAAUCAGUCUACUAAUGACAUGGUCAAUGUUCUAUAGGGUGUUCAAUCUCAAACUAGCAUGCAUGCAAACACAUGAGUCAUUGAUGUGCCCAUUCUUAUGUGAUCAUAUGUAUGAAUAGAAGAGACAUGUUAGUUCUUAAGCAUUCAUAGGCAUAAAAGUGUUGUUGUUUGGAGACCAGAAAACCAAGAACACACUUUGGCCCAUGCAAAACCAGAAAACUAGAAAAAGGUUUUCUUGAUUUUCUAGAGUAUCAAGAGAAAGAACAAGUUUAUGCCAUGUAUGUUGAGAAUAUUGAUUUUAGUUUCAAUCAUACACAAGUAAAUGGGUUUAUAAGAUAAUGAAGAACACCCUUUGGCCCAUGCAAAACCAGAAAACUAGAAAAAGGAUUUCUUCAUUUUCUAGAGUAUCAAGAGAAAGAACAAGUUUAUGCCAUGUAUGUUGAGAAUAUCGAUUUUAGUUUCAAUCACACACAAGUAAAUGGGUUUAUAAGAUAAGGAUUUAAGGUUUUCAAUGAUUAAAGUGAAUUCGAGAUUCUAAGAAAUAGAUAUCCAAGAAUACUUAAAGAUUCUCGAAUAUUCAUUUUUAAGAAUACCAAGAACACCCUUUGGCCCAUGCAAAAGCAAAAAACUAGAAAAUGGUUUUCUUGAUUUUCUAGAGUAUCAAGAGAAAGAACAAGUUUAUGCCAUGUAUGUUGAGAAUAUUGAUUUUAGUUUCAAUCAUACACAAGUAAAUGGGCUUAUAAGAUAAUGAUUUAAGGUUUUCAGUGAUUAAAGUGAAUUCGAGAUUCUAAGAAAUAGAUAUCCAAGAAUACUUAAAGAUUCUCAAAUAUUCAUUUUUGAGAAUACUCAAAACUUCUCGAAAAUGGAUAUCUAAAAAGCUUUCAAUGUUCUUAUAAAUGAAUACCUGAGAACCUUUGAGGCUUCUCAAAAAUAGAUAUCCAAGAAUCCUUAAAGCUUCUCAGAUGUCCAUUUUUGAAAAGCUUCAAAGUUUCUCGAACAUUUAUGUUCGAGAAACUUGAUUUCAAAAAAUAAAGAGAGAAGAACAAAGAAAAGGUAGUAAUGGAAAAUAGAAAGUGAGAGGUUAGGUGUAUUUAGUUAAAAUAGAAAAUUGAGUUUUAAAUUUGGAUAUAUUUAGAAGUGGGGUGCAUAGAGUAAUAAAUAGGCUGUAAAUAGAAUUCCCCUCUUCCUUUUACCUUAUUAUAAAUAUUAUAAAGUCUUUUUUAACCCUAUAAUUAUUUUAAAUGUCAAAUCUAAGUUGGCUUUAAGGGACAGUUUUUAUUUAUUGUUGUUUCUCAUCUCAUCUAGAAGCUUUUCAAGCUUCUCUCUUUCUUUUACUUCUUUAUAAAUAUUAUAAAGACAUUUUUAACGCUAAAGUCAUUUUAAAUGUCACAUAUAAUUUGGCUCUAAAUUAGAAUAGUGGGGACAAUUUUUUUUUAUAGAUUAAAAAUUUCUAUGUAAAUUAUAUAAAUUGGAAUUUCUAGUAUCUUAUGCUCAUAUAAAUUACAAUGCCCUCAGUAUACUAAUUUUUGGCACUUAUUUGAUGUAUGUAUAAUUUUUAUUUCUAAAUUGAAUUUAAUAAAUAAUUUUUCAGCAAAAAUGAAGGGAAAUGAAUGUAGACAUCAAAUUUAUCUGGAUUUUAAUUGAGUCUUAGUUUAAAAUUUGUCGGGUAUAUUAGGUUAUUAGGGUGAGGCCUAAAUUUAAUUCAACUAGGCCCAAAGUUUGAUUUUAAUUGGGUCUUAAGCCCAUUUCAUUCUUUAGGCCUAUCCUAUUUUUUAUUUUAUUUUUAUUUUAUUUUAUUUUUUUGUUAAAUUAAACAAAAUACCAAAAAAAGGAAAAAAAAAACAAAAAAAAAGAAACAACCAGAAGGAUACAAGAAAAGGAAAAAACAAAGGAGGCAGGGGGUGUUUGGUGUCGUGCAUAGCACCACUAGCACCACCAACCCCUGCAAGGCCCUGUGCCACCCAUUUAGGCAUAGGGCCAAGACUGGACAAAUAAAAAAAAAAAAAAGGAGUAAAGAGGAGGCUGAUGCUUAGGGUGCCAUAUACAACACACCUAUUUGCGAAGUCCUGUGCCACUUACCUAGGCAUAGGGCAUAGCCGGAGCUCUAUUAAUAGAUCUCUGUGGUUGACCCCUAAAAAAAGAAAGAGGAGACCCUACCAAAAAAAAAAGCAUUUUGCCAAAGAAAAACAAAAAAAAAUCAAACAAAAACUUAGUCCCUUGGGAACAGGGAGCCCAAUGUCAAGAGUCCCUACAAAAAGAGAAAACAAAAUCAGUCUCAAAAAACAAAAAAAAAAACAAGUUAGAAUACUGUAAAAAAGAGUUUGGUCGAAACUUUGAAGGUCGAUUCAGGUUGUUUGGGACCUUUUUUGGUGAAAAGGAGUUUGGAUCUGUGCUUAGGAAGGCGAGAGGAAUUUUUUGAAAACUUUUUGGAUUUUUCGACAAUCGGUCGACAACCAUCUAUGACGGUUGACACGACAAAUGAUGAAUGACAAAUUUGGAUAAAGAGAGGGGGUCUGAGAGACAAAGAGGUAGAGAAAAAAAGAGAAGAGAAAACUAAGCUAAAAAUAUUUGAGGUUUUCAUAUAAAGUUGAGAGCCAAAAUGACAUCGUUUCAAUUAAAAGACCAAAAUGAUAUCAUUUUAAGCCUAGGAUCCACACGUCAACCCGUUGACCCGACCCAAGGUCCAUGCACUUGACUCGACAACCCGUCGACCCGACCCAGGGUCAAUGCACUCGACUCGACAACCCGUCUUCCAAUUGACUUUUUCUGGUCUAGCUAAACUGACCUAGAACAAAGCAAACCGGCAUUGAAUCAUCGAACCAACCAGACCGAGUCGUCGAAUCGAUCAGACCCGCAUUGACCUAAUCGUUAACCAAUCUAGUUCAAGCAAAAAAAUUUUUUUGAAUUUUUUAUAUAUUAUUCUAAUAACAUUUAUGCAUAUUAAAAUAUUUAUUUUUGUUAGAAUAAUUUAUUUUUGUGAUAAAUAAUUCAUUAGUAAAAAAAAUAAAUGAUGAAAUAUGUAGUUAAAAUUUUUAUAAUUUUUUAAUUUUAAAAUAAACUUUAAAAAAUAAAAAUAAACUUUAUAAUAAUAAUAAUAUAAAGUAAUAAAAAAUGUAAGAAAAGGAAAUUUUUAUCUGACAAUGAGAUUCAAAAGUAUUCUGAGUAGUGAUACCUACGAAAUCUCUAGGUGAGAAGAUUUUUUAAAAUAUUACCAAUAUAUUGAAAUAUUUAUAAAAAUUUUUCAAUACAAUAAAAAUUUUCUUUUUUUGUUAUAAAAUAGUAAAUAAAAAUUAACUAAUAAAUUAAGAAAAAGUGUUAAAAAAUGAGAAAAAUAAAAAUUUUAUCUAAUGAUGGGAUUCUAAAAGUAUUCCGAGUAAAGAUGCUUUAAGAAAUCCCUAGGUGAGAAGAUUUUUUUUUAAAUAUUAUCAAUGUAUUGGAAUAUUUAUAAAAAAUCUUCAAUAUAAUAAAAAUUCUUCUUUUCUUCAAAAACUUAAAUGAUAAUUAAAAAAUAAUAAUAAUCAAUAAAAUUUUCAAAAAGUAAAAUAAAAUGUAUGCAUUAACAUGUUAGCAUUUACAUUGCAUGAUAUAAUAUUUUUACGAAAAGUAAAUCUAAACCUUUGAAGAUGAGAUUCUAAGAUAUUCCAAAAAACGAUGCCUAAGAAAUCUUUAAAUGAGAAAGAGUUCUUUCAAUGUUACCAACAUACUGGAAUAUUUUAAGAAUUAUUUCAAUAAAAAAGUUAUAACUUAUUUUUCCCAAAUAAAAUUUGAAUAAUAAAUUUUUAAUAAAAAAAAAAGAAAACUCAAAUUCCAAUAAAUGAAAAAUCAAGGUGUUAGCUUUUUAGGUGAAAUUAUUUUUUGAAAUCCUGAAAAUAAGACUAUUUUUAUCAAAAUCAAUGGGUAACGCGUAGUUAAUUGGUACCAUUUUUAAACAUGUGCUAGGGGUUGCUAAUCAUUCCCCACACGUUAUUGACUCCCGGACCUAAACUAUUUCGUAGACCCUAAAAUUAUUUUUUUUAAUAAAUUUUAAUUAAAUUUAAAAUUUCAUUAAAUAGAUAUGUUUUAAUAAGUGACCAAUCGCACCUAACUAAAAAAAAAUUGAUGGCAACUCUAUUUUUUAUUUUUUAUUUUCGUCUCCAAAUUCGUCAAGCGACCUUAAAACCGUUACGAAAAUGAACAAAAAAAAGUGAGAAGACAACAAAAAAAAAAUGUUGGGUUUUCUUUUUUCUAUUUGACAUGAGGAAGGAAAAAUAAACAAAAAAUAAAAAUAAAAUUGUAAAUAAAAUGAUUAUUGCGUUUUUUUUUUCACUUACUUUUUGAAAGAUUGAAUUUAGAAAGACAUAAAAUCUAUAAAUGAAUCCAAUCAUUUUUUUUCCUUUAAUCUAAGAAAAAAAUUUUAAAUUUUUUUUCCUUUCUUUUUUUCAUCCCACCAAACACAACGUAGAGUCAUGACAAAUUGAGAGUACACAUAAAUGUUAUUUUUAUAAACUAUGAGUAAUUCAAUUCCCAUCACCCUAAUUUGAAUGUCCAAUUAUAUAAAAUAUUUAUCACAAUUUGUACUUCAAUUUGAUUGAAAGGCUGAAUACUAGCUCUCCACUUAAAUUUGAUGCGUACACGAUUUUCAUAUUUGACUUUUGGGUCCUUCGGCUUGUCCAUCUAUCAUGGUAACAAUUCUUGUGAAUAUCAAUAAUGGACCUUGAAAGUAAUAAAGCAAAAAAAAAAACUUGCCAAUUAAACUUUGAUUCAAUGGCACGAAUAUUUUAAAAUUUGAGAUUUUAAAUUGAAUUUUAUUAUAUGAAUUUGUUUUAGUUUUAUAUUAAAUUUAUUUAAUUAUAUUUAAAUUUGGUCGAUAAUUUUUAUACACAUGAAUAUAAUAUUUAUUAUGAUUGUGAUUUUUUUUUAUAAUUGUAAUUUUAUAAAAAAUAUAGUCAAUUACUUGUAAUUAUAAUAGUUAAUUAUUAUUAACUAGAUAUAUCCAAAUUCAAUGACAACUCUAAAAAUCCUCCUAUUGCAUUUUUUUUUAAAAAAUUUUAACUUUUUCAUUUUCACUUAAUAACAAUUUUUUUUAAAAGUGUCCGCACGUUUUAUCUAGAAGAGCAAGAUAUCUAUCUAUUAUUAAAAAGGAUUUAAAUUCUUUUUUAAAUAAAAAAGUUCACCAAAAAUAAAUUCACAUCAAUAGAUUAGGUUCUUUCACAUAAAAGAAUUAUAUACAGUUUUACAUAUCAAAUUAUAUAAUUAUUUUUAAAUAUGAUAAUUAAUAGAUUUGAAUUUAACUCAUAACAUUUGUAAUUUUUUUUAGAUUAUGAUUUUUUUAUUAAAUAAUUAUAUAAAAUAUUCUUUUUUUAUCCUUUUUUUAAGAGCAAUCAUGUUCGAAUAUUAGUUGGUGGGGAGGAAAAACCUAAUUAGAAACACUUAAAUAGCUCAGUGUAUGCAUGGCCCUCUCGUUUAUUAAUUUUUUUAUGAUGAUGCAAUUGACAAGAAGAUGAAUCAAUUAUAAAUUGAUGAGGAACCCUGGUAACUAUAGAUUUGCAGCUUAGGUAAUUAAUUUACUAAUUGUAUUCCCAUGUUUAGUGUGAGAGCAUGGGGACAGUGGAGAAGAAGCUGAAAGGAAAUGGAUUUGGAAUACGUGCGGGCAAUAGUGGAAGAAGGCGGGAUCUAUGUUCAACAACUGUUCUUCCGUGACCCAAAUGGGUUCAUGAUUGAGAUAUGCAACUGUGAUAACCUACCUACCAGUGAUCCCACUGGUAGGUGAGAUGGCUCGAUCAUGCUCCAGAGUGAAUGUGCAACUGCUGCCGUGUCAGUAGAUACAGCAAGUGGUUCAGCAGUAAGAGCAGCUGCAGGAGCAGAGCUGAGUCAUUUGAUUUAGGUUCAUGUUAAUAAAAAUCAUGAAAAAAAAGGCACCCUAUCUGCUUUGUUUUUUUCAUGUUCUUGUCUAACUAUUGUAUGGACAAGUCCUUAUUUUUCUUCACUUGGUUUAGUAGUUUGUUCAAUAUUAUUUAUUUUGUAAUUAAUAAAGACAAGGCCUAGAUGUGAUCCCAAGGGAAGUGAUCAUUUUAUGAGCUUAUUUUAAUUAAUUAAAAAUGGACUAUUCUCUAAAGUUUUUCUAGUACUCAAAAUUAUAUAAGGCCCCCUUCUCUUGUUGUGAAUGUUUUGGGGUUUCAAAUUCUACUAAUUUAAUGCACAAGUUGGAACUACUUUUGAUUGAUAUACAGUCUGAAAUGCCAUUCACAUGAAAGAGUUUGUUGGAAAUCAUGUUAUGAGCACAUAGUCUUAUCCUAAUUUAUUUAUCAUAGAAUGAAAAAUAAAAAUUUCAUAAAAAAUCAGAAUUUGAAUAGGAUUUUUCUAUCUAUCCUUUCAUAAAUUUCAAAUAAUACUAGGAUAUAUAGCUAUCAUUCACACCUCAUUUACGUAUUUAGAUUUGUUUCAAUUUUAGGGUUAUGGUCUAUCACUAGGUUACCUUUACAACAGGUCAUGUUAUAAUGUCAAUCUAAUUUCCAAAUUGGACAAAUUCAUCUCGUAUUAAUUAGAUUCAAGUUUCUAUCCCGAAUUACAAUUUCAUCUACAAUCUAUCAUACAAAUGUAAUGCUGAAAAAUCAAAUGAAUAACCGAUAAAGAAUCGAAAAUUAUGAUUGCACCUGUCCAAUGGAAGUUCAUUUUGGAGGCAGAGGAGAGUUAAGAAAACAAAAAAUAAAAAAAAAUAAAAGAUUGCAGAGAGUUGAGUAGUUUUAUAUAUGUUUAUGUAUCUUAGAGAUAUUUAAGCGUAGUUGAUAGGAUUCUGAAGCCCACAAAAUCUAAAUCCCAACCAAUCUUGAGUCCUGGAUUGGGACGGAAGUUGGCAAAAAGGUUCCCUCCAAAGCUGAAACCUGCGAUUUCUUCCUCUUUUAAGACAUUGCCAUGCUCUUAAAAUUGAUCAUUGAUUUGGCAUUCAUUUUGGCUUUGGAUUUACGUUUCAUCCCUUCUGUAUCUCUCAUUUCAUACUAUUACUAUUUCUUAACAACAAAGAUGCUUUAGUUAAACAUAAUCUCUAUUGGUGAUCAUAAUUUCAUCUUUUUUAAUAUUAUAAAAUAAUUAUUUUACCUUUAAAUAAAUUGGCCAUUCCUUCAUAGGUCUUAGAAUUGGUAAAGGGUUUCUUGUCUUGCCUCUGCCUGUUUGUGGCUAUUUGGAGGCAACCAGACGAACGAAAGAGAGUUCUUGGUUGAGUUGCUUCUUCGAUUUUUUGUUCAUGAAUAAGCGAUCCAAAGAAAAUUUGAAAUUAAAAUGAGAGAAACCGCUUGUCUCAACCCAAAAUUCUCAACCUACACAAGGCCAUAUUCAUUCGUUUUGUUUGGAUGCUAGGACUUCUGUCUCCCCCUUACCGAAAUGCGAUCUUGUAUUUUACUUUUUUCGAUUGGCGGCUGAUUUCUAUGCUUUUUAUUGGAAUUUUCUUGUCUUCUUGCAGCACUGUGUUUCAUCAUUUAUGAAUUUGAAAAUGAAAUUUCUCUCUUGGUGAUGUAUGGAAAAUAGAUGGAAAAUGGGUCCCGUGUGUUUUCUAUAUUCAGGAAGCAGAUAAUUGCGAAAAAUACAAUUAAAAUGUUAACAAUAAAAGUUAAAAAUAUAUUAAAAUAAUUUUUAAAUAGAUUAUAUUUUAUCAUCUGUCUAAUAUUAUAAAAUGAUCAUUUUACCCUUUAAUGAAAAUAAAAUAACUUAAAAUGUUAAUAAUAAAAUUUUAAAAAUAUAUUAAAAGAAUUUUCAAAGAAGAUAUAUUUUGACACAUUAAUCAAAAUAAAAUAAUUUAAAAUAUAAUUAACAAAGAAAUUAAAAAUAUAUUAAAAGAUUCCCAAAAAGUUAUAUUUAGACAUCUUUCCAACAUUAUAAAAUGACUAUUUACCUUUCUCAAAAUUAUAAAAUGAUUAAUUUACCUUUUUUAACAUUCUAGAAUAACUAUUUUAUUUUUUAAUGAAAAUAAAAUAACUUAAAAUAUAAAUAAUUUAAAAAAUAAAAAUUAUAAAAUUCGAAAAAAAAAAGAUCUAUAAAUUUUUUGUAUAUUAAAAAUUUAUAUAUGAAUUCAACAAUUUAAAAAAGCACCAAACGAUGCAUUUAAUAAAAAAAAAAAUUCUUAUCCUUCUAGAAAACGCCGGGGUUAAUACUAGCAACUGAAAUUAAGGACCCGUUUGAUUCCAUCACAUCGAAGCAAUGGAAUGCAAUGGGAUUUUGACCUCCAAUGCACCGUGGUUCGUGAGAUGCAUUUAGAUAGCGAUGAUGCAGUUGGGAGCUUCUGCACUGCUUUUUAGAUUUUUAUUUAAAGGAAAGGAUCCGGUGAUUUACUAAUCUCAACGGCAGUCAAAUGCUUUAAUGUAUUCGGUUUAAUGUAAAAUUAAAAAAGAAAAGGAUUUUCAAUUAUAAAAUAACUGCUUUUAAAGUAGGGAUAUUCUUCUUAUUGCAAGAUUAUCAGAUGUGGAAAACAGAGAUGGAGAUUACAGGGGAAAAACAGACGAGCAUUCAUCAUGAAAAUAUAGUUCAAAUUAUACAAAAAAAAAAAGCUUGUAUUAAUUUAAUUAUAUAAUAUAUGAAGGAUUGUUCUUUUACAUAUUUUCAACCUUCCAUAUCAUCUGUAUACAUUCAUCCAUAAUUGAUAAAAUACAAGCUAAAAAACAGAUUAAUGAGGCAAUUGGAAGAAGCUAGCACAGAAUACCAGUGCAAACUCUUAAAGAUAAAUGAAAGGGCAAUCGAUCGGAGUCCUCUAGCCAACAUUUUCUCGUAAUUCUCAAUGGAUUCCAGCCUCUGGAGCAAAAGUUGGUGCCUGAAUUUCUGGAUGAAUGCCUCGGCACUUUCGUUUAUGUCGACGAAUGGCUUUUUCCCUCUGACAUUGGACCUCAUGGCUCUAUGAUCUUUGAAGUUAUGGACAUUUGGUUCUGGAAUUUUGGAGUUGUGGUAUGAAUGAGGCAUGGAGCUGUUCUUCAUUGUAAUUGCAAGAUAGCUUUCUCUAAUUCUUUCUUCCUUGCACAACUCUCUUUGUUGAUAAGAUGAUGGUUUGGUUUCCCAUAUUUAUAGCUAAGAAGUCAAAUAAAAAAUGGGUUAUUUUAAUAGGCUGUGAUUCCAUUUCACAUUUUUUAUGUAGGAGCACGCCUUGCUAGAAUUUUCAAGUAAAAGAUAUCAACAAGUUCAAGUUAUAGAUGGAAAACAUCGUGGGAGGAUAUGCCAUGGUGCUUCUUUUCUUUUUUUUUUUGUAAAUUUUAUAACUUGUGCAAAGAUCUUCCUAAAUCCUAAUAGUCAUGCUUAGUAAAAUGAUGUAUUUUCAACAAUUCAGACUUAAUCUAAUGAUUUAAAAAGAUUGAGUUCCGCAAUUUGAAUCUUGAUAUAUACUAAAAAGAGUUAUAUGCACUUUUCUAUUAAUUUGAUUAAAAACUUUUGAUAAUGUUAAAAUGUUAGACCACUUACAUAUAAUUGAUAAUGGGUUGGUUUAGCUUAACAUUUCCCAUGUUAGGGCAAACAAGGUCCCUUAUUCACACUUACUACCCAUAUAUAGAAUUAGAGAUAUUAUUAUGUCUCAAGAUAUAGUAUGGACAUUAUGUUUUAUUCACAUGAUAUUAUAUAAAUUAAUACCGUAAAACGUUAAUAAAAUUUUAAAUUGCUCAAAAUUUUUAGUAAAAUUAUCGAGAAUCAUAUAUAAUAAUAAUAAUAAUAAUAAUAUAUCUUAUUCUAAAGAGAAAACUACAAGUGACUAAUUCUAGCAAUUAAGGGUUGGGAUAACAGACUGGGGAGUAUUACUGCCUACUCUGACCAUCUUUUUACUAUGAAGAAAGACCUAAGUUGUAAUUUUCCCACACGUAUUCAGGUAGUCAAAUUCAAAUGAAAAUUACGGCUUAAGCAAUGACCCAGCGGGUUGAGGCCCCAAGGUGCCCUUUCGAGGCACCAUUGUUGGGGAUCUAAGGACAAAAUAUGAACUUGCGUUUCUAUAGAUUUACAUAUAAUAAUUGUUAGAUAUCAUACCUGUUUUAGCAAAAGAAAUAGUAUAAAAUUGAAAGGUAGAUGCGUAGUUAAAAUAUUAUAAUAUUCUAAUCAUCCUAAUUAAUUUGCCUUAACUUUCCAUCCUAACUCUUCCUAGCCAUGAUACUCGAGCGAGUCCCAGCUGUCAUACUUUUGUUUGUGAAAUGGCACCACCAUGUUCCCUCCUUGGGCUUACAUCAAUGGUGGAUACACUUACAUAGUCAUAUUCAUCUUCAAUUCAGAAUUUUGUUUUAAAUUAUCUGUGGUUACACAGAUUUAAAUUAUCUGUGGUUGUAAUCUCUUAUCGUUACUGUCAUCUUGCAGUAUCAUGGAUUCAGAGCAGUUGUGGAAAGACAUCUGGUUUGGAUCGUGAUGGCCAGCCUAUCAAAGUAGAUGCUUCAGGGUGGCAGGCACGCAUUUUGCAGCAUGAUCAGUGUGCUCAUUUGGGUGGAACAUGCUAAGAUGGUUCCUAUAACUUUCAAAACUGUUCAAAACUUGGAGAUGCCUCUUGCUGAAGCUUGGUGCCCGCUAUCUCAUAUUUUUACAGACAAAUCCAGUCGGAGGAUGAUGCAAAACAAAUGAGGCAUAUAUAAAAGCUAGUCUAUGAAGCUUCAAAGUAAUAGAUUUGUUAUUUGGGAAGAUCUCUGGUUCGAGUUGAAAGCAUUGGAGUUCUUUGAAUGGAAUGCAAAGUCCAUUCAUUUCACGGUAUUCUAAACAGUUUGGUUUGAGUUGUUCACUCACUGCGGCUAGCGGUUGAAUGCUCUUACCCCUAAAUUCAUGGUUUGUACUUUUGUAUGUAAAGUUUAUUGAAAAUACACUUUCCGUAAUGUAACUUGAUCAUAUUUUCACAUUAUGCGGAACUAAUUAUAUUCUUAAUUAAAAGUACUAGAGCCAUUGACUUUUGUUCAUUGCCGGCGUGAUAGGCUAAAUAUACAUGGCUGCAAAGACAUUUAUCGUUGCCAUUAUCUUCUUCGGUACAAGGACAAUAUCUUUUAAUUAAGAUUGAUAAAAUUACAGUAGUUGAAAUUUGAGUUUUGCUUUUGUUAUAUAUUAUUUUUUGAAAGUGAUUAUAUAUGUCAAUUAAAUUGAUGGGUUAAUUAUGAUUAUUUCAUUUCAAACAACUUAAGAUCUUUAUUAAAAUCCCAUUUCAUUUCUUUUACCACUUGAUUUCGCACAAGUGCAUGGCCACUAUUGCAAUCAUCUAUCAUUAUCAUAGAAUGAAAGUUAGCAACUUAAGUGGUGUAGUGGUGACAUAUGUUGACAAAGACACAGAAUUUAUCAAUAUUUAAGAGUAGUAUUGCGAGAAAUAUUGAGAACUAAAUUUUGGGACCAUUUUUGGAUGUUUAAUGAUUUCUUUUUGAACUUUGUGUUUGGGUUUUCGUUAUUUUUUUUCUUCUUAUUUUGAAUAGAAUUUUAUACUCUAUAAUUUUUUGUUUAUUUAAUGUGUUAAUUUUAAUUUUUUUAUAAUUUAAUUUAUCUUCAUAUUAUUUUUAUUUAAUUGACUCAUUCCAAAAAUGAUGAUUUUUCACCUAAAAUAUGUUGAUUCAUGAAGAGAUAUUUUAAAUAUUAUUUGCAGUUUAUAAAUAUUUUUAUUAACAUUCAUUUAACAUAAUUUUACAUCUUAUCUCUUAAAAUUUAAAUCAUUAUCUCUCGUAUAUAUUCCUGUGUGUUUAUGUGAUUCAUGUUUAAAAAAUUCUUGAAAUGUAAUGCCGAAUUUCUUUAACUAAGCACUAUGUCAUUGGAAUAACGAUUUUAAUAGUCAAUUUGUAUUAUAGUGAGAAAACUAUUAUCCUUGAUAAAAUUUCUGAGAAGUGUCUUUCCUAAAUCUCUUCCUUCCUUGUUCCUAUGGGUUGCAUUAGUAGCAAACCAUCACUUACAACAUUAUCCCUAGUCAUUGUUUCUGCUUAUUUUUUUUUCCCUACGAUUUUGAAGGUACACUCAUCUUCAUGGACAUGAUGCAUUUAAAAUUAUACUUUUUUUUUUGGUGUUGUUAUGAUUAGAUGAAUUUGAUUGAAAGAAAAGCAGGUGUAAAGUAAGUUACAAAUAAAUAUGUUACGGUAUUAAGGUUGUAAUAAAAAUGUUUUGAAAAAACUAAUUACAAACUCCAAUGAUAAUACCAUUUGACAUUUAGCAUUUAGCAUCUGUCGGGGACAUAUAUGGCUAAGAAUUUAUCAGUUAUGCAUAUUUAGGAUAGAGUAGGAUUGGCCGGAUUGUCUUUUUCCUUCAAUUUGGAGAACAAUGGUUGCCUACUUGCUUUCAGCACACGUGAGAGAGGAGGCAACUCUUUUCUCUUUGUUGCUUUUGUUUUAUCAAUUCAAUUAUUAGAGGUGGACAUCAUGUCAAAAUGAAAAAGCAAAUAUCCCCUCAAUAAUGCAAAGUAUUGUUAUAAAUGUUGCUAUAAUAGAGAUUGGUAUAUGGGCAUAAAAAGAAAAAAAAAACACAAAUAAUUCUAGAUAAAGUGAUCGUAUUUAAAUAAAGCAUUAGAUCUUAUGAGGUUUUGGCUUAGUGAGUUAAUGGCAAAAAUGAGGUUUUAGAAUCCUGAAGUCCUUCAAGUUUCAUUAUAUGUAAGUUUUGUUCAAUUUUAUAUUGAAUUUGUUUAAUAAUAUUCUAAUUUAUUAGUUGAUUAUUUAUUAUUUUUUAUAUAUAAAUGUAAUAUUGAAUUAUAAUUAUAAAUUUUCUUCCAUUGAUUAAUUUUCAUUGAAAAAAUAAAGCAUUAGAAAUUAAAAAAGUCUAUGUAUAUAAAAAUAAAAAAGUUGAUAGUGCUUCUCUAUCCAUUUGUCAUAAUGCUUGACUUGAACCCUAAAUUUGCAACUUACUCAUUGCCUGAAAUAAACAUAUUAUUGUAGUAAUAAUUUCCACCUAAGAAAACUAGACUAUGAACAUCUUUCCAACAGAAGACUCGAAAACAUUUUUUUCCCUUUAGGAUGUGCUAUGUGAACAAAAGGUAUUGGGUGGAUUAAAGUUUCACUUUGAUAAAGUAAAGUACCGCUGAGAUUAGUUUCAUUCGAACAGAAUAAAUUUGAAAUUAAUUUCAGAGCUAGCUUUUUAUAAAUUAACAGAAAAUUUUUUAAUUCUAAAACGAGAUUAAGAGACUAGCAUUAGUGUUUUUUUAAUAUAUCCUAUAAACUGAGCUUUAGAUCAAUUGAUAUGUCAAUAGAACUGAUGUUUAUUGUGGGUUCAAAAAUGUUUAUGCGCAAAAAUUUUUUUAACCAAGUAAAUAUUAUAGUAAAGAAAAUUUACAGAUAGAUUAGGGAUCUCAAAAAAUAUUAAUAUAUCCUAAAAUAUAUAUCAUAUUGUUAACCCCAUUUAUAAAAUUUAAAAACUUCACUUACAAUGGAUGAAAUAAUUUCUUCUAGUUUCAAGAGUUCUUCGAACUUUUGUAUGAAUUGCUUUAACCAGUUUUUAGUUAAUUAUAGGAUUGAAGAUUGGAGUUUUUAUGGCAAAACUUGUUAGGUAGUUAAGUUGGGUUCUACAAACUCCUUAGUUAAAAAAAAAAAAAAUUUUAAAUGAAUUCACAAUUUCUUCAGCUUUGGAAGAAACAAUAUAAAGAAAAGAAGGCAUUCAAUAAUUCAUAGAUUAUUCUAUCAAAAAAAAAUUCAUAGAUUAACCUAACCAUAAUCUUCUUUUCUUAUGGCUCGAAAAUACCCUUAAUCCCCUUCCUAACCAGUGGCCAGUGGACCUUCAAGGACAUCUCUGAGAUGCUAGGAAGUAACUUUAAUGCAUGUAAAAGAAUUAAGAGCAAAUUGGGGGCAAGGGUCCAUUCCCCCCUAUUUGAAGAUCCCCUGAAUUCCUGANNNNNNNNNNNNNNNNNNNNNNNNNNNNNNNNNNNNNNNNNNNNNNNNNNNNNNNNNNNNNNNNNNNNNNNNNNNNNNNNNNNNNNNNNNNNNNNNNNNNNNNNNNNNNNNNNNNNNNNNNNNNNNNNNNNNNNNNNNNNNNNNNNNNNNNNNNNNNNNNNNNNNNNNNNNNNNNNNNNNNNNNNNNNNNNNNNNNNNNNNNNNNNNNNNNNNNNNNNNNNNNNNNNNNNNNNNNNNNNNNNNNNNNNNNNNNNNNNNNNNNNNNNNNNNNNNNNNNNNNNNNNNNNNNNNNNNNNNNNNNNNNNNNNNNNNNNNNNNNNNNNNNNNNNNNNNNNNNNNNNNNNNNNNNNNNNNNNNNNNNNNNNNNNNNNNNNNNNNNNNNNNNNNNNNNNNNNNNNNNNNNNNNNNNNNNNNNNNNNNNNNNNNNNNNNNNNNNNNNNNNNNNNNNNNNNNNNNNNNNNNNNNNNNNNNNNNNNNNNNNNNNNNNNNNNNNNNNNNNNNNNNNNNNNNNNNNNNNNNNNNNNNNNNNNNNNNNNNNNNNNNNNNNNNNNNNNNNNNNNNNNNNNNNNNNNNNNNNNNNNNNNNNNNNNNNNNNNNNNNNNNNNNNNNNNNNNNNNNNNNNNNNNNNNNNNNNNNNNNNNNNNNNNNNNNNNNNNNNNNNNNNNNNNNNNNNNNNNNNNNNNNNNNNNNNNNNNNNNNNNNNNNNNNNNNNNNNNNNNNNNNNNNNNNNNNNNNNNNNNNNNNNNNNNNNNNNNNNNNNNNNNNNNNNNNNNNNNNNNNNNNNNNNNNNNNNNNNNNNNNNNNNNNNNNNNNNNNNNNNNNNNNNNNNNNNNNNNNNNNNNNNNNNNNNNNNNNNNNNNNNNNNNNNNNNNNNNNNNNNNNNNNNNNNNNNNNNNNNNNNNNNNNNNNNNNNNNNNNNNNNNNNNNNNNNNNNNNNNNNNNNNNNNNNNNNNNNNNNNNNNNNNNNNNNNNNNNNNNNNNNNNNNNNNNNNNNNNNNNNCACAGCCUAACAUUCUCAAUACUUGCAGCGUUGAAAAAGCAGAUAUCAACUGUCUUGGAAUUCGUAUGGCAGGACUAAAGCAUUCCAAGUUCAAGCAUUUAAGCUUUUCUAAAGCCUUCAAUUCAAUUGGUAGCUCUCUUAUCCCUGUAUAGGAGAGAUCGAGACAUUCCAGAGACACCAAUUUCGAAAUUCCCACUGGAAAUUCUUUUAUAUAUCUAUUGUCUGACAAGUUUAGAACUUUUAAGCCACACGUAAAUUGGAAGAAGUCAUUAUUGAUCACCUGCAACUGAUUAUCGUUAAGAAACAGAGUUUGGAGUCAGGACAGUUAGGUGCUUCUACUAGAUUUUCAAUCCUAUUCUUCAACAAUGACAUCCUGCGUAUACUUCCCCAAUUCUGAACUUCUGGUAACUUAGUUAAUUGAUAACCUGCCUCCACAAAAAACCUCCACUUUUCUUCUUCACACUUACAUGUGUUGGGAUUUGCCUUGAAUCUCGUAAUCCCACAUCGAAAUUUAUAAGAGUUUUCAAUUUAUUUUUUAUCUCAUAUCGAGAGUUUAUUAAAGGUAUAAGGGGUUUUACUCUUAUAAAUAAUAUGUUUUAGGUUUAGUUUAAUAAUCUCAUAUGAUUAGAUACGAAAAUCUCAUAUAUUUAAUCACCAAGAGAACAACUAGGUAAGUAGGUUAUAAAAGAGUAUAAUUGGGUUUUGAGUUAAAUUUUGAAUAAAGAGUUUUUUGUGAUUUUUCUUAUUUUAAAAGUCUUUCAAUUGUAAAGAUUUAUUUGAUAGUGAAUUAGGUUCGGAGUAAAUCAUUUUAAGUUUGACCAAAACAAAUAUAUUUGUAUGUUGUUAUUCUUAAUUUGAAUUUACUAUUUUAUGUCUAGGUGCUGUGGUUGAUUUCCCAACAACAUGCUAUCCACAAACUCAUGUCAAGAAACAUGUCAUGCAUCUUUAUGCAAAAUUCAUUUAUUUCUUCCAAUAAACAUACAUGAAGAAGACAAACAAUGAUGUGGUGGCCUUGGUUUUGAGCUAAACUUGUAUUGCCACGUCCAUCCAAAAACCCCGCCCCUAUCCAGAAAUCUAUAAGCAUAUCUUUUCUAAUUUGGUAAUCCUUCGAGAACAAACUACAGUAUAAGAGGCAAGUUCGAAUCAUGUCAUUGGGAAGAGAAUCAAAACUGAAUUUUAGAAGCGGAUAUACCUCUUCAUCCACGUCUAGUAAAAUAGAGGCAGAUGAUCUCCGACACACUUCAAUUGCAUAUUUCCAUUCUUCAACUGUGUUCUUCCAAGCCAUGGCACGAGCAAUGGUGACGAGUGCGAGAGGCAGUCCUCCACACUCUUUGGCAAAUUCAUGAGCCAACUCACGAAUACAUGGAUUACUUUCAAGUGUUUCUUCACCAACUUUCUUUGAAAUAACUCCCAAGCUUUUUCUUCAGGCAAACACCGCACUCCAAUCUUCUUAUGAGCUUCCAUUUGGCCACACACCUUCAUAGAACAAGCUGUGAAAACUAGUUUGGAACCAUUUUCUUGAGUGGGGAGAGGUAUCCGAACCUUAGAUAGAUCAACUCGCUCCCACAUAUCAUCUAAUAACAUAACAAAUUUCUUUUCCUUUAAAACCCUAAAGAUGUUUUGAGCUUUUUCCUCUGGACUUUUGUUCUGCCAUGUUCCACCAGCUAUUCCCACCCUUUCAGCAAUGCCAUCUUGGACCUUUCCGAUAUAAAACCCUUUAGAUACUACUAUCCAAAUAACUACAUCAAAUCGAUUUGGGGGUUCAUAAAACUUGUUGUGGAUUUUGUUCAGGAGGCAUCCCAUGCCAUGCAGGCCAACAAUUCCCACUUGUUCAGCUUCAAGGAUGCUCCAAGCCUUGUCGAAUUUGGAUUCCAAACCAACAGUAUGUUCAGGAGGUCAUUCAGUCACUAGAGGUGUUGGUUCUUCCUCAGCCACCUUGUCAAAAACUCCCUUGCUCUUAUGAUCCACAACAUUUCGGAGCAUUUUGGCAAUUUGCUUCCCAAACUUCAGGUUGGACUUGGGACUCAUAGAACAACAACCUCCUAUACAUAAUUUCUUAAUUUCCUGAGGACUUUCCACAAUCAACAAUGAGCUCCCUUAAUCAAAGUUUCUGCCCUCGAAAGCCAUCAUUGAACUUGGUCUAGCCGCUUCAGCUGUUGCUGAUCUUCGGCUAUUUUCACACUUCUGAUAACAUCAUCCCUUAGACCAGUUCAAAUAUUUCAGCCUUUGUUGGGACUUGAGCUCAGUUGGCAACUGUCUUAUACUUGUCUUGGAUAGUUGAGAUAUUGCAAGGAAACAAGUUUUGAAAUUCCCUGGGUCAAUUCAGUUAUGCCACUAUUGCAGGACAGGUCUAACACUUUUAGAUUAGGCAUAGAUUGGAAGAAGUCAUUGCUGAUUGUCUUCUAUGUGUUUUCAUUGAGAAACAAGGUUAGUAGGUUGGGACAUGAAGGUGUUUCGAUUGGAUUCUGAAGGCAAUUUGCCAUUAGUGAUAUCCUUUUUACUGCUUCCCAUUUUUUGAUCUCUGGUGCUUCAAUUAAUCGAACACCUGCUUGCACUAAAAUACUUUCCUAAAAAAUAUUGCACCCAUUAGCUAUCCACAGAGCCAUAUCACGAAUCACAUCGUGCAUUUUCACAUCAUAACCUUCUCCUUCCAACACACAUGCAAAUACAAUUGUCCCAAUAAAGUCAUACCCUUGAUUUUGAGCUCCAUUUCUGCCAUUACAUUCAUCUAAAAGUCCUUCACAAAUCCAAUAAUAAAUUAAAUCAGUUUUGUGAAUGACAAAGUCUUUUGGAAAUAAAGUACAAUAUAAGAAGCAAGAUCUCACUUUCCAAUUAGGUAAAUGAUCAAAGAACUUCAUAAGAGGAAAGACCUUAUCCUCCAUACCUCAAAAUUCUGAGGCACAUUUUCUCAAAACCUCAAUUGCACGAAUCCAUUCUUGUGGUGUCUUCUUGCAGGCCAUGGCUCGACCGAUGGUGAUAAUUGCUAGUGGCAUACCAGCGCACUCUUUGGCCAUAAUUUCCGACAGCAUAGGAAUGUCUGGAUGCAAGUUGAAAGUAUCAUUUACCUGUCAGCUUGUGUUGGAAAGAGAAUAAGCGAACAAAAAGGAUUGUAAGUUUGAAAAUUCUAAUCAGCAAUCUGGAAUGUUUGUAAUUUAGCGUAGCAACACAAUGAGAACCAUCAUUCAAUAUUUUCCGAUUGAAGUAUUGAUUUCAUCACUGCUUCCAAGCUCCAGCCACUUCCGAUAAGAAAAAUGGGCAUGAGCAUCAAAGUAGUUUUCAGAUUUCACAAUAACGAAACGAAACAAUAUAUAUAUAUAUAUAUAUAUAAUAAAAUUGAGUUAGAUUAAUGUUUUAUAAAGCUGAUUAAUGUAACUACCUUAAUGAAUUAAGCAAAAUAUAUUAACUUUCUAUAUUAUCAAUUUGGUGGAUAGUUGGAUCAUAUUGAAACAAGCAGCUUCAAUUUUUUCUUGAACAAAAUGUCAGAACAAAAUCCACACAUUACACAAAAAUUAAUUUAUAGAUUUUCACCGAUCAUUGCAUUUAUUAAAAAUAUUAUAAAUGAAACCUACUCGCUGAUCUAGUAAAUUUAUCUUGAACAUUGUUUAUUACAAAUAAAAAAAUUUUACGUGCGGUAACGUACGAGACUAUUUCUAGUUCAUGUUAAUAAAGCAACAGUUCCAUUCAUUUACCCUGAGAUCAUGCAUAUAUUGUUGCUAUGGACCAUUGAAUAUUCUUUGUUGCCCAGAAGUAUGGUUUGCCUGAUCCCUCGUUAUAAAUGUUUACAUCCUCUUUCACUCCCCAUAUCAUAAUUUUUGGACUUUUUAACUGUUUAAGUGGAAGUUUUAACACCACGAAAUAAAAAUAAAUUAGCCUAACAAAAAAGAGAGAAGUUGAGAAAGCUCAUAACAGCUUCCAAAGAGCAUUUGCAACCACAAUAAUUAGAUUGUAUCAAUACUAACUUAAUAGAAAUUAGAAACUUCUGAGUAAAUGAUAUAAAUUUGAAAUUUUUAGUAUCUUCUACUCGUAUAAAUUACAAUACCUAUAGUGUAUUAAUUUUUGACAUAUGCGUAAUGUACAUGUCAUUUUUAUAUUUAAAAAAUUCAAUUAAAUAAUUUUUUUUUGUUUCUAUAUAAUAAUGAUAAAUACGAACAAUUUAAUUUUAAUUUUGAUAAUUUUUUAUAUAUUUUGAUAACAUUUGUUAGAAGUUUGAUCACUGUUCAUAAAUUUUUGGUAUCUUCUAUACAAUUUUGUUAACUUUCAAUAUUUAAUGACUUAUUAUAUAAUUUUGGUAACAAUUGAUAUAAUUUUGAUACUUUUUUAUAAAAUUUUGAUAACCGCUUGAUGUAAUUUUGAUAAGCUUUAUGAUAUACGUUGACUAAAUAUUUAAUUUGAGAGAUGAAACAUUUAUAUGAUUAUUCAAUUUAGAACUAAACAUUUUAUUUUAUAUGAAUAAAAAUUAAAUGCUAUGGAAUGUUUAUAAUUAAAUAUAUAUUUAGAUGAAAAUUUGUGAGUGUUUCACACACACUAUUAACUCUAAAAAAUAACAAUUAAAUGAAAAAAUCAAUCAUCUAUAAUUUUGUUAGUGGUUAAGUAUUAUUUUAAAUAAAAAAAUUAAAAAUAAUCCUAAAAUAGAGAUCUAUUUUUUAGGAAAAAAUUAGAAAAAAAAAACAUUUCAUUUUUUCUUACUAUUUUAAAUACAGUUUAAAAACAAAAAGUAAGAAAAUAAAAAUUAAAAGUUCUAGUAUUUUUUUCACAAUCAUUAAAUUUUCAAUUAUUCAACAUUAAUCUACAAAAAAAAAAAAUCACCACUCCAUACUAUAAUACUCAUGAAAUUCAAAACCCAAAACUAAACCCUAUAAAUAAAAAACAUUUCAUUUUUUUUUUAUAUUUUAGGAAAAAAUUAAAAAAAAACAUUUCAUUUUUUCCUACUAUUUUAAAUACAGUUUAAAAAUAAAAAGUAAGAAAAUAAAAAUUAAAAGUUCUAGUAUUUUUUUCGCAAUCAUUAAAUUUUCAAUUAUUCAAUAUUAAUCUACAAAAAAAAAAUCACCACUCCAUACUAUAAUACUCAUGAAAUUCAAAACCCAAAACUAAACCCUAUAAAUUUUUGUUUGUCUAAAAAUUUUGAAUUAAAACAUGUAUGAAAAAGACAAAAAACUGAAACCAAUGAUCUAACAUCACCCUAAUUAUAGAGCUCAAGGAUCAUAAACCCCUUCAAAAAUCAUCAAAUCCAAGGAAUAUCCCAUGAUCCGAAGGGUAAUUACCUGAACCCAUUGUCAAAAGAUCUAGAAACAACCCGUCUUUAGGUAAUUCACUGUUCAGCUGUACUGUUUCAUCCAAAAUCAAGCGUGAUGGGGACUCCGCUUGAAACUCAAUGGUGGAUUGCUCCGAAUGGGUCCUGGGAGGCUCUGAGUUUGCAAACUGGGCAACAACUGCCUGGAUUUCGAACACACACUUCCCCCAUUUUCACUUUCGAACACCCUUGAAUUGCAAAUUGCUUUUCUCAGCUGCAGGUUUCUCGCUUAUGUGUUUCACUAUAUUCUUUUCCUUUUCAAAUCUCUGGGAUUGUCUUGGGUUCUCUUUCUCAGUUCUGUCUUUAAGCUUAUUAGGCACACCUCAUAACCCUCACCUCCCCUUGAUUCAUUUCUUCGAGACACCUUUUCCAUCUCCAACUUCUUAAUUAUAAAAUUACAAAAAGAGAUUCAUUGAUUAGGUGUUUGUUAAUCUGGUUUUCUUCCAAAAUUUCAAAAUUGGCAUAGAUUGAGCAUGCACAACCUUUUAACGGCUCAACAAGGCAAGGUUUAAAAUUUCUAGUUUUUUUAUAUUGUAAAUAAAGGAGUUACAGCUAAAGAGAGAAAGUGAACACUAAGAGAAAGUAGUUGAAUGGAGAAAAAAAUUGAAUGAAAAAAAAAAAAAAAAAGAUAGCCCUUUGCAAGAACAGAACAAUGGGAGGCUUUGUAGAGAAACAAGAGUUGAAAGGAGAAAAUUUUGAAGUUAAGAUAAAAGGAAAAAAAUUUGGAAAGAAAGAAGAAAGAAAAGUUGUUGUGUUCUUAUAAAACUGAUGUUUUUAUUAUCUUUUAAUUUUUUUGGGGUUUUAGGGAAUAAAUUAGUAUAAUACACAACUAAACAAUGCAAUUAAACCACAUGGAGAAGACACGCACAAUUUGUCAUCUAAAUAUAUCCUUAAUUGUAAACGUUUAAUAAUGUUUAAUCCUUAUUUAUAUUCUUAAUUGUAAUCGUUUAAUCUUAAAUUGAGUAAUUAUGCAAACAUUUAAUCCUAAAUUGAGUAUUUAACCUAUUUUUUUUUUGUAAUUAUUGAUAAAAUUUGUGCCAUCAUAUAUUAAAUAUUGGAUUCCUACAAUAAAGUGUAGGCUUCAUGUUAGUAUAAGAUAAUUUUCUUUUUUAUAAAGUAACAUUAUUGCUUCAUUUAAAUUUAGAUUUUCUUUACUAAUUUUUUUAUUAAAUAAGCUCAUGGUAGAUUUAUCCUAGCCUCUUAAGAUAAAAGUUCUAGUUUCGUUUUUAAUAGUAACCAAGGUUCAAUACCUGACAACUUUGAAUAUAAAAAAAUUAUCAAAUAUUGAUAAUUAAGUUAUCAUUAUGUUAUCAAUGAUUUACUACUAAGUUAUUAAUAAUUUAUUACUAAAAUAACAUUAAUUUACAACUAAUUUAUAAAUGAUUUAUCACUAAAUUAUAAAUGAUUUAACAUUAAAUUAUUGAUAAUUUAUCACUAAAUUACUAGAAAUUUAUUAUAAAGUUAUAACUGAUUUCUUACUAAGUUACAGAUUAUUUAUUACAAACUUAUCAAUUGUUAACUAAUUUAUUGCUAAAUUAUCUCUAAUUUACAACUAAAUUAUCACUAAUUUAUAACUAUUUUAUUACUGAUUUAUUACUAAAUCCCCAAUGAUUUACUAUUAUACUAUUAUGCAUUUAUUACAUGUUAUCAUUGAUUUAAUACGUAGUUUUCGAUUAUUUACUAUGAAAUUAUUAUAAUUUAUUAUUAAAUUAAUCAUGAUUCACCAUCAAGUUAUCACUUAUUUAUAUUAAAUUAUCCAUGAUUUACUAUAAUAUUACUAGUGGUUAAUUAUUAAGUUAUAGAUUAUUCAAAAAAAAAAAUUAAGUUAUCGAUAAUUUACUACAAGUUAUAUUGAUUUACUUUCAAGUUUUUAAUAAUUAACUACUUAAUUAUUAUUGAUACUAUUAAGUUAUUUAUGAUUUAAUACUAAAUUUAUCAUUGGGAUAAUGUUACAAAUGACUCUUGAAUUAUAGUGAAAUGUUCAAUGUGGUAUUUAAAUUUUAAAAAUCUUUAAUGUGAUACUUAAACUAUGAAUUUGUUAAUUAAUAUGGUACUUAUCCCUAACAUAAUUAGUUUCAAAUGAUGAUACAUGGCAUACAAGCAACUUUUCAAGUACUGCAUUAGUUAAUAAUUUUAUAGUUCAGGUAUCACAUUAUAUAUUUCACUAUAGUUUAAGAGCCAUUUAUAACAUUAACCUUUUAUCAAUUAAUUACUAUUAAAGCAAAAUUGAUUUAUUUUUAAGUUAGCAUUGAUUUAUUGUUAAGAUGUAUAUGAUUAACUACUAAGUUACUAUUUAUUUUUUAUUAACAUAUCCUUGAUUUAUUAAUAUGCUACUAUAUAUUUACAAUUAAUGAAAUAUGGAAUUUAAAAAGUUACUGACAAUAUAUAAGAUAAUUUUAUUUUAUACGAUAAUAUUAUUAUUUAUUCAAAUUUAAAUUUUUUACUAAAUUUUUAUUGAAUAGAUUUGUGAUAGGUUUAUUCUAGCCCCUAAAGAUGAAAGUUUUUUAUUUGUUUCCGCCAUGAACCAGGUUCAAUCCCCUAAUAAUAAAAAAUCAAUGAUUAAUAAUUAAAUUAUUAUUUUAUUUACUAUUAUGUUAUUAAUCAUUUAUUACUAAGCUACCAAUAAUUUAAUACUAAAUUAUCAAUAAUUUAUUACAUAUUUAUAAAUGAUUUAUCCUUAAAUUAUGAAUUAUUUAUCGCUAAGUUAUUGAUAAUUUAUUAUAAAGUUAUAACUUAUUUAUUAUUAAUUUAUGAAUGAUUUAUUAUAAAAUUAUCAAUGAUUAACUAAUUUACUGCUAUAUUAUUACUCAUUUGUAGUUAAGUUAUUAAUAAUUUAUUAUUACGUUAUUGACGAUUUACUACUAAAUUAUCAAUGAUUUAUUAUUAUAUUAUUAUAUAUUUACUAUUAUGUCAUAAUUGAUUUACAAUUUAAUUUUCGAUUAUAUACUACAAAUUAUUAUUAAUUUAGUAUUAAAUUAUCCAUGAUUCAUUACCAAGUUAUCAUUAAUUUAUAUUACAUUAUCCAAAUUUACUAUUAAUUUAUCAUUGAUUAACAAUUAAGUUAUUGAUGAUUUACUAUUAAAUUAUAUUGAUUUACUUUUAACGUAAUGAGUAACUAUUAAAUUAUCAAUUAUUUAAUAUUAAGUUAUUAUUCACAAUAUAAAAAAAGUUAUUUAUAAUUCACUACUAUUAAUUAAUUACUAUUAAAAUAAAAUUGAUUUAUUAUUAAAUUAUCACUAAUUUACUAUUAAGUUAUUAUUAAUUUAUUAUUAAGUUAUCAAUGGUUAACUAUUAAGUUGUCACUUAUUUUUCAUUAAAUUAUUCUUGAUUUACUACUCUCUUGUUAUUCAUUUACAAUUAUAUUACAAUUAAUUUAUUACUAAAUUAUUAUGCAUUUACUAUUAUAUUAUUAUUGAUUUAUUACUAAGUUAUCAAUUAUUGACUAUUAAAUUAUUAUUCAUAUAUUGAUUUAUGCAUGAUUUACUAUUAAGUUAUUAUUGGUUAAUUAUUAAGUUAUCAAUAAUUACUAUUAAGUUAUACUGAUUACUUUUAGCUUUCAUUGAUUAAUUACUAAAUUAGCAAUCAUAUACUAUUAUGUUGUCAUUAAUUUGCAUAUAUUCAAAAAGAAAGCAACCGUAAUGAAUGCUAAAUGAUGUAAUUUAUAAGAUAGAGAAAGAAGUAAGAAAAUGUUUAAACGUAGAUGACUUGAAAAACAAAAAGUAAAUGCUCUUAAUUUGCUAUUUGUAGUUUAGCAUAUAAUAAUAAGUUAAAAUCCUAACUUUUUAUACUAAUGUAAGUAUCAAAGCAAAGUUAAAUUAAUGUAUAAUAUAUAUUAAGUUAAUAUUUUUAAAAUAUUCUUUAAAUUUUUUAAUUCAUUGUAAAAUAGUACAUAUUAAGAUAAAUUUUGUUAAUAAUUUGAUUGAAUGAUUUGUUAUAUAUUUUUAUACUUGUUAGCGAAGUACAAUUUCUUAUAAAAGAUUGAAAAAAUUGAAGUAUUAUGCCAACAAUGAAAAUAAUAAACUUUACCUUAUGUUUCCAUCUUUAAGUAUAUAAUUUUAGGUAAAAUUUAAUUAUGCAAAAGCAAUGAGAAAAAAUUUACUAAAUAAAAUUUAUAAAAAAUAAAUAGACAAUAAUUUUUAAAAAAUUAAGUUUAUAAUAAUUACUUUCACAUUCUCUUUCAAAAAUUUCUUUUAUUAAAUGAAAAGAUAGUAUAUUUCUAAUUGUUAUUUCAUUUUUAUUACUAUCAUUCAAAAUGCAUUUUUUUUUUUUUAUAUUUUGAUGUCAACCAACUUUUUCAUUUGAAAAGAAUAAAGAUUAUAAGGGGUCAUAACGACCCAAAUAAUAUAUAACUGUAUGUUAUCUUCCUAAAUAAGUUUGAACUAUAAUAUCUACUUCAAAUGAAAUGUUUAAGUUGUUUCCUUCAAUCUAUAUCACAGCAACUUGAUUAGCAAGACUUGGGCAUAAGAAUUUCAAAAUCCUUAAAAGAAGAUAUAUCAUUUAAUCUUUGCACAAUUUGGGUAUAUGAAUUUUCUUCUAGAAUUAUCAUUAAUAUUUCCAUAACUUUUGCACUUAAAUUUUUUUUUUCAUUCUAUUUUGAAAUUUAAUACCAAUGUCAUAAAAGUAUAAUUAAAAAUAAUAUGAAUUAAUUAACUCAAACUUGAAAUAAUUCAAGACUCAUAUUGAGUAUACAUAAAAUUUUUACGCUUUUUGAAUUUUACUAUAAUUAAAAAUAAUAUAAUACACAUAAUUAUAAAAAUAAACAAAUUUCACUUGAUUCAAUUGAUUUUAAACAAUCAAAACCAUAGUGGUUAUUUAAAAUAUGAAAUCACUGAACCCAAAUUUUGAAUUGACAUAGCAAUACAAUCAAAAUCCAAUAUUUUUAUUUUAUUUGAAUUUAAGAUGAUUUUAAAUCCGGCUUUUUAAAGAACGAAAAGUUUGCAUCAAUUAUUAUGUCAAAUUUAUUCAAGUGAUAAGUGAAUAAUUAAGUAUACAAUAAAUAGAAGCAAAUAAAACUUAACUCAACCUAAUUGAUAUUGAUUCUAAAAUUAAAACCCAACUUGAAAUUAUGAGUAGUCAAAAUUCAAAAUAAUUGAAAUACUAGAUACAUAAUUAAAUAAAAAUUUAUCGAAAGAAUUUUCUUCAUUAAUGCUUUUAAAUCACAUUUAAGUUUAGUUAAAUUAUAAUGUAUAAUAAUAUUUUUAUAUUAAAUAUAAUAGUGAUAAUUAAUUUGAUGAAUUUCAAUACUUUUGAAUAAAUAUUACCCAACAUAGUAACCUUAAAAAUUUUUAUAUAAUCAUGAACAUUCCUUUAACUUAUAUAAUGAAAGAAAAAUGAAAGCUAUACAAUUUUUCCUAAAAAGAAUUUUAUAAUUGAUCCUAAAAGAAUUUGAAAUCAUUAAAAUUAUAUAUUUUUCAUUGAAAUAUCAUAUAGCACUAACCUUAUUGAUAUGAAUAAGAUAGAACUAUGUAUAAUCAGUCAAUUUUUUCUCUCAUUUUUUUUCUUUGGAAAAUCUUUUAUUGUUGCUUCCAUCAAUUAAAUGUAAUUCUACAUUCUACCAAUUAAAAACAUAAAUUUUCUUUUAUUUAAAAAUUUUAUUAUACAUAAAUUUUGAUUAUAUAAAAAUAUCACAAUACAUAAUUUUAAAAAUUAUAAUGAAAUAAAAAAGAUUUAAUUAAUUUCUUUUUUGAAUUAUUUCAAGCGACUAAAAAGAUUUAAUUAUAUAAAUUAUCAACUCAUAAAAUAUACAAAUAAUAAAAUUAUUAACAUACAUAUAUAGCUAGUAAAUCAAUUAAAAUAAAAACUUGAAAGGAAAAAAAAUAGAAAUAAAACAAAUAUGCUUUAAUGAUUUGGGAGUCUAAUAAUGAAAAGAAACUUCAUUUAAAUUAAAAUUUAUAAAAAACUUAUUAUGGUACUUUAAUCAAUCAUUUUUAACAUUGUAGGAAUUAAAAAUUUAAUAAGGAUAUUUUAAUCAAUCACUUUUAAUACUUUUUUAGCGUAAUUAUAAAAAAUUUAAUAAUAAAAAAAAAUUAAUUUAAAUUAAAAGUUAUAAAAAAAUUUACUAAGAAUAUUUUAGUGAAUCAUUUUUAAUCCUUUUGGAAUUAAAAUUUCAUAAUUUUAAGCAGUUUAAUUUCACAAAAAAUCUAUUUUUAAUUUUAGUUGAUUUAAAUUAAAUUUAAAUAAAUUAAUAAAAAUUAUAUAUUUAAAAAUAAAUUUGUUAAUUUAAAGAUUUAUAAAAGUAUUUAAGUCAAUCAUUUUUAACACUAUUAAAAUUUUAGACUAUUAAAAUCAUUUAUAAAAGAUAAUAAUUUAUAAUUAAAAAAAGACGAGAAGAAUAUAAAUAGUUACUGCACGUGUUUAAAUCAAGAAAAAGUUGAUAGCAUAACAUGUUAGCUGACCAUAAAUAAAAUCACACAAAUUGAGAUAUUUAGGUUGAAGCUAAAAUUAUUUACUCAGCAUUAAAAUGCAGCCUAUAUUUAAAUCCAUAUAAGCAAAAGAUUCACCAUUAACUUAGUCAAUUUAAUGAACAUCAUACAAAUGAGAAGAUCAUCCACGACUUUAGAACACACCGCAACAGCUUCAAACACAACAAUUAUAACAGAGACUAAAGGUAAAAGUAAUAUGUUUACUCUGCAACUUCAGUAAAUAGAAGAAAAUCGUUUAGAGCACAUUCAUCCUCCCAUUGAAGCUCUUUCCACCAUUUUUUCUCUCCUCUAAUGCUGAUUUUGUUUUCCUUUGCACUGUUGGAGUCGAGUGGAAGUCUUUUCAGCUUUGGGCACCGAUGAACAUAAAUUUCUUUCAAACAUGAGAAGGGAAGUGUAUCCCAGUAAAGCAGGGAAGAAAAUCGUUUAGAGCACAUUCAUCCUCCCAUUGAAGCUCUUUCCACCAUUCUUUCUCUCCCCUAAUGCUGAUUUUGUUUUCCUUUGCACUGUUGGAGUUGAGUGGAAGUCUUUUCAGCUUUGGGCACCGAUGAACAUAAAUUUCUUUCAAACAUGAGAAGGGAAGUGUAUCCCAGUAAAUGCUCUUCAACUCUGGCAAAUACUGUAAGAAAAGAGACUCGAGUUUUCCAAAUAGGGUUAAAGUUUCUACUAGCUCAGCCACUUGACUCAGUUUUCUCUUAUUGAUUAUUUCUUCCAUAUUGUUGCAGUCCACUACAUUAAACUGCCUCAGGUUUGGAGCGAGAAUUAGCCAUGUUAUGUCCUUCAAUUUUGAACAUUCGUAUAUAAAUACUUCGCGAAGGCUUUGGAAGCAAUGUUUGCUUGCAAUCACAGAGGUUUCAAUGUGGCUCUGUGCUUUUAUCAUUCUGCCCAACCCUCCCCACUCCAUCUCCACUUCUUCCAAACUUUCAGACUUCCCAAGGUCUAGAAAUUCUAGACUCUUCAUAUUCGCUAAAGAUAAAAUAUUCAAUCGCUUCGAGUCCUUUACCAGUAGAAGCUGAAUAGCUAAAGUGCAGCUGCAUAACCUUUCAGUACGCAAAAGGCUAUCGAGACCCAAAGCACUUGUUGUAUUGACAGUCAACACAUUCAAAUGGUUCAAGCACUUCAAUUCUUCCACCAAACAUUCACUAUUAUCUUCCACUUCCUGGCCCAAAGAAUAACAGCGAAACAUUCUCAAUACUUGCAACUUUGAAAAAGUAGAUAUCAACUGUCUUGGAAUUCUUAUGGUAGACUCAGAGUAUUCCAAGUUCAGGCAUUUAAGCUUUUCUAAAGCCUUCAAUUCAAUUGGUAGCUGUCUUAUCCCUGUAUAGGAGAGAUCGAGACAUUCCAGAGACACCAAUUUCGAAAUUCCCACUGGCAAUUCUUCUAUACCUCUAUUGCCUGACAAGUUUAGAACUUUUAAGCCACACAUAAAUUGGAAGAAGUCAUUAUUGAUCACCUUCAACUGAUUACCGUUAAGAAACAGAGUUUGGAGAUCACGACAGUUAGGUGCUUCUACUAGAUUUUCAAUCCUGUUCUUCAUCAAUGACAUCCUGCGUAUACUUCCCCAAUUCUGAACUUCUGGUAACUUAGUUAAUUGAUAACCUGCCUGCACAAAAAACCUCCACUUUUCUUCUUCACAUUCACAUGCUAUCCACAAACUCAUGUCACGAAUCACAUCAUGCAUCUUUAUGCGAAAUUCAUUUAUUUCUUCCAAUAAACAUGCAUGAAGAAGAGAACCAAUCAUUUGGUGGCCUUGGUUUCGAGCUAGACUUGUAUUCCCAUGUCCAUCCAAAAACCCCUCUCCUAUCCAGAAAUCUAUAAGCUUUUCUUUAUCAAUUGGGUAGUCCUCUGAGAACAAACUACAGUACAAGAGGCAAGUUCGAAACAUGUCAUUGGGAAGAGAAUCAAAACUGAAUUUUAGAAGUGGAUAUACCUCUUCACCCAUUUCUGGAAAAACAGAGGCAGAUGAUCUCCGACACACUUCAAUUGCAUCUUUCCAUUCUUCAACUUUGUUCUUACAAGCCAUGGCACGAGCAAUGGUGACAAGUGCGAGAGGUAGGCCUCCACAUUCUUUGGCCAAUUCAUGAGCCAACUCACGAAUACAUGGAUUACUAUCAAGUGUUUCUUCACCAACUUUUUCUUGAAAUAAUUCCCAAGCUUUUUCUUCAGGCAAACACCGCACUUCAAUCUUCUUUUGAGCUUCCAUUUGGCCACAAACCUUGAUAGAACGAGUUGUAAAAACUAGUUUGGAACCAUUUUUUUGAGUUGGGAGAGGUAUCCCAACCUUAGAUAGAUCGACUCGCUCCCAUAUAUCAUCUAACAAUAAGACAAAUUUCUUUUCCUUUAAAACCCUAAAGAUGUUUAGAGCUUUUUCCUCUGGAGUUUUGUCCUGCCAUGUUCCAUCAGCUAUUCCCACCCUUUUAGCAAUGUCAUCUUGGAUCUUUCCGAUAUAAAACCCUUUAGAUACUACAAUCCAAAUAACUACAUGAAAUCGAUUUGGGGGUUCACAGAACUUGUUGUUGAUUUUGUUCAGGAGGGUUGUCUUGCCAACCCCUCCCAUGCCAUACAGGCCAACAAUUCCCACUUGUUCAGCUUCAAGGAUACUCCAAGCCUUAUCGAAUGUGGAUUCCAAACCAACAGUAUGCUCAGUAGGUCGUUCAGUUACUAGAGGCGUUGGUUCCUCCUCAGCCACCUUGUCAAAAACUCCUUUGCUCUUAUGAUCUACAACAUCUCGAAGCAUUUUGGUAAUUUGCUUCCCAAACUUCAGGUUGGACUUGGGACUCAUAGAAAAACAACCUCCUACACAUAAUUUCUUAAUUUCCUGAGGACUUUGCUCAAUCAACAAAUGAGCUCCAUUAAUCAAAGUUUCUGCCCUCGAAAGCCAGCCUUGAACUUGGUCUAGCCGCUUCAGCUGUUGUUGAUCUUCAGCUAUUUUCACUCUUCUGAUCACAUCAUUCCUUAGAUCCGUCAAUUCUGCUAAUGCAAUUUUUAAAGCUUCUACGUUUUCUUCAAGCUUGCAUACAAACUGUGCUUGUCCGGCAACACAAUCACAGCAGCGGGUAAUGACAGUGUCGCAUGAAGCUGAGAUCGAGAAGAUGUUACCCAUAGUUAGGCUUUGGUUUUAAAGGGGGAGUUGAACAAUUUCUGGAAAGGAGAAAAAUGAACGAAAUCAAAGAUGCUUUUUGGAAUAUCAAGCCAAAGGGUGAAAAAAUGAAAGAAAGAUAUGCAGAAGGGAACAGAAGGCAGAGAAUAUCUCCUGGAAGUUUUUUUUUGUUUGCUAAUUCUAACUUAACCAAGGGUGUUGGGAGUAGUUGCUGUGGGAUUACUACUAUUUGCCACUUUCUACUUGUUUACUCCAUUAAAAAUAUUCUGUUUGCUAACCGAUUUAACUGGUAAUUAUACCACAACCUACAGAGAAAAACACAUCAGACAAUUUACAUGUAAUGAUAUGAUUUUUUUUUAAAAUUUUGGUAGGAUCAAAUAAUAAUUAUGUUAAAUUGGUUCUUGUAACAAUCAUGCAUGUAUGUUUUCCGAGCAAAAGAUGGCCUUGGGGCCGGGGUGGCUUUUGGCAUCUACCUUUCGGCAGAGGCGGUCAAGAGGAAGUUGCACAUCAAAAAAAUGCAUUAUACUUAGUGACAAAUUAGUCAAUAAUGACUUUAAAAAAUUAAUUUAGUGGGGUGGGUUUUCUGUUGUGUGGAAUAUGCACAAACUUGGUCCAAUUUGGCGUGCACAUCGACGACUAAAUAAACCAAAUCACUUUCCUUUAAGAACAUUGGUUAAAAUUUUUACCUUUUUCACUGGACCUAAAGAAGAAUAAUUAGACAUAAUUGAAAUAUCAUAUGUGGAAAAAUAGUCAGUCAUUUCGAAGAAGAAAAAUAGAAAGAAUGAGUUUUUAAAAUCUUAAAGUUUCAAAUUUAAGUUUUAUUGUAUUUGAAUUUAGUUUAUUUUAUGUUAAUUUAUUUAUUUAAUAAUUUAAUAUUUUUUUAUAAACGUAUGAAAUAUGUGAUUUUUUAAAUUAUUUGAUUAUAAUUGAAAUUUUUAAUUGUAAUUACAUUCAAUAAAAAAAGAUGGUUCCUCCGAAUACUAAAUUUAUCAACCUUGGUUAUGGAAACUUUGUUUUGAUAAUUGAAGCAUAGUAAGGGUAUUUUGAUCCAUGUGCACAUAAUUAAUCUCUUAUAGAGAGAUAAAAUUGGCCCAAUAAUCCUUUGAUUUGGGAAAAAAAUUUAACAGAUUCUACGUUUUUUUUUGUACGAAGGAAAGGAAUUCAGUAUGAGAAGAGGUUUCGGGGUCUUUGUCAAGAAUUGGAUGUUGAGGCUGCCAUUGAAGCAUCACUGAAAACCUUCGUUUUGUAGUUUCAAAACAUACAUUAUUUGUGUAAAAGGUGCGAAUUAAAUUGAAUUUUCCAUGUUAGAAAAUUCAUGGAAUUCAAUUUCGAAGGCAGCUAAGCACCUGUACUGAUUGAAAUAGGGUGAGAGGAGGAGGGGUUUUGAUUGGAGCUGGGAGCUGUCUAUCCUUGACAAAAGCAAAAAUUGGACGCACAGCAUAUGCUUGUUAGGCAAAGGACUUUUACAGGGGAAAAAACAACUUAUGAGAAAAGGCCAUGUAGCUCCAAGAUUUAUAAGACUCUUGAAAUUUCUUUGCUGUUUACUAUAAAGCCAAAAAUUUUCAAUAACAUAAAAAAAAAAGAAGAAAUUUCAUUAAAUUUUUUAUAAUAUCAAUAAAAUGUUAGUAUAUUUUUGGAGUUACCAGUAUUUUACAUUGCAUAGGCGGAAUUGUUGUUUAUAAGUUUAAAUUGUGAAUAAAUUCAAUAUAUUCAACUUAAAAAAAAAAAAACCUUUUUGACAUGUUCUUUCUUCUUUUCCUCCAUUUUUCUUGAUAAUUAAUUCCUAAAGCUUCAUUGACAUAUUCACCCUUUUAGAUAGCAAUUGUGUGUUCCAUUAAGCGGUUGGGUUGUAUUCUAUAUAAGAUUUUUAUUUUUUGUCAAAUGUGCGUUCUACAGAUAUUAAAACGGUGUACAAUCCAUUAAAAUAAUAAUAAAUUUCAUUUUUAUAAAUAAUAUCAAUAAGUCUUGGGAGCAUUUGAUGUGGGAAUUACUAGUAUUUGCAAUUUUCCACUAGUUUAUUCCAUUAAAAAUAUUUAGUUUGCUAAUCAAUUUAACUGGUAAUUAUACCACAACCUACACAGAAAAACAUAUCAGACAAUUACUAGUAGAUAUAAUCAUAUGAUUAUGUUUUUUCUCAAUAAAAAUUAUAGGAUCAAAUAAUAAUUAAGUUAAAUUAAAUUAAAGUUGGUUUCUUGUCACAAUCAUGCAUGUAUUUUUCUCAGCAAAAGAUGUCUUUUGGAGCUGAGAAGGCUUUCCGUAUGGCAUUUUAUAUUGGCCAAAGGAAGUGAAGAGGAAGGUGCACAAUAAAACAAAAUAGUUUAUAUUUAAUGUAUUAUUAACGUAUAAAUUUUAUAUAAUAUUAAUAAUUCAAAUGAUAUCAUCUCAUUAAUGCAUAAAUAUUAAUUCUUAAAAUAAAUAUACAAAAAUUAAUAUUUAAAAAAAAUUUUACUCGUUAAUGAAGUGAUAUCAUUUGAUUCUCUUCAUUAAUGAGAUGUCAUCAUCAUAUUCAUUACUAUCGCUGUGUUUGCAUUUAAAUAUAUAUUCUAUUACUAACUUUAAUCUUAUUAUUAUAAUAAUCAAUUUUACUAUUAUAGUAACAAAUCUUAUCUCCACCACUAUUUUUAAACUCAUCGAAGCCAAUCUUAUCAUUCAUCUAAAUGGACUUAAGAAUGAGUUUUUAAAAUCAUUAAGUUUCAAAUUUAAGUCUUAUUUCAGGUGAAUUUAAUUUAAUUUUAUGUUGAUUUAUUUAAUUAAUUUCUUUUUUUCAUAAAUGUAUGUGUGUAAUAUGUGAUAUAUGAAAUUAUUUCAUUGUGAUAAAUUUUUAAUUGUAAUUACAAUCAAUAAAGUUGAUAAUUCUAACAAAUUCAUUAACUACAUGAAAAUUUUGUUUUCAUCAACUUAUUUAUUUUUGUAAAAUAUAAAAGAUAAUGAAAACAAAACCAAUGAAUUUAAAUAGAGUAUAUCUAUAUCAUAUUUUUAUCAAGUCAAACAUAUGUAAAACAUAAAAAAUUGUAGCAUCAAAUUUGUAUAGCGCCCAAUAGAAAAGGUUUUUUUUUUUAUCAAAUCCAUAUAUAAUUUUUACUAAAAUUUUAAAUUAUUUAGCUUUUAUAUUUUUUUCAUAUUAUUUUUAUUUCGUAUUUAAAAUUAUCAAAUCUAAAUUUAAGCUUAGCAACAAUGUUUUGAUUGGUUUGCACAUGACUAAGCUCUCACAGAAAGAUACCAUCGAAAAACAUAGUAGUCAAGCAUAUAAACAUUUCUAUUUUCUAAAUCUGAGAAUUAACCCAAAUGAUUCACUCUCCUUAAACAAGAUAAGAUCAUAAGGUAAAAAUAUUAAUGAUAUUAUAUCAUGAUUAAAAUAAAAUUUUAGACAAAAAAAAGGUUAUUCUCAUGAAUUAUGAAAGAAAUAAAACCAAAUCUAAAUUAUCUAAAGGUUUGGGAACAUGAAGCAAUUGUAAAAGUUUUCAAAACCAGGAAAUUAAAGAUGAAUUAAGUACAUUGGUUAUGCAUAAUUACAUACAAUAAAGUAUGUAGAUUCAUGUCAUAUUGAAAGAAUAUAUAUUCAAGGUAAUUCAUCAAGUUACUAAAAAAAAAAAUUCAUAUGAACUAGAAACAGAAUUCUUCUAAAUCGAAGAAUAUAAAUACCUAAUACAUUUUAAAAUAUAGAGUUAAAAAAGUAAAAUUAUGUUUUAAGUUUUUUAUUAAAAUAAUAAGAAUCACAUGACUCAUAGUUCUUAAUGAUACUUGUUUUAAGAACAAGUUGCAUAUAAACCUAUAUAACAAGGUUUGUUAUGAAAUCCUAUUUUAAUGCUUUGUGGAAACAAAUGAAAUUCAAGGAAUAGCAUUCUCAAAAGAAAUUAUAAAUGAUUAAUUGUUUUACAGUUAUGGUUAAUAAUAUAUAUAUGUGUGUGUGUGUUAACAGCUUAAUUUUUUUGUUGCAAACCAAUAAAUUACAAAAGAAACUUAAUAGAAAAUAAAAUUUGAUAUAAUUCUGGACAAACACUGAAGCCAAGUAUUGUUUAGAGAAUUUACACAAAUAUAAAAUGAUUAUCUUGAUAUAUUUACACCAUAAAAAAAAUUAAUUAUUACAAAAAAAUUUAUAGCAUUGAUGUUAAUUCACCAAAGGAAAUGAAAUUCACAUGUUUAUAAAAUGAUGAAUUAGACAAAAGGAUGUGCAUGGAAUAAUCUUCUUCAAGAAAAGAUUAUAAAAGCACUUAAAUUAGUUAAGUUCUUAAUUAAACUUAAUAAACUUCUAAAAAAAUUAAAAUUUGAUGAGAAUUUUGACUUCUAAUAUCAUGUAAUGAAUUAUACAGUUAAAUAUAUUUAUAAUAAGUUCAAAAAAUUAUCAUCAUUUGACUAUAUAAAGAUUAUAUGUUUAGUAUGGAUCAAGAAUAAGUUAAAAAUAUAAAAUUCUUGUGAAGCUGAAGGGUACUUGUGAAUCUGAACCUUUGAUUUUCUAACUCAAAUUAUGAAUAUUUGAGUUUCCAUUACAAAUUUCAUCAAAUCUGAUCUAUGACUCUUCUGGACGUGAUUGUCGAUGAGUGUUUUGUUAGGAAAAUGGGGUUCAGCCCCAUUUAAGUGGUUUUGGACCAAGUAAAGGCCAUAGGCCUUGAUCUUUCAUUUUACACAGAGCCCUAGCUACUUAAUAAAAAAAAGGUGGGGUUGUUUUAAGGGAGUGUCGAAAACCAAGUAGAAAAAGAAGAAAAGUCAGAAAAAGCAUAGAGAAAAAGGAGAAGGGAGAGUUAGUUGAACGAAAGUCGAUUUGUGGUCCGAUUGAGUUGGAACCUUGUCAGGAGGUUUAUGAUUCAGAGUUCUAUAUUUUGAAUAGUGAAGAUCGGGUUUGAAGCUCUCUAGGAACAAAUCCAGGGUGUAUUUGUUGAGUCACUUAUUUGGUGAGAUUUCUCCAAUUAUUUUCUAGUUGUUGUUUAGCUCUAGUUUUAGCUAGAGAAGAACUUUGUAUACCUAUUAUUUGAUAGUGAAGAUUUUUUUGGUGAUCCGUGAUUUUUUCCUCUACACUGAAGGGUUUUUCACGUAAAUCUUGGUGUGCUUUAUUUUUUCUAUAUUUUUUUAUUAUUGAUUGUUGUCUAUUGUUUCUGUAUUGUUAUGAUUAUUGCUUCAGGCGCAACAAGUGGUAUCAAAGCUAGGGUUAUUUUAAGACAUCGAUACAGAAGCAACCCAGGAUAUAAGUAAAUUUUGUUUAAGAUCAUAAAGGGUGAUACAGGUUUCAUGAUAAAAUUGACAGCAUUGAAUUAUUCAAUUUGGAAGCCUAUGAUGGAAGAUCAUCUAUACUGCAAAGAUUUGUAUGAGCCAGUAUUAGGUGAUUCGGCUAAACCAGUAGAUAUGAAAGAUGAAAGCUGAAAUAGGCUAGGUAGAAAAACACUGGCUACAAUAAAAAAAAUGGGUUGAUAUCAGCGUGUUCCAUCAUGUAGCACAGGAGUCAGAUGCUUACAUUAUUUGAGAAAAAUUGAUAGCAUUAUAUGAGAGAAAAAUAGGUAUGAAUAAAGUUAUGCUUGUUAAAAAGCUUGUAACUUUACAGUACAGGGAUGGACGAUCUGUUACAGAGCACUUGAGUGAUUUUCAAGAUAUAUUUAAUCGGAUGACUACUAUAGAGCUUAAGAUGGAUGAUGAAAUGAAGGCGUUAUUUUUUUUGGGUUCAUUGUCAAACAGUUGGAAUACUCUAAUUGUGACUGUUCUUAAUUCAGCUCUUGAUUAUAAAGUGACAUUAGAGAUGGUAAAGGACAGUAUGCUUAAUGAAGAAGCAAGGCAAAAAGAUGUAAACCCUGGGAAUCAAGCUCUGGUCACAGAAAAUAGGGGUAGAAACAUCGACAGAGGUCAGGACUCAAAAGGUUUUGGUAAGUCUAAACAUAGAUCCAAGUCUAGAGGUAUAGCGAAGUAUUUCUAUUGUGGUAAGGCAGGUCAUAUAAAAUGAAACUAUAAAAUCUUAAAGCAAGAGUGAAAAGAUAAGAAAGAUAAGAGUUCAGAUGAUGGUAAUGCUACAACAGUGAAUUCAAAUAGUGAUUCAAUUACUUUGAUUUGCACACAUGGUGAAUGUAAUCAUGUUAGUGAUCCCGACAUUGAGUGGAUAGUUGACAUAAGAGCGACAUAUCAUUAUGUUUUUAAGAGAGAGUUGUUUACAACUUACAAAGCAUGAGACUUUGAUUAUACCAAGAUGGAAAACAAGAGUAUGUCGUAGAUUGUUGAGAUUGGUGAUAUUAGUAUACAAACUACUACAGGCUGCAUGUUAACUUUGAGGGAUGUCAGACACAUUUCAAAUAUGAGAAAGAACUUACUUGCUAUUAAUGUUCUUGAUAAGGAGGGAUAUGAAAGUCGAUAAAAGAAUGGAUAGUGAAAGCUUAUCAAAGGAUCUAUGGUAGUUGCAAGGGGAAAACUAUGUUGUACAAUGUAUAAGACAUUGAUGUAAUUAAAUAGUAACCAGGUAAAUGCCGUUGAAAAUGAUGCUUCAGCAAACUUGUGGCACAGGAGGCUGACACACAUGAGUGAAAAGGGGUUAUAGGUUUUGGCAAGAUAGUCUCUUAUUCCUUUAACCAAAGGUAUGUCUCUCGAUUCAUGUGAUUAUUAUUUGUUUGGUAAGCAUCAUACAAUUUUUUUUGUAAAAGUUUUCAAAGAAAAGAAAAUAGAUUGGAAUUAAUUUAUUCUAACGUAUGUGAUCCUAUUGAGGUUGAGUCAUUAGGUGGUAGCAGAUAUUUUAUUACUUUUAUUGAUGAUGCUUCACGUAAGACUUAGGUGUAUAUGUUGAAAUAUAAAAGUCAAGUACUGUAAUAUUUUCAAAAGUUUCAUGCCAUGGUUGAAAGGAUGACAAGGUUACCUUUGAAGUGUAUUCAAACUGGUAAUGGUGGGGAAUACACAUCUAAAGGCUUUAAAGAGUAUUGUUUAAAGCAUAGGAUCAGGCAUGAGAUGAGAGAACUUGAAACACUGUAGCAUAAUGGUAUAGCUGAAAGAAUGAAUCGCACUAUUGUGAAAAAAGUCAGAUGUAUGCCAAAGCCAUUCUGGGGUAAAGUAGUUAACACAGCUUGUUACUUACUUAACAGGUCACCAUCAAUUCCUUUGGGCUUUGACAUUCCAGAAAGAGUGUGGACAGGGAAAGAUACUUCAUACUCUCACUUGAAAGUUUUAGGGUGUAAAGCAUUCAUGCAUGUGCCAAAAGAGCAGAGAUCAAAGCUUAACAGUAAAGCCAUACAGUGUGUGUUUGUAGGAUAUGGUGAUAAAGAAUUUGGUUACAAGGUAUGAGAUCCAGUAAAGAAAAAGAUAGUCAGAAGCAGAGAUGUGGUCUUUCAUGAAAAAGAAACCAUAGCAGACCUUGAGAAAAAUGAGAAGACUACACGAGUUACUGUUGAGUGUGAUGUUUUAACACCGACAGACAUUCUACAGGAAAGAGCCACAGAUGGUGGAAAUGAGCAAAAAACAAAACUUGGGGAUAUGAAUGAGCCAACCACAGUUAGUGAUGUGCCAGAUGCAAUUAGUUUUGAGCAGGAAGAGUAAUCUUCUCUACUUUAGAGUGUUGAGUAGAGGGAGCUACCUUCGAUAUCAAGUGAUGUAGAGUCUCAGCCCAGGAGAUCUACUAGAGAGCGCAGGCCAUUUACCAAGUAUCCAAGUUUAAAUUUUAUUUUAGUUACUAAUGAAAGAGAGCCAGAAAGCUUUCAAGAUGUGCAGGCUACUCCAGAUAGAGAGCACUGAUUAAAAGCAAUGAAAGAAGAGAUAGAGUCAUUACGAAAGAAUGGUACUUUUGAUCUUGUUAAACUUUCAAAAAGGAAGAGGCCAUUAAAGAAUAAAUGGGUGUUCAAGUUAAAAAAAGAUUGUGAUAAACUAGUGAGGUACAAAGUUCGAUUGGUAGUCAAAGAUUUUUCUUAGAAACCAGGCAUCGAUUUUGAUGAGAUCUUUGCUCCAGUUGUAAAGAUGAGUUCUAUUCGAGUGGUACUGAGAUUAGCAUCUAGUUUGAAUCUUGAGCUUGAGCAAAUUGAUGUUAAAACUGUAUUUUUGCAUAGUGAUUUAUAGGAGGACAUUUAUAUGAAUCAGCUUGAAGGUUUUGAAGUGAAAGGGAAAGAACACUUAGUUUGCAAAUUGAAGAAAAGCUUGUAUGGUUUGAAACAAGCUCCGCGAUAGUGGUAUAAAAAAUUUGAUUCUUUUAUGGUGAGUCAUAACUAUAAACAAACAGCAACGGAUUCUUGUGUGUAUGUUAAACAAUUCCCUAAUGGUAACUUCAUUAUUCUAUUAUUAUAUAUUUAUGAUAUGUUGAUUGUAAGAUAAAAUGCUAGUACGAUUUGCAGGUUGAAAGAACAAUUAUCUAAGUCAUUUGAUAUGAAAGAUUUAGGUCCAGCAAAGCAGAUUCUUGGUAUGGAUAUUAUCAGGGAUAGGAGAGCUAAAAAGCUAUGGUUGUCACAGGAAAAAUAUGUUGAAUGAGUGCUUGGUAGAUUUAACAUGUAACAGGCUAAAUCAAUUAGCAGUCCACUUAUUAACCAUUUUCAUCUAAGUAAGAAAUCUUGUCUAGUGUCUAAGGAAAAGCAACUACCUAUGUCUAGUAUUCUUUAUUCUUUUGCAGUUGGUUCUUUAAUGUAUCUUAUGAUUUGUACAAGGCCUGACAUUGCUCAUGCAGUUGGUGUAAUAAGCAGAUUUCUUUCUAAUCAGAGGAAGAUUCACUGGGAAGCAGUGAAAUGGAUUUUUAGAUAUUUGAGGGUACCUAAAAAAUGUGCUUGAGUUAUGGAGUUUUACAACCAGUUCUAAAAGGGUUUAUUGAUGCUGACAUGACAGGCAAUCUUGAUGGUAAAAAAUCUACUUUAGGGUAUUUGUUCACUUUUACAGAAUGAGCUGUGUCUUGGCAAUCUAAGUUGCAGAAGUGUGUUGCUUUGUCAACUACAGAGGCUGAGUAUAUUGCAGCAAUCGAAGCAUGUAAAGAAAUGCUUUGGAUGAAAUGUUUUCUUUUUGAAUUGGGGUUGAAUCAAAAAGAGUAUAUGGUAUUUUAUGAUAGCCAAAGUGCUUUAGAUUUGAGUAAGAAUGCCAUGUACCAUGCUAGAAUAAAGCACAUUGAUGUUAGAUAUCAUUGGUUACAUUCAGUGAUUGAAGAACAUCAGAUGCUAUUGAAAAAAGUCCAUACUGAUAAGAAUGUAACAGAUAUGUUGACUAAGAUACUUUUCAAAGAAAAGCUUGAGCUCUGCAGUAACUUAGCCAGAAUGAGUUCCCUGGCCAAGGUAAGUUCCAAAUGAAACUAUUAUGGUGAUGACUCUCCUCCUAAUAGGGCUGAAGGGGGAGAUUGUUAGGAAAACAGGGUCCAACCCCAUGUAAGUGGUUUUGGACCAAGUGAAAGGGCAUGGGCCUUGAUAUUUCAUUUUACACAGAGCCUUAGCUACUUAAUAAAAAAGAGGUGGGGUUGUUUUAAGGGAAUGUCGAAAACCAAGUAGAAAAAGAAAAAAAGUCAGAAAAAGCAAAGAGAAAAGAAGAAGGGAGAGUUAGUUGAACGAAAGUCGAUUCGUGGUCUGAUUGAGUUGGAAUCUUGUCAUGAGGUUUAUGAUUCAGAGUUCUACAUUCUGAACAAUGAAGAUUGAGUUUGAAGCUCUCUAAGAACAAAUCUAGGGUGUAUUUGUUGAGUCACUUAUUUGGUGAGAUUUUUCCAAUUGUUUUCUAGUUGUUGUUUAGCUAUAGUUUUAGCUAGAGAAAAACUUUGUAUACCUAUUAUUUGAUAGUGAAGAUUUUUCUGAUGGUCCGUGAUUUUUUCCUCUACACUGGAGGGUUUUCCACGUAAAUCUUGGUGAGCUUUAUUUUUUUUGCAUUUUUUUAUUAUUAAUUGUUGUCUAUUGCUUCUGUAUUGUUAUGAUUAUUGCUUCAGGCACAACAUGUUUUACUUUUUAAAGUUGGGGUUCCUUUUUUUAGAGGAGCAUUUUAUUUUUCAAAGUUAUGGUGCCUCUAUUUAGAAGAGUAUUUAUUUUUCUCAAAGUCGUUGAGCCUUUGUUUAAAGGAACUUUGUUUAAUUAAAAAAAAAACAAGAAAAAUGUCGAGUUGAGUCUUGAUUGGGUGUCUACGUCUUUGCACAAUUCCUAUUUCAUAGAAAAUGCACAAAGAGGGGCAGCUAUAGACACCUUAAUUUGUUUAAGGUUCUACUUAGGUUAAUUUUGUUAAUAAAAAAUAAAAAAAAAUAGUUGAGUUUGUGUGAAAUUGUUGGAAUUGGUUUGUAAAGUUGGAGUUGGGUUUAAGGUUGAAUUCAAAGAAAAUUGGGAUUUCUUUUUGGAUUGGAGUUCUCAGAUUAAGAACUCUAUAAAUACAUGCCUAUAUAAAUUAUACAAACACACAAAAAAAAUUAAGGAUAAAGGCAGAAAUCAAAGAAAGCAGUCAAGAAAAUUUUUUGAAGAUAUUUUGGGGUUUAAAGAAUUUUUUUUGAAAAAAAAAAAUUUUUAAAUUCUCAAAUUUUGAUGAUUUUUUUUCUAUUCUUAUCUCAAGCUGAGUCGAAUUUAAGUUAUUCUAGCUUUUCUUCCUGCAGUCAAGCCGAGCUUUCUAGCCGCUGAACCAAACCAUUUUCCUAUUUGGUAUUUUUUAAUAUUUUUUUAUUAAUUGAUUUUAUUUUUUUCAUAUUAUUUUUUUCAUGAUUAAAUUUAGGAAAAAUAAAAAAUGUAAAACUUAAUAAAAUAAAAUUUUGAGAAUAAAUAAUAAUUAUCCAAUGAUGGAAUUUAUAGAAAUUUCAAAUGGUAAAUUUCUAUAAAAUUUCUAGAUGAGAAAUUUUAUCUAAAUUUGUGCCAAAGAGUGGAAUAAUUUAGAUAAAGUUUCAAUGACAAUAAUUAACAUUUAUUUUCAAUCCAAAAAAAUAAAAACUAAAAAAUUUUGGUUGAAAAUAUUUGACAAUUAUCUAAGGAUGAGAUUUUUAGAAAUUUCAAAUGAUAAAUUUUCUAAGAAAUCUCUAGGUGAGAAAUUUCUUUAAAUUUGUCCCAAAUUGUGAAAGAAUUUAAAUGAAAUUUCAAUAAAAAUAAUUGUUAUAUUAUUUUCUCUCCAAAAUAAAAGGGAAAAAGAAAUAAAAAGAAUUUCUAAAUAGAUCCAAAUGGUAGAAAUUUUAAAAAUUUUUUUUAAAAAAUAUUUCUAAUUUGACCUAAAUAGUGAAAUAAUUAGAUGCAUUUUCAACAAAAAAAAUAAAUAAUUAAAUAUUUUUCCGACAAUGGAGCCUAUUUAAGAAAUCAAAUGGGAUUCUUGAAUACUCUUGAGGUAACGAAAUAUUUUUAAGAAUUCUACCAAAUUGAUGAAAGAAUCUUAAGAAUUAUUUCUAAUAUUUUAACAUAAAAAUUUGAAAUCAUUAGACUCAAAACCCUAUGAUAAAUAUAAAAUAAAAUGGUACCAUCCUUUGGAUGGGCAUGUGAGGGUGCUAUAACUUUCUUCAUAUGUAACCGAACUUUCAAAUCCUGUUCUAGUUUAUAGAUCCGAACCUAUUCUUUUAGGAAUUUUUAGUCAAACUUAGGAGCUCUUUAAAAUGAUAGAUUUCUUAGAUGGCCAAUCACAUAUAGUAAAAAAAGAUUUGUGGUGACUCCUUUUAUUAACUCUAGUUAUAGAUUUUCAGAUCUAUAUGUUAUGACACUUAUAAUAUCAUAUAAUGAAUUAUACAAUUAAAUAUAUUUAUAAUAAGUUCAAAAAAUUAUCAUCAUUUGACUAUAUAAAAUUUAUAUGUUUAGUAUGGAUCAAGAAUAAGUUAAAAAUAUAAAAUUCUUGUUUAAUAAUUUUUUAUUAUGAAAAAUAAAAUAUUGUAAAAGUAAUUCUAAAAAUAAAAGUUAAUAUAAAAAUGACAAGUGAAAAUUUUCAAUUUUACUUUAUUAGAAAAAUUCUAAAAAAAAAAAAAUAUGAUUAUACAAUGAUACAACAUUAUCUGAUAAAGAAAUAUUGAUUGCAUAAUCAAAUAUAUAACAUCAAAUGAAUGUGUGAUGUAUAUUAAAACAUACAUAAAAUGAAACAUUACUUUUGUGAUAAACAAAAAUUAGUAGAUAUACGAAGCGAAAUAAAUUGUGUUGAGAUAUAUUAUACAUAACUAAUAAUUGUACACGUAAAAAAAUACGUUAGACAAUUACAUGUAAUCACAACAUUAUGUUUUCUUUUAAAAAAAAUUAUAGGAUCAAAUAAUAAUCAAGUCAAAGUUGGUUUUUUGUCACAAUCAUGCACGAAUUUUUGUGGGCAAAAGAUGCCUUCGGGCCGGGGGACCUUUCGGCAUUUUAUGUUGGCCCUAUGCAGUAAAGAGGAAGGUGCUCAAUAAUGCAAUGCAUUACCUUUCACACUCACAUUUUGGGCAUCAAUUGGUCAAAGUUUAAUUUUGUGGGGUCAGCUUUUCUGUUGUGUGGAAGAAGCACAAACUUGAUCCACUUUGGCGUGCACUUCUACAACUAGUUAAACCAAGUCGCUUCUAGUUUCCUACAACAAUAUUGUUUAAAUCUUAUUUUUUAAGAACACUAAUUAGACGUUAAUUAAUUGCAAUAUUUUAUAUAAAAAAAUGUUCAUUCUCUAGCCGAUCAAAUCUUAUCUUAGUACUAAAGAAUGAGCUUUUAAAAUCUUUAAGUUUCAAAUUUUAGGCUUGUUAAAUGUGAAUUUAUUUAUUUAAAUAACGUUUAUUAAUUUUUUUCAUAAAUAAUUGUUUGUAAUAUGUGAUGUAUAAAAUUAUUUGAUUAUAAUAAUAGUUUUUAAUUAUAAUUAUAACUAAUAAAAAAAUAAUUUUUACAACAAUUAAAUUCAUCGAUCACAUGAAAAUUUUAUUUUGAUCGAACUAUUGAUUUAUUUUUUUAAAAUAAACCCUCCUGUACCACUGGAGGAAUGCUAGAGCUAGCUGGAGGCUUGAGGUAUUCAUUCUAUUAAAAGCUUGCAUCUGUGACAAACUAUUAAGCACCAUGAUGGGAUAGCAAUCAAAUUAACUAAAUCAUCUACUGGAGCUUCUUUAUCUCCGGAAAAAAACGGAGCAGUGCGAAAAGAGCAUCACCAUAUCCAACGGAAUCUGUCAUGUAAGCAUAACAUGUAAGAAUAGAUGACGAGGUGAGACUAAAAUGCACUGAAAAGUGACAACACAGACCACCAUCCUCUCUUCGAAUUUUUAUGACCUCCCCGUACACAUUCGACUGGUGAAAGAAUGAUCAGAAUUAGAAACAAAACCCAGAUUCAUUGAUCAUAUAAACAUAUGCAUGCAUGAAAAGUAAGUAGCAAGACACGUAGUGUGAAAUCAACCCCUCAUUUCCAUCAGUCAACAUAAAAAAGUAAACACAUGGUAAUUCCCAUCAAGUCAAGAUUUAUACCUCAGUUGGAAUUUAACCACCUAGUUGUUCAACGUAGCAAAGCAUCUGGCCCUCCUACACUAUUUGCCCAUGUUGCAAAAACAAACUCAGAAUUUCUCAACAGAACUUCUGACAUAUGGAAACGAAAGCAACACUUGAGAGUACAAGGGAACCAAUGAUGGCUUCCAAAUCAAUGGUUUCAUUUUAUGUUUUGUCUCUUGAAGACAACACAUUGGAAAAUAAAAGGAUAAAAAACAGUAAAACCAUUAUGAAUGCUAUGGCCAAAUGAGAAAAAACAUUAUCCCUUUCUGCUAAUGUGAUCAAAGCAAGCUAUUAUUUGGGCCCCUAAAAUAAACAAAUGCUCUUACCAAGACCCAUUGAAGUAUUACCUCAUUACAAGAUGGUGGAGCACGCUUCCCCUUUAUGGUUCGUGAUCUCCUGAAGAAACCCACGUGCACAAUUUAUCAUCUAACUUCCAUGAGUUCAAAGCAAGAGAAGAAUUUAAAUUUCAUAUUCUCACCGUGGAAGACUGAAGUAUCACCAAACCUUCAUCUGCAGCUUUAUCAAGAAAGGAUUGGAUUCUCCCUGAAGAAGAUAGUGGUUUGGUGACAACUAAAGAAGGUGAAGAAACAGCCUCAUUUGAGUCAGGUGCUUCAAUAGUUCUAGUGGUGUUGACACCAACAGGAGGAGGACUUGGGAUCACAGGUGGAGGUUCACAUUUUCCCCCCAGGUCCCUCACUAUGUAUAGCCGAAAUCCACCUAGCUAAAAAAUGGAGACAGAACAGAAAGCCACUCAAAACCACAAUAUCUGUAAUUGCUUUGGAUAGGAAACAGAAACUAUUCAAGUAGAAAAGCCAUUAACAUUAUCAAGCUAUUUACGGCACAAGAAAUUAAAGCCAGCUUACUUUUAGUUCAAACUCUGCAAUUGAAAUUGUAUUGCAUAUAUCUCUGACCAGAGAUUCCACCUGCUGUUAGAAAUUGUAAACUACAAACUUCUAAAAUAUAAGCUAAAGGUAAGAUUUUUCAUUCAUUUUUGAAAGAAGUCCCUAAGCACGCAAUAUUCACAUAUUUAUUCCCAAUUUCUAACGGUUGAGUACAUUAAAAAAAAAAAAAGGAGAAGUCAAUCGCUGCAUUUUCUCCAAAUCACAUAUAUUUUUUCUUCACAGCGGCUUAAAACAUAGUUAAAACUUGAAACAGCUAAGCAUAGUUCACUAAUUACCCAGUAAACUUCAAAGUCGACUAAAUAAAAUAUUUUUAAUUUAAAGGUGAAAAAAGGAAUGGCAAUAAUAAUGUGGCAGAACAUACAUGCUUGCAUUAAUAAUACAAAAAAAUAUAUAUAUAUGAACUCACCCCAGAUGAAUUUGGAAUAAGCUGGCUAGUCAAACCAGUCAUUUUAGUCUCUUCAGAAUCAUCUGCUAAAUUUGUAGUAGCUGCAAGUCAGCAACCAAAAUGAUGUAGACAUUACAACAAAUCAUGUAGUGGUUAAUCUUCAGAAAACAGAGAUGAUGGCAAAACUUCAAAAUAUUCAAAGUUACACACUUUAAUCAAAGAGGUACUUCAUUUCCAUGUUUGAUAGUGGUUAAUCUAAGAUAAGAUGGCAAAAAAAAUGACAAAUGACCAGAAACAAUUGGGUACAAGAUUUUUUUCCCAACGAGCAGCAUGUACAUCAACCUUAAAUGCAAUAGGAUUGAGCAGUUGAGACACAAUAUCUGGAUAUUUCACGAACAAGAUAUUUCAUGAAAUUCUUAGAGAUCCAAACAAGCUUCAAUAGUUACAGCAAUUCUUUUCUUUUCGUCCUUACCUCACCCUGUAUUUUUUUUUUGGUACUUUUUUCUCUCAAAGCCUUACAGCAUACUGACAGAUUAGAGAUUCUUAUAACUUCUAUAAUGAAGUGAGAAUGACUUUAAAUUGCAGAAACAUUAUAGACUAUCCCUAUUUCGACAAAUUUGAGUGACAAUAGAACCAGAAAGAGAGAUGAAUUGAAUAUUAUCAACUUGCACCGUAGGCACUGUCAUUCAAUCACAUUAUUCACCUCCAAAAUAAAUAAACUAAAAAUUACUUCUCUAUGUAUGUACUAAUGCAUUAUGCAUGUGUUGCGUGUUUGUGUAUAUUUCAUUUGUUAUACACGUGAACAACUACUGUUCAUAAAUAGACGUAUACAGGAGUUUUGUGCCAAAAACUUACUGUCAUAACUUCCAGAUUCGGGGAUCUGUCAUUAGACAUUGACUUGAAGGAGUCGCCACCAAUCUUUUUUAUCUAGGCGCGAUUGGCCACCUAAGGAAUCUAUCCUUUCAGGGAACACCUAAGUUUAAGGGUCCCUAAAAGAAUAGGUUUAGGUCUCCUAGAUCCAGGAACAAGGUUCGAAAGUUUGGUUACGUGUGAGGAAGGUUAUAGCACCCUCACAACGCUCAUCGGAAGAUGGUACUAGCUUAAUUUUGUGUUAUCCAAUAAGCCUUAAAAAUUUACCAAGUAAUUAAUUAUUGAAAAUUAUUCUCAAUUUACUCUAAUACUUUUAGCAGAAAAUUGAGAAAAUUCCCUCAUCUCUAGUGUAUGCAAGAAAACUACUGUUUUACUUGCAGAUGCCCCAUCAUUGGAUUAUUUAACAUUAAAGAAAAUUUGAGAAAAUAAAAAGGAAAAAGAAAAAAAAAUGAUUGUUUUUGUACAAGGAAAAUUGAUACUUUCAAUUUUUCCCCAAAAUAUUUUUUAGAAACUUUAAUUUUGAAGAAAAUUUAUAUUUUCAACCUUUCCUUAAAAAUAUUUUUUAGAAAACUUUUUUCAAGGAAAAUUGAUACUUUCAACUUUUCAUUAAAAAUAUAUUUUUUAAAAUUUAUUUAAAGAAAAUAAUAACAAAAAAAUUAAAUUAAAUUAAAUUAAAGGGAAAAAAUAAAGGAAAAAAAGAAAUAAAAAUAAAAAUAAAAUAAAAUAAAAAAUACUAAACAAUUCUAAUCUAAUAAAUAAUAAUAAUAAUAAUAAAUAAUAAAUAAAUAAAAACUUGGGAACAGCUCAGCUCGAUUUUGGAAACGGCUCGCACUCGGGUUGCACACUGGUCAAAAGCAAGUUGACGCUCAGGUUGGGUCGUCCGAUUUCAAAAUGCACGGAUCCUCUGGGAACAGUAAGGCCAAAACGACGUUGUUUUUAAUAAGUAUAAAAGGCUAAUUCCUCUGUUUUUCAGCAGAUCGAUCCUUCCCUCUCUCUCUCUUCCCUUCCUUUCCUCUCCCUUUUUUCUAAACCAACGAAAAACUCCGGUUGAAUCUCGUCGGAUUCUGAAAAAUUUCACCAGAAUCUAAGUUUUUCGUCGAAACUUCAUCGGAAAGUUGAUCGGUUUCUGGAAGUAUUCAUCGAAAACUGGGUAGUUGGUCGAAAAAUUCAAACUUGGCCAAAAAUUCACCGAAAAUUUUGAACUUGGCCAAAAAAUUCAACCAAAAUCUGAAAAUUUUUCAGAAAUUUCUAGAAAAAAAAUUCACCAAAAUUCUAAAAAUUUUUUGAAAUUAUUUCUGGCCCUUCUGAACACUUUUUCUUUCUCUUCUCAUUCUUUUUCUCAGUCAGUGUCUGCAUUUCUGUGUCCUGGUCUUUGUAAUUUGUGGAUCUAUUUAUAGGGAUUGAUCAGAAGAGUUUUUGAUCAAUCCCAACUCUUCCUUGGAUUGGGAUUCAAUCCUUGAAUCCAAUAUGGACUCCGAUUGAAUCUUAAAUUCAUAGUAGAAUUCCCAAUUUCCAUCCCAAUCUCAGUCGAAUAAAAAAAAAAUAAAAUCAAAUAAAAAAAAAAUGUUAAUAGAUAAUUAAAGAAAAUAAUUAGAUAAAUAAAAAUAUUAAUAGAUAAAUAAAAAUAAUAACAGAUAAAUAAUAAUAUAUAAAUAGAUAAAUAAUAAUAAAUACAUAUAGAUAAAUAAUAAAUAUAUAUUAACAAAUAAAUAAUAAAAAAAUAAAAUAAAUAUAUAUUAAUAAAUAGUAAUAAUAAAUAAAUAAAUACAUAAGAUACAAACAAUAAAUAAAUAAAUAAAUAAAAAUAAAAAAUAAAAAAUAAAAUGGGCCUACCCAUUUGGACCAGGCCCAAUUGAUCCGGGCCUGGACCAAAUUGGGUGUCUACAGCUGCCUCUCUUUGCACAUUUUUUGUGAAACAAAAAUUACGCAAAGACGUAGACACCUAUUCAAGACUCCACUCGACCCUUUUCUUUUUUUCAUUUUUUUCAUUAAAAUUCUGAUCAAAGCUCCUCUAAGCAGAGGCUCAACGACUUUGAAAACAUAAACAAAGCUCCUCUAAUCAGAGGCUCAACGAUUUUGAAAAUAAAUAAAGCUCCUCUAAACAGAGGCUCAACGACUUUGAAUAUAAAUGAAGCUCCUCUAAUCAGAGGCUCAACGACUUUGAAAAUAAAUGGCUCCUCUAAUCAGAGGCUCAACAACUUUGGAAGACAAAUAAAGCUCUUCUAAACAGAGGCGUUAUAACUUAAAAAAAAAAGGCUCAUUGACAAUCAUGUCCAAAGGAGUUAAAAAUCGUAUUUGAAGGAAUUUUAGGAAAUUAUGCCCAAAGGUCUUACAAAUCAAUCCUGAUAUCGAGAGAUAUCCUAUUUCAAGGAUUAGAAACUUACCUGACAAGCUUUUUCUCAAAUUUAAAAAUGUCUUCGCAUCUGUCUUCUCUAUGUGAGAUGUUGGAAUACUCCUGCUUCUUGAAUUUAUGCACUAUAUUUUCUUGAAUGUAGUAUGUGCCAUGCAAUGCGUGUGAAAUUCAAUACAUGCUAUGCAAAUGUGGGCUAAUUAAUUCUUAUUCAAUUAUGGUACUCAAGUUUUUCAAGCUCUUUUCUUGGGCAUAAUCUUUUAUUCUUCAAAGACUAAAUUACGUUGCUCUUCUAAGAUCGAGCCAGUGUAGCUCUCAAUCAUCUCUUUCACUCACAUUCUUCCUUUAAGAAAUAUCUUUCCAAGUUCAAUGUCCUUAUCAGGAACUGAACAUCUCGAUUCUGCCUUUAUCACUCUUGACUUCUUCAAUGUAAUGUAAAAAUCUUUCAUGCCAUUAUUCAUUUAUCAAUCAUUAUUUCAAACUCAACAAGUAAGAAUGCAUUUGCGCAUUUCUUUGAUUGUAGAGUAUUGAGAAAAAAAGAAUAAGAAUGGUUGAGAAACUGUCAACAGAAGAGGCACACAAAGAGUGAAAAAGAAUGUCUUUUAUUAGCAAAAUGUUAGCAAACUUUGGCCAAGAAAGAAAUAUAAGAAUAAGUAUGGGGACAAAGCCCAAAAAUGAACAAUCGGACAAUCAUGAUAACACAUCUCAAGGUUUUUUUGAAAACUCAACCAUCUGAUGUACUUAACAAUUUAGAGCUCCUCCGAAUUUGCUAGCCUUUAUGCCGAUGGAUUUUCAAAUUUGAUGUUGUAUUCUCCCUAUCUAAGCUGCAUUUUCAAGUUUUCAACUUAGAUAAACCCUCUAUGACUCAAACCACCCUUUUAGGGUUUUCGCCUUGAGUCAUCUUUUUUCAUUCACUUUUUUUCAUUUUUUUUCUUUUUCAUUUUUUUUUCAAGCAUAAUAUUUCUUCACAGCAUCAGAAUUUAUAGGAUGGGAUAAAUCAUUUUCAUACAUCUCAGUCAGUAUCAGUGCUCCACCUAAGAAAGCAUGUUUCACCACAUAUGGCUCUUUCCAAUUCAGAGUCUAUUUUUCUCUAUUAUCGUGCUGGGUCAGAAAGAUUCAUUUCAAGACCAACUCUCCUUCUCAAAAGCAACGAGGUUGAAUCUUUUUGUCAUGAGCCCUCAUAAUUCUUCUUUGGUAUAGCUGACCAUGGCACAAUGCAAUCAAUCUAUUUUCUUUUAUGAAAUUUAACUGUUCAUAGCAUUUUCAAAUCCAUUCAGCUUCUUCCAACCCAACUUUUUUUAGAACCCUCAAGGAUGGAAUCUUCACUUCCACUGGUAGUACAGCUUCCAUCCCAUAAACUAAAAAAAUGCGGUUGCCCUAGUAAAGGUACGCACUGAUGUUUGAUAUGCAUGCAAUGCAAAUGGUAACUUUUCAUGCCAAUCUUUAUAAGUUUCAGUCAUCUUCUCAAGAAUUUUUUUUAUGUUCUUGUUGGCUGCCUUAACUGCCCCAUUCAUUUUCGGACGGUAUGGUGUCGAGUUAUAAUGCUUGAUCUUGUAUUAAGCACAUAUUUCUUGCAUUAUCUUACAUUUAGAUUCUUGGCAUUGUUUGAAAUAAUUCUCUCUGGAAGUUCAUAUCUACAGAUGAUCUCUCUCUUUAUGAACUUGCAAACCACAGAUCGUGUUACAUUUACAUAUGAUGCUACUUUCACCCACUUUAUAAAGUAAUCUAUCAUCACCAAAAUAAAUCUAUGCCCAUUAGAAGCCUUUGGGGUGAUAGGACCAAUGACAUCCAUGCCCCACAUUGAGAAUGGCCAAGGUGGUGCCAUAACAUUAAAGCAGAUGGCAGAGCAUGGAUUUUAUCAGCAUAUAUCUGGCAUUUAUGGCACUUACGAGCAUAAUCAAUGCAAUCACUCUUCAUUGUCAACCAGUAGUAUCCAGCUCUCAUGAUCUGUCUCACCAUCAUAUGUCCACUGACAUGUACCUUACAUAUUCCAUCAUGUAUCUCUUCAAUGAUUUUUCUUGCUUCAGCCUUACUUACGCAUCUUAGUAAUACUUGAUCACGACUUUUUUUGUACAGAACAUCCAUAUCCAGGAAAAAGCUUAUAGCCAAUCUUCAGAUGACCCCUUUUAUCAUUUACUGUUGCUUGAAUUGGUAUUGCUGAUCCUUAAUAUACUGUAAGAUAUCAUAAUACCAAGGCUUCUCAUUUUCUUCCUCUUCUAUAUUGAAGCAAUGAGUUGACAUAUCCUUAACAUCUAGCCGGAUAGGCUGAAUGUCGGUAUUGUCAUUAAUUCGAAUCAUUACAACCAGAGUAGCCAAAACAUCGACAAUCAGAUUCUCUUCUCGAGGUAAAUGGUCAAACUAGAUAUCUUCAAAUUAUUUUAUCAACUUUAGAAUAUACUUAUGAUAUGGAACGAGUUUUGAAUCUCUCAUCUUUCAUUCCUCUUUUAACUAAUAUAUAACUAGAGCUAAGUCCCGAAACACUUUUAAUGCUUUCACUUUUCUAUCUAUAGCAACUUGUAGGCCCAUGACAUAUGUCUUAUAUUCAACAAUGUUAUUUGUGCAAUUAAAAUUUAACCUCGCUGUUACAGGGUAGUAUUAUUCUUUUGGAGAGAUCAGAAUUGCCUCAAUUCCAUGUCCCAAGGCAUUAGUAGCUCCAUCAAAAUACAUUCUCUAACAGUUCUCUUCAUGUUUCCUUUUUUUCAGUUGGAAAAUAGUCAUUCGAUCUUCAUCAGGGAAUUCUAACCUCAUUGGUUCAUAUUCUUCAGUAGCACGAUCUGUAAGAAACUCCACUAUAGCACCCCAUUAUUACCUUUUAGUUUACAUAUAUCAUAUCAUAUUCUGAGAGAAUUACUUGCUAUCUAGCAAUUCUUCCAAACAAAGAAAGCUUCUCGAAGAUGUAUUUAAUUAGAUCCAAUUUUGCUAUGAGCUAUAUGGUAUGAUAGAGCAUAUACUGUAUGAGUCUUUUGGCAGUCCACGCUAAUGCACAACACAUUUUCUCCAAUGAGGAAUACUUGGAUUCAUAUUCUGUGAACUUUUUACUCAAAUAGUAAAUAGCUCUCUCUUUUCGGCUAGACUCAUCUUAUUGUCCCAGCAUACAUCCCAUUGUAUUUUUACACAUUGUCAAGUAUAGAAUUAAAGGUUUCCCUGGAAUAGGUGGCACUAACACUAGAGGGUUUGACAAGUAUUGCUUAAUUUUAUCAAAAGCCACUUGACAUUCCUCAUUCCAUUUUCUAGGAUUAUUCUUAAGGAGAAGCUUAAAUAUGGGAUCACAUUUGUAAGUAAGCUGAGAGAUGAAUCGAGAAAUGUAAUUCAAUCUUCUCAAAAAAUUUUGAACUUCUUUUGGUGUACUUAGAGGUGACAAAUUUUGAAUGGCCUGUAUCUUGUCUGGAUUGACUUCAAUUCCUCUUUCACCGAUCAUAAAGCCUAGUAACUUCUUUUACUUUACCUCAAAGGUGCACUUGGCUGGGUUUAACUUAAGCUGAAACCUUCUUAAUCUCUUAAAUAACUUUCUGAGGCUGGUGACAUAAUCUUCAUCCUCACAAGAUUUUACAAUCAUAUUGUCUACAUACACCUUAAUCUCUUGGUGCAUCAUGUCAUGAAAGAGUGUUACCAUGGCCCUUUGAUAUGUUGCCCUAGCAUUUUUUAAUCCAAAAGGCAUGACUUUGUAACAAAAAAUUCCUCAUAUGGUCACGAAAGUGGUUUUUUUCAUAUCAUUUGUAGCCAUUUUUAUUUGAUUAUACCUUGAAAAACCAUCCAUAAAGGAAAAAAUUGAAUAUUUAGCCGUAUUAUCUACCAGUGUGUUGAUAUGAGAUAAAGAAAAGUUAUCCUUUGGACUAGCCUUAUUCAAAUCAUGAUAGUCUACACAUAUUCAUACAUUUUCAUCUUUUUUAAGAACUGGUACUAUAUUGGCUACCCAUUUUGGAUACUUAACCACUUGUAAAAAACCUGCAUCAAACUGUUUCUUCACCUUUUCUUUGAUCUUUAAUAGCAUUUCAGGCUUCAUUCAUCUCAGUUUCUGCUGGACUAGCUUACAUUCUGGCUCUAGGGGUAAUCUGUGCUCUGUUAUCUCCGUGCUCAGUCCUGACAUAUCCUGGUAAGAUCAAGCAAAUACAUCCAUGAAUUCCUGAAGUAGAUCUGCCAAACAUUGUCUAUCUCCUGAUGAAAGUGAAGUGCCAAUUCUGACAUCUUUUUUAUUCUCUUCAUCUCUCAGAUUCACUAAGUCAACUAUCUCCUGAUGAGGCUCAAUUGGCUUAUUUUCUUGUUCAAUCAAUCUCAUUAGGUCCGGAAGCAUAACAUAUUCCUCAGAAUUCUUUUCAUUAUCAAGUUCAUCAGUGUUAAUUGAAUUCUCAAAAAUAACCUCUUGAUUGUUAUCAUAAUUAUCUUCAUGUUCAUUUAAAGACCUGAAAUUGAAUGAAAUGGGAUAUGUUGACAAGAUGUGUUUGGAAAAAUGGCAAUAAUGAAGAAACAAAAAGAUAUGAAUGAAAAUGCAUCCUUCCUAAUCUUUAUUAAAAUAAUAAAAGAUAAAUAGCCCAAACAAAAAAGAUUACCCUAAUGCCUUGGGCAAUAGCUAUUGGGAUGUUACAAUUACAUUGCAUUAGUUUCAAAAGUCACAGGCACUUUAAUGGCACUCUAAUUGUUCAGCUCAUAAUCUGACGGACAAAGGCGGACUCACCCCUCUUGAUUAAGCCCCACUUCAUCUUCAAUAGCAUUAAUGGUUAAUUGGGCAAAAGUUAUUUCCAUGCUUUUUUUUGUAUCUGGGUAUAUUAAUCUUCCAGGUCUGAAAGUCUCGUACAGGUGUGAAAUAACCAUUAGUCUUGCCAUUUUACCCGCUGGCCUUCUUUUGAUCUCCCAUUCUGCUACUUCAUAGCUUAGGCCUAACCUUUCACUAUUGUUUAUCACUGUCAGAGGUUCCUUUAUUCCCUACAAGUUCUUACCCAGCCCUAAUCCUGGAUACCAGCCCUUAUUAAUGACUUGGCUCAUCACUAUCCUUGAACAAGAUUGAUUUUUAAGUCCUUCACCUAUAAAAUUAACCAAUUCAAAAGAUCGAUAGGAGCAUUCUACUGCUUCUUCGGUAGCCUCUACAUACGGAGCAUUCAAUGAUUGGGUCACUACCAUGUCUUCUUCCCUAACUACCACUACCAAUUGACUUUCUACAUUAAACUUGAUCUUUUAGUGUAAGGUAGAGGGCACAACACCUGUCAUGUGAAUCCAUGGCCUUCAUAGUAGAUAGUUGUAAGAGGGAGAAAUAUCUAUCAUUUGAAACUUCACAUUAAAAGUGCAUGGCCCAAUUUGCAAGGGCAUCUCGAUAUCCCCCAGGACUUCUCUUCUGGUCCCAUCAAAAGCUCUUACAAUCAUUUGACUGUCUUUCAUAAAAGAGUAGUCAAUGGGUAACCUUUCCAAAGUUGACAUAGGCAUGACGUUAAUAGUAGAGCCAUUAUCAAUAAAGACUUUGGCUAUGAUAUGGCUCCUGCACUUGACCGUGAUAUACAAAGCCUUGGCAUUUCCCUUUCCCUCCGAGGGAAUCUCAUCAUCAAUGAAUGAAAUAUAAUUUGGAAUGACUAGAUUUUCAGCCAGGUGGUUCACAUAUUCAACAGAUAUAUUAUAUACCACAUAUGCCUAGUUCAAUACUUUUACCAGUGCAUUUUGAUGUGGCUCUGAAUUUAAUAGCAGUGAUAGUAAUGAAAUUCAUGCUGACAUUUUGUUUAACUGUUCAAUAAUUGAAUAGUCACUAUGUUUUACCAGCUUUAGGAAUUCACAAGCCUCUUUUUCUGACACCGACUUUGGGCGAUCUUCCUCAAGUUUUACUUCAGGGUUAUUUCAUCAUUUUCCUUCCUUAGCUUUCUUUUUUCUAGCCUUUUCCAAUAUUUUUGGAGUGUAGCACAUUCCACUUCGGGUAAUGCCUCCUACACCAGUUAUAUUGGAGGUGUCAGCUUUAGAGACAUCCCCUUUUUGCCUCUGAACUACUGUAUCGUAGCCAUAUUUCUAGGGUACAACUUUAUCAUUCUUAUAUGGGAAGGGAGUCAAAACUUUAAAAGUUAUCGACUUGGGAAUAAGUUUGUAUAUGAUUGACUUUGGCUUGUUCCCACAAUGAAUUGUCAUCGAUUUUGGAAAUAGUUUUGUAGGCUUAUCAGUCAUGGAUACUUCAACACCUUUUAAGUCUUUUCCUCUUUCAUAGACUUUCAUCUGGUAUGCAUCUGAGAGUUUUUGCACCUCUUGGUGAAACUACUCACAAGUUUCAAUAGAGUGACCCAUUGCCCCACUAUGAUAUUUACAACUAGUACCAGCUAUAUAUACUCCAUGAUAACUGUGUGGACCCACCGGUUGUAUCAUGUCAGCUUUCCAUAAAACAUCAAACAGUUGACUAAAAGGUGUCUUAAUAUUUGCCACUUUUUUCUUUACAUGGCACUCAUGUUCUUUACUCAAAGUAUUCACAUUAUGAUUAGGCAAGGGAUUGCCACUAACAUUUGGUGUAGUCACCCUUCCUGUAUCAAAACUAAUCAUUCCAUCUUUGAUCAAUCGUUGUACUUUGUAUUUUAAGGUGAUGUAAUUUUUAGUGGAGUGAUCGGUAAUCUUAUAUUGAUAGUCACAAUGGGCUGUAGGAUCAUACCACUUAGGGUUAGGUGGCUUGAGGGACUCUAAUUUACUAGGAGCAAUCAAAUGACCGUUGUAGAGCUCACAAUAUAAUUUUGAAUAGGUCAUUGGGAUUGGGUCAAAUAUAAGUUUUUCACGAGUAAUUCGUUACUCCUGUGAACCACCCAUUGGGUUAGCUUGAUGAGUUUGGGGUCUUAGGGUAGGCUGAGUGUUAGGACUAUACGUGGUGUUCUGAGGCCUAAAAGGAGGUUGAUAUGUUUGGGGAUAAUGUGACUGUACAAAUGGUUAGUAUGGGUAAGGGAAAGUGUUAUUUAUAGUAGGGUAAUAUGAAAGGUAUCCUUGUGGUGAGUAAAGUUGAUAACCCCCAAAUUACUGUCUAUCAAAGCUCACAACCUGAGCAUCAGUCUCUUUCCUCUUCGAGACUUUUUUGUUGGAUGCUUCACCUCCUUCCAACUUGCCAUUCUUGAUGGCACUCUUGAUAAUUUCUCUCGAAAUUACCAUGUCAACAAAAUUUUUGGUUGCAUUCCCUAUCAUCUUCUCAUAAUAGAGAGAUUUCAAAGUGCUAACAAAUAGCACUGUAGUCUCUUUCUCAGUCAGAGAAGGUUGCACCUGAGAAGCUACAUCCUUCCAUCUCUGGGCGUAUUCUUUAAAAGACUCAUUUACCUUUUUUCUAGAUUCUAUAAAGACAAACAAUCAAAAGCCAAAUCGAUAAUAUGUCGAUAUUGACUGAUAAAGUCAUGAGCAAUAUCGCUCCAAGAACGAAUGCGAGUUCUAUCUAGCUGGACAUACCACCUGGCAGCAGAGCCUGUAAGGCUAUCUUGAAAAACAUGCAUUAGUAGUUUUUCAUUAUGGGCAUGGGCUGCCAUUUUUCGGUAAUACAUGGUGAUGUGAGUUUUUGGGCACUUCGUACCAUCAUAUUUAUCAAAUUUUGGUACUUUGAACUUGGGUGAAAUGACUACAUCCGAGACUAAACAUAGCCCAGCAGCAUCAACAGAACCAUAAAAUUCAAUCCUUUCUAUGACCCGUAAUCUUUGUUCAAGCAUACUAAUCUUUGGAUCUUUCUAAGACUCUGUCGCUUUUGUUUUCUCCUUAUUUUUCAAGUCAUCUAGAUCAGAAAUAGGUUUUACUACCUUUUUAGCAAAGACAGGAUUUACAUAGCUUUGGUAAUGCCCUGGAUUGAAGGCUGAUGGCAUUCCAGGAUAUGUAGGAUAUACAAAGUGUUGUGGUGGAACCUCUUGUGUAGACUGGGCUUGAGGUGGAUCAAAACUUGGAGGAUACAAAGGGUCAGCCACUUUUUUUAAUGGGAAAACUUAUUGGCUUGUAUUUUUUUCUACUUUUUGUCCCUUGUUCAGCUUAUUGAGAGCAUUUAGAAUCUUGCUCAACUCAUUUUUAAUUUUUUCCUAUGCUUUUUCUAGCUUUUCAAAUCUGUGAGAGUUUUUCUACUCCAUUUGUCUGGUUCUGGCUCUUGUGUUAUAUCGAUAGACAGGGUUCUCGCUAGAUAAAGUUAUCCUUGAACCUUGAGUACCAUAUCUUAGAAUUAGUAAAUUUGCAUGACUAUCUUAUGGUUACUUUGUUAAGUGUAAUGAGUGAGAAUGGAAUGAAUGAGAAUGCAUGUAUACAAAGAACAUUUACCUUAAAGACGGUAUUUAACUAAAAUAUUUCAUUUAUUCUAAAAAAAAAUUUUUAUUUAUAUUGAGUUUAUCAUCCUAGAGUUAUAACCAUAAAAUUGUUUGAUUUGUUCAUACUGGGCCUGAGCUUCUUCGAUGAAGUUCAACAGACGCUACCUAUGUUCUCCUACUGGGGUCACCACUUAUUCAAUGCCUCUACCUUUUUCACCAUCUCUCUUGCCUUGCAUACCCCUUUACAAAUUUGGGUGGUUAGGUGCUCAAUGUAUUUCUAUCUUUCUAAAUUCUCUAUUUUACUACACCAGACUUGGUAUGAUAACUCUCUAUGCUCCCUAACCAAUACAGUAAUACGGUCUUCUUGUUCAUUCAACUUUUGUCUUAUCCUGCUUAGAUAACUAUUUAGCAUGUUAUUCUUCGUCUGUACUUGGGUACUUUUUUCUUCCAAUUCAGCAUACUCUUGCUUCAAUCUUGCAUUCUUUUUAGUUAGCUCAACAAUGGUUAUCUCUUUGGCCUUUUCUCUCACACAUAUCCUUUUAUGUUCUUGGUGUAGCUCUGCUAAGUCUUCAACAGCUAUAUCACGUUCUCUAGCAAUCUUACGAACUUUGGUUUCAUGACUUUUAGCUUUAUCUUUUCACUGGUCUUUUUCUUCUCGAAGCUUCUGGAUUUCUUACUUUAACUAUCCUUUUCAAACUCAAAUUUUUUGUCGCAAGCUCUAAUUUUGAAGGUGUCUCUUCUAGCUUUCUUCCUGUUGGUGGUUGAAAGCUUUCAUAAGUGAAUGCCAUUUCUUGUCUUCGUUUUGCUCUCCAAACCAAAUACCCCAAAGUGACUUUAUCAGUAAACGAUCCAGGAUUCACUCUUCGGGAUUUUUCCAUGCUUUAAUCAUCUCAUUCAUCCUCUGAAAUGCUUUUGGCUUACUGUAAAAAAAAUUUAACUGAUAAAGCCUAUGCAUCAUAGGAAUGAACUGUUCUGCCCUAAACUGCUUCUUACUAGGAGUGGUGCACAAUUUGUCAUUCUCCAUAAACCCAAAAGUGGGACCACUGUAUUAUCCCCACAUUGAUACAACAUAGGCUCACAAUUCAUCCAUAGGGCCAACCAUCUUACUUCGACAUUGGUCAAUUUUUGUAGGAAAGUUAGCCAUUCCUUUUUAGACUUUCGUUUUGACUACCCACUUUCAUAGAAUUUCUUGAUCGGAGCUCGAUUGCAAACAUAAAGCUUCGAGAAAGCACAUUUUCCCCAUUCGAAAUGGCUUUUCAUCCAUAAGUAUAAUAACUGCAUGCAGCCUAUGAAGCGCCUUCCAUUUCGAUGACAGUAAUUCAAAAAUCUGAUAGUCUCUGCUAAUAUUACCAUUGAAGGGUUACAGUUAUUGAUCACACUCUCGGAGAAGUCAACCACCGCUAUCUCAAUAUAACCUAAAACCUUUGAGAAGAUCACCAUUCCGUAUAUGGCUAAGGUAAAUAUAUCUAGCCCCCGUUUUUCGUUGGCAUGUUACACUAAAAACUCAUGAAAGAACUUCCAAGGUAGGCAAACCUGUUCUUGUUUCUUCUUUCUAUGAGAAUCCACAACUUCUUUAUCUAUCCCCAUGAGUUAAGCUAAACCCUUACGAAAUCCUGACUUGUGUUUUUUGACAUAUAUCUUAUCGGGAGCCUUAAGUUGCAAACCUAACAAAGUCAAAUAUUCUUCGAUGGUUGGUGUCAUAUCAACUUCAUUGAAGAUGAAACACUUGUAUGUAGAAUCUCAAAAUUAUGCUGUAGCUCUGAUUAGUUGAUCGUUGACAACUACUGCUAGAAGGUGUGCUAUAUGCCCGUGUCUCUGGCAAAACUGCUCUUAUCUUGACGGACUCAUUUUCUUCCAUAUAUUAACCAAAUUCUCUAGAUUAUUUUGUUUGAGGAGGAUAGAUGUUUUUUGAGACAAGGUAGAAUCAUAUCCGAUUGGUAAACAAUCCUCCAUCUUCAGUUGAAUCUUUUCUGACUGGACCCUUACUUCGUUGGGUGACUUACAAGGUGCUAAUACAGAUGAAAAACAAACUAGUCGUUCUAUAGAGUCCAUGAAAAUUUUUUGUUGAAAACCAUCUUUUAAGCAAAUGUUCUUUAUACAAUGCAAAAGAAUGAGAGAAAAGGUUAGUAUGCCCAGGGAAAAAAAGAAUAAAUAAAUAACUAAGUAAAUUAAAACAUCACACAGAAUAAGAGGAAUGAACCCUCUGCUUCUGGUCAAUUCUAAAAUGGAAGAAUGAUGGCUCUAUCUAUAGGUUAGGCAUUCUUAAAGUUCACUAUAUGGGGUUUAAGGUUAAAGUCUGAAGGUUCCUAAAUUGCUCAUUACAUCAUUGUCCAUCACAGACUAGUAAGGCACCUUAAUCUUCACCUAUUACAGGCUACAAGUGGAAAUGGUUCAAUUUGAGUGGGAGUAUUUCACUAGCCAUUACGAAGGCAUUAGACCUCACGAAAGCAAUAGGUACUUUACUCCCUCCUAGAGGGACGGAGCUCGAGUAUAGAGCUCAUGUUAUGUAUAUGCAUAUGAAUGACAUAAUAAAGUAAAUAAACAUGAAUGAAUAAAUAAAAUAUAUACAAAAAGGUUCAAUUUUAUUAGGCUUUUAGAUAACACAAAUUUAUUUGCUGGCCUGACUCUAACUCAUCCCCAAUAGAGUCGUCAAGCUGUCAUAAUGUCCAGAUCUGGUGUAAUGCCCUCAAUCCCACAUCAAGAGGAUGUGUGGAUAAGGAAUGAUAUAUAUGUAGAGACUUAAUCCCAAACUUGUGAGGUGCCUUUUGUGGGACAAAACCAUGAGACCUUCGGGUCAAAGCGGAUAAUACCUCACAGGUUGGGUACGGGUCUCUACAAAUGGUAUCAGAGUGAUCACCAGUCCGCAGUCAUGGGAGUCACUAAGUGCUACACGGUGGAGCUGUGGGAGUCACUAAGUGCUACACGAUGGUCUGGUGUGAUCUUGGUCCUGUGGAUGGACUCGGCUUGACAGGGACUCAAGCAUUAAAGGUGGGGAGAUUGUAACGCCCCCAAUCCCACAUCAGAGGAUGUGUGGAUAAGGAAUGAUAUAUAUGUAAAGACUUAAUCCCAAACUUGUGAGGCACCUUUUGUGGGACAAAACCAUGAGACCUUCGGGUCAAAGCGGACAAUACCUCGCAGGUUAGGUACGGGUCUCUACAAAAUUCCCCUUUUACUUUUUCUUUACAGAUGACUAAGUGAUAAGUUUGGUUAGUCUUGUGUGAAGCUAGAAGAUGAAAUGGGCAAGAUUACUUAGUCGUCAGAGAAUAUGUUGGCCAAUGAGAUUUUAAGAGGCAGUUUUAUAUUUUAUAUGGUUUGUAUUUGGAUAUGUAAAUAUGUAUCAUCAGUUGGAUUAAAGAUAUGAAUUUUACUUGGUAAAUUGUUUUAUUGAAGAAUUUUAGAAUGAUUAAGAAAGAAGGCUUCAUAUUAUUUUGGGGUUUUCUUCAAGGUAACACGAUUGUGUUGCGUCUUGGUCUCGGGGCGUGACAAAAGUGGUAUCAGAGCGAUCACCGGUCCGUAAUCGUGGGAGUCACUAAGUGCUACACGGUGGUCUGGUGUGAUCUUGGUCCUGUGGAUAGACUCGGCUUGACAGGGACGUCAAGCAUUAAAGGUGGAGAGAUUGUAACGCCCCCAAUCCCACAUCAGGAGGAUGUAUGGAUAAGGAAUCAUAUAUAUGUAGAGACUUAAUUCCAAACUUGUGAGGCACCUUUUGUGGGACAAAACUGUGAGACCUUCAGGUCAAAGCGGACAAUACCUCGCAGGUUGGGUACGGGUCUCUACAUCUGGGAAUUUGUCAUUAGACAUUGACUUGAAGAAGUCAGCACCAAUCUUUUUUAUCUAGGUGCGAUUGGCCACCUAAAGAAUCUACCCUUUCAGGGAACACCUAAGUUUAAGAGUCCUUAAAAGAAUAGGUUCAGGUCUACUAACCAGAACAAUGUUCGGGAGUUCGGUUACGUGCAAACAAGGUUAUAGCACCCUCACAACGCCCAUCGAAAGAUGGUACCAGUUUAGUUUUGUGUUAUCCAAUAAGCCUUAAAAAUUUACCAAAUAAUUAAUUAUUGAAAAUUAUUCUCAAUUGACUCUAAUACUUUUAGCAAAAAAUUGAAAAAAUUCUCUCACCUUAAGAGUAUGCAAGAAAACUAUUAUUUCACUUGCGGAGGCCCCAUCAUCGGAUUAUUUAACAUUAAAAAAUUCAAGAAAAUAAAAAAAAUAAAAAAAUGAUUGCUUUUGUGCAAGGAAAAUUAAUACUUUCAACUUUUUCCCAAAAUAUUUUUUAGAAACUUUAAUUUCGAAGAAAAUUGAUAUUUUCAACUUUUCUUUGAAAAUAUUUUUAGAAAACUUAUUUUCAAGGAAAAUUGAUACUUUCAACUUUUUCUCAAAACUAUUUUUUAGAAAAAUAUUUUCAAGGAAAAUUGAUACUUUCAACUUUUCUUCAAAAAUAUUUUUUAGAAAACUUAUUCUCAAGGAAAAUUGAUACUUUCAACUUUUUCUCAAAAAUAUUAUUUUAGAAAACUUAUUUUCAAGAAAAAUUGAUACUUUCAACUUUUCAUUAAAAAUAUUUUUUUUGAAAUUUAUUUAAAGAAAAUAAUAACAAAAAAUAAAAUAAAAUAAAAAUAAAGGAAAAAAGAAAUAAAAAUAAAAAAAUACUAAACAAUUCUAAUCUAAUAAAUAAUAAUAAUAAUAAUAAUAAUAAUAAAUAAAUAAAACCUAGGAACGGCUCGACUUAACGGCUUGGCUUGGCACGGCUUGAGGAAGAAAAACGGUUCGGAGACACGGCUCGGCUCAGCUCCGAAAAUGAAUCACACUCAGGUUACACGUGGGUCAAAAGUGGGUUGACGCUCGGGUUGGGUCACUCGAUUUCAAAACACGCGGAUCUUUUGGAAACAGUAAUGCCAAAAUGAUGUCGUUUUCAACAAGUAUAAAAGGCUAAUUCCUCUGUUUUUUAGCAAACCAAUCUUUUCCUCUCUCUCUUCACUUUCUUUCCUCUCCCCUCUCUCUAAACCAAUAAAGAACUCCAAUUGAAUCUCGUCGGAUUUUGAAAAAUUUGGCUCAAAUUUGGGGUUUUCAUCGGAAGUUCACCGAAAAGUUGAUUAGUUUUUGGAAGUAUUCAUCAAAAACUGGGUAGCUGGUCGAAAAAUUCAAACUUGGCUGAAAAAUUCGAACUUGACCGAAAAAUUCAAUCGAAAUCUAAAAAUUUUCUAAAAAUUUUCAGAAAAAAAAUUCGCCAAAAUUCUAAAAAAAUUUUGAAAUUGUUUGUGGCCCUUCUGAACACUUUUUCCUUCUCUCUCGCUCUUUUUCUCAGUUAGUGUCUAUGUUUCUGUGUCCUGAUCUUUGUAAUUCGUGGAUUUAUUUAUAGGGAUUGAUCAGAAGAGUUUCUGAUCAAUCCCAACUCCUUCUUGGAUUGGGAUUCAAUCCUUGAAUCCAAUAUGGACUCUAAUUAAAUCCCAAAUUCAUUGUAGAAUUCCCAAUUUCCAUCCCAAUCUCAGCCGAAUAAAAAGGAAAGAAAAUCAAAUAAAAUAAAAAAAUGUUAAUAGAUAAUUAAAAGAAAAUAAUUAGAUAAAUAAAAAUAUUAAUAGAUAAAUAAAAAUAAUAACAGAUAAAUAAUAAUAUAUAAAUAGAUAAAUAAUAAUAAUACAUAUAGAUAAAUAAUAAAUAUAUAUUAAUAAAUAAAUAAUAAAAAAUAAAAUAAAAUAAAUAUAUAUUAAUAAAUAGUAAUAAUAAAUAAAUAAAUACAUAAGAUGCAAACAAAAAUAAAUAAAUAAAUAAAUAAAUACAUAAGAUGCAAACAAAAAUAAAUAAAUAAAUAAAUAAAAAUAUAAAAUAUAAAAUAAAAUGGGCAUACCUAUUUGGACCAGGCCCAAUUGAUCGGGGCUUGGACCAAAUUGGGUGUCUACACUUACCAAAAACUUUAAGGAAAGAUUAGUCUGUAAAGCAAUUCAAGGGUAAAAUUUUUCUAAAUCUGAAACAAGCAGAAGAACAUAGAAUAUAUGUCUUCAUGAGACUGCUACAAUGUGAAAUGUAUUUCUUCAAGAAUCAGAACGAUUAUUGAGAGCACAAAAGUUUAUUGUGUGAACUCUUUAUAUCGACAUACCUUACAGCACAAUUUUUAUUUUUUAAUACAUGAAUUUAAUAAAAAUACUUCAUUUAUAUAUAAUUAAAAUAUUUAUUUAUAUUUAAAAAUUAUAUUUUUAUAAAAAUUAUACUAAAUUAAAAUUAUUAAAUUAAUUUGAGUCAAGUCAGGUCAAAUGCAUACUAAACAUAUAUAGUUAAGAUCGGAGUUGAGCAUAUAUAAAAAAAAAAAAACUGAUGUCAAGUUAGAGAAAAAUUGAAUAGAAUUAUUAAAGAGUCAAGUCGAUCAAAGGACAAAUUUUAACUCAUCCCGACUCAACUCGUUAUCAUAUCUAAAUGGAAGUGUUUUUAUGACACCUCAAUUUGGCUUUCUUUUAUUUUUAAUUUUGGCCCUUUUCAUUUUUUUUAGUGUUUAUUUAUUUCUAGAUAAAUUUUAUAAACAAAUGGGUCACUAGUGACAUGAAUGACAAAAUAAUCAGUAUCCGACAAAUUCUAACUCAACUUCAUCCAAUAGGAGAGAUUUUUUCUUUUCAAAAUUAGGAUCGAGUUGGGCUAGGAUGGUUUUCCAUUUUUUAAAUCGGGAUCAAGUCAGAAGUGAGUUCAAGGUACUUUGUCACAAUCCUCUUCAAGAUAUAUAAAAAAUAUAUAUUCUAUUAUUUAUUUAGUUUUAUAUUUGUAUAUGGAUUAUAUUAAUAAAAUUAUCAUUUAAUAAUUAAUUAAAUAAAAAUACUACAUUGAUAUAUAAUUUAAAUAUAAUGUGGAUUAAAAAUAAUAUUUUUAUAAACUAGGCUAAAUUAAAAUAUUGUCACUUAGUUCAAUCAAGCUCAAAUGUAAUUCAUACAUAUAUGUGCUUAGUCAGAUGGGAUAUUAUUUAUUCGUGUCGGGUCAAAAUUGGAUUCAGAUUGAGAUUAUUAAAAAUUGAUCAGAGCAAUGCUAAAAAAUUUGCCUUAAUGAUUGUCUUCAAGUGAGUAUCUCAUGCAUCCUAAAUGUUCUUUCCUUUAUCUUGGCAUUCUUUUUGUUAAUUUCAUUUGUUUUUAAGUUGUCAUUUUAUAUUUCUAAUUAUGUAUGAAAAGAUAAUACUUAAAUGAAUUUUGAUUUUAUUUGUUACAUAAGAUGUCAAAAUAAAAUGAACAUAUUAUGCAUAAAUUAAUUGAUAAAUUUUUUCUAAUCAUUACAUUCAUUAAAAAUAUUAUAAAUGAAACCAUACUAAUUGAUUUAUUAAAUUUAUCUUGAACAUUGUUCAUUACAAAUAAAAAAAAAUUGAACCAACGAUAACGUGCAAGACUAUUUCUAGUUCAUGUUAAUGAAACAACAGUUCAUUUAUUUACUUGAGAUCAUGCACUAUUGCUAUGGACAAUUAUUGCAAGCAUUAAACAAGAAAAUUAGUGAGAAAGAUUCAAACAGAAUAAAAAUUUCAUACACUUAGUUAUUUAUUGUUGCCCUGAAGUUUGGUUUGCCUGAUCCCUCAUUAUAAAUCUUUUCGGAGUCUUUCACUCCCUUAUCAUAAUUUUUGGUUCCUUUUAACUAUUUAAGUGGAAGUUCUACCAUAGUGAAAAUAAAAAUAAACUAGCCUAACAAAAAUGAAAGAAGUUGAGAAAGCUAUAUUCCUCAUAACGGCUUCCAAAGUGUAUUUGCCACAAAAAUUAAUAGAUUGUAUCAAUAUUAACUUAAUAUAAACAAGUGACUUCUUAAAUAUGUGAAGGAAGCCAUUAAAUUCAACAAUUUCAGAAUCUAACUAUUAAAAAAUCAUAGAAAAAAUUUAUUUCCCUUACCUUUUCUUCUUCCUUGUUUGUCUCAAUUCCCUUCAACAUCGAACGGUGAGAGAGCUUACCUCCAUCAUCCAGCUCGGGUGAGUGGAGUUCAAUUUGGUGACAGUCAAAUGACCUUUUCCUUUCUCGUCUCUUCUUUCUUUUUCAUUUUCCAAUUCUCUCUCUAUUUCUUUUACUCUGUUGUUACCUAUGAAUUAAGCUACCCAUCCUUGCCGAAUGGCAAAUGGUAAAGAAAAGGCCUUGGCUUGACCUCCCUCUCAACUUUCUCUUUUUUUUUCCUUUGUUUUCCCCCUUCAGCUCCCUCAAGAGAAUCUCUUUUAGCUUUAUCUUCAUUGUUUCUCGUCUCAUCCAAGAGCUUUUCAAGGUUCUCUCUUCCUUUGGGGCUUUCUAAAUACACCACAAAAUUUUUUUUUAUACACCCUCAAAAUUUUCUUUCAAAAAUACCCAUAUAACAAAUACAAAUUUUAACCUUUAAAAAAUAAUAACAAUAACCUCAAUAGCUUAUACAUCCCAAAAUCAACUUCGUACAUCUUGGAAAUCCAUUUUGAGAAUUAUAUUACAUUCUUAAAAAUGAAUUUUUGAAAAUAUUGUAUUCUUAUAAAUCCAUUUCCAAAAAUACAUAAAUUUUUGUUUAAAUAUAUAUUUAAUUAUAAACUCUUGAUAACGUUUAAUUUUAAUUUAAAUAAAAUAAAUACAUUAAUUUUGAAAUAAGUAAUACUAAAAUAAAUCAAUCUCUUUAUCAAUGUCUGACAUGAAAAAUCAAAUGUGCUAGAAUCUCUAAACGUCUCUAAUGAUUUCUCUAAGGCAUGACUCAAUUCUAGCAAUAAAAACCUCUAAUCUUUAGGCCACUGACAAUGUCAUCAGCACACUAACAAAUCUGGUAGUAGAAAUUGGUGGCUGAAAGAGUAAAGGUCUUUACUGCCAAAUUUGUCAGUCUGUUAAUGACAUGAUCAAUGUUUUAUAGGGUGUUCAAGCUUGAACUAGCAUGCAUGCACACACAUGAGUCAUUGAUGUGCCCAUUCUUAUUUGAUCAUAUGUAUGAAUAGAAGAGACAUGUUAGUUUUUAAGAAUGCAUAGGCAUAAAAAUGUUGUUGUUUUGAGACCAGAAAACCAAGAACACCCUUUGGCCCAUGCAAAACUAGAAAACUAGAAAAUGGUGUUCUUGAUUUUCUAGAGUAUCAAGAGAAAGAACAAGUUUAUGCCAUGUAUGUUGAGAAUAUUGAUUUUAGUUUCAAUCAUACACAAGUAAAUGGGUUUAAAAGAGAAUGAUUUAAGGUUUUCAGUAAUUAAAAGUGAAAUCGAGCUUCUAAGACAUAGAUAUCCAAGAAUACUUAAAGAUUCUCGAAUAUUCAUUUUUAAUAAUACUCAAGACUUCUCAAAAAUGGAUAUCUAGGAAGCUUUUAGUGUUCUUAUAAAUGAAUACCUAAGAACCUUUGAGGCUUCUCGAAAAUAGAUAUCCGAGAAUCCUUAAAGCUUAUCAGAUGUCCAUUUUCGAAAAGCUUCAAAAUUUCUCGAACAUUUAUUUUUGAGAAACUCGAUUUCAAAAAAUAAAAGAGAAGAAAAAAGAAAAGGUAGUAAUGGAAAAUAGAAAGUGAGAGGUGGGUUGUAUUUAGUUAAACUAGAAAAUUGAAUUUUGAAUUUGGGUAUAUUUAGAAGUGGGGUGUAUAGAGUAAUAAAUGGGUUGUAAAUAGAAUUCCCCUCUUCUUUUUACCUUAUUAUAAAUAUUAAAAAGUCUUUUUUAACCCUACAAUUAUUUUAAAUGUCAAAUAUGAGUUGGCUUUAAAGGACAAUUUUUAUUUAUUGUUGUUUCUCAUCGCCUCCAGAAGCUUUUCAAGCUUCUCUCUUUCUUUUACUUUAUAAAUAUUAUAAAGACAUUUUUAAUGCUAAAGUCAUUUUAAAUGUCACAUAUAAGUUGGCUCUAAAUUAGAAUAGUAGGGAAAGUUUUUUUUUUAUAGAUUAAAAAUUUUUACGAAAAUUAUAUAAAUUUGGAAUUUCUAGUAUCUUAUGCUUAUAUAAAUUACAAUGCCCUCAGUAUACUAAUUUUUGGCACUUAUUUGAUAUAUGUAUAAUUUUUACAUCUAAAUUGAAUUUAAUAAAUAAUUUUCUAGCAAAAAUGAAGGGAAAUGAAUGUAGACACCAAAUUUAUCUGGAUUUUAAAUAAGUCUUAGUUUAAAAUUUGUCAAGUGUAUUUGAUUCUCAGGUCGAGGUCUGAUUUCAAUUCAACUAGUUAUCAGGCUCGAUUUUAAUUUAACUAGGCCCAAAGUCUUAUUUUGAUUGGGUCUGAAGCCCGUUUCAUUCUUUAGGCCUAGCUUGUUUUUUUAUUUUAUUUUAUUGUUAGUUUAUUUUAUUUUUUUAAAAUUAAACAAAAUACCAAAAAAAAAGAGACAAAUAGAAGAAUAUAAGAAAAGAAAAAAACAAAAGAGGCAUGGGGUGCUUGGUGCCGUGCAUAGCACCACUAGCACCACCAACCCCUGCUAGGCCCUGUGCCACCCACUUAGGCAUAGGGCCAAGAUUGGACAAAAUAAAAAAAAUAAGGGGGCCGGUGCUUGGGGUGCCAUAAAUGACACCCUCAUUUGCCAAGCCUUGUGCCACUCACCAAGGCAUAAGGCAUAACCAGAGCUUUAUAAAUAGAGCUCCAUAAUUGACCCUUAAAAAAAAGAAGAGGGACCCUGCCCAAAAAAAAAAAAAACAUUUUGCCAAAGAAAAACAAAAAAAAUUAAACAAAAACUCAGUCCCCUGGGAAUGGGAAACCCAAUGUCGAGAGCCCCAACAAAAAAAAGAAAACGAAAUCAGUCUUAAAAAAUAAAAAAAAAUUAAGAAGUCAGAACACUAAAAAAAAGAGUUUGGCCGUAACUUUGAAGGUCGAUUCAGGUUGUUUGGGACCCUUUUUGGUGAAAAGGAGGUUGGAUCUGCGUUUAGGAAGGUGAAAGGAAUUUUUUGGGAGCUUUUUAGAUUUUUUGACAACCGGUCAAUGACCAUCUACAAUAGUCGACACGAUAAAUGAUGAAUGAUCAGUUUGGAUAGAGAGAGGGGGUCUAACAGAGAGAGAGGUAGAGAAAGAAGAGGAAGAGAAAGAUGAGCUGAAAAAGAAAUUUGAGGUUUUUAUAUAAAGCUAAAAGCUAAAACAACACCAUUUCAAUUAAAGGACCAAAACGACAUCAUUUUAAGCCCAGGAUUUGCACAUAAACCCACCGACCUGACUCAGAGUCCAUGCACCCGACUCGACAACCCGUCUUCAAUUGACCUUUACCGGUCUAGUUGAAUCGACCCAGACUGAAGUAGACCGGUAUUAAAUCGUCAAACCAACUAGACCAAACCGAGCCAUCGAAUCGAUUGGACCCACAUUGAUCGAACUGUUGACCAAUUUGGUUCAAGUAAAAAAAUUUUUUUUGAAUUUUUUAAAAUAUUUUUUUAUAUAUUAUUCUGAUAACAUUUAUGCAUAUUAAAAUAUUUAUAUUUGUUAGAAUAAUUUUUUGUUGUGAUAAAUAAUUAAUUAGUAAAAAAAUAAAUGAUGAAAUAUGUAGUUAAAAUUUUUAUAAUUUUGUUAAUUUCAAAAUAAACUUUAAAAAAAAUAAAUUUUAUAAUAAUAAUAAUAUAAAGUAAUAAAAAAAGUAAGGAAAGGAAAGUUUUAUUCGAUGAUGAGAUUCAAAGGUAUUCCGAGUAGUGAUACUUACGAAAUCUUUAAGUGAGAAAAUUUUUUUUAAAUACUAGCAGUAUAUUGGAAUAUAUUUUAAAAAUUUUCAAUAAAAUAAAAUUUUCUUUUUUUGUUAUAAAAUAGUAAAAAAACAUUAACUUAUAAAUUAAGAAUAAAAUGAUAAAAAAAUGUGAAAAAAAAAAAUUUAUCCGAUGAUAAAAUUCUAAAAGUAUUUCGAGUAGAGAUUCUUUAAGAAAUCCCUAGGUGAGAAGAUUUUUUUAAAAUAUUAUCAAUGUAUUAGAAUAUUUGUAGAAAAUCUUUAAUAUAAUAAAAAUUCCUCUUUUCUUCAAAAAAUUAAAUGAUAAUAAAAAAUAAUAAUAAAAAUCAAUAAAAUUUUUAAAAAGUAAAAUAAAAUGUAUGCAUCAAUAUGUUAACAUUUGCAUUGCAUGCACGACUUUUUUUUUUACGAAAAGUAAAUCUAAGUCUCUGAGGAUGAGAUUCUAAGAUAUUCCAAGAAGCGAGACCUAAGAAAUCUUUAAAUGAGAAAGAGUUCUUUCAAUAUUACCAACAUACUUGAACAUUUUAAGAAUUAUUUCAAUAAAAAGGUUCUGACUUAUUUUUCCCAAAUAAAAUUUGAAUAAUAAAUUUUUAAUAAAAAAAGAGAAAACUCAAAUUCCAAUAAAUGAAAAAUCAAGGUGUUAGCCUUUUAGGUGAAAUUAUUUUUUUAAACACCAAAAAUAAUACUGUUUUUAUCAAAAUUAAUGGAUAAUGCGUAGUUAAUUGGUACCAUUUUUAAACAGGCAUUAUGAGGGUGCUAAUCCUUCCCCACAUGUGACUAACUCCCAGACCUAAACUGUUUCGCAGACCCUAAAAUUAUUUUUUUAAUAAAUUUUAAUUAAAUUUAAAAUUUCAUUAGUGGGAUAUGUUUUAAUAAGUGACCAAUUGUACCUAGCCAAAAAAAAAUUGGUGGCAACUCUAUUUUCUAUUUUUUAUUUUCGUCUUCAAAUUCAUUGGACGACCUUAAAACCGUUAUGACAAUGAACAAAAAAAAAGUGAGAAGACAAUAGAAAAACAAUGUUGGCUUUUCUUUUUUCUAUUUGACAUGAGGAAGGAAAAAUAAAAAAUAAAAAAAAAAUUGUAAAUAAAAUGAUUAUUGCGUUUUUUUUUACUUACUUUUUGAAAGAUUGAAUUUAGAAAGACAUAAAAUCUAUAAAUGAAUCAAUUCAUUUUUUUUCCUUUAAUCUAAGAAAAAAAUUAAAAAAUUUUUUUUCCUUUCUUUUUUUCAUCCCAUCAAACACAACGUAGAGUCAUGACAAAUUGAGAAUACACGUAAAUGUUAUUUUUAUAAAGUAUGAGUAAUUCAAUUUCCAUCACCCUAAUUUGAAUGUCCAAUUAUAUAAAAUAUUUAUCACAAUUUGUACUUCAAUUUGAUUGAAAGGCUGAAUUCUAGCUCUCCACUUAAAUUUGAUGCGUACACAAUUUUCAUAUUUGACUUUUGGGUCCUUCGGCUUGUCCAUCUAUCAUGGUAACAAUUCUCGUGAAUAGCAAUAAUGGUUCUUAAAAGUAAUAAAGAAAAAAAAAAACUUGCCAAUUAAACUUUGAUUCAAUGGCACGAAUAUUUUAAAAUUUUGAGAUUUUAAAUCGAAUUUUAUUAUAUGAAUUUGUUUUAGUUUUGUAUUAAAUUUAUUUAAUUAUAUUUUAAUUUAGUCGAUAAUUUAUAUAUAUAUAUGAAUAUAAUAUUUAUUAUGAUUGUGAUUUUUUUUAUAAUUGUAAUUUUAUAAAAAAUGUAGUCAAUUACUAGUAAUUAUAAUUGUUAAUUAUUAUUAACUAGAUAUAUCCAAAUUCAAUGACAACUCUAGAAAUCCUCCUAUUGCAUUUCUUUUCAAAAAAUUUUUACUUUUUCAUUUUCACUUAAUAACAUUUUUUUUUAAAGUGUCCGCACGUUUUAUCUAGAAAGAGCAAGAUAUUUAUCUAUUAUUAAAAAGGAUUUAAAUUCAUUUUUAAAUAAAAAAAUUCACCAAAAAUAAAUUUCAUAUCAAUAGAUUAGGUUCUUUCACAUAAAAGAAUUAUAUACAGUUUUACAUAUCAAAUUAUAUAAUUAUUUUUAAAUAUGAUAAUUAAUAGAUUUGAAUUUAACUCAUAACAUUUGUAAUUUUUUUUAGGUUAUGAUUUUUUUAUUAAAUAAUUAUAUAAAAUAUUCUUUUUUUGUCCUUUUUUUUUCAGAGUAAUCAUGUUGGAAUAUUAGUUGGUGGGGAGGAAUAACAUAAUUAGAAACACUUAAAUAGCUCAGUGUAUGCAUGGCCCUCUCGUUUAUUAAUUUGUUUAUGGUGAUGCAAUCGACAAGAAGAUGAAUCAAUUAUAAAUUGAUGAGGAACACUGGUAGCUAUAGAUUUGCAGCUUAGGUAAUUAAUUUACUAAUUGUAUUCCCAUGUUUAGUGUGAGAGCUUGGGGACAGUGGAGAAGAAGCUGAAAGGAAAUGGAUGUGGAAUACGUGCGGGCAAUAGUGGAAGAAGGCGGGAUCUAUGUUGAACAACUGUUCUUCCAUGACCCAGAUGGGUUCAUGAUUGAGAUAUGCAACUGUGAUAACCUACCUACCAGUGAUCCCACUGGCAGCUGAGAUGGCUCGAUCAUGCUCCCGAGUGAAUCUGCAACUGCUGCAGCGUCAGUAGAUACAGCAAGUGGUUCAGCAGUAGGAGCAGCUGCAGGAGCAGAGCUGAGUCAUUUGAUUUAGGUGCAUGUUAAUAAAAAUCAUGAAAUAAAAGGCACCCUAUCUGCUUUUUUCUUUUUUCAUGUUCUUGUCUAACUAUUGUAUGGACAAGUCCUUGUUUUUCUUCACUUGGUUUAGUAGUUUGUUCAAUAUUAUUUAUUUUGUAAUUAAUAAAGACAAGGCCUAGAUGUGAUCCCAAGGGAAGUGAUCAUUUUAUGAGCUUAUUUUAAUUAAUUAAAAAUGGACUAUUCUCUAAAGUUUUUCUAGUACUUAAAAUUAUGUAAGGCCCCCUUCUCUUGUUGUGAAUGAUUUCGGGUUUCAAAAUCUACUAAUUUAAUGCACAAGUUGGAACUAGUUUUGAAAUGCCAUUCACCUGAAAGAGUUUGUUGGAAAUCAUGUUAUGAGCACAUAGUCUUAUCCUAAUUUAUUUAUCAUAGAACGAAAAAUAAAAAUUUCAUAAAAAAUCAGAAUUUGAAUAGGAUUUUGCUAUCUAUCCUUUCAUAAAUUUCAAAUAAUACUAGGAUAUGUAGCUAUCAUUCACACCUUAUUUACGUAUUUAGAUUUGUGUCAAUUUUAGGGUUAUGGUCUAUCACUAGGUUACCUUUACAACAGGUCAUGUUAUAAUGUCAAUCUAAUUUCCAAAUUGGACAAAUUCAUCUCGUAUUAAUUAGAUUCAAGUUUCUAUCCGGAAUUACAAUUUCAUCUACAAUCUAUCAUACAAAUGUAAUGCUGAAAAAUCAAAUGAAUAACCGAUAAAGAAUCGAAAAUUAUGAUUGCACCUGUCCAAUGGAAGUUCAUUUUGGAGGCAGAGGAGAGUUAAGAAAACAAAAAGUAAAAAAAUAAAAGAUUGCAGAGAGUUGGGUAGUUUUAUAUAUGUUUAUGUAUCUUAGAGAUAUUUAAGCGCAGUUGAUAGGAUUCUGAAGCCCACAAAAUCUAAAUCCCAACCAAUCUUGAGUCCUGGAUUUGCACGGAAGUUGGCAAAAAGGUUCCCUACAAAGCUGAAACCUGCGAUUUCUUCCUCUUUUAAGGCAUUGCCAUGCUCUUAAAAUUGAUCAUUUAUUUGGCUUUGGAUUUAUGUUUCAUCCCUUCUGUAUCUCUCAUUUCAUACUAUUACUAUUUCUUAACAACUAAGAUGCUUUAGUUAAACAUAAUCUCUAUUUGUGAUAAUAAUUUCAUCUUUUUUAAUAUUAUAAAAUAAUUAUUUUACCUUUAAAUAGAUUAGCGAUUCCUUCAUAGGUCUUAGAAUUGGUAAAGGGGUUAUUGUCUUGCCCAGGAUUUAAAUAGCAGUCGUGAUCAUGUUUUCGAUCGUGUUGCAUUUAUCAUGUUUUCGAAUAUAAUGAAAAUCAUCGCGGUCACCGCGGUUAUGAAUUUUUUUUUAAUUUUACACAAUUUGAUAUAAAAUAUAAUAAUUAUAAUUAUAAUUACAAAAAUUCUUGUUUAAUGUUUUUUUUUAAAAAUAGUUUAUGACAUCUAUAGUUUUUAUUUUCUAAAAAAAUUAUUUAUAAUUUUAUUUAAAUUAUAAUAAAACAUUUAUAUUUGAUUUAGCAACAAAAUUUUUACUCGAGGCAAGUUCAUAUUCAAAAUUAAUUCUAAACAAAUCAAAAUAUUAAUUAAACAUAAUACGUUAAGUACCAAAUAUCCAUAUUUAAUAAAAUUAUAAAUUUAAAAAUAUAAUAAUUUCAAAUUUCAUCAACUAUAGUUAUAAAUUAAAAAGAAUUAAUCUAAUAAAAAAAGAAUUUACAACAAUAUAAAUAUCAAAAUAACAAAAAAAUUAUUAAAUUUCAAAUACAAAAUCAUAAAUUAAUAAAUAAUAAAAUCAAAUUAUAAUAUUUAAUUAUAAUUAUUUUUUAUCUAACUUAUACAAAAAAUUCAUUAAAAAUUUUCAUAUAAAAUUCAUAUAUAUAUAAUUUCAAAAAUUACAAAAUUUUAAAUUUAUGUUCUAAUAAAAUUAAUUAUAAAAUUAAAUAAAUAAAAACCCACCCACCUACUCAGCCCGCAUGUCCCCCUCAGUGUCCAAAAUUUCCCCCAACUCUUUCUCUAAAAAUCGACAAGCAUAUCCAAUUCUUCAUCUAUCUUCUAACCUCUUUUAAGUUUUAUCCACAUUAUCUUUGUCUUCCAAAUUGGGUUGUGAAUGGAACACGGCCGUUAUUAUUGUGAAUUUCGUUCACAACUCAAUUUUGGGAAUGUAACGGUGGCGGAGGCUAUCGAAACCGCAAAAUAGCGGCCGUAAUACCGCUACACAUAUGCUAUUUGAAACCCUACGUCUUGCCUCUGCCUGUUUGUGGCUAUUUGGAGGCAACCAGACGAACGAAAGAGAGUUCUUGGUUGAGUUGAUUCUUCGAUUUUUUGUUCAUGAAUAAGUGAUCCGAAGAAAAUUUGAAAUUAAAAUGAGAGAAACCGCUUGUCUCAUCCCAAAAUUCUCAACCUACACAAGGCCAAAUUCAUUCGUCUUGGUUGGAUGCCAGGACUUCUGUCUCCCCGUCACCGUAAUGCGAUCUUGUAUUUUACUUUUUUCGAUUGACAGCUGAUUUCUAUGCUUUUUAUUGGAACUUUCUUGUCUUCUUGCAGCACUGUGGUUCAUCAUUUAUGAAUUUGAAAAUGAAAUUUCUCUAUUGAUGAUGGAUGGAAAAUAGACGGAAAAUGGGUCUCGUGUGUUUUCUAUAUUCAGGAAGCAGAUAAUUGCUAAAAAUACAAUUAAAAUGUUAAUAAUAAAAGUUAAAAAUAUAUUAAAAGAAUUUUUAAAUAGAUUAUAUUUUAUCAUCUGUCUAAUAUUAUAAAAUGAUCAUUUUAUCUUUUCUAAUAUUAUAGAAUGAUCAUUUUACCCUUUAAUGAAAAAAGAAACUUAAAAUGUUAAUAAUAAAAAUUUAAAAGUAUAUUAAAAGAAUUUUCAAAGAGGUUAUAUUUUGACACAUGUCCAACAUUAUAAAAUGAUCAUUUUAUCUUUUUUUAACAUUAUAAAAUGAUAAUUUUAAGCUUUAAUAAAAAUAAAAUAACAUUUAAUGUAAAUAAUAAAAAUAAAACAAUAUGAGAAUAGAAAAAAAAUCAAAUCUAUAUAUUUUAGAAGCUCCAAAAGUACUAUAUUGCAACAUUAGUCUAGCAUUGUGACAUGAUCAUUUUAUCCUUUCUAACAUUAUAGAAUGAUCAUUUUACCCAUUAAUCAAAAUAAAAUAAUUUAAAAUAUAAAUAAAAAAUAUAUUAAAAAAUAUAUUAAAAGAAUUCCCGUAAAGUUAUAUUUAGACAUCUUUCCAACAUUUUAAAAUAACCAUUUACCUUUUUCAAAAUUAUAAAAUGAUUAGUUUACUUGUUUUAACAUUAUAGAAUAAUCAUUUCAUUUUUUAAUGAAAAUAAAAUAACUUAAAAUAUAAAUCAUUAAAAAAAUUUUAAAAAUGAAAAUUAGAAAAAAAUUAGAUCUAUAAAAUUUGUGUAGAUUAAAAAUUUAUAUUUGAAUUCAACAAUCUAAAAGAGAACCAAACAAUUCAUUUUGGGAAAAAAAAAAGUUAUCCUUUUACGAAAUGGUGGGGUUAAUACUAGUAACUGAAAUUAAGCACCCGUUUGAUUCCAUCACAUCGAAGCGAUGGAAUUCAAUCGGAUUUUGACCUCCAAUUGCACCGUGGUUCGUAAGAUGCAUUUGGAUAGCGCUGAUGCAGUUGGGAGCUUCUGCACUGCUUUUUAGAUUUUUAUUUAAAGGAAAGGAUCUAGUGAUUUACUAAACUCUACGACAGUCAAAUGUUUUAAUGUAUUCGGUUUAAUGUAAAAUUAAAAAAGAAAGGAUUUUCAAUUAUAUAAUAACUGCUUUUAAAAUAGGGAUAUCCUUCUUUUUAACAGAUUAUCAUUUGAAAGACGGAAAACAGAGAUGGAGAUUACAGGGGGAAAGCAGACAUAUUUCAUCAUGAAAAUUUAAUACAAAUUAUACAAAAAAAAAAAGCUUGUAUUAAUUAAUUAUAUAAUCUAAGACGAUAUUUUCUUUUACAUAUUUUCAACCUUCCAUAUCAUCUGUAUAUAAUCAUCCAUGAUAGAUAAAAUGCAAGCCAAAAAGCAGAUUAAUGAAACAACUGGAAGAAGCUAGUACAGAAUACCAGUGCAAGGUCUUAAAGAUAAAAGAAAGGGCAACCGAUCAGAGUCCUCUAGCCAACAUUUGCUCAUAAUUCUCAAUGGAUUCCAGCCUCUGGUGCAAAAAGUUGGUGCCUGAAUUUCUGGAUGAAUGCCUCAGCUCUUUUGUUUAUGUCGACGAAUGGCUUUUUUCUGUGACAUUGGACCUCAUGGCUCUAUUAUCUUUGAAGUUAUGGACAUUUGGUUCUGGAAUUUUGGAGUCGUGGUAUGAAUGAGGCAUGGAGCUGUUCUUCAUUGUAAGUGCAAGAUAGCUUUCUCUAAUUCUUUCUUCCUUG